rnacentral:lncRNA from 1 species
UACUAAUUAAUCGAGUUUUAUCAUGAAACUAUAUUGUAUAAAGGUUGGAUUGGUUACUAAAUUUCUCCUUUUUUUUCAUAUAUAUGAACGAGAAAGAGUUGACUAGAUAAUUAUACUGCACUCUAUAAUAUUACUUUGAUCAUAGUAAGGCUCUUACAUUACAGGUUGAUUAUGUACAAAAUUCAGCAAAAAAAGUACAAUUUACAUCAACAUGCAGAAAUUAAGAAAAUUUUCUCCCAUCAUCUAGCAAUUCAUUAAACUACAAUAUUCCAUUUAAAAACAAUUGCUAGAGCAGAAUCUGAUUGUUGAUAAGCAGUCGACCUUGCCUUCGAAACUCUUUGAUUGCCUCUUUGCUGUCACCAUUCCAUGACCAUAGUUCCUCUGCUAGCUAGUAGUUUAUCAAAUAACUAGUAAGGACCCCAGCAACUCAAGUACAUGACUCUCCUCAGGGACUCCUCUGCUUGCGUUGCUUUCUGAUUUUCUUUUACUUUACUUGAAACCACAGUACUAGAAGUUGGAGAAGACAGCUUCUUGGCCUGAGAGAUUGACUUGACUUGGUUCUUGGCAUUCUGAUGGAACGAUCUUGCUGAAAUCAUCUUUCUUUACCCUUUCUUUGCACUAGAACAACAACAAAAAAGGACAAUUUUUAGUUGAGAAAGAUAAGAUGUAAUAUAAGAUUUUGUUUGAUGGUGCGACCAAGCCUAGGUUUUGCUUAUAUAGAGAGUAGAGGCCCAAAGGUUUGGAGGAAACCAAAAACUAGCACAAGUUGUCGAUGGUGGUUUCGGCUGAAGUGAGAAAGCCAAUGGUAUUAUUUAGUAGACGGGAUGAAUCUAAUACCUAGGAAGGACCAUUCUUUCUUGAACGAGGAAGGACCAUUUGGCUGCCUAAAAUACAGAGGAGGAGGAGGAAAUCGGGGAUCAUGACAAAACUAGAAUGGGACUUGUUUACGAAAGGUAAAGGCACUCGGUUUUUGUUCAUGAGAGGGGAUAGAAGGAUAAGAAUUCUUGGCAUUUGUCUGGACGUCUACUCAAAAACAGUAUAGGAUCACAUCAUGAACACAAUAAUUGUGAAUCCAUCCAUAUCAAAAACAUCUAAAUUCAAUACUUAAAUUAUUAAAUAAAAUUAAGAUAUAAUUUAUAUUAUUUUUUAAUAUAUAUAUUUAAAUGAAAGCUAUUUGAACUUAAAAUUUAUACAACUUUAUAUUAUUUUUUGCUUGAUUUUUAUGAAAUAAAUAGGGAUGAUAAGAUUUGAACUCGUGACUACUUGGUCAUCAAGGCUCUGAUACCAUGUCAAAAAACCAUUUCAACCCAAUAAUUUAAAUUCUUAAAUGAGGUCCCAGAAUAUAAUUUAUAUUAUUUUUUAACAAUCUAUAUAUCACUAAAAAGAUAAAUAAAUAAGUAAAAUUUAAGGAAAAAACAGUUCUCAAGUUUUGAUAAUUAUUAUUAAAUCUGAAUCAAGUUAAUUUUUUUUUUAAAUAGAUGAUAAUUAACUUAGUUAAACUAAAAAAUAUGAUCGAUCAAAUUAUCACCCGAUUGAAUUAGUUUCAAAGUUGACUUAAUUUAAAAAGUAAAUUAAAUAAUAUCAUUUUAAUUAAUAAAAUCAAUUCGAAUUAUAUAACUUGUUUAAUCCAAAUCUUAAAAUAAGUUAUUAGCAUAUCCAAUUUAAUAACUUUAGUUGCAAGGGGUUCAAAAAAGAAAAAAUGACUCGCGAUGCAUAAUGUUGAUAUGGAAACGACGUGGACUGUGAUCAGAAAAUAUAUUGGUUUUCUUAUUUUACGAAAGAUUAUGAAUAAUUACUCCAAAUAUUUGUUCUAACUUGUGAAUUCCUUUUACAGAGCUUUAAACUCCGGCGCUAUGCCAUGGGUUGUAGCAGAUUUUAAGGAAAAAAAAAUUAUUUAGAUAUUAGUAAUAUGUUUUUUAAAUAAAUUAAAUUCUAACUAUAAAUAAUAAUGAUAUUUUUAUUUAAUAUUGAAAUAGAAAAACAUUUAAUUUACCUAGGUUAACAUGCAUUCACCUAUGAAAUUUAUAGGGAUAAUCUUGAAAAAAAAACAAAUUGAAAAUUCAAUCAUAAAUUAACUUAAUGUUGAAAAAUAAAAUCGGUAAAAAAAUAGCAUUUAAUUAAAAAAAUUAAGUCAACUCGAAUCGGCCAGUCAAACUCACAGCGCAAAUCAUGUUAGUCAUCAGAUUCAAUAAAUUUUUUAUCCCAAAAAUUAUUUUUCAUUUAAUUAUAUAACAAUAAAGCACAUGAUAAUUUUUUUUGUAUAAAAACAUUUGUUUUAAGUAACAAAAUCAUAAUAACGCUAGGAUAACAAAAGUAGAUCAUUGAUAAUAAAUAAUAAAAUUAAAAUUAUAUUUUUUUAGGUUGGGGUUUAAAAAAAUAGAUCAUCGAUAAUAAAAAAUUAUUUUUUUAAAAGCUAAAAAGAAUUUAAAAAAAUAAAUAAAUAAUAACAUUGUUAAACUUGUAACCUACAUUCUAAACUUAAUUAAAUUUAAUAAUUUUUUUAAUCAAAAUAUAAAAUAACAAAAAAACAAAAAAUUUAAAAGAAGCUCAAACACGCAAGUCUUCCAGCCCAGUUCUUAAAAGUUUAUUUUUAAACAAAGACAACGAACUACAUUUGUUUUUUUCAGAAUCCGUCAAUCAAAUGUCACUGAAAAUGAAAAUAGAACCUAUUAAAACUAAUUUACACUCUCUAUUGAGAAUCCAAGAAUCCUCUCUCCUUUGAUAUUUAUAAAAAAAAAACUAAAAAAAACUAAAUUUUAAUAUCAAAAUUAAAUUUAGAACCAACAAUCUAUAAAACAAAAAAAUAUAAAAGACCCAGAUAAACUUUUUAUAUAAAAUUCAAAAUCAUUAUUUAUUUUACCUUUUCUUUUUCCUUUUAAUCCAAUCAUCUCUUUCGAAAAAGUAAACAGUGCAUCUUCAACAUUGAAAACCCCACGCGGUUUCAUUUUUGUUAAUUAAUUACAUCAUGUUACUCAAGACUUGACUGCAGCCUAACCCCAAUAUAUAAACUUAUAGUAGAAAGUGUCGUGUUAGGUUCAUCCACUCUGCCACAGUCCAAGUUUCAUGAAGGAACACAAGUUUUGACGUUGCAGUAAUUAAUCCCCAUGGGCUAAAAGGAGAGAACAAGACUUUAAUCCACUCAUGUAAUUAGCUUAUUGAUUCAAUUGAGUCUUCAUUUUAAAUGCCGUUUCAUUCUGAAAAAUUACAAUUUACAUCACUUGCAAAUUGUUGCAGCAAUGGAAGGAAUUUGCUCCCAUCAUUCAGCAAUUCAUUGGACUACAAUUGGUUGAAACAUAUAUUGCUAGAGCAUAACAUUCAAAUGAAGCUGAAUAAUCGUUGAUGGGUUCCAGCGUCCACCGCCAUAAGAAGUCGGCCUUGUCAUGUUUCUCCAAAUGAGUCUCUCUUGGAAAGACUUCGAUUGUCUCUAUGCUGCAACCAGUCCAUGCAUGGCCAUAGUUACUUGCUGGUAGUUUACUGCCUAGCUAGUAAGGACCCCAGCAACUUAAGUACAUGACCUGCCUCAGUGACUCCUCGGAUUGCCUUGCUUUCUGAUUUUCUCUUACUUUACUUGCAACCACAGUAGAAACUGGAGAAGAGAGCUUCUUGGGCAGAGAGGAUGACCUGCCUUGGUUCUUGGCAUGUUGGUAUAGUGAUCUUAUUGUGUAGUUCCAUCUGCAAAAUCCUUGAUCUUUCAAAGCCUCCACAGCUGCAAUACUAGUGGCAACAGCCCAAGCUUUGCUUGUUGAACUCAUUUUUCUAUUUCUUUUGAUUGAACUGAACAGCUAGAAGAUGGACAACGUUUUGAAAAAGUUGAGAUGUAAUUGAGAAGGGAAAUUAUGUUUGAUGGUGUAGAUGACAAGCUGGGAUUGCUUAUAUAGAGAGGAGGGGACUAGGGGACCAGAAAAUUGGAGGAAACCGGAAGCCAGGGAUAAGCUGUGGCUGGUGGUUUUGGCAUAAGUUAAAGCCAAUGGUAUUAUUUUAGUGCAGUUAGGCUAGGAUGGGACUGAAUCUUUAUGUCUAUCAAGGACCACUUGGUGCCAUUAAAUACAAAUGGAGAAAAAAUGGGGGAUUUCUUUUUCAUGCAUCUUAUCAUAUUCAAUGACGACAAAGCUGGAGUGGGGACUCGUUUUGGUAAGAGGCACGCGGUUUGCUUUAUAAAAAUCAAAAUUGAGCCUCAAGUAUUGGAGGCAAAUCCACUUGUUUUUCUUUAAUAGUGGGGCUGGAAGGAUAGCAUUUUAGCAUUUGUCCAGGCAUCUACUCAAAAACAGGGAACGGACAGGAUUACCUCCUGAAGACAAUAAUAAGUGUAGAUCCAUUGCAUGUAUCACAAGAUACGAUUUUUUUUCCAAAAUAACAAUCGUGGCAAAAAAAUUAAUUGUUAUGUAUCACAGUUGAGAACAAAAAAAAUUAAAGAACCAGCACAUUAUAACUAGCCGUGUUACGGGAAAAAAAAAAAAGAUAUAUUGGAAAUGAGCUAAUAAAAACAAAACAAUUGACAAAUUAACAGAGAAACAAAAUUUUUAAUGAAAUUGUAUAUUUUCACUUUAUUGCGUUUUAAAAUACAAUAUUUAUUAAAUAUUAUUAUUUUUAAAAGAGAAAAUAAUUAUCACGUUUUAAAAUAAUAACAUUUAAUAAAUAUCAUGCUUCUGAAGCACGACAAGGUAAAAUUUCAAUUAUAUAACUCAAUUGGUUGAUCGAUUCAUAAUGAUCAGUGAAAUUGAUCGACUAAUUCUAAAAAUAACAAAAAAAAUAUUAAAACUACUAAAUUUGAGGGGCCUCAACUAGAUUUUUUAUAUCUAAAGAUUUAAUGGUUCACAUAGCAACACAGUGACUACUAUAGAGAAAACGGCCUUUUAAAACUACUAUAAAGAAUUUGAGCGUCUAAUUAGAAGUUAUGGUCCUAUUAAGAGUUAUUUUGGUCUGACAUGAUUAGACCUUCUCUUUAAGUUUAGAUUUAUCUCAUUGAUUCAUAAAUACAUCUGUUAGGUUGUUCAAGUACUAUGCUUGGGCCAAAACUCAUUCAGUUAUAGUAGACUCACAUCUGACUGCUUAGAAUCACAUAUUAUCGCAAAUCCAACUACAUCAUUGACAUUGAAAAACAUAGGACAAGCAUUUUGCAUACGAUAACAUUUUGAGAUUUUAAUUGGAGUCUAUUUUUUAGUCUACAAGUUGAAUAAAAAUAUAUAUCUUGACUCUUAAAAUAUAUUUGGAAGAAAAAAUUCAUUAAAUUAUAGUUUUUAUAUAAAACAAUCGACCAAUUCAUACAACUAAAUUUAAUUAGUCAACCACUUGAGCCAGGUGAUUGGAGAUUCACCUAGUCACUUUUAGAAACAACGAUAUUUAGUAAAUGUCACGUUUUUAAAGUAUGAUACGGUAAAAAUAUAUUAUUUCACCAAUUUUUUUUCAAAUGAUAUUAUUCCGUUAAAAUUUAUAAAAAAAAAAUACUAAUUUUAAAAAAUAACCACUAAAAACAGAUUAAUAAAUUAUGAUAUUCCUUUACAACCUUUAAAAAUAUACAUAAAAAAAAGUAAUGAUAAUAUUUACACCGUUAGGUAAAGAUCAACCUUUAAAAAAAAACCGAUUAUUUAUCCUAAUAAUUUAUUUUCUUACGAGUAGUGGACAAAUGAUUCCCUUACGUUACGAAACAUUACUCACUUCAAAAAAAGUAUUUCUUGCGAUCUAAUUCAUCUUUCAGAGAUUCAAGAAAAUGUUAAUUUUUUGGGCCAGUUCAACCAUUUUGCAACAUUCCCAAGUUUCUUGAAAUUUCAUAAGUUUUGACAUCGAAGAAAAUAAUCCCUAUUGAUCUUCAUUUAUGCAAAAAAGCAAAAGACGUAAAGAACUUCCUUUUGGCUCCAAAAAGUCCAAUAAUUAUUUCUUAAUCCAUUUUUGUCCUUGAAAAAACCAGUUUAAGUUCUAAAUCUACUGUUUCUUGAAUUGAAUUUUUAUUUUUACCAAACUAUAAUUUAGAUUCUAGUGAGAUUCCGAUUGAUGCAAAUAUCUUUGACAAAUGCCCCUCAAUUUAUUUAUUUUAGCUGUGGUGCGCACUAAAAUUAACCUUGUCAUGAUCCUUUUAACUUUGCUACAUGAGGGCCUGCGAAAAGAAAUGGGAAAACAGAAAUUAUAAAAUAAAUGGUGCAAGGAAAAAUUAAUCCAAAAAUAAUAUGGUUUGAUUCCAUUAAGUCAGCACCAAAAUUUACAAAUAUUUACAUCAACUUGCAACAUUCAGGGUAAUCCUAUCACGAUAAUUUCUCAAUUUCAUCUUGCUUCUUAGCUUUAGUAAGGACCCCAACAGCUCAAAUACAUGACUUUUCUUAGAGAUUCCUCAGACUGUUUUGCUGUCACUUCCUUGACUUUAUCCGAGAUCAUGGCAGAAGAUGAAGAAGAAAGCUUCUUGGCCUGAGAGGCUGAUCUGACAUGGUUCUUGGCAUGUUGGUGCAGGGAUCUCAAGGUGUAGUUCCACCUGCAGAACCCUUGGUCUUUCAACGCCUCAACACCUCCAACAGCUGCUGCAACCAACCAAGCUUUGCUUGCUGAACUCAUUUUCGAUGUUACUGUAAUAUAGAACCAACAAGUUGGAAACUCUUUGAAGUGGGAUUUGUAGAGAUUAAGAUAUCAGGAGCUAUGAUCUGAUGAAGUAAAUGGGAGUAAAGGGGUUUGGUUAUAUAGGUGGGUGUACCAAAAUUGGAGGAGAAAAACCAGAGGCUAAAGGCUUCUUGGUGGUGGUUUUGAGUGAGGAAACCAGCGAAGGCCAACGGUAUUUUUUAUAAGACAAGUGGUCUCUAUUUCCCCUUUAAUUAUUGGAAUACAACUUGGUCAUUAAAAAAAUAGAGAUAAAAAAAACCAAAGUUGUUAACCUUCGGAACUCCUCCUAGUAAUAAAGAUGGGACUGCUAUCAAUAAAAAAACAAGAAACAAAUAUAAAAAAAUCUCAUAAAAAAAUAUUAGGAAAUGAAAUUAAAAAAUUAUAUAUAAUAAAAAAAUCCAAAACAAAUCAAAUAACAAUAAAAAAAAUAUAGACCAAAUUUAAUAAUAAAAAAAAUUAUAAUCAAAUACUGAGAGAUGAAAUUGAAAAAAAAAUAAUUUAGUUAGUAAAAGAUUUUUUAAAAUAAAAAUAAAAAUAAAAAUCAUGUUUGAUUUGAAAAUAAAGUUAAAUCAAACGUUAGGGUUGAAAUUGAAGAAAAAACCAAUUAAAAAAAGAUAGAAAAAUAAAAUAAAAAAUCAUAGAGAAAUGAUAUUAAUUCAAAUAUAAAUUAAAAAAGAUUAAAAAAGAUUUUUUUUUCAAGAAAGGUAUCAAUUAAAAUUAAAAUUAAAAUUAAAAAGUUAAAAUAAAAUAAAAUGAUAGUUUAGAUGUCGCAAGCACAUUUAAAAUUAACAAAAAAAUAACUCAAUUUAUAUAUAUAGCCUGGUUUAUGUUUAAUAAGUCGGUUUUAUUUUAAUAAAAUAAUAAAUAAAUAAAUAAUAAUAGUAAAUGAUUUUUUUAUAAAAAAAUCAUAAUAACCUAAAAAAAUAACUUUUGCAAGCAUGAAAUUGGAAUAAAAAAGUCCGAAUCAACUUUAGAUAGUGUGAUAAAAAUGUAAGAAAUAAAAUCCAGCUCCUCUAAAUCUUCAUACUGAGAUUUCCUUGUAUCAAUUGAAUCCCCAUACAUGUCUCCAAGACUCUAUAACCAUAUAUUUUCAAAAAGUAUAAGGAGGUUUCCGGGAUUACUGGGGCCCCAAUAAGAAUCAAGGAACCCCUUUUCAGGCCUUGGAACCUCCCAGGGGAAAGGCCCUCCCCGGAAACUUAUUCAUAUUACUUACUUUUACACUUUUUUUUACUAGAUACUCUUUUAAUGAGAAAGACAAUUAAACUCUCUUCUUUUUUGCAAAAACGUUUGACAAAAAUUACCCACACUUGUAACCUCUAUACAAAACAAUUUAUUUUAUUUUAUUUUUUGUGUUUCAAGUCUACAUGAGAGGAAAAUAAUGGUGUAUAUUUUUUAGAAAAACAAAACUGUUGUGGUUAGCCCAAAUGGCAACAAAUCUUUGUCUCCUUGUUAUUGUCUGGGUUGUGGUCCAAACAAAAACACCCAUGCUAUCUGGGGCCCGACCCAAACAACUGAGCCUAGUCCCAAAAGGAAUUUCUUGUUGAUAACACACACCUUAAUGUAUUGCUAAUCACCCACACAAACUACUUUUCUCUAUGCUUUACUAACAGAUUCUUUGCUAAUACACAUUUUGAUAAAGGAUUAACACCACUUAUCUAGCCAGUAGUUACAUGUCUAUGCAAAUCAAGCGUCUCUUCUCUAUACCACUAGCUUUUUCUAGCUAAUGUUUUGCUAACAUUAGCCAACCCAACAUUGUAUGGCACUACGAUCAAUGAUGACACCUACAUUUCCACCGAAUAAUUGUUGUCAAGACAUCCCAAGAUAAGCCGAUGUGAUUCAAGUCCAGAAAUACAUUGAAUCACAGAUAAACAAGAGAGGCUUUUGAUAAUGAACAUUUUACUCCUCUACAAUUCGUUCUUCUUACAUUGUUCUCAUUUUCUCUUUUAUACUUCCUAACUUGAACAUUAAAAGUCUCUGGUUCCAUGCUGACCUUAUUUUGUAAGGCUAAUCCCAUAUUUAGACCUCCACAUAUCUUCAUCUAUAAUCGUUGUCUAUAAAAACCCAAUUUCUGUGUGAAUCUUUUUCACAAAUUCAUCAGUUAAUUAUUCACAAAUUCUUCGGUUAAUUAUUUAUACAAUCCUGUUGUAAUUUAAAGGCUUGUUUCAUUCACAUACAGUGAUCAUCACCCUGCCGUGAACACUUGUGAGUGAACAAAUAUACUCUCCUAAACUAAUUUUCUUCUGGGCUGGGCCAAAUUGAAAUUGAGAAUUCCAGUUCAAGAUUUGCACUAAUUUGUCAACUUAUCAAGAUAUUUAGCUUUUGUGAUGCAACCCCUCCUCCAAUUGAGUUGCUGAUUUUUUUUUUUUUAACAGGAGCCAUAUCCUUGUUAAUGUUACGUUAAGGCCAUUUUCCCAAAAUUUUGCCAAUAAAAUGAGAUAUAUUUGAUUGGCAAUCAGCACAAGCAUUUACAGUUUAAAUCAACUUGCAAAAAUUUACUCUAAUCCUAUGAACUCAUUUCCUCAGAGUUUCUUUUUUCUUGAGAGUAUCAGUUUGGACCCCAGCAACUCAAAUACAUGACUUUUCUUAGAGACUCCUCUGACUGUUUCGCCUUCUCUUCCUUGAAUUUACUUGAAAUAAUGGCAGAAGAUGAAUGAGGGAGCUUCUUAUUAGCCUGAGAAAUUGACCCGACAUGGUUCUUGGCAUGUUGGUGUAGCGAUCUCAAUGUGUAGUUCCACCUACAGAAGCCUUGGUCUUUCAAGGCCUCAACACCUCCAAUAGCAGCAGCUACCAACCAAGCUUUACUUGCUGAACUCAUUUCUCUGUAAUAUAAAACAGAACAAUAGUUGGAAACUCUUUGAUGUGGGAUUUUUAGUUGAAAAAGAAGAGAUGUGAUUGAGAAUUCGUGUCGAUGGUGUAAAUGGCAAACUGGGAUUUGCUUAUAAAGAGAGUAGGUAGGGAACUAGGUGCCAGAAAUUGGGAGGAAACCGGAAGCUAGGAACAAGCUGUGGCUGGUGGUUUUGGCUUAGGGGAGCCAGUGGUAUUAUUUUAGUGUGGUUAUGCUAUGAUGGGACUGAAUCUUUAUGUCCCUCAAGGACCACUUGGUGGCAUUAAAUACAUUUCUUUUUCAUGCAUCUAUCUUAUCAUGUUGCUAGAGCGGGGCCUUGUUUUGGUAAGAGGCACACGGUUUGCUUUAUAAAAAUCCGAAGUGAGCCUCAAGUAUAGGAGGCAAAUCCACUUGUUUUUAUUCAGGAGUGGGGCUCGAGUAAAGGACAGACAAUAAUUGUAGAUCCAUUGCAUGUGUCACAAAAUACCAAGUUCUCAACUCUCAAGCUCUCCUUAUCCAGACAUGUCAUCCAGCAAAAUUUUGAUGCAUAAACGACUUGAGCAGAGAUCAAAUGGAUUCUCUUAUGUUACGAAACAUUAUUCACUUAAAAAAAAUUAUUUCUUACGAGCUAAUUCAUUUUUCAGAUAUUCAAGAAAAUACUAAUUUUUUCUGUCAAGUUCAACCAUUUUGCAACAUUCGAAGUUUCUUGAAUGAUCAAAAGUUCUGACAUUGAAGUAAAUAAGCCCUGUUGAUCUUCAUUUAACAGAUAAUAUAUAUAUAUAUAUAUAUAUAUAUAUAUAUAUAACUUCCAUUUGGCUCCAAAAACGGGGUAAGGUUUUAAUCCAAUAAUUAUUUCUUAAUCCAUUUAUGUCAUUAAAAAACCAAUCAAAGUUACAGGCCUAGCUUUUUAUUAAUAGAUUUUCUUAACGAAAUUAGAAUUUAGAUUCUAUCUUGAGAUUGCAAUAGAUUCAAGUAUCCUUAGCAAAUGCUGUGAUGCACUAAACUUGAACCUUGUCAUGAUCCUUUUUCACUUGUGACACGAGGUGCUCCCAAGAGAAGGGGGAAAACAGAAAAAAUAAAUGGUGCAAGGAAAAAUUAAUCCAAAAAUAAUAUAGUUUGAUUCCAUUAAGUCAGCACCAAAAUUUACAAAUAUUUACAUCAACUUGCAACAAUCAGGGGUAAUCCUAUCACAAUAAUUUUCUCAAUUUCAUCUUGCUUAUCAGCUUUAGUAAGGACCCCAACAGCUCAAAUACAUGACUUUUCUUAGANNNNNNNNNNNNNNNNNNNNNNNNNNNNNNNNNNNNNNNNNNNNNNNNNNNNNNNNNNNNNNNNNNNNNNNNNNNNNNNNNNNNNNNNNNNNNNNNNNNNNNNNNNNNNNNNNNNNNNNNNNNNNNNNNNNNNNNNNNNNNNNNNNNNNNNNNNNNNNNNNNNNNNNNNNNNNNNNNNNNNNNNNNNNNNNNNNNNNNNNNNNNNNNNNNNNNNNNNNNNNNNNNNNNNNNNNNNNNNNNNNNNNNNNNNNNNNNNNNNNNNNNNNNNNNNNNNNNNNNNNNNNNNNNNNNNNNNNNNNNNNNNNNNNNNNNNNNNNNNNNNNNNNNNNNNNNNNNNNNNNNNNNNNNNNNNNNNNNNNNNNNNNNNNNNNNNNNNNNNNNNNNNNNNNNNNNNNNNNNNNNNNNNNNNNNNNNNNNNNNNNNNNNNNNNNNNNNNNNNNNNNNNNNNNNNNNNNNNNNNNNNNNNNNNNNNNNNNNNNNNNNNNNNNNNNNNNNNNNNNNNNNNNNNNNNNNNNNNNNNNNNNNNNNNNNNNNNNNNNNNNNNNNNNNNNNNNNNNNNNNNNNNNNNNNNNNNNNNNNNNNNNNNNNNNNNNNNNNNNNNNNNNNNNNNNNNNNNNNNNNNNNNNNNNNNNNNNNNNNNNNNNNNNNNNNNNNNNNNNNNNNNNNNNNNNNNNNNNNNNNNNNNNNNNNNNNNNNNNNNNNNNNNNNNNNNNNNNNNNNNNNNNNNNNNNNNNNNNNNNNNNNNNNNNNNNNNNNNNNNNNNNNNNNNNNNNNNNNNNNNNNNNNNNNNNNNNNNNNNNNNNNNNNNNNNNNNNNNNNNNNNNNNNNNNNNNNNNNNNNNNNNNNNNNNNNNNNNNNNNNNNNNNNNNNNNNNNNNNNNNNNNNNNNNNNNNNNNNNNNNNNNNNNNNNNNNNNNNNNNNNNNNNNNNNNNNNNNNNNNNNNNNNNNNNNNNNNNNNNNNNNNNNNNNNNNNNNNNNNNNNNNNNNNNNNNNNNNNNNNNNNNNNNNNNNNNNNNNNNNNNNNNNNNNNNNNNNNNNNNNNNNNNNNNNNNNNNNNNNNNNNNNNNNNNNNNNNNNNNNNNNNNNNNNNNNNNNNNNNNNNNNNNNNNNNNNNNNNNNNNNNNNNNNNNNNNNNNNNNNNNNNNNNNNNNNNNNNNNNNNNNNNNNNNNNNNNNNNNNNNNNNNNNNNNNNNNNNNNNNNNNNNNNNNNNNNNNNNNNNNNNNNNNNNNNNNNNNNNNNNNNNNNNNNNNNNNNNNNNNNNNNNNNNNNNNNNNNNNNNNNNNNNNNNNNNNNNNNNNNNNNNNNNNNNNNNNNNNNNNNNNNNNNNNNNNNNNNNNNNNNNNNNNNNNNNNNNNNNNNNNNNNNNNNNNNNNNNNNNNNNNNNNNNNNNNNNNNNNNNNNNNNNNNNNNNNNNNNNNNNNNACAGAGAGAGAUUCUAGUGAGCUGUAAAGAGUGAUUUAGCAAUGACAUUCAAUUGUGAAUCAGCAUCGUUCCUAGUUUCUGAAAACUGCAGCUUUGACAGGGAAAAGGACAUAAUUCUGUAAUUUAAAUAUCAAAAGAUUUCAAUCCAAUCUUACUUAUUAAUAAAUUUAUGUGAUAGUAUAAGGUCCUCUUCCAUUUUUCACACAAUGAUCACUCCUGUUGUGAUUAGUGACUGGGAAUUUUACACCAAAAUGGAUUUUCUUUUGGGUCAAAUCCAAUUUGAGAUUUUCGUUUUUCAUGUAGCCUUUUAAUCCAUUUGAGGAUGUGGGGAGAAAGAUAUUUUAGAUUCCAGUUGAAUGUCAUAUCUCAAAUUGAAAUUAAAUGAAAUUGCCUGUUUAUUCCACUAGAAAACUAGAAAAGAGCUUUGUUAAAUUUACUCACUGAGGAGAUGCACUGCGCGCUACCAAAAGAAUUGAUAAAAACAUAUGAUAAUGUUCGAUUUCAGCAAAUGAGCAUCAAAAUUUACAAUUUGCAUAAGCUUGCAAGGAUUUACUCCUAUAAACUAUAAACUAUAAACUAAGUCCCUCGAUUUCAUCUACUAGAUUCAUAGCUUCAGUUUGGACCCCAACAACUCAAGUACAUGACUUUUCUUAAAGACUCCUCCGACUGUUUUGCCUUCUCUUCCUUGACUAUAUUUGAGAUCAUUGCUGAGGAUGAAGAAGAAAGCUUCUUGGCCUGAGAGGCUGAUCUGACAUGGUUCUUGGCAUGCUGGUGCAGGGAUCUCAAGGUUUAGUUCCACCUACAGAACCCUUGGUCUUUCAAGGCCUCAACACCUCCAACAGCUGCAGCAACCAACCACGCUUUGCUUGCUGAACUCAUUUUCUCUGUUACUGUAAUAUAGAACCAACGAGUUGGAAACUCUUUGAAGUGGGAUUUGGAGAGAUUAAGAUAUCAGGAGCUAUGAUUUGAUGAAGUAAAUGGGAGUAAAGGGGUUUGAUUAUAUAGGUGAGUGUACCAAAAUUGUAGGAGAAAAACCAGAGGCUAAAGGCUUCUUCGUGGUGGUUUUGAGGGAGGAAACCAGCAAAGGCCAACGGUAUUUUUGAUGACAUGAUGCAUCAAUGAAAAAAUAAAACUUAACUAUUAAACAAUUAUGACAAAAAUGAAAAUAAAUAUAAAAAAAAAUCAAUAAAAACUUUUUUUUGAUCAACCUAAGUUAAUCCACUAACUCCAUGAUGCUGAGCACUAGAUUGUGAUAGCCCUAUGAAAAUAAAAGUGAAUAAACAAGCAUGAAAAUAAAUCUCAAAAAUUUAAAUGUUGAAGGAUGAAAUUAAAAAAAAAUUAAUUUUAAAAAAAACCUAAAAAAAUCAAAGUUAACAAAUGAUAACUUUUAAAACCCAUAACAGUAGUCAUGAGAUGAGACCGACCGCAUGGAAGGCAAACAAAAAAAACAAUGGAAUAAAAUUCUCAAUAAAAAGAUGUUUAGCAAUGGUACUAAAAAAAAUUAUAUAUAUACAUACACGAAAAAAAAUCCAAGUCAAUUUGGAUUAAUCCACUAACUCUGAGACUAUAGGUAUAGGAUUGAGAUAACCCCACAUAAAGAAAGAUGAAAAAACAAAUUAAAAAAAUUAAAUGUUAAAAGAUGAAAUUAAAAAUAAAUCAAUUUGAUAAAAGAACCUGAAAAAAUCGAAGUCAACCAGUGUUAACCUUCAAAACUGGUGACCCUAGUAAUGAAGAUGAGACUAACCCCACGAAAGACAAGAAGAAAAACAAAUAACGAGGACCAAAUUUAAUAGAAAAAUCAAUUGAAAUCAAAUGCCCAGGAAUACAAUUGAAAAAAAAUCAAUUUGUAAAAGGUUUUAAAAUAUUAAAAGAAUAAGAACUAAGUUUGAUUUGAAAAUCAAAUUAAACCAAACGAUAUUAAUGAAAUUGAAAGAAAAAUCAAUUAAAAGAAGAUAAAAUAAAUAAAAAAACAGAAAAGAGAUAUUAAUUCAAACAUAAAUUAAAAAAAUAUCAAUUAAAAUAAAAAAAGAUAACUAUAGUCUAGUGUCACAAGCGCAUUUAAAAAAAAUACAAAACACAAAUAACUUAGGUUAUAGCCCCAUUUGGAUUUAACAGUAGUGUGAUAAACAUAUAAAUUAUAUUGCAAAUAAACUCUUGCUCCUUGAAAGCUUCAUAGUAAGAUAUUCAUGUUUCAAUUGAAUCUUCAUUCAUGUCUCCAAAACUCUAUGAACAUAUAUUUUCUAAAGUAUAAGAUAUCCUUUUUCAUUAUUCUAUAACCACUUGUCUAUAAAAAAACAUCACAAAUCUUUCUUAAAGUCUUUAUGACUACCUGUCUCCAAAACAUGAUCAUUCUCUUCGAUAAGAAUUAAGAUAUCCUUUUUCAUUAUUCUAUAACCACUUGUCUAUAAAAAAACAUCACAAAUCUUUCUUAAAGUCUUUAUGACUACCUGUCUCCAAAACAUGAUCAUUCUCUUCGAUAAGAAUUAAGAAUCCUUUUUUAGUCCUUGGACUUCUCAUGUAAUGCGUCUUGAACUUGUACACUCAUUCAGAUGCCGUAUUGCGUGCUUUUACACUCUUUUUUUUUUUUUACUAAACUACCUCUAAGCAAGAUAAUUAAACUUUGUUCUUUCUGGCAAAAACUUUUAACAAAAACUAUCUACCCUUGUAAACUCUAUACAAAACAAGCAAGUUUUCUUCUUUUUUUUUAAAUUUUUUCUUUUCUUUUCAUGGCUUUCGAGCAUGUUUGUUUAAAAAACAUGAGAGGAAAAUGAUGGCAUCCAUUUUAACCAAAAACAAAAUUGUUUUUGUUGGCCCAAAUGGCAAAAAACCUUCGCCUCCUUGUUAUUGUUGGGGUCGUGAUCCAAAUUCCGAACAUCAAGCCAAUAAUCACAUGUCUAUGCAAAUCAAGUAUAUAUUUUCUAUACCAAUAGCUUUUUCUAGAUAACGUUUUGCUAACAUCAAUGAUAACACCAAAGUUUUCACCAAAUCAACUGGUUUGAAAUUCUUCACGUCCCAAGAUAUUUUUUAAGGCUAAUCCCAUAUUUAGACCCCCACACAUCUUUCUUCUAUAAUUGUUGUCUAUAAAAACCCAAUUUCUGUGUGAAUUUUUUUCACAAAUUCAUCAAUUAAUUAUUCACAAAUUCUUCGGGUUAAUUAUUUAUACAAUUCUUUUGUAAUUUAAAGGCCUCUUUCAUUUCACAUACAGUGAUCAUCACCCUGCCAUGAACACUUGUGAGUGAAAAAUAUACUAUCCUAAACUAAUUUUCUUCUGGGCCAAAUUGAAAUUGAGAAUUCCAGUUCAAGAUUUGCACUAAUUUGUCAACUUAUCAAGAUAUUUAGCUUUUGUGAUGCAACCCCUCCCCCAAUUGAGUUGCUGAUUUUUUUUUUAUUUUUUAAAACAGGAGCCAUAUCCUUUGUUAAUAUUACGUUAAGGCCAUUUUCCCAAACAAUUGCCAAUAAAAUGAGAUAUAUUUGAUUGGCAAUCAGCACAAGAAUUUACAGUUUAAAUCAACUUGCAAAAAUUUACUCUAAUCCUAUGAACUGAUUUCCUCAGAAUUUCUUUUUUCUUGAGACUAUCAGUUUGGACCCCAACAACUCAAAUACAUGACUUUUCUUAGAGACUCCUCUGACUGUUUCGCCUUCUCUUCCUUGACUUUACUUGAAAUAAUGGCAGAAGAUGAAUAAGGGAGCUUCUUAUUAGCCUGAGAAAUUGACCCGACAUGGUUCUUGGCAUGUUGGUGUAGCGAUCUCAAUGUGUAGUUCCACCUACAAAAGCCUUGGUCUUUCAAGGCCUCAACACCUCCAAUAGCAGCAGCUACCAACCAAGCUUUACUUGCUGAACUCAUUUUCUUUGUAAUAUAAAAUAGAACAAUAGUUGGAAACUCUUUGAUGUGGGAUUUUUAGUUGAAAAAGAUGAGAUGUAAUUGAGAAUUCGUGUCGAUGGUGUAAAUGGCAAACUGGGAUUUGCUUAUAAAGAGAGUAGGGGACUAGGUGCCAGAAAUUGGGAGGAAACCGGAAGCUAGGAACAAGCUGUGGCUGGUGGUUUUGGCUUAGGGGAGCCAGUGGUAUUAUUUUAGUGUGGUUAUGCUAUGAUGGGACUGAAUCUUUAUGUCCAUCAAGGACCACUUGGUGGCAUUAAAUACAUUUCUUUUUCAUGCAUCUUAUCAUGUUGCUAUAGCGGGGCCUUGUUUUGGUAAGAGGCACACGGUUUGCUUUAUAAAAAUCCGAAGUGAGCCUCAAGUAUAGGAGGCAAAUCCACUUGUUUUUCUUCAGGAGUGGGGCUCGAGUAAAGGACAGACAAUAAUUGUAGAUCCAUUGCAUGUGUCACAAAAUACCAAGUUCUCAACUCUCAAGCUCUCCUUAUCCAGACAUGUCAUCCAGCAAAAUUUUGAUGCAUAAACGACUUGAGCAGUGAGCUAAUUCAUUUUUCAGAUAUUAAAGAAAAUACUAAUUUUUUGUGUCAACUUCAACCAUUUUGCAACAUUCCAAGUUUCUUGAGAGUUCAAAAGUUCUGACAUUGAAGAAAAUAAUCCCUAUUGAUCUUUCAUUUAACAGAUAAUAUAUAUAUAUAUAUAUAUAACACUUCCAAUUGGCUCCAAAAACGGGGUAAGGUUUUAAUCCAAUAAUUAUUUCUUAAUCCAUUUAUGUCAUUAAAAAAACAGUCAAAGUUAGACCUGGAUUUCUUUUUAAUAGAUUUUCUUAACGAAAUUAGAAUUUAGAUUCUAUCUUGAGGUUGCAAUUGAUUCAAAUAUCCUUAGCAAAUGCUGUGAUGCACUAAACUUGAACCUUGUCAUGAUCCUUUCCAAAAGAAGUGGGAAAACAGAAAAAAAUAAAUGGUGCAAGGAAAAAUUAAUCAAGAAUUAAUGUAGUUUGAUUCCAUUAAGUCAGCACCAAAAUUUACAAAUAUUUACAUCUACUUGCAACAAUCAGGGUAAUCCUAUCACGAUAAUUUUCUCAAUUUCAUCUUGCUUCUUAGCUUUAGUAAGGACCCCAACAGCUCAAAUACAUGACUUUUCUUAGAGAUUCCUCAGACUGUUUUGCUUUCACUUCCUUGACUUUGUUCGAGAUCAUGGCAGAAGAUGAAGAAGAAAGCUUCUUGGCCUGAGAGGCUGAUCCGACAUGGUUCUUGGCAUGUUGGUGCAGGGAUCUCAAGGUGUAGUUCCACCUGCAGAACCCUUGGUCUUUCAAGGCCUCAACACCUCCAACAGCUGCUGCAACCAACCAAGCUUUGCUUGCUGAACUCAUUUUCUCUGUUACUGUAAUAUAGAACCAACAAGUUGGAAAACUCUUUGAAGUGGGAUUUGGAGAGACUAAGGUAUCAGGAGCUAUGAUUUGAUGAAGUAAAGGGGAGUAAAGGGGUUUGGUUAUAUAGGUGAGCGUACCAAAAUUGUAGGAGAAAAACCAGAGGCUCAAGGCUUUUUCGUGGUGGUUUUGAGCGAGGAAACCAGCGAAGGCCAACGGUAUUUUUUAUAAAACAAGUGGUCUCUAUUUCCCCUUUAAUCAUUGGAAUACAACUUAGAACAUGAAAAAAAUGGAUUUGUAGAGAUGAAAUAAGUUUCUUUUAUUAUUAUACUAGCUAGUUUGUUUCUAUUUUUUAAAAAUAUUUUUUUAAAAGUAAUAUAUAAAGUUAAAAAUAAAAUUUUUAAAAUAAUAAAAUAUUAUUUAAAUCCAUUUAUUCUAAUAUCAAACUUGUCUCUGCUCUGAGUCACACGCAUUAAACAAAUGGGGUUUGUCACUUCUCAAUCAAUGUUUUGUUUUGGGCAAGACUGUUUUUGAAGACAAUUGAAGUAAUAGUGAGGACUGUCUGUAAACAAUUGUGGUGAUCUAGAAAACUACAAUAAACUAUUUCAACAGCGCUUCGUAGAGGAUUGUAUAUUUUUUUAAUAAAAAAAAGAAUAAAUAAGUUUUUCGUCAGGUUUUUUAUAUAAAAAAUUCUCCAUCAUAUAUUAAAAUAUCUAUACAUAUAUUUAAUUAAAUUAAUUAAUAUUUAAUUAUUAAAAUUAAAAUAUUUUAUCAUACAACACAUAUUAUAUACUUAGUUAUUUUUAAUAACUUUGUUUUUUGGACUAAAAUUUUUAUUUAAUCAAAAGAUUAUUCGUGCUAGUAAACAAUAAAAGAGUUGUUAACAAAAGCAAAUAACAAUUAAAUAUGAAACUCAACUAUUAAAUAAUUAAAUAUUGAGCGACAAACUUAAAAUAAAUAUUUUUAAAAAAUCAAUAAUAAAAAAAUUGAGUCAACUUGAGUUAACCCACUAACUCCACGAUCAUGGACACCAGAUUAGGAUAGCUCCAUGAAAAGAAAAGUGAAAAAAAAAAAACACAGAUCAAUCCCAAAAUUUUAAAUAUUGAAGGAUAAAAUUGAAGAAAAAAAUCAAUUUUAAAAAAGAUUUUAAAAAAUCAAAGUUAAGAAAUGUUAACUUUUAAAACUCAUGACCGUGAUCAUGAGACUAAGACCGACUGCAUGAAAGGCAAACAAAAAAAAACAAUGAAAAAAAAUUCUCAAUAAAAAUAUGCUUACUAAGGGAACUAAAAAAAUUAUAUAUAUAUAUAUCCGAGUCAAUUUGGAUUAACACAUUAACUCUGAAACUAUAGGCAUAGGAUUGAGAUAAUUCCACAUAAAGGAAGAUGAAAAAAACCAAUUAAAAAAAUUAAAUGUUAAAUGAUGAAAUUAAAAAUAAAUCAAUUUGAUAAAAGAACAUAAAAAAUUUAAAGUUAACUAGUGUUAACUUUCGAAACUUGUGACCCUAAUAAUAAGGAUGAGACUAACCACGUAGAAGACAAGAAGAAAAAUAAAGAACGGAGACCAAAUUCAAUAGAAAAAUCAAUUGAAAUCAAAUGCCGAAGAAUGCAAUUGAAAAAAAAAUAAUUUGUAAAAGGUUUUAAAAAAUAAAAAAAAUAAGGAUCAAAUUUGAUUUGAAAAACAAAUUAAACCAAACGAUAUAAAUGAAAUCAAAGGAAAAAUUAAUUAAAAAAUAAAAUAAAUAAAAUAAAAAAUAACAGAGAAGAGAUAUUAAUUCAAACAUAAAUUAAAAAAAUAUUUUUAAAAACAUAAAUUAAAAAAAUAUUUUUACCAAAAACAAAAUUGUUUUUGUUGGCCCAAAUGGCAAUAAACCUUCGCCUCCUUGUUAUUGUUGGGGUCGUGAUCCAAAUUCCAAACAUCAAGCCAAUAAUCACAUAUCUAUGCAAAUCAAAUAUAUGUUUUCUAUACCAAUAGCUUUUUCUAGAUAACGUUUUGCUAACAUCAAUGAUAACACCAAAGUUUUCACCAAAUCAUCUGGUUUGAAAUUCUUCACGUCCCAAGAUAUUUUUUAAGGCUAAUCCCAUAUUUAGACCCCCACACAUCUUUCAUCUAUAAUUGUUGUCUAUCAAAACCCAAUUUCUGUGUGAAUUUUUUUCACAAAUUCAUCAGUUAAUUAUUCACAAAUUCUUCGGGUUAAUUAUUAUACAAUUCUUUUGUAAUUUAAAGGCCUGUUUCAUUUCACAUACAGUGAUCAUCACCCUGCCGUGAACACUUGUGAGUGAACAAAUAUACUCUCCUAAACUAAUUUUCUUCUGGGCUGGGCCAAAUUGAAAUUGAGAAUUCCAGUUCAAGAUUUGCACUAAUUUGUCAACUUAUCAAGAUAUUUAGCUUUUGUGAUGCAACCCCUCCUCCAAUUGAGUUGCUGAUUUUUUUUUUUUUUAACAGGAGCCAUAUCCUUGUUAAUGUUACGUUAAGGCCAUUUUCCCAAAAUUUUGCCAAUAAAAUGAGAUAUAUUUGAUUGGCAAUCAGCACAAGCAUUUACAGUUUAAAUCAACUUGCAAAAAUUUACUCUAAUCCUAUGAACUCAUUUCCUCAGAGUUUCUUUUUUCUUGAGAGUAUCAGUUUGGACCCCAGCAACUCAAAUACAUGACUUUUCUUAGAGACUCCUCUGACUGUUUCGCCUUCUCUUCCUUGAAUNNNNNNNNNNNNNNNNNNNNNNNNNNNNNNNNNNNNNNNNNNNNNNNNNNNNNNNNNNNNNNNNNNNNNNNNNNNNNNNNNNNNNNNNNNNNNNNNNNNNUGAGAAAUUGACCCGACAUGGUUCUUGGCAUGUUGGUGUAGCGAUCUCAAUGUGUAGUUCCACCUACAAAAGCCUUGGUCUUUCAAGGCCUCAACACCUCCAAUAGCAGCAGCUACCAACCAAGCUUUACUUGCUGAACUCAUUUUCUUUGUAAUAUAAAAUAGAACAAUAGUUGGAAACUCUUUGAUGUGGGAUUUUUAGUUGAAAAAGAUGAGAUGUAAUUGAGAAUUCGUGUCGAUGGUGUAAAUGGCAAACUGGGAUUUGCUUAUAAAGAGAGUAGGGGACUAGGUGCCAGAAAUUGGGAGGAAACCGGAAGCUAGGAACAAGCUGUGGCUGGUGGUUUUGGCUUAGGGGAGCCAGUGGUAUUAUUUUAGUGUGGUUAUGCUAUGAUGGGACUGAAUCUUUAUGUCCAUCAAGGACCACUUGGUGGCAUUAAAUACAUUUCUUUUUCAUGCAUCUUAUCAUGUUGCUAUAGCGGGGCCUUGUUUUGGUAAGAGGCACACGGUUUGCUUUAUAAAAAUCCGAAGUGAGCCUCAAGUAUAGGAGGCAAAUCCACUUGUUUUUCUUCAGGUGUGGGGCUCGAGUAAAGGACAGACAAUAAUUGUAGAUCCAUUGCAUGUGUCACAAAAUACCAAGUUCUCAGCUCCCAAGCUCUCCUUAUCCAGACAUGUCAUCGAGCAAUUUCUUACGAGCUAAUUCAUUUUUCAGAUAUUCAAGAAAAUACUAAUUUUUUCUGUCAAGUUCAACCAUUUUGCAACAUUCCAAGCUUCUUGAAAGUUCAAAAGUUCUGACAUUGAAGUAAAUAAGCCCUAUUGAUCUUCAUUUAACAGAUAAUAUAUAUAUAUAUAUAUAUAUAUAUAUAUAUAUAUAUAUAUAUAUAUAUAACUUCCAAUUGGCUCCAAAAACGGGGUAAGGUUUUAAUCCAAUAAUUAUUUCUUAACCCAUUUAUGUCAUUAAAAAACCAGUCAAAGUUAGGCCUAGCUUUUUUUUAAUAGAUUUUCUUAACCAAAUAAGAAUUUAGAUCCUAUCUUGAGAUUGCAAUUGAUUCAAAUAUCCUUAGCAAAUGCUGUGAUGCACUAAACUUGAACCUUGUCAUGACCCUUUUUCACUUGUGACACGAGGUGCUCCCAAGAGAAGGGGGAAAACAGAAAAAAUAAAUGGUGCAAGGAAAAAUUAAUCAAAAAAUAAUAUAGUUUGAUUCCAUUAAGUCAGCACCAAAAUUUACAAAUAUUUACAUCAACUUGCAACAAUCAGGGUAAUCCUAUCACGAUAAUUUUCUCAAUUUCGUCUUGCUUCUUAGCUUUAGUAAGGACCCCAACAGCUCAAAUACAUGACUUUUCUUAGAGAUUCCUCAGACUGUUUUGCUCUCACUUCCUUGACUUUAUUGGAGAUCAUGGCAGAAGAUGAAGAAGAAAGCUUCUUGGCCUGAGAGGCUGAUCCGACAUGGUUCUUGGCAUGUUGGUGCAGGGAUCUCAAGGUGUAGUUCCACCUGCAGAACCCUUGGUCUUUCAAGGCCUCAACACCUCCAACAGCUGCUGCAACCAACCAAGCUUUGCUUGCUAAACUCAUUUUCUGUGUUACUGUAAUAUAGAACCAACGAGUUGGAAACUCUUUGAAGUGGGAUUUGGAGAGAUUAAGAUAUCAGGAGCUAUGAUUUGAUGAAGUAAAGGGGAGUAAAGGGGUUUGGUUAUAUAGGUGAGUGUACCAAAAUUGUCGGAGAAAAACCAGAGGCUCAAGGCUUCUUCGUGGUGGUUUUGAGUGAGGAAACCAGCAAAGGCCAACGGUAUUUUUUAUAAAACAAGUGGUCUCUAUUUCCCGUUUAAUCACUGGAAUACAUCUUUUCCAUUAAAAAAAUGGAGAUAAAAUAAGUUUCUUUUUAUUUAUUAUACUAGCUAGUUUGUUUUUGUUUUUAAAAAUAUUUUUUAAAAAAUAAUAUAUAUUUUUAUUAUAUUACAUUAUAAAAACAUAAUACUUACUCAAUAUCAUUAUUUUAAAGAGAAAUAAGAUAGUUGUCUGCUUCACAAUAGUAAUAUUUAGUAAAUGUCACAUUUAAAAACGCAACAAAAUGAAAUUUCAAUUAUUUAAUUUAAUUAGUUAACCAGUUCAUAAAGGUCAGUGAAACCAGUUAAUCGAUUCCAAAAAUAAUAAAAAAAAUCUCAAAAUUGCUAAAAUUAGGGGGUCUUAACAAUAUUUUUUUAUAUCUAAAGAUCAAAUAGUUCGCGUAGCAACGCAACUACUACUAUACAAGAAAUGACAUUCAAAAUCUCCAAUAAAAAAUUUGAGUGCUUAAUAAAAAAUUUAUGGUCCAUUUGAGAGGUAUUCUAGUCUAACGCGAUUAGGCCUUCUCUCUAAGCCUAAACCUAUCCUUUUGUUCCAUAAAAUCAUAUAUUAAGUCAUCCAAGUAAUUUAUUUGAAUCAGAUUUCAUUUAAUUAUGACAAACCUAUACAUGACUGCUCAGAAUCAUUUGUUAUCGUAAGAUUGACUAUAUCAUUGACAUUAAAAAACAAAAGACAACUACUAUGUAAAUAAUAACCUUUUGAGAUUUUAAUUGAAGUUUAUUUUUUAGUUUACAAGUUGAACGAAAUGUAUAUUUUCACUUAAAAUAUAUUUGAAAGAAAAAAUUUAUUAAAUUAUAGUUUUUGCAUGAAACAGUCGACCGGUUCAUACAAUUAAAUUCAACCGGUCGACCAGUUGAGCCAGGCAAUUGAAGUUUCACCUAACCAUUCUUAGAAAUAACAAUAUUUAGUAAAUGUUGUAUUUCUGAAAUACGAUAAAGUAAAAGUAUAUUAUUUCACCGAAUCUUUCUCAAAUGAUAUUACACUGUUAAUAUUUUUAAAAAAUAAACUAUAAUUUUAAAAAAUAACUCUGAUAGUUUUUUUAAAAAUAACCAUUAAAAACAUAUAUAUAUAUAUAUAUAUAUAUAUAUAUAUAUAUAUAUAUAUAUAUUCACUUCAAAAAAAGUAUUUCUUGCGAUCUAAUUCAUCUUUUAGAGAUUCAAGAAUUUUUAUUUUUUUUGGGCCAGUUCAACCAUUUUGCAACAGUCCCAAGUUUCUUGAAAUUUCGUAAGUUUUGACAUCGAAGAAAAUAGUCCCUAUUCAUCUUCAUUUAUGCAAAAAAACAAAAGACAUAAAGAACUUCCUUUUGGCUCCAAAAAGGGGAUAAGUCCAAUAAUUAUUUCUUAAUUCAUUAAUGUCCUUGAAAAACCAGUAUAAGUUCUAAAUCUAAUUUUUUUUUUAAUUGAAAUUUUAUUUUUACCAAAUUGUAAUUUAGAUUCUAGUGAGAUUCUGAUUGAUGCAAAUAUCCUUGACAAAUUAACCUUGUCAUGAUCCUUUUCACUUUGCGACAUGAGGGCCUGCGACAAAAUAAAUGGUGCAAGGAAAAACUAAUCCAAAAAUAAUAUGGUUUGAUUCCAUUAAAUCAGCAACAAAAUUUACAAAUCAAUUUACAUCAACUUGCAACAAUCAGGGUAAUCCUUUCACGAUAAUUUCCUCAAUUUCAUCUUGCUUCUUAGCUUGAGUAAGGACCCCAACAGCUCAAAUACAUGACUUUUCUUAGAGAUUCCUCAGACUGUUUUGCUCUCACUUCCUUGACUUUAUUGGAGAUCAUGGCAGAAGAUGAAGAAGAAAGCUUCUUGGCCUGAGAGGCUGAUCUGACAUGGUUCUUGGCAUGUUGGUGCAGGGAUCUCAGGGUGUAGUUCCACCUGCAGAACCCUUGGUCUUUCAAGGCCUCAACACCUCCAACAGCUGCUGCAACCAACCAAGCUUUGCUUGCUGAACUCAUUUUCUGUGUUACUGUAAUAUAGAACCAACGAGUUGGAAACUCUUUGAAGUGGGAUUUGUAGAGAUUAAGAUAUCAGGAGCUAUGAUUUGAUGAAGUAAAUGGGAGUAAAGGGGUUUGGUUAUAUAGGUGAGUGUACCAAAAUUGUAGGAGAAAAACCAGAGGCUAAAGGCUUCUUCGUGGUGGUUUUGAGCGAGGAAACCAGCAAAGGCCAACGCUAUUUUUGAUGACAUGAUGCAUCUUUUGUCUAAGUAGACGACNNNNNNNNNNNNNNNNNNNNNNNNNNNNNNNNNNNNNNNNNNNNNNNNNNNNNNNNNNNNNNNNNNNNNNNNNNNNNNNNNNNNNNNNNNNNNNNNNNNNNNNNNNNNNNNNNNNNNNNNNNNNNNNNNNNNNNNNNNNNNNNNNNNNNNNNNNNNNNNNNNNNNNNNNNNNNNNNNNNNNNNNNNNNNNNNNNNNNNNNNNNNNNNNNNNNNNNNNNNNNNNNNNNNNNNNNNNNNNNNNNNNNNNNNNNNNNNNNNNNNNNNNNNNNNNNNNNNNNNNNNNNNNNNNNNNNNNNNNNNNNNNNNNNNNNNNNNNNNNNNNNNNNNNNNNNNNNNNNNNNNNNNNNNNNNNNNNNNNNNNNNNNNNNNNNNNNNNNNNNNNNNNNNNNNNNNNNNNNNNNNNNNNNNNNNNNNNNNNNNNNNNNNNNNNNNNNNNNNNNNNNNNNNNNNNNNNNNNNNNNNNNNNNNNNNNNNNNNNNNNNNNNNNNNNNNNNNNNNNNNNNNNNNNNNNNNNNNNNNNNNNNNNNNNNNNNNNNNNNNNNNNNNNNNNNNNNNNNNNNNNNNNNNNNNNNNNNNNNNNNNNNNNNNNNNNNNNNNNNNNNNNNNNNNNNNNNNNNNNNNNNNNNNNNNNNNNNNNNNNNNNNNNNNNNNNNNNNNNNNNNNNNNNNNNNNNNNNNNNNNNNNNNNNNNNNNNNNNNNNNNNNNNNNNNNNNNNNNNNNUUAGCUUUGCUAAUCUAAUCUAUCAUGCAGGGGUUAAUGGCUAUGAUCAUGCAUGAAGUUAAAAGUCAGUUGUUUUCUUCCUUCAAGAAGGUCAUAUGCAGGUAGCUUUCCACUAAUGUUAACUAUUAGCGCUUGAAUAGAAAUUUAGGGAAAAAUUGUAUUGGUCACGACCAUUUGUAUUUCUGAAAAUAAACGCUCAUAUUUUUAAUUUUUUCUUUUCAUUUGGGUUUUUAACAGAGAGAGAUUCUAGUGAGCUUGUAAGAGUGAUUUAAGAAUGAACAUUAAUUUUGAAUCAGCAUCGUUCCUAGUUUCUUGAAACUGCAGCUUUGACAUGGAAAAGGACAUAAUUCUGUAUUUUUAAAUAUCAAAAGAUUUCAAUCCAAUGUUACUUAAUAAUAAAUUUAUGUGAUAGUAUAAGGUCCUCUUCCAUUUUUCACACAAUGAUCACUCCUGUUGUGAUCAGUGACUGAGAAUUUUACACCAAAAUGGAUUUUCUUUUGGGUCAAAUCCAAUUUGAGAUUUUCGUUUUUCAUGUAGCCUUUUAAUCCAUUUGAGGAUGUGGGGAGAAAGAUAUUUUAGAUUCCAGUUGAAUGUCAUAUCUCAAAUUGAAAUUAAAUGAAAUUGCCUGUUUAUUCCACUAGAAAACUAGAAAAGAGCUUUGUUAAAUUUACUCACUGAGGAGAUGCACUGCGCGCUACCAAAAGAAUUGAUAAAAACAUAUGAUAAUGUUCGAUUUCAGCAAAUGAGCAUCAAAAUUUACAAUUUGCAUAAGCUUGCAAGGUUUUACUCCUAUAAACUAAGUCCCUCGAUUUCGUCUACUAGAUUCAUAGCUUCAGUUUGGACCCCAACAACUCAAGUACAUGACUUUUCUUAAAGACUCCUCCGACUGUUUUGCCUUCUCUUCCUUGACUAUAUUUGAGAUCAUGGCUGAGGAUGAAGAAGAAAGCUUCUUGGCCUGAGAGGCUGAUCUGACAUGGUUCUUGGCAUGGUGGUGUAGGGAUCUCAAUGUGUAGUUCCACCUACAGAACCCUUGAUCUUUCAACGCCUCAACACCUCCGAUAGCAGCGGCAACCAACCAAGCUUUACUCGCUGAACUCAUUUUUUAUGGUACUGUAAUAUAGAACCAACAAGUUUGUAGUGGGAUUUGUAGACAGUAAGAUAACACGAGCUAUGCUUUGAUGAAUCCCAUGGAAGGAUGGGGUUUGGUUAUAUAGGUGAGAAUGCCAAUAGUUUAGGAAAAAACCUGAGGCUAAAGGCUUCCUGCUGGUGGUUUUGGGUGCGGAAACCAGCAAAAGCCAAUGGUAAUUUUUUACGGUGAGAUGACUGUAUUGACAUUCAACUACCACAUGCCGACAAUAAGAAAAUGGGGACAAAAUCGGGUUCGUGGGAUGGCUAGAUUUGUUUUACUUUUGCUCUACAACAACCCAAUAGCUUCUCUGCCUGCCUUGAAGAAAUGAGCACACGGUUUUUCUUCGUAAAAUAAAUAAAUCCAAGCCAAAGUAUCAGGAGGAGCAUAGCUGAAGGGUGAGUCAUGCAUUCCACAAUUUGGUGGCACUUUCUCAUUGAAGUGCAUUUGCCACUUGUAAGGAAUGUAAGAAAGUGUGGGACUGAGGAUAAACAAAUGUCAAAUUGCAUGCUUCUCCUUUUCUUCUUUAUAUAAAAUAAAUUUGAUAGCCUCUCUCUCUCUCUCUCUCUCUCUCUCUCUCUUUUGGAAUUCAUCUUUUUCAUACUUUAUUUUACGGUAAACAUGUAUUCACAUAAAGCUUGAAUCAAUCCCUUCUCAGAAACUUACAGUAUUGAGCAAAUUACUUACAUCCAGACAUGAAGAUAUAUAAAAAUCCUACUCGCCAUCAACUUUCACAGGAAGGUUUAUAAAAGAUUUGGGAAAAGAAAAUACGUAAGCACCAAUUAGCACAUUAUUUUAUAUUUGAUGUUGUGGUACAGUCAUAUUUUUAAAUUUUUUUGUGUUAAUUUAAAAAUUAAAAAUUUUAAAAAAUAUUAUUAAAACAAUCUCUAAAAAGAAAAAUUCCAAAUUGGAAUCCUCUAUCUAUAAAAAUUAUCCAAUUAUGAUAAACAAAAUUUAUUAUUUUAAGUCAAAUUGAUCCUCAACUUUAUGAAUCAUGAUUUGUUUACCAACAUAGAUGUGCACAAUUUUCUUUUUAUAUUUGAUAUGAAAUAGUUUUUUCAGGUUAUUUUGUGUAUCAAUCUUACUUGUAUGAUUUUAGAAGCCAUAUCCUAUAAACACAUGAUACAUUAAAAAAAAUUAAACUCAGAAUGCUAACUUUUGAAUAAAAAUAAAUAAAUCAUGCACAAAUUUUAAAACGAGGGUUAAUUAGGUGAGUACAAUUUCAAGCUAACAGUGACGAAGUUGUAGAAACCACUUGCAAAAGAAUUAGCUUCCUUUUAGGUUGAGUUGGACUAAAACCUGCUUGAGAAAGUAUUGGGAUGGAUGAUAACCUUCAAAACAAGUAUUUUGAUGCAAAUGAUAGAUCCUUCAAUGCUUAAAUCAAUUUAAGUAGGAGAGAAAGAGCCUUGAAUAACCAUGUAUAUGUGUGGGUGUUAGAAUAGUAGCAAGGUUAAGGAGGAUAUGAUGGCGAAGAAGAUGAAGAAAUUAUCCCUUACUUCAAGAUUUAAGUCUGUAAAUGUCCUUUGCUCUAAAAAAUUCUGCCCACCAUUCAACGGAAGCCUCUAAAAUCCUAUCGAAGCCCUAUUAUCCAAGCGUAGAAAUGGUUAAUCGUUUACUUGAAGUGAGAAGUGGUCACACUGAUAGUCAGGUUGGAAUUUGGAAGACUACAGAUCUCCAGAAAAAUUGUUGAAAUUCCAGUUUGAAUUCUAAAUUGAAAAUGCACAUGUAUCUAAUCUUGUUGCUUGACGUUAAGCAUCAAACCAUGAUCUAUCAAGGAAAGGCUUAAUCCAUGCUCAAAAUUAAGCAGGAUGUUUGAAUGUCAUUUAGCCCAUGUCACAGAAACCAUGAAAAUUUGGUGGCAACAUCUCACAACGAAAUGAUCAAAGAACAAGGAAGAUUUUUUAGAUUGCAUGGGUCGACAUCAAUUAAAAAGCGAUAGGAAAAGAUAGGAAGAUGGUGACAACAUUUUUGUUCCACAAAAUUUUCGUGUUGCAUAUAGCAAUGAGGGCAGUCAGACUAGCUACAGUUCACAUCAGGCUUGCAUCAAUCACUAAUCAAGCCCCGCAAAUUUUCUCUCACAAACCAUAAUCAUGGCUUUGACUAUGUUCUUCUCAAUGGACCAGCUUCAGCCUGCACAAGGCAUCAGAUUCUCAUGGCAAACUUCUCAACUCAUUUAAUUUGGACCCCAACAACUCAAGUACAUGACUUUCCUCAGAGACUCCUCGGAUUGGCUUGAUUCCCUCAAUUUACUCGAAACCAUAACAAAAGAUGAAGAAGAAAGCUUCCUGGCCUGAGAGAUUGACCUCAUAUUAUUCUUGGCAUGUUUGUGUAAUGAUCUCAUGGUGUAGGUCCAUCUGCAAAAACCCUGGCCCUUCAAUGCCUCUACAGCUCCAAAUGAGCAUCAAAAUUUACAAUUUGCAUAAGCUUGUAAGGUUUUACUCCUAUAAACUAAGUCCCUCGAUUUCGUCUACUAGAUUCAUAGCUUCAGUUUGGACCCCAACAACUCAAGUACAUGACUUUUCUUAAAGACUCCUCCGACUGUUUUGCCUUCUCUUCCUUGACUAUAUGUGAGAUCAUGGCUGAGGAUGAAGAAGAAAGCUUCUUGGCCUGAGAGGCUGAUCUGACAUGGUUCUUGGCAUGGUGGUGUAGGGAUCUCAAUGUGUAGUUCCACCUACAGAACCCUUGAUCUUUCAACGCCUCAACACCUCCGAUAGCAGCGGCAACCAACCAAGCUUUACUCGCUGAACUCAUUUUUUAUGGUACUGUAAUAUAGAACCAACAAGUUUGUAGUGGGAUUUGUAGACAGUAAGAUAACACGAGCUAUGCUUUGAUGAGUCCCAUGGAAGGAUGGGGUUUGGUUAUAUAGGUGAGAAUGCCAAAAGUUUAGGAAAAAACCUGAGGCUAAAGGCUUCCUGCUGGUGGUUUUGGGUGCGGAAACCAGCAAAAGCCAAUGGUAAUUUUUUAUGGUGAGAUGACUGUAUUGACAUCCAACUACCACAUGGCGACAAUAAGAAAGUGGGGACAAAAUCGGGUUCUUGGGAUGGCUAGAUUUUUUUACUUUUGCUCGACAACAAGCCAAAAGCUUCUCUGCCUGCCUUGAAAUGAGCACACGGUUUUGCUUCGUAAAAUAAAUAAAUCCAAGCCAAAGUAUCAGGAGGAGCAUAGCUGAAGGGUGAGUCAUGCAUGCCACAAUUUGGUGGCUCUUUCUCAUUGAAGUGCAUUUGCCACUUGUAAGGAAUGAAUGUAAGAAAGUGGGACAAACUAUACAUGAGGUGAAAAAAAAUUUGGGAUUAAAAUAUUUGUUUUUUUUUAAAUUCAGUUUGAAAUCUUGUGAUUGUUUAUAUGAUGGUCACUGAAAACUUAUAUAGUCGUUAAUUUUAGGACCCGUUGGAUUAAUUGAGGUAUGUGCAAGUUGGUUCGGAAAAAAAAAAAAAAAGUGGGGGACUGAGGAUAAACAAGUGUCAAAUUGCAUGCUUCUCCUUAUCUAUAUAUUAAAUAAAGUUGAUAGCAUCUCUCUGUCGAUUUCUUGGAAUUCAUCUUUUUUCAUAUUUUAUUUUACGGUAAACAUGUAUUCACAUAAAGCUUGAAUCAAUCCCUUCUCAAGAACUUACAAAAUUGAGCAAAUUACUUACAUCCAGACAUGAAGAUUUAUAAAAAUCCUACUCGCCAUCAACUUACACAGGAAGGUUUAUAAAAGAUUUGGGAAAAGAAAAUACGUAAGCAUCAAUUAGCACAUUAUUUUAUAUUUGAUAUUUCAGCUUAGAUUGUUUAAACAAUAUAUUUAGAUUAUGUUGUGGUAGUGGUUUUUAUUAAAUAUUUUUCAAAAUAUAUUAAAAUAAUAUUUAUUUUAUUUUUAAAAAUUCAUUUUUAAAAUCAUAAAAUACAAAAAAAAAAAAAAAACGCCGGUACACGUGUUUUUUUUAAGGGAAGUACCAUCCAAGCAUAUCUAAGGCCCAUCUACACAUCCAAGUGCAUCCCUGGCCUUUCUAGUUUUCUAUUUGGGGAUCCAAUUGAGAAUUAAAUGAAAGUUGGUGGUUUGUAUAUCCAUUGCUCUAAAAAAUUCUGCCCACCAUUCAAAGUAGGCCUCUAAAAUCCUAUCGAAGCCCUAUUAUCCAUGCACAGAAAUGGUUAAUCGCUUUACUUGAAGUGAGAAGUGCUCAAACUGGUAGUCAGGUUGGAAUUUGGAAGCCAGAUCUGCAGAAAAAUUGUUGAAAUUCCAGUUUGAAUUCUAAAUUGAAAAUGCACAUGUAUCCAAUCUUGUUGCUUGACGUUAAGCAUCAAACCAUGAUCUAUCAAGGAAAGGCUUAAUCCAUGCUCAAAAUUAAGCAGGAUGUUUAAAUGUCAUUUAGCCCAUGUCACAGAAACCAUGAAAAUUUGGUGACAUUUAAGCAAUGGUGUAAUUACAAGCUGAUCAUGAGAUGGCAGUCUGCCUAGCUACAGUUCACACCAGGCUUGCAUGAAUCACUCAUCAAGUCCCACAAAUUUUCUCUCACAAACCAUAAUCAUGGCUUUGGCUUUGUUCUUCUCAAUGGACCAGCUUCAGCCUACAUAAGGCAUCAGAUUCUCAUGGCAAACUUCUCAACUCAUUUAAUUUGAACCCCAACAACUCAAGUACAUGACUUUCCUCAGAGACUCCUCGGAUUGGCUUGAUUCCCUCAAUUCACCCGAAACCAUAGCAAAAGAUGAAGACGAAAGCUUCCUGGCCUGAGAGAUUGACCUCAUAUUAUUCUUGGCAUGUUUGUGUAAUGAUCUCAUGGUGUAGGUCCAUCUGCAAAAACCCUGGUCCUUCAAUGCCUCUACAGCUCCAAUGCUAGCUCCCACAAUCCAAGCCUUUCUUGCUGUACUCAUUUUUUUUCUUUAACCCUUAAAGUUUCCCUUUUCUUUUGCAAGUAGAUGACUACAGAUUAAAGAUGAUCUUAAUGAAGCUAAUGGAUUCUAAGGGGCCUUUAUUUAUAGAGGGGAUGGUGAUAGCUGAAAGUCAGUAGUAGAAAGCCAGAAACCAUUAGCUAUAGGCUAAUGUCACUGGUUUUGGCCCCUGGUAAGGCAAAUAGCAUUAUUUUUUCUAAAAUUACUUUCUUGACCAUGCAUAACCACUUGUCAUACUAUUAUAUUAAUAAUAGAAUUACAAUCAACUCGAGGAUUUUCCCUUAAUUGUUAAAAAUUAGGUUUAUUUUCUAGAAAUUAUCAAAUUUAAAUUCUAUAAAUUUUAAAAUUAUUAGAAAUUUAUAUAGUUAUUAAUUUUAGGGCCAGUAAAAUUAAUCAAGGUAUGUGUAAAUUGAUUCGAACAUUCAUGUUAAUAAAAAAAAUAAAAGGACAAUCUUCCUAGAGGUUACCAGUUUGAGUUUCGCAAAUCUCAGGAUCAUUGAAGAUUUAUAUAGUCGUUAAUUUCAUGGCUUAUAAGAUUAGUUGAACUAUAUACAAACUGAUCCGAAUAUCUAUAUUAAAAAAUAAUAAUAAUAGAAGGAUAAGUAUGGGUUUUGGUCACAACUUGACGUGAAAAUGUGACAAGAUAAUGCAGCCACUAGACUAAAGUGAGUAAUAAUGGACACGCAGUUUUCUUGUGAAACUGCCUGGUACUCUGUCAGAUGAGGCCACCGGCAACAAAUGAUGGCACCCACUCUGGUCAUUUGUGGGUUUUGACUUCAGAGGACAAGCCGACAAGUCGUGGAGACAAACAAACUUCAAGGGUAAAAUUGCUAAAUUGUUUCUUUAGAGACUCAACUGUGAAUACAAAUGUGGGUUGGGAAUUCGUGGUAACUUAUAUGAGAUGAUUCAUAAUGUUCUAGACAAUUGUAUUAAACUCACUCUGUCUUAUCAAGUAAAUUCGGUAAUCUAUCCAUCCAGAGCUUGGUAUGAACUAUAUGAGAGUUGAAUCGGUAAAAUCGGGUUUAAUCAUUCGGGUUUAUUCUUAACUUGAUCAAAAUAAAUUUUUGAUGAGAUCUGAUUUGAUUUUUUUUGUUUAAAACAAUAUUGAUUUAAUUUUUUUCUUAAAAAAACUUGAAAAUAAGCCGUUUUAUAAUUUCCGGAUGAUAUCCAUGCAUAGGUUUUCUGUGGUCUGUCUAAGAAAGCGCGGUAAUGAGCUCAUUAAUUGCGCCAUUUUCGCGAUCUGGAGAUUUAUUAAUCGUAAUUUUGCUUGGUUUACAAAAAUUGCUUCUAUUGAAAAAAACCCUCUUGAAAAAGCACCAUGUUUUGGCUAGCUUAAGAAUCAAAUCGCCUGAUUCUUCUAUCAGGCCAAACAUUAAGGUCAUCAAGCACAGGAGUUAAACCUGACGUUUAGAGCCAACAAACACGAGUCUAAGCUACUUAAGCAGGAAUUGUCUUGGAGCCGUUCAAGGGCUCAAAGACCAGAACUCUAAAGGGAUGAUGAAGCAUCAUCAGGCAAGAGCAGCAAGACCAGAAUCCGAAAAUUCCACUCAGUUUAGAUGGGUUUCUGGUGCCAUUAAGCCCAUGAAGAUGGGUGGUGUUAGAGAGAUGCUCAGGGUAAGGGAAGCCGGAAAGGCUGAGAAUGCCAUGCAUCUCUCAUUUGUUGGGGACCUCGUUAAGAUAAUCAGUAUGUUGUGUACUCGUUCUGUAAAUUUCUCAACAUAGAUGAAUUAAUAUGUUGGUGUUUUGUAACAAUACAUAUAGCUUAUAGAAAUUACUAGCAUCAAGUGUAUUAGUCUAUUCGGGUUCAAUCGGUUCUAAGGGAUUUUAGUGGACAUCCUAUCAAGAAUUUAAAUCCUAUAGACACUGCAAGUCCAAUUUGAAAAGCAUGUGUUUUGGACUUGUUGGCCAAUCAUGACUUUAAAAGUAUAAAUCUAUGAUCCAUUUUCUAGACAAGCACUUGACUAAGUAAUAUAUCCAAACUCGAGUGAUUAAGUAUUAAAUGAAUGUAUGUAACUUACGAGAGGAGAGGUGCACCUCAACUUAUCAUAUUUUAAGUUUGUUUUUCAAAAUUUAUCAUUUUAAGUUUUACAAAUAUCAGGACCACUAAAAAUAAAAACUUAUAUGAUCAUUAACUUCAAGACCUAUAAAAUUAGUCGAAGUGUACGUAAAUAAUAUACCAAAAAUUAUUAAAAAAAAUUAAUGGAUCAAAAAUAAAAAAAAAACAUAUCCGACUAGUAUGUGAACUUAUCAAAUUUAUGAACCGGGUAACUCGAACCUAUGAAUCGGGUUAUGAAUUCCAUUGGGAUUAUAAUUUUUUUUCGAAACUAGUUUUUAUUUACUACAUGAUAAAAACAAUAUAAUCACAAAAUAAAACAUCAACCAAAUACUAAGAUGCUGUAAAAAAUUAAGAAACAAAUGAAAAUCAAAAUAUUUAAUAUCGCAACAUGAGUAAUUUACCUUGUUAUGUUUAAUGAAUUUCUCUAUCAAAAUAAACUUGUAAUAGAAAAACAAAUAAAAUUUAUAAUAGAAACCAAAAAAACACAUCAAAUUUAUUGAAUAAAAAAAUGCAAGGCUUCACACAUUAAAAAUCUUGUAAAAAAUCUAUAUUAAAAAAAUCUAUAUAAAAUGAAAAAAAAACAAUUACAGAUGAGUCAUACAUACCUCUUUAAAAACUAAACACACUUAAUAUCAUUAAAAAAUAAUUACAAACUAAUUAAAAUAAUAACUAUCAGGUUGAUGGUAGGUCAGGCUUAGCACCUGGCCCAAUCAAGCAACAGACCGCACGCGAGCCUACAAGGCUAGACCAACCAUGUGGGCCUAUAUUUUUUUAAGUUCAUCAUCUGCCCAUGCAUCAGAAAAAAAUUUGACGUGUCACCUGCAUCAGCAAAUUACACGUAUUAUGUUCAUCCCUAGAAUCUAGUAACUAUGGUAGUCGGAAAAAUUGUGUAAUUUGUUUUUUUAAUCUAAAAACCUAUCUUCAAUCCAUUUUCUACCCAAAAAUACCUAGAAAACACCGUAGAAAACUUGUUACACCAAUACAUGGUCACGAAAAACAUAAAGAACUGCCUUAAAACCCAAAAUCCACAUGAAACAAAAAAUAUUUCGAGCUCAAUCUGAUUUUUAGGUGUUUAUAAGGUAGAAAAAAUACUUAAUAUUAAUUCCCCUCAUCAUAUGGAACCAUUUAACAUAAAAAAACAACUGUUUUGAUGACCGGAUUCCUCACCAACAUACACCUUUUCUCUCCAAGCCAGAAUUUGACGACUUUCUCUCUCUUCUCCAUCUAACAAAAAACUGAAAAAUAAGUUAAAUAAAAUUUGAUAUUAAAAUUAAAUUUUAUAAAAUUUAAAGGACUAGUCACCUAAUAACUAAAAAUGAUAAGGGACUCAAAUAAAUUGUUGACAUAAAUUUUCAAUCAGCCACCUAUAUUACUAUAAAUUUUCAAUCAGCCACUUAUAUUCCUUGAUUGUCUCACUUUAGUCCAUUUCCUUUUGAUUCAACACUCUCUUUACAAAAAAAUAAUAAUAAUAAUAAUAACAUGUAGUUGAAUUUUAAUUUAAUUUCAAAAUAGCUCAAUUAUACAAAAUUUUUAAAAAUUACACUAUUAUAAUUCACAUAUACGAGAGAAACAAUGAUAUUUUUAUAAACAGUGGAUUUAGCUUUAUGUAUAAUGAUAGUAAAUAUCAGUAUGUUGCUUAACAAUGAGCCUUCUAGUAAAUUAUUGAAACACAAGAUUAUUAAUGUGUUCAUACAUGUUGUCUAAUCCUCAGAGGUACAGUGCUUCUUCUGUGUCGAUUUCUUAACCUCUCACACAUGUUCUUAGCAUGUUCCAUAUAUCAAGUGUUUUCUUUAGAUGAAAAGGCUAUUUGUGUGAUCCAUGAUAGUUUGAUGCCUUUCUUUACUAGAGAGAAUAUGUCCUUGAACUUCAAUUUUAUUUAUCUUCAAAUUGUUGAUUUCGAUUGAUGUUUUGAAUGAAUCAUAAGCAAAUCUAUCUCCAAAUCCUGUGGCCUUAAUUCCCAUCAUGAUCAAGGGAAAGCAUAUCUUAUAAUCAAUUUUCAUGGAGUCUCUAUCUUGCUUUUUUAGGUACCACCAUGCAUUAGCAAUUUUAAGAGUUUCAGGCCAUUUUCUGUGCUCAAGGAUCUGAUCAUUACUUGCCAUUUUCUCACUUUAAAGUUCCCAUGACGAUGAACAAGAAAAGAUAGGCAUAUAUGUUAAAUACAGUACAUAUUCAUGAACACUCCACUUACAUUACAGACUCUGUACAUUAACUUCGAUGCAAUACCCCAGCCUGCUCUCACGAUUUGGAUUGCAUAGCAGUUAAUUAGGACCCCAACAACUCAAAUACAUCACAGUCCGCAGCGAUUCCUCUGCCUGUUUACGCUUGUUAUCUUCACUAUUUUUAGCAGGAUUAUUGAUAUCCUUGGAACUGAAAUUACCUGAGAAACUUGUUUUCUGCUUGGAUGAAGCAGAGGUACAAGCAGCAUCAUUAAGGGGCUUGACACUUGAGUCAUUUUUAGAAGCUUUAUCUUUAACACUCUGCAUCCUUUGGAAACCUGGCUGAAAGAAUUCCUUCCCAAUGGAUCUCAAGCUCAUAAUAACUUGUUCUAAGAGAGACUAAACGCUUUCCAUUUUUACUGCUUCUGUGUGUGUAGAAAAUAGUAUUUGUUUCCGGAGUGUUAUAGGAGAGUGGAGUGAAGAGAGAUGUAAAGUCUACACCAUAAGAGUAAGAACAAAGCUGGAGUAAAGAAUCACAAGUAGCUUAUCUAGUUAUUGACUUUAGCGGGGAACUUGCAAUAUAUAGAGGAAACAACGGUAUUUUGUAAUAUUAUUUUUUUUUAGCUCUGUGAUUCCUGCUUUGAAAAAGUAAGUGUAGAAAGCAGCUAGCCAGUGACCAUGAUUAAAAUAUUAAUUCACUGAAAGAUCUUGUGACUCCACUUGGCUAUAAAUCUAUCCCCUUCCAAUUUUGUAGAUUUUAAUCUAUCUCGCAUGUCAUCAUGAUUCUUCUUGAUGUUUAAUGCUACAUGUAAUGAGAUUAAAUUUUGUCUUGUUUAAUCUUGAACUAAUUUAGGUACCAGGAAAUGUGGAGGUCCUGUUGUUUUUUAGUGUUAUUAAAUUUAGUCUUGUUUAAUCUAGUGGAUAUAUUAGAUUUUAAAUUAAAUUAAGUUAUAGUUAAUUUGAUGUGAUUAGGUCAAAACUUAAUUUAACUUUUUAAAAUGAUAUUAUUUUAAUUUAAAAAAAAAUCUGAAAAAAAAGCUAUUAUACAUUGAUUUAAUUAAUACACUUAAUUCAUUGGUUUUAAUAUUUUUUUUAUUAUUUUGUACAAAAAAAAAUGAAGGUGAUAGUCUAGUUUAAACUCUUGAUACAUAUGAUAUUGUUUGUUUUUACAGUUUAUUUAAAAAAGUUAAUUUUUUUAAUAUUUUAAAAUUAUUGUAAUGUGUUGAAAUAAAAAAAAUUUAAAAAAAUAAAAAAAAUUAUUUUAAUAUAUUUAUAAAUAAAUGUUUUUUUAAAAAGUAAUCAAUAUUACAACCACUGACGGUCUGAUAAUACACUGCGUUCAAUGACCAUAUUAUGAAAAUCUAUCACAUCAAUAUGUCAUGUCCGAAACUAUGAUUUUGUCUAUAAAUCAUAGGACAUAGAGUUGCCGGCAAUAAUAAUACCCGCAAAUCUCAUGGCCAUAGGCGAGGCCAGGAUCCUGUGUUACCGUGCAGUGUAAUUUAAUGAAACAGCCACCACAGCCACAUGAAGCUUUACCUUGAGUCUCCACCGUUUCAAUUUACAGUGAAAGAUUCUAAACCCAUCACACAGUUGCAGAAAUUGUCAACUGAUACUUCAAUUUCUCGCAUAUUAUUUAUAUGUUUGUAGCUAUAGCUAGUUUCCAUCCAUGUCUAGAGAGAGACAUGACUUGACAUGAAAUCUCCAUCUUAAGAUUUUCCCUCACUGUUACUCUUCCCUCUUUUUACCACAGAUGUCUCUCAUUUAUGUUCAGACCAUCCAUGACUUUAUUUGACGUAGAUUUUUACUCGGUAAUAUAUUAACUCGGUAAAACAAAAUUACCUUGAAGUUAAUAUGAAAAAUAAGAAUAAAAUGCUAUCAUUUUAAUAAAAACAAUAAACUUUAAUUAAUCUAAUAAUUUAUGGAUUGAUAGAUAAAUCAAUCACAUGCUUUUUUUUUUUAUUUUUAAAUCAACACAUUUAAUUAAGAAUAUUGACAUGAUAGCAUGGUUAAAAUAAUAAUCGGUAAAAUAGCAUAAUUUACACAUGUCAUGAUUGAAAAAUACAACUUUUAUAACUUGUCGCUAUUCAAAAUAAUGAUAUAUUUUAAAAAAUAUUAAAUGAGCCGGAUAAAGGAGAGAUGCAAUAAAAAUAAAGAAAAGAAAAAAAAGAUCUUGAAAAUACACCGAAAAAACUAUGAUCAUAAUACCAUAAAUAUAAUGAGAAAGAUUUUAAUAAUUCAAAUUCAAUAAUACUAAAAAAUAUUCUUCAAUAAUAGCAACUUGAAUGAACCACACUAAUCAUUAAAGUGGGUUAUUUUUGAAUGAUAAAUAUGACUCUUGGGUUGCAAUGGUAAACUUUUUUUAUAUGUUAAAUUGUUUUGGUUAAGAUUUUUUUUUAAUAAUAUUGAUAUUUUGUAAUCAAAGCUCAAGUGGGUAUUGAAUUUUUUUUCCUUUUUCUUUCUUAGUGGCUCCCUCCUAUAGAAUAUUACAAUCCUAAAUAACAUAAGUUAUAAAAAUUACGUUUUUCAAUGAUGAUAUUUAUAAAUGGUACUAUUUUGCUCGUUUGGGGCUACAUUAUUUCAACUUUUUUUUUCCGAAAAAUAUCCUCAAAACAAAAAAUAGGCCUUCUUUUCUGAAUCAAUUACCGAGUAGAGGCUCACAACUAUACAGUGUUUCUGUCUCUUCAACUGCUGUACUGGACAUUUGUUUGUCUCUUCCUUUGUAAUUAGAAAUCUGUACGGUAAGAUUGUUGCUGAAAAUGAAAAGAUAGCGAGCAUGUUACUUCCAUGGUAAUUGGAGCAGAAGGCAUAUAACCACGUGAAUCAAUGGAUAGCCUAGGCACGUUAAAAGUGACUUGGAUAAGAUCGACACGUCAUCAGGAGAAGCCAUGACUGCAAGCUACAAUUUGACUGCUUUCCCCCUUUUUGUUUUGUAAAUUUUAUUUCUUUAUUACUAUUGUUUCUUGUAUUACCCGCGGGUUAUUUUCCAUUUUUUAAAAAAACAUUAUGAAUCAACCACAAUGUUAAUUGAGUGGAGAAAAUAUUUUAAUUUAUUUAAUGCAAAAAACACUUUUAAAAAGUUCAUUACACCAAAAUACUAAACACAUAUUAAAUUACAAUCAUUUAAUUUAAAUUUAAUAUUUUAAAUUUAACGAGCAUAUCAAUCAUAUUAUUUUAAAAUCAUGGGAUCGUCUCGUUCUUUCUUACGAGUUCCUUAAUCAUAACUAGGAUGACUUGAUUCCAAGAAUUGCGAGGACAAGAUUUAAGGAAAAAUAAAUAUUUAAUGACAUGAAAAUACUACUUAAUCGUAACACAAACCACUAAUCAUCUUGACUAAAUCAAUUUCCAAUAUUUUCUUUUUUUUAAUUAAUCGUAAUUCUACCAUCAAAAUUACUUCUUAUCUCAAUUAUAUGGCGAAAUUAUUUUGCCUUUUAUCUAAAUUUCUAAAUACGACUAAAACAAUAUACAUCAAAUCAAAACAACAAGUGAGCUCACUUAAACUGGUAGAUCAGCUGAUAAUAUUCAAAUAUUUUUUUUAAAAAAAAAUAUACUUGAUUUGAAUCCUACCACUUAUAUUUCUUAACUAAAUAUAAAUAUGAGUUUGAUCAUUGUCUUCCAUGUAACUUAAGCAAGGCGCAUUUGCUUCUGUACAAACACCCAUGCAGUUCCUGCCAAGAUGCAUCCACUCAAAGAAAAUGGCAUCAAUGGAAACGAUGCAUGUACCUCUCAGUUUUGGCAUUAUGAGUGAAAAGACUCACGAGAAAAAAGGCUGCUUGUCUAACUCACAGACAGCAAUUCAAUGUUCCAUGACAUCAGCUCAACAAUGUUUAUCUCUCUCUCUCUCUCUAUGUAAGAACAAAAUACUCUCCCCGGCAUAAGGAAGCAUGGUGCCCAAGUACAGAAAAGUAGCCGAACAGAUGAAGCCUCGGAGACAAGAAAGGGCUAGAAGCCCAGAGAUAAUAGAGCGAACCCACUAGAGCUGUUCACGGACAAUACUUCGGCCGAUGUCCGGUCCAAAUUAUAGAAAAUUCUUUAGGACCCAACAACAUAGAAAUUGGAUACGUGGUAGUAGCUACUAGAUAUAUUGCCUGUGUUUCGGCUGAAUAUUAUUUUUAUGUAUAAAAGUAAUAGUAAAAAAAAAAUUCAAGUCUCAAGUAAAGUGACAAUUUAAAUAAUAAAAAAAACAAUAAUAAUAAAUAAACCAAUAAGAAAACAACAACAAAAAUAAAUCAUAUUUGAACUUAUUUGGAUUAUCAAACAACCCAAUACUACCCUAAUUGAAGGAAAGCCAUAAAAAAACAGAGUCAAAGUUCAAAAAACAAAAAAUAUUAGCUUAAUAAAAGGGGGAAAUAACCAAGCAAACCAAAACGAAACUCCUAAACAUAGUCUAAUCUAAAAAACUUGUUUCUUGUUAAAUUAUGAACUCGAGUUCAAUUAAAAAACUUAAAUGUCAUCCAAUUUAACUUUGAAUGUUGAAAUCGUUGAAAAAACUAUUAAUAAAAAAACUUGAAAAAAAAACAACAACAAAAAAAAAGAAUGAGGCUAAAAUUUGGCAAGAAAAAACCCAAUAAAAAUGAAAUUUGAGAAAAAAAUAUUGCAAACCAAAAAAAUUAUAAUUAAAAAAAUUAGGACAAAACUUGAAAGAUUAAAAAAUUAUAAGAAUAAAAUUUAAAAUUAUUUGUAAUAUGAAAAAUAAUUUAUAGAUUAAAAAAUAAUAGAAAAUGAAAUAAAAUAAAUAAAUUAUUAAGGGUUAAUCUAAUAGAAUUAAACUAAAAAAAUAAAAAAUAAAAAUUUUAAAUUAAUCAAUAUCUACUUUUAUUGAAGGAAAAAAAAAACUUUAGCUAAAUUCAGACAAAUCAUUAAAUUGAUUUAUCAAAUCAAAUCAAGUUUAAUGUACUUAUAAAUGAGAUCUUAGUUUUAAGUUUUAUCCCUAUAUAAACCCUUUAAAAUUAUAUAUUUACAUGUUGAUUUAAAUAAAUUAAAUUGAAAAAAAUAUAUAAAAAGAAUAGAAAAUCCAAAUUUCCAUCGACUAUCUUUUCUUAUUUCUACUACCCCAUCAAACCACAACCACGAAUUCUUAACAAAACGUACCAAAAUCCCAAUCACCCAUAACAACUUACGUGUCAAAACCUCACCGGUUCCCUCUAAAAAUCAAAAUAAUCCAAUUUGUUCUUACAAAAAAUAACGGAUAAUCCUCUCUUUCAAUUUCCAACCUCUCACUUUCUCUACUUUCCCCUCGAUCCAAACACACCAAAAAGAAAAAGAAAAUAAAAAUGCAAAUCAAUUUUCUCUCUUCCUUCCCUAUGACUUAAAAAAAGAGAAGAAAUAUCAAAAUUUUCCCGGAAAAUUCACUCUCAUUUUCUCUCCAUCCAACCACAAUGGCUGCCGUUACUCCAGUAUCAUUCUCUGCGAUUUCCCAAUCUUCGAGCGACAGAAGGGCUUUCUGUACAGUAGCGCGUAAUUUAGGUUUUGAAGGCUUCCGGUUUCGAUCCAGUUUUUCGUGUCAUUAUGUCGGCGUUAGAGCUUCGAAUUCGACUUCCCGUAUGGUUAUCCAUUGCAUGUCCACUUCUACUGGUAGAAGAAAAAAUCUUUGUUGAUUUUUUUAGAUAUUCGUCUUUCUUUUUUGUGUCUGGUUGUUGAGAAAGUGAGAGAAAAUAGAAAUAAAAGUCUUAGAAAGUUAGUGUAAUUAAGAGGUUUAGGGUUUUAUUAUUUAAUUUUUUUAUUAUAGAAUGAUUUUUGCGAUUCCUUUUUUUUUGUUGAACUUUGUUGAGGAAUUAGUGUGAUUUAUUUAUUUUAUGAAUAAUUACAGUGAAAAUUUCUAUUUAGAUUUUGAAAAUAACUAAUUUUGCUAUUUGCUUAAUCACAAAAUUAAUGAUGAAGUAAGCUUUAGUAUUUUUUUCUUCAAAAAUUAAUGCUUCAUUUGGAACUAUUAAUAAAGUUUUUUUUUUUUUUUUUUUUAUGGAAAGGAAUAUCAUCGAGACAGUUUGUGCGUCAGUCAUUCAAGACUAAAACUUUUAUUAUAUUUUUUUAAGUAAUAAAGCUGAAGUUUAGCAUCUGAAUUUUGCAAUGCUGGCCGGUAGUACGGUAGAAUUUGAGGUCAUAGAUUUUUUUUUUUCGUAUUCAUUAUUUUGUUUAUCGUUUUAAUCGUGUAAAGUAGUGUGUGGAUUUGUUUGAUGAAUUGGGUUAAUUUUCAGAUGUGCCACCAACGGUAGCUGAUACCAAGUUGAAUUUCUUGAAGGCUUAUAAGAGACCGAUCCCGAGUAUCUAUAACACGGUUCUGCAGGAGUUGAUAGUGCAACAACAUUUAAUGAAGUAUAAGAAGACUUUCCGUUAUGAUCCUGUGUUUGGUCUUGGUUUUGUUACUGUGUAUGAUCAACUCAUGGAAGGGUACCCGAGUGACGAGGAUCGAGAGGCCAUUUUUCAGGCUUACAUUAAGGCAUUGGAGGAGGAUCCGGAGCAAUACAGGUUUGUCUUCUGAGUUUUUCUGUCUUUUUGCAGGAAAUCUUUUUGUUAUUUCAAUUUCGUGAUUUAUAUUUAGUUUUUGUAGAGGAAUUGAUGGAAGUAGCGGUUGUUAAUGCUUUAUGACAGUUUUUCUUUACCAAGUGAAUUGCAUCUGAAUCUGACAUUUGAUAUUGCGUUGCAUGAGGAAUAAGAAAGCAUCAGUUAUCAUUGAAUAUUGGUUUUUGUUCUGUAUACCAAAAAUCAUAACAAAAAAAAAUCUGUUUAUUUAGACUGAGAGACUAUAAUAAUUGCUGGAUGUUUGGAAGAAUAAUGUUUAGGUGGUUGUCAUUGAUGGUUAUGAAGAAAAAAAGAAGAAGAAAAACCCUUCUAUUCUAUGCACAAUUUACAAGUAGUUUUCCCAAGAAAAAUGCGUUAUCAUCAUUUUUACUUUUAUAUAUAGAUCAUUUGAGUUUCUUUGACUAAGUGAAACGAAAAGGAAAUAUUUGCAACCAUAAAGAUUGAUAAAUAGUAGAAACUGAAACAUUCGAAAAGCGUAUGUAGCCAGAUGCUCAGAAAAAUUGGAGAUUCUUAGUUCUGUUAAGAUUUUCAUAUAUUAGUGGUCAACUUUUUCUCCCUUUUUCCUUCAUUACCAUGCAUAACAAAAAAUUGAAAGAAUACAAUUGUUACUCCAUAUUUCUGCAAAAUUUGAACGGCGCAAUUAUUUUCAUUGGCGCUUGAUAGUUUCAUUGAACAGGUUCUAAAAAUGCCCUUUCUAUUUGACUUUAAUCACCAUUUGGGUUGAUUAAUUCUGUAUGUUAUGGCCUGCAGAAUAGAUGCAAAAAAGCUUGAAGAAUGGGCUCGGGCUCAGACUCCUAGUUCAUUAGUUGACUUUUCAUCCAGGGAAGGAGAAAUUGAGGGGACAUUAAAGGACAUUGCAGAAAGAGUUGCGAGUGGGAAUUUCAGCUACAGCCGUUUCUUUGCUGUUGGGUUAUUUCGCCUUCUUGAGCUGUCAAAUGCUAGUGAACCGACAGUAUUAGAAAAGGUAGGUUGUUGAAUUCCUUCUCUAUUGCAAUCUAUGUAAUGUAAAGAGUGCCUUACAAAGUUUUAAAAUCUUUUUUUCUAGUGAUUUUCAUUGUUUUGAAUGUGUUUUAGUUCAUCAAAUCCAGAAAAUUUUCUGUUCCUAAUAACCUGGUCCAUUUUACCCUCAAAUCCAAGACCAAGGAUUUUCCUCUAGAGUAUCUAGUUGUGGCAAGAACUUUGGAGAAGAUGGAUAUAUCUGAGAUUGCUAACUUAAGGUUAUUUUUUCCUUCCACGAGCUCAAGAACUCCAUACGCUUCCUUAGUGCAUAGAUACAACAACCAUGACAUCUCACUUAUGAAAGUGGAAGAAUACCUAUUUCUUCACAGGAGAUCUUCAAUCCUGUUCCAAUUCUCUUGGCAGAUGGACAAUUGUAUCCAAAAUUCAUAUCCUUCCAUCACUUGUCCAUUGGUAGCUUUUUUCUUCUUAUUUUUUUUAAUUGAAGAUUCAGUUCCUUGAACAAGAUAUGAUGUAUGCAGGAUUUCUAAUUCAAAGAGACCUCAAUGAAUUUUAAGUGUUUAAGAUUUCUAAUUUGGCUAACUUCAAGACCUCAAUGAUUACUUUAUGUAUCAAAGAUUUUUGCUCGAUAGUUUGACAUUUCUCUUUAAUUUUCAUGCAAAAGCUUUGUUCAGCACUAAACAUCAAUAAAAGAAGUGUGGAUCGGGACCUUGAUGUAUACCGGGGCCUUCUUUCUAAAUUGGUUCAAGCAAGAGAGUUGCUGAAGGAGUAUGUAGAUAGGUAAAGAUCUAUCUCCCGGAUAGAUUUUGGCGUUCUGCUUUUGUUUUUUUUGUCUGUUCCAUCACGCGUGUGAUGUAUUUUUCUAAAAUGAUUUUGAAUUUCAGGGAAAAGAAGAAACAAGAGGAACGUGCAGAAUCACAGAAGGCUAGUGAGACUGUAACAAAAUGUUUGGGAGAGCCUCAAUUUGUAGGACAGUAGUUCAAUCAGCACAGCAGCUCUCACCUCACAGAUCAAAUUAUAUGAGGCUCCACUAUCGUCACUCCUCUCUCUUUUAAGGUACACUUGAAAGACUUCACUGUUUCAGCAAACCAUAUGACAUCUUAUGGAUUUGCAUUCUUAAGUCUGCUGUUUUGGAUUUGGUGAUCAAGAUACGUUUCCCCUUUGUUUCCCAUGUUUAUAUACUUGUUUCUUCUAUUUCAAACAAUUUUAUUUUUUAUUUUUUGUACCACAAAUGUUUCCUGCUAUUAAAUACUCCGUUGCAAAUAUAUCUGUGUGCAUCACCAUAUUGUCUUUGGAUUGCUGUUCAUCUAUUAAACUUCCCUUUUGCAUUAAAAGGGGGAAAAAUCCACCAUUUCUUGGAGAUUGAUGCCAUCAUCAACUGUUUGAGUAAUGUUACAAGAACAAAUUAUUCAAAAUUUUUAUUUAAACACAUAUAGCUUAUUAUUUUAGAGACUCACCAAAGAUGGUAUGGGAUAUUAAUUUGUUCCACUGGUGAUUAAAACACAAUACAGGAACAAAACGAUAACUAUGCAUUAGUCUGAACUGCAUCUGUUAGCUGCCAGUAGGCACCCUCUUAAAAUGAGAGUUAUCUGGAAAUAAGAUGUACUGAUUGUGAAUCAUUUUCCAAGUUUGAUUUGCUAAAAUGUUUUCAAGGUACUGCAAUGGAAAGUAAACUCUUACUGUUAUUAUUUAUUAAUCGGUGAAAGAUUUUUUGGUUGCAAUUACAAAUUUGCACAUACAAUUGGAACUCAAUUCACGGGUUAAUUUGAAAUCGGAAAAUCAGAUAAACUUUGGUUUGAUUCUUAACAAGCCGGCCGAGAAUUGACCUAAUUAGAUGAGACUGAAUUAAACGUGAUGAGAUACAAGAUGAACAUGGAAUCAUGACCCAAUUUUAACUGUAAUUGCCUAAUUGGGAUGUUGAUUCAAAGUAUCAGCUGCAGCAAAUAGUCUCCGCUCCACUCCAAUGUACAAAAACUUUCUCAUUAAUAACUUUGUCCUUUCUGUCAAUUAUGAUGAUUUAGAGGGUGUUUAGGAUUGAUAGUCCUAGAUUUCAACCUGUAUGGGAGCGGUUUAUCAUGUAUUUUAGAAAAAAAUAAAUUUUUAUAAUUUUAAAUUAUUUUUUAAAUAUAUUUUUAUUGUAUUAAUAUAUUGAUAUGAAAGAUAAAUUUUUUAAAAAUAUUAUUUUAAAAUAUUUUCAAAUAAUAAAAAGCAAUAUGUUCUUUCCUUCCAAACAUUUCUUAUGAGUUGAAACGCAACCUUUAUGGCCACAAUCUUGAUCAAAAUCCAUAAAGGAAAAACAUAAAAAUUUUAAAUUUUAUUCAAACCACACCAUUUAAAAAACAAGAUGGUGGGAUUUGAAUUGGGAUUUGUGGGUAAACCGUAAAAAUUGAAUCGAUGCAUCAGUCCUCUCAUUAAAAUAGUAUUUUAAACAAAAAGGACAUCAAUCAUUACUGGCGGCUAGUAUGAGCAACCAUUUCAGAGACAAAAUAAUGAGAUCAAAUGAAUUAAAGAGUAUCAAAUUUGAAUGCAAUUCCAAUUUGUCUACCAAUUUAAGUUUUAUAUUUUAUUUUAAAGUGAAAACAUUGGAAGUGAUGAUCACUCAAAUCCAUGAGAAUCCUACCAAACCAUGAUAAUACUGCUGGCCAAAAGUCACGAUAGUUAGUUCACACAUGAUCAUAUUUAUUGCAUCAAGCAUGUUGUCCUAUAUAUCUAAAUUUUGUUUUUCUUACUUACAUUCUUUUUUUUUUUCGCUUCCGUCUACCUUACUAUCCAUCAUAAUAUUUUUUUUUAAUCUUAUUGUAUUGUUUUAAAUCUGAUUAUAAGAGAAGAAACAUAUUUUAUUAUUUAAUAAUAUGUAUUUUCUUUAUAUGUUCUUUAACUUAUAAAUAUUUAAAAAAAAAACUAAAAGAGACUAGUGUUUCACGAUAUAGAGUAGACUCAUUGCACUAUAGAUUGAAACAAUACAAUGAUGAUUUUUUCCUUCACAGCAAAAACCAAUGAAUUGGGAUUUGUGGAAAAAAUAGUCUUUUCACGAUAUUCAUUUGUCAUUAUAAAUUGAUCGAAGUUAAAAUGAUCACUUCACAUUUUUAAUGCAUAAUAAAAUGAUUAACUUAUCCUUAAAAACAAAAUUUAUUUAACUUGGAUUUAUGGGCUUUUUUAGAUAUUUAUUUUUUAAAGUAUUGCAAAAUGACUAAAUUAAUAAUCACCUUGACUUAGAGGCAAUUUGAUAUUUUAAUAAAUAUAAAAUAUUAUUUAAAAGACAAAACACAUUGACACGUGCAAUGCAUGCACCAUUAUGUAGGGGAUGUCUAGUGGCAAGACCGUGGCUUCCAAGGCAGUGUUAGAAUAGUCUCAACGGCGCUUCCAUCCCUAGGCAGUGCGUAUGGGCAACGAACCUCCAGUUUGGUGCUAGUGCUCUUUUCAUAGUUUUUUUUUUAUGUUUUUCUUCUUGAUUUCUAUGCCUGACCUUUAAAAUUUUCAAAAUAAUUUAUUUAUUUUCAUAUUUGGUUCAUGUUCUUUUAAUUACUAUUUGUUUUAUUUGAAAUAAUUAAUAAAAUUGAUUUUUUUUUAAUAUCACCCCCUUUUAAUUUUUUUUCAUUUGUCAAAUUUGAUCCUAAUUUUUUUAUUGCAAUUUGAUUUAAUUGAGAUAACUUUUAAAAUUGAUUUUUUUUUAUGAUUUCACCUUCCUUCAGUUUCGUUUUCCUAUUAGAUUUGAUUUUCAUGCUUUUGAUUACUAUUUUUUUAUUUUGUCAAAUUUUUAAAUUGUUUUCUUUUUCAAUUUCAUCCUUCAACAUUAAAUUGGUUGGAAAUCAAGCUUCUUGGUUAAGUCUGCGUCUAAGAUUUCACUGGUUACGAGUUUGGGAGAUUAACCCAGGUUUAGAAGUUUCGCCCAGGUUUGCUUGUUUUAUUUUUCCCUUUUUUUAAGCUCGUGUUUUUUUUAGUUUUAUCAUUCAACAUUUAUUUAAUAGAGAUUGUACUCUAUUAUUUUUUAUAAAUUUUCUUUCUCUAGGAUUUUUAACUAAUUUUAAAAAUAACCCGAGUUAUCUUGAGUCAUUUUAUUUCUUGUUUUUUUGUUAAAUUUAGAUUUUUCACAAGAAAUUUUCAUUUUAAAUUAAAUUAAAUUUAUUAAUUAAAUAUAAGAAUUAAAUGUUCAUUUCAUGAUAUUUUAUUUAAUUUGCUUUCCUAGUUGUUGAUUUGACAGUGAGUACGAUGUCUUUUGGUAUCAUCGUGCAACCUUUCGUGGUGACAUUUGAACCAUUUCAGUGAACUCUUCCUAAUGCUAAGAUAGUGUUCACGAUAAUGAUUCUCCAACUAGAUUUUCUUUGUUCUUCUUCAAAAUAUGAUAUUGAUAAUUUAUUUUUUAUAGUUAAUUAUUAUCUUCUUUUCACUUUAUUUAUUGUCGAUAUUUUUUUUAAUCAUACUAUUAUAUUAACUGAGAUUAUUAACUCAAUCAAGUCAAUGAUCCUAUCUUGAAUUUUUCUUGCUUCUAUAAAAACAUUAAUGAUGCCUAAAUAUAAUUUUUUAUAUUAUAAAAAAUUUUACCCCAUCCAUGAGAUAAUGUGAAUCAACUAUCUAUUAUAUAUACAUAGCAACACCAAAUCAACUUUUUUGCAAGUUUUUUCAAAGGAGUUCACGAGGAAUUCAUUUUUUUCAUUGGGCUUCAUCCCGGGAUUAUAAAUUUGGGAUCAUACCACGAUGAUCAACUUAGAGACAAGGUUAUGGUCACAUCUACGAGAGGCCAAACCCACAUUGAGAGGCUGAAAGAUCUGGUCUCCAUUCAAUGCGUGAAAAAUUAUCCAGGGCAAGUGCAUGUAUCGACAUUUUUGGAAGCAUGUGCCUUUAAUUAUAUGGGUUCCUUUUAUCAAGUCACAAGAAAGUGUGGCAAGUCAUUUAUUUGAUAAUGGCAAGAUUAAUAACUAAGUUUCUGUGGCAGAUUGUAGACACCGUCUUGAAGUUAAAAUACAGGCAAGAAAUCAAACCUCGAUUUAUGCUAUGCACCAGAAAAGAAGAGUGAGUUCCUAGGAGAAAAUGGGAUCAUCAUGGCAGCUAAAGCAAUUGGUAAGAAGGUCAAGGAAUUGGCAGAGAAAUGGUUAUCAAAUUGGAAAGAAUAUCUGAACAAGGCAGGCUAGAAAUCAAACCUCGAUUGCCAUUCUUGAUUAAUCUUAAAAAUUAAAUUUUGAUCAAAAUUCAUAAAGAAAAAACAGAAUAAUUUUAAAUUUUAUGUUAAGAAAAUGAAUUGAUGCAUUAGUCCUCUCAUUAAAAUAAUUUCUUAAACAAAAGGGAAAACAAUUAUUAAGAUCUCAUGUCUAACCAUAUCAAACACCAAAACAAGAGACAAUAUAAUUUGAUCAAAUGAAUUUAAGAGUUUCCAAUUCCAGUACAAAUAUGAUGCAAAAGGAUACUAAGAUUUGUUACAAUUUUUAAAUAAAAAUAAUACCAUAAUUAUAAAUAAGACUCUAGAAAUAUUUAAUUUUAUGCAUUGUAUCCUUGCGAAAAUACUAUUACAUCUCUUUAUAUAUAUAAAAAAAAAAACUAGAAAGCACUAAUAAUAUUGAAUAAAAAAAGAAGUAAAACUAUUCCUUUAAAGUAGAAUAAAACUAGAAAAACAUAAUAAAAAAAUAAUAAAUAAUAAAAUUAACAAAAAAUUUUUUUAUUUUUUUCAAAAAGCAUUUGCAUCUGUCUCCUCGAAUCGAAAAAAACAAAUCCUCAAGUUUAGAUUUUAGUCAGGAACCAUCCCCCACCACAAACAACUUCUUAUGUGUAGACCACCACACCAUAGGUUCCUAACACCUUUGCAUGAGCUUUCCUAUUAUGGAUUUCUGGCACAAUACUUUUUUGUGUAUCGCUUUAUCCUAGAUCGUUAACACACCAUUUUUAUGCGGGCCACCACAUCAAGAAUCUCAUCACCAUGAUUUCCAAUAACAACAACUACUGUUAACAAAAACAACACAUUAGCUCCUAAAUUUAUUUUUCUUGAAGGAGAUCUUCUCAUUCAUUUAUUCAUCAUCACACGACAACCAACCAUUAGAAAUUGUUAGACUUCGAUACCAAAUGAUGUGUAUAAAAACAACAUAAUAAACAACACAAAAUUUUGCCUAAUAUUAAGGUCAUUGUAUAAAAAUUCAAAUUUAAAAUUUUAUUACUAAAUAUUUCUUUUCAAGUGGUCCCUAAAAUACAAGCCAAAUAAAAAUAUUAUACUAGUUCUAGUUUUACCUUAAUGAGGAAAAAAAAAUACUAAUAAAUAACUAUAGAGUUAUUAUAGGAUUCCCUAAAUAGAAAAAAAAAUUUAUUAAGCAUAAUAUUUAAUUCUCUAAACUAAUAGAAAAAAACAAAAAAAAAAUUUCCUAAAAUUUAAACAGUCUCCUCGUGUUGGAAAGAACUCAUCAUCUAGUUCAAUGUAUUCUUUCCUUGAUCUCUUGGAUGUCCAAUUGAAGUUCUCCAACCCUUUUUUUUCUUUACUUUAUGUGUAUAACAAUUUUAAAUAUCAACUCCAGUUUUUUAUAUAAAAAUUGCAUUAUAAAAAAAAUUGGCAAAUUAUUUCUCUUCCAUUGGAUUUUAAAAUAAUGAAAUGUAAACAUCAAACUUACUUCAUCAACAUGUAUUCUAUUCAUAUAACCCUUGAACAAUUAUACAUUUCUGAUAAUCUUAAGCUUGUAGUCAAAAUAAUCAGCAUAAUCCAAAUUAACUUUUUUUUAUUAAGCAUAUUUCAUAUUCUCUCAGUACUCAACAUUUAACUUAUUAAUAAGGUUACUAUUAAUGAUAUCAUUAUUGCUAUUAUUGUCAUUAUUUAUACUAUUAUUAUUAGAAUAAUUAUCAUCAAAAUAAACAUCAUAAAUUGGUGUAAAAUAUCAAUCAACAUCUAUCUCGUCAUAAAUGAGAUCUUCAUCAUGAUAAUGAGGUUGUCUUUUCUACUCUCGUCUUUUAAAUGGAUUUUCAAAGUUGGUCAUGAAUAUGUGAUCAUUGUCCUCAUGAUUUUCCAGGGUUCUCACCUCCACCAAUUGACAAAUCAAUUAUAUAAUAUGUCUCCAAUUGUUUUCUAUUACUAAUUCCUAAACAUCUCUUUUCCAAGUGUAAUCUCCUCAUCCCUCAUCACAUGAUCACGUUAUAUUAUAUGAUCUCUUAGUCAUAGUUAUUCAACAACUAAUCAACAAUAAUUAUUGGAUUUUGAUACCAACUAAUGCAAAUAGAAGCGAAAAAUAAUGAAAUUUGUUACAAGUCAAAACUCUCAAAGAUAAAAAAUACCAUAAUUAUAGAUAAACUCUCAAAAUACUUAAUUUUAUUUAUUCAUAUUGUCUCACUUAUCAAAAUGCUAUUUUAACCUUUUAUAUAGAGAAAACUAAAAACAAACCCUAGUAAUAUUGAAUAUGAAAAAUAAAAUAGAAAAACUAUUCUCUUUUCUUCAAGUAGAAAAAAAAAACUAGAAAAAGGUAAUAAUAAAAAAUAAAAAUAAAAAAACUUCUUAAUAAAAAUAUUUAUUUUCUAAAGCAACUCAUGCAUAAAAUUUCAAUUUGUCUACCUUAUUAAAUUUUUUAUUUUAGUUUUCAAGUAAUUACCACAUUAUGAGGGAUGAUCAUAGCUCGAAUACUUGAUAACCUACCAAACCAUGAAUCGUUGAACUGUUGGCCAGAAAACACGAUAGUUGGUCCACGCAUAGGAAUGAUUAUUUGCAUGAAACAUCUUAGUUUAUUUUAUUCUAAGAUAAUAGAUAUGUGCGUUAUUAUAACCUCUUUAACUUAUAAAUAUAUAUAACAAUAUACCAAAUCAGCUUUGCAACUCAAACUCACCAUGACGAAUUCAAUUAUACAAAUGAAUUUCUCCUCAUCAAUACCUUAUCUCUUUCCCCUCUUCACAACUAUGAGGGCUACUGUUUUGCCUUAACAGUGUUACUAAUGGAGGGAUCAUAUUAAGCAAAUUAGUAUGUUAGAGGGACUCAAUCAACUCUUAAAUUAUCACAGGGACUUGAACAACUAACUGGUUAUAUUACAAGGAUGGCACUGAUUAUUAACCCAAUUUCACUCUUAUAUAUAGUAACUCCCUCAUCGUGUUAUCUUACAAGCGUCAUCUUCACAAAAUAUGGCUCAAUCUCAUUCUGUAAAAGUCAUCGAUCGUGUCCAAGUCUCGCCACCACCAGGCUCAGUACCCACCACCUCUCUCCCUCUCACUUUCUUCGACUUUCCAUGGCAUCUUUGCCCUCCCAUGGAACGCCUUUUCUUCUAUGAACUUCCUUACCCUACUCUUUACUUCAUGCACAAAAUCUUGCCUAGCCUUAAAAACUCUCUUUCCCUUGCUCUUCAACACUUUUUCCCUCUUGCCUCCAAUCUUAUGUGCCCACUAUCACCUCAUAAACCCUAUAUCCUCUUCAAUGAUGGGGACUCAAUCCCAUUCACAAUUGUUGAGUCAACGAUGGAUUUUGACCAAAUAAUCGGAGACCAGGCUGGAGAUGUGACAGGACUGCACGCUUUUGUCCCUAAGUGGCCUCCCACACGCGUGACAUCAGAUGGCAAACGUGUGGUGCCACUUCUUGCCUUGCAAGUAGUUGUGUUUCCAAAUUCAGGUAUUUGCAUUGGUACCAAAUUUUGCCAUGUGGUAGCUGAUGGGAUGGCUUUUAACCAUUUCAUGAAAUCUUGGGCGUCCAUUUUUAGGUCCAGAAAAAACAUGGCUUGCCUUGAAAAGUCAAUGCUGCCGUCUCAUGACAGGUCGGGGAUCAAAGACCCAUUCGAGCUUGAUUCCAUUUUUUCAAAGGAGUGGUGGAGUUGGGCUUCAUCUCGGGAUUAUAAUUUGGCAUCAAACCACGAUGAUCAACUUAGAGACAAGGUUAGGGUCACGUUUACGAUAGGCCAAACCCACAUUGAGAGGCUGAAAGAUCUGGUCUCCAUUCAAUGCUUGAAAAACUAUCAAGGGCAAGUGCAUGUAUCAACGUUUGUGGUAGCAUGUGCCUUUAUAUGGGUUAAUAUGAUCAAGUCACAAGAGAAGGAGGCAAGUGAUUUAUUUGAUAAUGACAAGGUUUACUACUUCGUUUUUGUGGCAGAUUGUAGACACCGUCUUGAAGUUAAACUACCAGCAACAUAUUUUGGAAACUGUCUAGCAAUAUGUUAUGUUCCUGCAAAAAAGAGUGAGUUACUUGGAGAAAAUGGGAUCAUCAUGGCAGCUAGAGCAAUUGGUAAGAAGGUCAAGGAAUUGGAGAGUGGGGUUUUGGUGGGCGCAGAGAAAUGGAUAUCAAACUGGAAAGAAGUGUCUGAACAAGGCAGGCUAGUUACUGUUGCUGGGUCACCUAAGUUGCGUGCUUACGAGACAGAUUUUGGGUGGGGGAGGCCGAAAAAGACUGAGGUUCUCCAUAUAUAUGCUUCAGGUGGUUUCCAUCUUUGUGAAUGUAGAGAUGGGGGAGGUGGGCUUGAGAUUGGCUUGGCACUUCCUCAGGGUCAAAUGGAUGUCUUCUGUGGCAUCUUUGAACAAGGUAAGCGGAAUCUGGUUUGAGUGUGGCUUGUUGUCUACUUAAGAAAUUCGCAAUACACGGUACUUUAUGUUAAGGAAAUAAAGAGCAAAGCCAAGAAACGAAUAAAUUUAUAUUUGUUUACCACUUGUUCUUAAUAUAUAUAUAUAUAUAUAUAUAUAUAUAUAUAUAUAUAUAUAUAUAUAUAUAUAUAUAUAUAUAUAUAUAUUUUUUGUUAAAGUAAAUCAUAAGAUAUUAUUUAACUGUUUAAAUUAUUAAAUUAAAAUAAUUCUUUAACAUAAAAUUAAAGCCUUAAAAUCAAGUGGUCACAAGACCUUGUGUAUUCUAUAUAAUUCAAUACAAAGCUAUGCAUUAUGCAAGGCAGUUUUUCAAAUAUUUAAUUUUCUUUUCAAUGCUCACCAAAUAGGUAAUGAUCUCCUUAAAUCUCUUGCAUUUUAUUUCUUUGGACAUGUGAAGGACCGAAUAGCUUAACGUUGAAUAAUGUUUUCUGGCUUAAUUUUGGUUAAAUUUUUUGCAAGACGAUAUAUACCAUAAACAGAUGAAAAUAAACCAAAACGAUAAGAGGGACUAGACAAAGACCGUACCAUGUAUGAUCUGAAACAUAAAUUUCUUCGUUUGCUCUGUACGUCCAUGGUGCUUGUCUUCAGAAUUCUUAUUUACUUUGGUUGUAUUGGGUAGAAGAGAGUUGCCCAUUUAAUAUUGAGCAAAGGUGGCAAAUAAAUAGUAUCUUGUAUAGACAAAAGAUGCUUUCCUCGGAGAGAAGAGAUGUAUUGUGUCCUUUUUUUUUUUUUUUAAUGUGGUGUCCGAUCCGGGUUAGUGCACCUUAACUAAUUUCACAGGUUUUGAAGUUAACGACCAUCUAAGUUUUCAGUAGUUCUGAGAUUUGUGUGACUCAAAAUGGUAAUCUUCGGAGAACAAACUCAGAACCUGAUCAAUUGAGUUACGCCUUUCAAAAUUAUUAAUGUAUUGUAUCUUUAAAUAUACGCUAGGUGUGGGUUUAGAGAGACAAAAAAAAAAUAGUUCUUAGAGCAAUAAAACCUUGCUUUCUAGGCCAAUUUAUAGAAGCGGAUUUAAUUUUAUAUGAAUAAUGAAGGUCAUGAACUUAUUUAAAUAUUUGGAGUUCAGCUUAAUUUGAAAGAAAUUUUAAAAAAUAAAAAGCUUAUAAUUUCCACAACUCAAUCUUUCUUGAAGUUUUCUUCUUUUCUUUUAUUCAAAGCAGAAAUUACAGAACGUUUUCAGCUGUGUGCACGUACAGCCAGGAAAUUCAAAGCAAUUCAAAUCCAUUCUUGCACGGAGAAAUUUCCUUGAUCAUCUCAUUCAUCAAAACUUUAUAAUUUUUUCCGUGCUCUUUAUAAUUAUUUUUUUGGACGCAUAGAAAAUUCAGAAGAUUGCUAAGCUUGUUAGGAUAAUUUGGACCAAAGAAUGGAAAGAACGAAUUGCUGCUGCGGGCUGUGGAAAGUUUGUGUUUGAUAUUAUAAUUCAGAAAACUUUUUGAAAAUAUUUUUUAUUUAAAAUGUAUUAAAAUAAAUUUUUUAAUGUUUUUACUUGAAGGCAUUAAAAAUAUUAAAAAUAAAAAUCAGAAAAUAAUUAAUAAGCCAUCAAACUACUAUUAGUCAUCAACAGUUGAAUAAAUGAACCUUGUCAUGGGAUGAAAUAAUUAACUAAUGAUAAUGUAUUGAAAUGAAGCUAAAGGACAUCUGUUAAGCAACUAUGAGGGCUCCUGUUUUUCCUUGACGGUUUUAACAAUGGAGGGACUAUAUUAAGCAAAUUAGUAUAGUAUAGGGACUCAAUCAACUAUGAAAUUAGUAGAGCGACUAGAUUGUAAGAGGCUAUGUUAGAAGGAUGUCACUCCAUCGUCAGUAUCUCAUCUCUUUCCUCUUCGCAAACAAUGGCUCAUUCUCAUCCUGUAAAACUCAUUGAUCAUUUCCGAGUCUCUCCACCACUAGGCUCAGCACCCACCACCUCUCUACCUCUCACUUUCUUCGACUUUCCAUGGCUUCUUUGCCGUCCCAUGGAACGCCUUUUCUUCUAUGAAUUCCCUUACCCUACUCUUUACUUGACGAACAACAUCCUUCCUAUUCUUAAAAACUCUCUUUCCCUUACUCUUCAACACUUUUUCCCUCUUGCCUCCAAUCUUAUGUGCCCACCAUCACCCCAUAAACCCUAUAUCCUCUUCAAAGAUGGUGACUCGAUCCCGUUCACUGUUGUUGAGUCAAUGCUGGAUUUUGACCAAGUCAUCGGAGACCAUGCCAGAGUCGAUCUUAGAGAACUGCAAUGUUUUGUCCCCAAGUGGCCUCCCACACGUGUGACAUCAGAUGACACACGUGUAGUGCCACUUCUUGCCUUGCAAGUAGCUGUGUUUCCGAAUUCAGGUAUCUGCAUCGGUGCCAAAUUUUGCCACGUGGUAGCUGAUGGGAUGGCUUUUAGCCAUUUCAUGAAAUCCUGGGCGUCCAUUUUUAGGUCCAGAGAAGACAGCGCUUGCCUUGAAAAGUCAAUACCGCCGUCUCAUGACAGGUCAGGGAUCAAAGACCCAUUCGAGCUUGAGUCAAUUUUUACAAAGGACUGGUGGAAUUGGGCUUCAUCUUGGGAUUACGAUUUGGGAUCAACCCCUGAUGAUCAACUUAGAGACAAGGUUGGCGUCACAUUUACGAUAGGCCAAACCCACAUUGAGAGGCUGAAAGAUCUGGUGUCCAUUCAAUGCAUGGAAAAUUAUCCAGGGCAAGUGCAUGUAUCAACAUUUGUGGUAGCAUGUGCCUUUACAUGGGUUAAUUUGAUCAAGUCACAAGAGAAGGAGGCAAGUGAUUUACUUGAUAAUGACAAGGUUUACUACUUCGUUUUUGUGGCAGAUUGUAGACACCGUCCUGAAGUUAAACUACCAGCAACAUAUUUUGGAAACUGUCUAGCAAUAUGUUAUGUUCCUGCAAAGAAGAUUGAGUUACUUGGAGAAAAUGGGAUCAUCAUGGCAGCUAGAGAAAUUGGUAAGAAGGUCAAGGAAUUGGAGAGUGGGGUUUUUGUGGGGGCUGAGAAAUGGAUAUCAAAGUGGAAAGAAGUGUCUGAACAAGGCAGGCUGGUUACUGUUGCUGGGUCACCUAAGUUGCGUGCUUACGAGACAGAUUUUGGGUGGGGGAGGCCGAAAAAGACUGAGGUUCCCCAUAUUUAUGCUUCAGGCAGUUUCCAUCUUUGUGAAUGUAGAGAUGGGGGAGGAGGAGUUGAGAUUGGCUUGGCGCUUCCUCAGGGUCAAAUGGAUGUCUUCUCUGGCAUCUUUGAACAAGGUAAGCAGAAUCUGAUUUGAGAAUGGCUUGUUGUCUCUCCUUGUGAAAUUCGCAAUGCACGGUGCUUUAUGCUAAGAAACUAAAGAGCGAAAACAAGAAAUGAAUAAAUUUAUUUUUGUUGACCUCGUGUGUGUGUUCGUCUCUUUAUAUGGGUUAUUGGUCACUGGCUUGUUGCAGUUGAGAUUAAUUAGCAUAUCUUUUAAUAUUAUUUUUAAUCAUAAACUUAAAAUGUGGUGUGUGUGUGUGUGUGUGGUGCUAAUAAAAUAUAUUGAUUUUAACCUAUUAAAAAAAAAAUAAAAAAAUUAUCCGAGUUUAAGUUAAAUUACUAAUUUAACUUAAUUUUUAAUAAAUUCAAUAUUAAAAAAUAAAAUAAAAAAAAUUAAUUAAAAAAAAUAACAAAAAAAUAAUUUGAAUAAACCUGAGUUAAUUUGUUAAAUCCUCAAUUUAGAUAAUAAGAUCAUGAUAAUUUAUAAAAUAAUAAAUAAAAAAUUUAUAAAACAUCAUUUUAACAAAUCUAAUGUUGAACAUUGAGUUUGAGAGAGAGAAUUUUUUUUUAUAAAACUAGUAUAUAAACCAGCAAAAAAAAUUGAUAAAAAUUAUAUAGCAUAAUUUUAAAAAAAAUUUAUUGUUGAAUGAUGAAAUUAAAUAAAAAAAAUACAAAAUACUAUUUCAAUUAAUAAUAUAAAUAUAUUUAUGGUGUGGCUACUAUCUUUUAAUAUUUUUAUUAAAUAUAUGAUCAUGUGUGUUGUCAUUGGAAACUUUUAGUUAAUAUUAUUAAACUUAAUCAAGUCCAGUGAAUUAUCAUGGUGACUUGUCAACUUGUUCGAGCUUCUAACCAAACUUUGUGAGAGCUGAUUAAGGGUCAAAAGACAUGGUGAGUGAACUUUAAAAGCGAUUGAGUUAGUAAAAAAUUUAUUUGAAUUUUUUUAAAAAAAUAUUAUUUUAAAAACAAUAUUAAUUUAAUAUUUUUAUUUAAAAAUAUUAAAACAACAAUGAUUUUUAUUAACUUGGUCGAACCAGGCAAAACUGCCGAACCGAACUUGGCUGUGUCAUUACUUGUUUCUAGGCAUGACAAUAUGUUUUCUCUCCUCGGUGGGUUUGAUUGGGCUGCACUUAGGACUAAUUAUUCCAUUUUGUCUAUUUCUUUUCUCUUCCCUUCUUCUCUCCCGGGUAAUGCCUUCAGUAGGCUCAUUUAAGAUGAAAUUCGUAAUUGAAUUCAAGAGUUAAUGGAGAAUCAGGGACCAAAUUAAAAGAGAAGGGCUUGAUUGGGGUGAAAUUCAGGAUUGAAUUGAAGAGUUAGUAGAGAAUUUAGGACCAAAUUGAAAGAAAAUGAAAAACAAAUCUAGCGUGUGUACCACACGCACCAACAUUUGAGGAAGCAUGUCGCAUUGGAUAGGCACGUGCAGCUUCUUUCAAGCACCGAUGAAAGCACUUUUUGAUGUUGUUAGAAUUAUCUGAAAAAAGGUUUCCUUUAAAGGUGGUGUUGAAGACGAUGUACUAUUGGUGUGUCUUUCCAUUACCUAUUUAUUUUUCUUUUCUUUUCUUGCCUUGAUUUAUGUGCUUGAAUUCGAAAAGAAAUGUAUUUGUUUCCUUAAUUUUAAUUUAGGCCUUUUAUUUUCAAUGAUUUGUAAAAUAAAAAAUCCAAAUUAUUUUUCACAAAAUCAAGCGUAAAUUCAACAUCAAGAUGUUCUUCCAACAUUAUGAGACCCAUAAUAAGCUAAUUGAAUCAAACUGUAAAGUUAACAUUAUGAGCUAAGUUGUGGUUUUUUUUUUCUUUUGGUUUUUUAUCAUUUGAAUAUAUUUUUUAAUUUUAUUGGGUUUUUAUUAAAGUUUUUUUUUUAAUUUUUUUUUUCAAUUCUAUCCUUCAACAUUUAGUUGAUUUUUAAUUAGUUUUCAUUUUGUUUCAAUUUAUUUUCUAUAAAAUUAUCAUGGUCUCAAAUAAACAUCCCGACAUUAGAUUUGUGUCUAAGCAUUUAUUUUUAUUAUCAUAUAAUUAAGUAAAAAAAUAAAAAAAAAUAUUAAAUUCAGUGAAAUCCAUGACCCAUGUCGCAACUUUGUUGGGUAAAAUAUGAUCCAUGAGUCGAUCUAAUAUAUCAUUAUCUUGAUAUUUUUUUAAGAAAAAAAUAUUAUAUUGAAUUUUUUUUAAAGCUAAACUAUAUUUUUACUGAUUUAUCAUAUAUUUUUUUGGACUCGCCGAAUUGAAUGAAUCAUGUCAAAAUAAUUUCUAUACAAUUUAACUUAAAGCACGAGUUAGAUAAAAAAAUCAUCUCAAUACAUAUCAAUAUUAACAUGUUAGGUCGAGUCUAAUGAAAUUAUUAGAGAAUUUCCUAUAACUGGAAUAUUUUUAUCCAUUAAAAAAGUUUAGUCCAACGAUCCAGGGGGGCUAGUUUUCUAAGGGCAAGGAAAACAAUUGUUAACAAAGUUAAGGAAUUGAAAGAGUAUGGUUGUUUUUUUUUUUUAGGGGGGGGGGGGGGGGGUGAUGUCAAAUUGGAAGAGAUUGGGAUUAAAAAAAUAAUAAUGAAAAAAUGAACAUAAAAUAAAGAAUAAUUUCAAAUAUAAGGAUAGAUUGAGAGAAAUCAAAUAUGUUAAGACACAUUGAAAGGUUAACAUAAAAUAUAUAAAACAAUUGAGCUAAUUAUCCUGAAUGCAUUUGUUAUAAAGAUUAACAUAAACUAUAUAAACAAAACUAAAUAUUUGUUAAAGCUUGAUUUUACCUUGGUUUUUUUAUUUUAUUUUGUUGAAUAAAGUUUAUGGGUCUCAAAUCUCAAUUAGCUUUAGUUUAUCCUGAUUGGGUUAUCAUCAGAUUAUAUGUAAUUUAAAACUAUUAUGUUAAAGUGGGCUCCCAUAAAUAAAAAUGGCUCCACAGAACCCAUUCAUUAGGCUCAAACUGAAACCAACACGGGCUAACCUGGGUGCUUGAGUGUUGAAAGAUCUGCUGGUAAAUUGGACUUGAUCUAUGUAGUAAUACGAGGCCCAUGUUAUUUUAAUUGUUUCUCUCUUGCCUAAAAUCAUCUGCCUCACUCAGCAAAACUCAUGGAACGCACAAGACCUCUUUUAUCCUUUAAAAAAAGAAAACUUCACCCAUAUUCCAUGCAGAACAGACAUGCCCAGAAGUUCUAUUACAUCACCAUAUCAACAUCCAUUUUGGUGGCCAGAAACACAAAUGGAUCGUCCAUCACCCCCACCAAAAAAAUCAUCUACGUGUGAUUUUGAUAUUCACGAGACAAAUCUCUGCCACAAGCCUAGACCACGUGCCCUAGCUCAUGUUCUUAUAACCCAACAACGGACAGGAUCAAAAACAAGUUUAUCUUCUUAGAUCAUGCCAUAAAUUCUUUAUACAUUAGAGAAUUUAGAGCUGAAAAUUCUGUUGAUGUACACAAUAGUUUCUAUCAACUACGUAGUAUAAAAUAUGUGCAUGAAGUACAUAGAAUAAUAGUGUCUCAUACUUUGCAAACCUCUAUUUUUUAUAUGCAUGCAUGUGAACAGAUAAAAUUUAAAUGAUGCCUUAAGAAGAUGAAACGCAAGUACAAAAACCCACCAAUAUUCAAAGUUUGUUGGAGCUCUUGGCUGUCUCUCCAACAAGAAUUUAACAACAUAUGUAUAUCUACCAUAUACUUAAUCUUGACAUCAUAUAUUUUUACGAAGUCAACUUUGAGAUGUGUAAUAUGAACAUGGACAUAUAGAGCAAGCCAUGCACAAGCAAACCCUAGAUUCUUGACAAGUAAUUACUUCAACCAGUAUAUGUUAUGUAAGCAUAUCUAUUAAAAUUAUAAGCAAAGCAUUAUAAAAGAAACUAUGGUGAUGAACUGUUUCAGGAACUUUCCACGACAAGGUCAUAGAAUGAUAUCACCACCCACUUAAAUGGUAAAUGAACGAACGAUCACAAUAUAUAUAUAUAUAUAUAUAUCUUGCAAUCUUUCGAAAUUAAUUGAGUUAAUGUCAUGCAGACAGCAAACAGGGGGACAAGAGGCUAAAUAAGAAUUUUCUGUUAGGACUAAAUAAUUAAGAUCAUGGUUUGUAUAAUUAAUUUCUUUCAAUAUAUUGUAUUAGCUGCUAAGCACACAUGUAUAACAUUCCUAAUACGAUGUUAUCUCUACUAAUAAUCGCUAAUGACAUGGCUUGGGAACUCACUUGAUUUUACAUUUUCUUUUUAAUUGUAAGAUUCAUCAUGCUUUUAGACCUUGAAUAUAAAUAAUUGAAGAUUACUAUUUUCAACAUAAUUCUCCCUAAAUAUCCAUACUAAUUAAACUAAUUUGUUGCUAAUAAGUUGUAACUCAACUUGUAUAAUUAGUAGUCUUCCUGUUUUAAAAGGGUUUGAAUUCUAAUAUUAUGUUUAUAAUCUAAAAAUAAUAAUAAUAAAGUAAAGAACUAACUAAACUAACUUGUUCUUCAAGAUCAAAUGGAUUGAAGGCCUUUCCAAGGAGUAAAAAUACAAGGAAAGUGGGUAAAGGAAGCAAGGUUUCUGGGAACAAUAAUACUGACCUAGGGCAAACCAAAGCUAGAUGUAAUAUAAUAAUAUUUGACCAUUGCCUCUGAUUGUUAGCUAGAGGGUGGAUGAAAUUAACACCAGAUUUUCAAUGACUUUGAUGAAUUUGCUUCCAGAGAUAAAGCAACCAUGUAAUCUUUAGACUGCCUUGAGACAAUUGUCAAAGUGAGAGACCUACAGGCUCAUAGAGAAGAGAAGGUUGACUUUAUUGUGGGAGUUAGAAAGGAGACCUGUAACAUUAUGCUACGUGGCUGGAUUCUGGUGGCCAGAUUAGAUUGUUUCCCGCUUGGAGAAUUUUAGGCCUCUUAUUCAAACACACCUGUAAAGGACAGUGGUAAAGCAGGAAACAACAUGUUAAAAUAUUAUCUCGAGGAGAAGGAGCUCAUGAGGCUUUGAUAAAUUAGAAAGGUGGUAAUAUAUAUUCCUAUAUAUAUCUAUGUAAUAUAUUAUUAUUAAUGGUACGUGUUGAUGGAUGGCAGGGGCAUGGAAAAUUAGUAUUCAAUACAUAAAUAUAUAUUGUCAAAAACUUUUAUAUUUUAGCAAAAAAUUAUUUCAUUUGAAAAAACUUAGAUUAUUAAAUAUAAUUUAUAUUAUUAAAUGAAGAGUUAAAGUUCUAUAUUCGAUGGGUUUAUUUUUCUUUUGCCAAAAGAGGAUUGUGCUGAAAUGCUGAUAGCAGCUAACGUAGGAAGGCCUCUGUUAAUUAAUGGGCAAAUGAUUUUCAAAUAAUGAUAGAAACCAGCAAUGCAACAGUGGAAAGUUUUCUUCAAUCAUGUCUAUCUACUCUACCUUCCAACUAUUCUCACUUUGGACUUGUACAAAAAUAAAGUCAACCUCUUAGCACUAUUAUCAUUUUUCUCUAUGAUCCAAUUUCAAUUAAUUCACCUUUUUUCGUAGGCAUUCACACCAUCAACAAUUUGAUCUGUUCAUAGCUAAUUAAAGAGCCUGUUUUGGUAACAUAUAUAUCCUUCACGCUUUCAGAGCUUUUUUUUUUACACAAAAAAAUAGCAUAAAAUCCAAAAUUAACACAAAAUCCAAUGAAAUCAAUGAAAAAUAUCAAACUUGUUCAAACAACAUAUUCAAAAUCUAAUUUGAGGGUUUUUCUAGAGGAGGGAUGGUGUAUGCAUGGCAACCUCACUAUAGAAUUGGACCUAUCGCGGGGCGCGGGGCAUUGAGUGAUGGCAAAUCUGUCUCCUGAGAGGUGUGGAAAGGAAAAAGGAUUUUGGGAUAAUCAUGAAAUUAUAAUUAUUAGUUCAGGAGUCGCCACCUAGUAUUAUGAUUAGUAGGAAACCUAUAGUUUGUGAGAGUCUGAGUAAGGGACUAGUUGUGCAAGAAAAAAACACAUAACCCCUAGUGCAUCCUACCUAAGGUAAGUUGCAUUGUUAUUUGAUCGUUAUUCUAAGUCGCAAUUAUAUCCAUUGGUCUUAUUUAAGGUUUAAGGCGGAUCUCCUUUCGUAAGGAAGUCUCUACCUUAUCAAGCUAAAUUCUAACCGUUCUUAGGUCUAAAUUUUAGCAUCGUAUUUAUUUCUUUGUAUUUUUAAUACCUGAUGGUAUGCUUUACAGUGUAGUUUUACAGUACCAGACGACGCGUCAUCUGAUUUGUUAUUUUUUUACUUUUUGGGUAAAAAACAACAUUAUUUUGGUCAAAACGCACCGUUUUAUUUAAAUGAAAUAACAUCGUUUUGGCUUUUAAGGUUUUAAUGUAGGGAUUUGAACAAAGUUCAAUUUGAUCCUCUAGCUUUUAAUUUCUUUACAUUGCACCCCUAAUUGACCAUAAAUUUUUAAUUUUAUGCAAUUUUAUCCCUGCCGAACUUCAAUAUCAGCCUCGAAUUCUAGUACCUUUUUCAUCUUAAUCAUUGGUCUUGGAUUUAUACAGAUUAACCUUCAAUUCACAAUUAAACUUUUAAUUUUCUUUAAUUUCACCCUUGAUUUCAAUCAAUUAGGUCCUCGGAGUUCGAUGCCUUUUACAGAAAGGUCCUUGGUUGUGAUUUUCUUCAAUUUAACCCUAAACUUUUGAUUUUCUUCCAAUUUUACCAUUGAUUUGAAUCAAUUGACUUGGUAAAAAUGAAAUCCGGUCUCCUAAAAUUCCAAUCUUCUUAAUUAAACCUAAAUUGGGUUCCCAAACUUAAUUUUUCAUCAAUUAUGCCUAUAGUAAAAUUAAUUUCAAAAUACCAAUCUUUUUGCUAUUAUUAUUUUUUAUUUAAAAAGAAAAAUGGUAAAAUUUUGGGGAAUAACUCAAAAAUAGAUUAUGAUUGGACCCUUAGAAUCAUUUAAAAAACAAUGAGUCCAAUCUAACAGUCGAAUUGAAAGUUAUAGUUUUUUAAUGUCAAAUUAUUGGUAUGGUACAACUAAACCUCGUCUUUAGCUUAGCUCUGUCUAUGAAUGUGUUUAUUAAGCUAUUUAUAGCCUAUUUGUUUUUGUGUUUCAAAAGUGUUUUUGAAAAAAUAUAAUUUUUUUUUAAUUUUUUUCUUUACUUUAAAUUAAUAUUGUUUUUGUGUUUUCAAAUCAUUUUGAUGCGUUGAUGUUAAAAAUAAUUUUUUAAAAAUAUAUAAAAAAAAUUAUUUUGAUGAAUUUUCAAGUGAAAAACACUUUAAAAAACAACCAUAAUCACACUUUCAAACACCGAGUUACAUGAUUUGUUGAUGACAGAACCCGUUGAGGAUUUCUAUCUAACUAUUCAAUACCUUCAAUUUCUUUCUUCCCAUCUACCUCAAAAUCUCACUUUUAUCAUAAAUCGUCUUUAAAUAAGAACACAUUCAUGAGAAAAAUCCAUAAUUACUCUUCCACAAUGGAUCAUUUUUCACUUGUUGGGUUUUAAUCACCAUAUCCAUAAAGUAAUACAGUCUCUCUCCUUUAACUCGAAUGUUGCUUACGUUGUACAAUUUUUCUGCCAUGGCACGUGUCAUCGUGUAUAAUUACAAGAUUAUUGUAUACACAUUAUACACAUGUAUUAUUGUAUUAUUAACAUAGAGCAGAGAGAUACGUGGCCUGAGGCCGGUACCAAAUCUUUUUGACUUGAAAUCUCUCUCCCCUUCAUAGCUGUCCACUAUUUGUAUAUAUAUGAAGGGUCAUCUUCUCCUCAUCAGCCACAGCUACACUUUCUGUUUCAAGAGCCAGCCCCCUUUCUCUCCCUUUAACAACCCUGUCCCCUUCCUUAUAAUUAAGCCAUAAACACAAGUACUACGGCAAAGAAAAGGAACAUAGUAUCAGUAACAAUGGGAAGAGUACCUUGCUGUGACAAAAAUGGACUCAAGAAAGGUCCUUGGACCCCAGAAGAAGAUCACAAGCUCAUCAGUUUUAUUCAACUUCACGGACCUGGCAACUGGCGGUCCCUCCCCAAAAAUGCAGGUAUAUGUUAGAAAAUAUUUUGUUUUCUUGAAUCAAAGAAAAUAACUAUUUUCCAUCUUAAUAUGAUGAUGAUGAUGGAUUUUUUUUACUUAUAACAUAGCUAAUUUAAUUCACUUUUUACAGGGCUUCAAAGAUGUGGAAAGAGCUGUCGCCUUCGUUGGACAAAUUACCUGAGACCUGAUAUCAAGAGAGGAAGAUUUUCAUUUGAAGAAGAAGAGACUAUAAUUCAACUUCACAGUGUUUUGGGAAACAAGUAAUUUUAUGUACCUUUUAAUUAUUUUGAUUUUUCUUGGUUUUUUUUCUUUUUGAUAGCUUGUAGGAGUAGUGUACCUAUGAAUAAUAAUAUUGUUGUUGUCAAGAUAUUCAUAAUUUAAUUUGAAUAUUACGCUAACAACUCUUGUUUUUUUCAAUGUAAGGUGGUCAGCUAUAGCAGCUCGUUUGCCAGGAAGAACUGACAAUGAAAUCAAGAAUUACUGGAAUACUCAUAUAAGAAAAAGGUUGCUUAGAAAUGGAAUUGAUCCUGUGACUCAUGCCCCACGUCUUGAUCUUCUUGACCUAUCCUCCAUUAUAAGUUCAGCUUUGUGCAACCCAUCAACACUUCUCAAUCUGUCAACCUUGGUGGGCAACACUCAAGCCCUACUAAAUCCUAAUAUUUUAAGACUAGCCACCACUCUAUCAUCAUUGAAACAAGAAAAUUCGGACAUGUUUUUGCAGAAACUACAAGAAAACCAGCUUUUCAACCCACUGUUACAAAACCAAGAUGUCCCUUCAUUAUUUUCACAACCUAGGCAGUUUCAUAAUCUAGCUCAACAAGUUCCUGCUUGUACUACUGCUACUACAUCUACUGGCGGGUUUAUAGACCAAACAACACAAGUCAUGCAAGCAAAUGUAGAAGGGUUUUCGUCGAAUCCGACGAGCACUUUCAACUGCCAAAAUUCCCCAGAAAACUUCGUGCCUUCAAGUUUGAAUGAGAGUUUGGUUUCACUGCCAAACUUUUAUUGCAAUGGUACUACUACAGAUCCUACAGUUCCUGAACCUGGAGAGCACUCAGGAUUCCAAUCAGCAAACAAUGGAUAUCAGAACUUCAGCAUCGACUCAGUUAUAUCAACGCCUUUAAUGAGCCCGGAUCCAUUGAACUCAUCAUCAACUUAUCUCAACAGCAGCAGUACUGAGGAUGAGAGGGAGUGCUACAGCAGCUUGUUGAAGUUUGAAAUUCCUGAGAGUUUGAACAUUGAUGAUUUCCUGUAAAUAUAUAUUAUGGCCUAAAAUAUGAUAGAUAAUGUAAGGCUAGAGUGAGGUUUUUUGCUGUUUUUCAUCUUUGAUUUUUGUUUUGAAUUCUCAGUAUUUAUGUUCAUAUAUGCACAUAUAUGAAAUUUGUUAUAUUUUUUUUCUUUUAAUUUCUUGAGUCAUGUACAUGAAUUUCUCGUAAUCUAUAGAUUUGUUUUGCCUCACUAAAGAAAUAUAAACCAUCGUUCUUUAACCAGAAGAGCUCGUGAUAUUGGAGUGGUAGCUAGGCACUUGGAAAUAUUCCUUAAUUUGCAAGACAACUUGGAUUUAAGUCAACCCACUUAGCAGAUAAUUAAUCUAUAGACGAGGUACUAUAAGCAACCUAGGGCCGCCUCUAGUGACGUGACCAAGAUCUGAUCUCUUAUGUAAUGUUGAAAUCCGCUAAUAAUUUUUAUUAUGGAUCUCAUGAUAUUUAAGUGAGAAAUAGAGAAUACAAAGUCGGAUAUAUCUAUAUAUGAUAUAUUUAAAAAUAAAAAAAAUAUGAAAUUACGAUCAUGUUUGUUAUUUUUAUUUUUUUAAAAGAAAAACAUAGCAGAUAAUUUUAUUUUAUUUUUUUGUUUCAAUCAUUUUUAAAACAUAAAGUGAAAGAGAAUUGAAAAUGAUACCAAGCAAUCUUUUGAUCUAACCGGACCUGCAGUUUUCAGCAUUGUGUGUAAUUGAGUUACAUUCCUACCGAUGUAAUCCUGGCCACCGGCUUUUAAGUUACGUGGUGUAAUUUCUUUCUUUCAUUUUGUACUUUUUAUUCUUAUAUAUAUAUAUAUAUAUAUGGUCUAAUUUCUUGAUUUUUUUUUAUAUCUGAAUUAGAUUUGUAUAAUGUGCAUCUAAGUAUAAAUUAGUUGGGAAUGAAUUUUUUAAAAAAAUAUUUUUCUAACGAGAACAUGUAGUCUUCGAGCAACUAAAAUUACUUGAAAACUAAUUUAAAUAAUUCAAGUAAAAUUUUAAACGUGUUUUAAAAUAACUUUUUAAAUUAAUUAAGUUUACAAAAUUGAUUUCUAUUUAAUUUAUUUUAAAAUUCAGUUCUCUAACAUAGUAAAUUAUGUUAAAUAUGAAAAUCAGGUGGCUGUUUCAAUUAAUUUCCAAAAUGAAUUCGUCACUUGAUACGCAAUCAAGAUUUGAUCAAUUUCUUAAUGUGGUUGUUAUGAUAAGUAUAUCUACCAUCACCACUCAAGUGGAAAUUGAUGCUGAAAAUACCAAAUACAUGUAUGGAUUAAGAAGCAAGGAACUUUCCUUUGAAUUUCUUCUCUUUGGAUAUACAAUAUCAUACUCAUUUCCUUGUCAGUCCACUUCUUCUUUUUCUCCCUUGACCGCCCACGAAAAAAAUAGUUUCGUAAAGCACUCUCUCUUCCGACCAGAACUGGAUCAAAUUACGUGCUCCCAAAGAGUUAUUACAACCUCCAAAUUACAGCACAAAAAAGUGCAUUCUUUUCUUCCCAUGUAUAUAUUACUCUAAUUUUUAUUAAAACAUCAAAAUAAUUUGCUGAGAAACAAAAACAAAAACGCAGCAGGAUUGAGAAAAUUUGUGUAAAUUAAGGGAUUAGAAUUCUUGAUAGAGAUGCUAAUGUUUGUUUGUGUGUGUUUUAUAGCUUUCAAGGGAACGUUUUGAUAUCAGAAUCUACAGAAGAGUUUUCAAUGCUGAUGAAUUAGUGUCAUAAUAUUGAAUCAAUUUUUCUUCUUUUGCAAGGAGAAAAAGAAGAUUAGGAGUUCUGCUAAACAUAGGAGUUUGUGAUUAUGUGAUCUUCAGCAAUGCUUUUUUUUUCCUGCAAUCUUCAAGCUUCAUUGACAUGGAGGAAGCUUCAAAUAAAAUCUGUCUUCUUUUUUCCUCGAUUCUUUGUGGCGGCCAUAGGAGAUAAGGGCAUGAGUAAUCAUUGCUUCAACAAUAUUGUGAACAGUUCAGCUAUAUUUAUUGCUGCAAUAAUUUCAAACACAACGUUGGUCUUCCACUAAAAGUCUAAAAGGGGGGUAGCAGGAACCAGCAAGCCACCUGGUUCUUCCAUCAUGUGCUUUGAGUAAGAAGCCUUCAAGAAUCACACAAAGCAUGACAUAAUUAUUGUCCUAAAAUUAAAAAAAAAAUUAUCAUUUUUAGCAAUUUAUACAAGCUAUUUAUAUAGUGAUUUGCUGCUUCUUUUUUCCUCCACUGUCGAAGUAUACCUUCAAUUAUUUGAUAGUACGCCUACAUUUUCAUAGCUCAGCCCGUUAAUUAUACAAAAAAUGGUAAUGAUUACUAAGUCAAUUAUUUUUAUUAAAGUGAUAACAUUUUAUUUAUUUAUUUAUUUUAUUAGUAUUAACCCGAUCUAGUUUGCACAUGCUUAGUAUAAAUUAUAGUUGUAAUUACUUUGUGAAGGUUUACCGUAAAUUAUAGUUAUAAUUAUUUUAAUAAUUCCCCAUAAUUAUAAAUUUAGCAGUAUAGCAGAGUCCAAUAUAGAUGGGCCUUGGUCCAUCCCAGUAAAUUUACUAAUAGAAAGUUAGCCCAAACUUUAAUACAACCUCCCCCAAAAUCUAAAGCCCCAACUCAGUUUGGGCUAUUCUAUACGCUUACACUAUAAAACUAAGUGUUUCGGCGACGGUUUGAUUUCGUCUCCAUAGCACAGAUUUUUUAUGCCGCCGAAAGCUUUGGCGACGGAGAAACCAAUCUAGUCGCCAAUGUUUCUGUUGGUCCUCUUCUGCUUCUCUCUCCCCAGCUUGGUGUAUUUAAAAAUGUAGUAAUAAUUGUUUUUUAAAGUAUUUUUUAUUUAGAAAUAUAUUAAAAUAAUAUAUUUUAUUUUUUGAAAAUUAUUUUUAACACCAACACAUCUAAACGAUCUAAAAAUACUAAAAAAAUUAAUUUAAAGUAAAGAAAAAAAUAAAAAAAUUAAUUUAUUUCAAAAAUAUUUUUGAAAUACAAAAACAAAUAGUAACGCUCUUUCAAUUUUUAGCUAAGAUUGUUAGCAAUGGAUACGAUAUGAGGCAAUGGAUAUUGGAUACGAUUUGAGGGAGAGUUGAUUUUGUUUUUUAUUUUGACUGAUUUAUUUUAAUGAAUAGCAGAAUAUUUUACCAAAUUGGUAACGAUAAACAUGGAUUGGAAUUCAAAGAAAUAUGUUAAUUUCAAGGUUGAGUGGAAAUGGAAUUCUCACUAAACUGGUUAUUAAAAACAAAGUUGUAACUAUAUAUCUUUAGAUUGUUUUAUGGUGACUGGAUUAAUAUCUUAAAAUGCAUCCUACGUUGAUCAAAUUUGUAGUAAAACUUCAUGUUAGUUUAGCUAUAUAUAUGAAUUUUAAGCUAUACAAAUAUUUAACUAUUGUUCAUCGAAGUUGAUGAUGUAGUCGGAUUAGAAGAGUAUGAAAGCUCUAAACAGUUAGAUGGAGAUCUAUAACCAAUGAAUCAUACAGAAAACCUAAUAAAUUUAUUUAUAGGCUAAUAAGACAGAUUAGCUAAUAAAAAAAAAAGGGCAUGUUCGUGCUAAACCAAUAGUUAAUUUGCUUUGUUAGCACUUGUUUCUUUCUUGUUCAGCUAAUUAUGCCGUCAUAAAGCAGCCAGAGUUUAGAACGAAACUCAUAUUUGAAUUAUUAAGUGAUUGUGAUUUGCCAACUGCUAAAGCAAACACCAUCAUCAUGCAUAAUCUAAUGUUAUGUUGAUAGUGCUGCUCCCAUAUACGAUGAUCUUUCAUUCUUGAUUAUUUUAGUGAAUAAACAAUACACUAUAAUGCUACUUAAGGGGGCAAGUAAUCCUCAGAUUGAUAAGCCACUUGAGAUCAAUUAAAAAUAUUGAAUUAACCUAAAAGGUGCCAUUGUCAACAACCUUUUCGUUCACCUUCUGGUGUGAUUUUCAAGGCGCCAUAGUUUUUUAUACUUUCUUUCUGUCGAAAAUGGGGGUGGUUGAUGUUUGUGCCUCGGCAGCUGCUUUUGUGUGUGGAGAGUUGAGAGAAAUGGCGAAGUCUAUAUUGCAAUCUUUCUCACCUACCACUUUCUUUUGUAUGGAACUUGAAAUUCUAAUUUUGCUUUUUGGAUUAUUGAAUUAGAAACUGUGGAAGAUAUACAAGCAUAGAACUUUAAUCCUGACAGUGCUGCAGAAAAACUUGGAUUCCAAAACGAGCUCAAGGAGAAAAUGUUGGUCUCAAAACCGAGUCCAUCAACAGGGGGGCGGAGGAGGAGGAGAAAUAAAAUUGAGAAGAAAACGAAGCAAGGCCAAGUAGGAGAAGGGAAAAACCUUGGGCUCAGAAUCGAGCACAAGAAAGACAAGUUGAGCUCUAAAUUGAUCAUCUCAUGUUCUGAACAUUUCUUCAUGGCACACCAAAUGAUUUUAGGCAUGUUUGCUCUGCCGCAACCAUCUACAUGAAUUUCCCAUUUUAUAAGUAAUUUAAUUACUUGUUUCACAAGUUAACAGCGGGAAAGAAUUGUUUUACAGGAGUAGGAGUACGAGAACCAUUGAUCUAGCUCAAUUUUAAAAAAUUCCUCAAAGACCAUUAUACAAUCAUGAAAAUGCCCAAAAUUAUUUGAAGUUUUUCCACUGUGACUAGGUAAUCACAUGGUGUCGUUGUGGUAAGAUCCAAAGUGCCAGCCGAUGCCUGAUAACCCAACAGGCAGAAAAAUGUCUGCAGAAGCAUGGUUCUAACUUUUCCCUGGCCUCUUUUCAAGCUCAAUUACCGAAGCUCUUUUUACACGACAGGGCCAUCUCUCACUUUUGAAUCUCUCGACAAAGGCUAAAACAAAAGGUGAGUCCUUCCUUUUCCCUGUCACAAAUACUGAAACUAAGGGGCCCAGACCCCGAAGAAGGAAAUAAAAUUAAAGAGAAAAACAAGCAGAGGGAAAAAAAAUCAUAGGGAGUAGAGAUUGGAAGCUUUUCGUAAAGGAACUUUAUGGUGGAAUAAUUCUUGCUUGAUUGGCGCUUUACAUUUUGUCUUUUGAUUACUAGAUAAUCUUCUCCUUGUGUCCAUUGGUAACUUUUUUUUUUUUAUUAUAUAGUUUUCAAUUAUAUUGAAAGUUUUGUCCUGAUAAAAAAAAGAAUCUUUUUAUGGGGGGGAUUUUGUCCUUUGUAGAGAUGGAAUAUGAAAGGAAUAUAGAAAUAUUAGUUUGAAAAUGGGGAAUGUUGGCUGGUUGUCAAGCUCAUAUUUUGAAUAGUGGUGGCUUGUAAUGAUUUUCUCAAAACAAUUGUUAUAAAUAUGAAGACAUUUCUUUCGUUUUAUUAGAUAAGUUUCAAAAUAUAAUAUAUGUUAUUCUCUAAUAUAUUUUUUUAAAUAAAAGCUCUUUGAGCUUAAAACUUAAACAUUCAUUCUAUCUUAUGUUUAAUUUUUAUCAAAUAAAAUAAAGAUAGUGAGACUUGAACUCGUAACAACUUAGUUAACUAGAAUAUAAUAUCGUGUCAAAAAAUCAUCACAACUUAAAAAAUUACGUUUUAAAAUAAAAUUUUAAAAUAUAAUUUAUAUUAGUCACUGAAAUUUAGAGCCAUUUUCACCACUAAAUAAACAAAACUUUCAGCAAUUUCAAUAUUUGGGUAAUAGUGUUUACGAUUGUGAUAAUAGUUGUUUUUUAAUAAUUUUUUAAUUGAAAAUAUAUCAAAAUAAUAUAUUAUUAUUAUUAUUAUUUAAAAUUUAUUUUUUACAUCAACACAUUUAAACAAUUCAAAAUCAUAAAAAAAUUAAAAAAAAUCAAAAGCAAAAACAAAUAAAAUCUCUCUCUCUCUCAUCCUUAAAGCAAUUUUUUGUUAAAGAAAAGUUUGAUUUUUCUGUCCUGGGCUGUCAGGCAUGGCUCCUGUCCUAGAGAGGCAGCUAAUCAAGUCAAGCUGAAAUUGCUCCUCAGAAGAGUUCAAUAGAUAAAUGUCAAAUGCCUAGGAUCCCCUCUUCUUUCUAUACAAUAACCUUUCUUUUUCUACGUCCACCUCCUUGAAAAGCAAAAUUGCAAGUCUCUUUUUCACUAGUUUUUUCCCCUUCACUUAGUGUUUUCGACACUAUUUUUGUAGUAUUUCAUCGAGCUAUGUUAAAGUCAAGGCAACAUUAUUUGAGCAAUUGAUAACACAAAACAAAAGUAAUUAGUGUGAUUUUAGAUAUAAAAUGAUAAUCUAUAUAGUUACCAAAUCUUAAUGAUAGUAAUUUUGUAUGAGCAUUUCAUGUUUAAUGAAUCAAUCAAUCCGUAAAAGAAUUCAAAACUUAUUAUUUAUCACUUGUUACACUUGUUGGUGUGGAGUUUAUGUAAUAUAUAUAUGUUAAUUAAUGAUGUUGGUUCAAGGUAUUUAAUUGUUAAGUGAUAUUAGAUAUUUAUUUAAUUUUAUGACUCCUUAAUUAAUAAAAAAAAUUAGACUUCUUGCAACUUAAUUAUAUGAUUUAUCCAUCAAAUGUAAGAACUCUUUUGACUUAUAAAAUUAUAGAAAAAACAAAUAAAUUCAAGAAAUUCUCUUAAAACCAUUAUUUUCCUGUGGGCAAACUUGGUAAUUGAAAAGGGAUCCCAAGCAGUGUGAUUGGAUUGAAAAAUAAUGAACAAUUAUUACUUUAUUUCCAGUCUUGUUCUGUUUUCUUGUGACCUAUCAGUGAGACAAACACAUGUACACAUGCAUGCAAGAAAUGACAAGGCCCUCCACAUGAUUUGACUUCCACACCAUGUUAUGUACAUAUGAUACAAAAAAUAAUGGUCCCUAGUGUUUCUGUUUUCAUGGAAUCAUCCAAAAGAUUUGUUAAUUUUUAUCCCUGCCAAAGCAAACCGUCCCAUUUUGUGCUGAUUUUGAUGAUCAGUUCUCAAAGGUCAGGUCUUUUCUUUUUCCCGGUCUAAAUUUGGCGGUUUAUGGGCAUCAUUUGCUUUGUACUAUUGUUCUUUUUGUCGAAAAAAAAUGUGAGGGUAAAAUUAAGUGCAAUUUUGUUGGUAGAAGUUGAAUUGUUGUUAGUUUUUUAAUUGUUUUGAUACAUGGAUAUAAAAAAUUAUAUUUUAAAAAAUAAAAAAUAUAUAUUAUUUUAAUAUAUUUUUAAAUAAAAAUAUUUUGAAACAAAAUUUCUACAACACUCUCGAACAUAAACUAAAUCUUAUAGUAUUAUUAUAAAACUCCUAACUUACAAGCAGGUUAAUUUGGGGCCUAGUCUUAUAUUAAGAUUUAUAAAAAGAGGAAUAGGUAAUUUAGAAUUAAGUGUGUUUGUUUUCACUUUAUUUUAAAUUUUUUUUUUGUAUUUUUAUAUUGUUUUAAUGUGUUAAUAUAAAAAGUAUUGUAUUGAAUAACCAUAAAGCUCUAGUACGGUUUGAAAGUCUAGUUCAAUUUCAACUAAAAAUGGAUUAUUCUUUUUUUUUUAAAAUAGAUUUAGAGUAGUUAAAAUUGGUAUAUCGCUCAUCAAAUUAUAUACUAAUUUUAAAACCGUUUUUCAUAUCAAUUGAUCUUCUGUGUAUUUGGUUUUUAUGUUCUUGAGUUUUUCUUAAAAAGACCUUUCUUGUUUUUUUUUUUUGUAUUUUAAUUUAAUUGGUCUUUUUAUUGAAGAAAGUUUUUAAUUUGGUAUACUAAUUCAAUUUAAGAUGUGAUGUAGUUAUUAUUUUAAGACCCGAUCUAAUCUAAUAAAUUUAUUUAAAAAUUUGUUAAUUUGAGCACUAAACUAAGUUGGGUUUUGAUUUGGAUUAGACAUUCAAUUGACUCGAGAAAACUUGAUUGAUCAAAUGAGUUAACUCGGUUAAAUGUUUUUUCAAAACCUACAAUGAUUUUUUUAAUAAUAAUACAAAACAACGCCGUGUUGGAUUCAAAUUAACAGAAAAACUAAUUGGUUUAGUCAAUUUGUGAUGCGAGCCGUGAGCAAGGCCAUGUGCCGGGCCACGUCUUGUGAAAUAAAAAAGAAUGAAGUGGCCAUAUUAAAAAAAGUGAAGAAUAUAAGGACAAAAUGUACCAUAUCCUUUCAUUCAUAGCCAGCGGAAGUUAGGGAAUGAAAAAGAAAAGGACAUCACUAGUUGCCAAGGUCCUCUGCCACCAUUUCUCCCCUCCUUCUCUCAUAAACAGAUGAAUCUCUUCUGUUUUCCAUCGGACCCUUCAAGUUCCCCUCCUCUAUAAACAAAAGAAAAGGACUUAAAAGCUUAUCUAUACAAAAUUGCUAUACAAUAAUGGAUGAUUGCUGUGAACUUGAAGCCUCUUUCAGCACUACCAAGAAAAGAUCUUUGCCCUUUUUCAUGUGGAUGAUGAUGAAUCCAUAAUGUGUCAUCUCUUUGCAUAAAUAUAAAGUGUAAAGAGAGAAACAAGAGAGAGACUACUUCUUCUUCAUCUUCCACAAAUUUCUCACUUUUUUCCCCUUGUUUUUUUCCUGCUAGAUUUCAAGAUUUGCAUCUUCUCAGCCCUUGUAAACCAGACAAGAAGAUCACCAAAAUCCACCAAAACCACUGAUUCUUUGAACAUCUCUUGAAUCUAUAGCAUAUGCACUUUCCUCUUUUGUUCAAUAAUUUUCAAGAGAUAUAAAGGAGCGCUCUCUUUUUGUAGUCUUUGAUAAAGCUUCUAAAAAGCUAAAGAUUCAAAGCCCCAUCAUUUCUUUAACCCGUCUCCUUUUCCCAAUCAAAAUCUCUCAACUUUCUUUCACACACAAAUCUUUCCACACUCAUUACCUGCUUAACACCAUCAUUAACAACUAGAGCCAAGAAAAAAGUUAAGCCCACUUCUUGAUUUCACUAAAGAUGCAAACUUUACUCACAAUAUUCCUCUUUACUUCUUUAUUCACUCACUCUCUUUCAAGCUUCCUAUCUGAGCCAGUCUCUGGCCAAAACCAGCCUCUAAAACCAGGAGACUAUUCAAACCCCAACACAGUCCCCGCGUUUCCAGUCCAAACUGAGUCUCAAAUUUGCCACUUGGACCUUUCAGCUGAGCUUUUUGGUGGUGUAAAUGAUGCAUGUGGUAGAGACCUUGACCGUAGCCGGUGCUGUCCAGUUCUUGCAGCUUGGCUCUUUGCAGCUCAUGCAAGGUCAGCCCUCCAAGUCCAAGCUCCAGCCCCAACAUCAGCACCUGAUUUGCCAAUGAUGCCUGAUGAUUCACAAAAAUGUGUGAAUUCAUUACAAAGUGCACUUUUGAGUAAAAAUGUGAAGUUGGCACAACCUAAUGCUAGCUGUGAUGCUAUAUUGUGUUUUUGUGGGAUUAGGCUUCAUCAGAUUAGUUCACUUAGUUGUCCUGCUGCUUUUAAUGUGAGUUCUGCGUUUCAUAAUGCAACUCCUACUGCUGCUGUAAAGAAUUUGGAGAAGAAUUGUAAGAAUUCCACUUAUUCAGGGUGUACAAAGUGCCUUGGUGCUCUCCAAAAGGUCAGUUUUUUAAGGAAUUUUGCAUUUAUUGCUCCUUGUGAUUGUUUCUUCAUUGAAGAGAGGGAUUUCUUCAUUGAUUAAGGACUCAUUUUUUACAUUACUUCAUUUAUCAAUGCUGUGCUUUUGUGGGUUUUUUUUAAUUAAUUCUCUCUCUCUUUUUUUUGGGUUUCUUGUUGAUUGUUAAUUCAUCCAACAAUUUAGGAUUUUUUUUUUAUUUUUUUUGCCUGGAUUUGUUUGACUUUGCAAAUGAGGGGUGUAUCUAAAACAAUUUGAAGGGCUGAUACAACUAAUUUGUUGUAGAUACACCACUCGUUUCUUUAUUCUGUGUUAAAUUUUUUGUAGAUACCUAUUUAAUGCAAGAAUUUUUGUGGGAAACUGUUGAUGUUGUAUGAGUAACAAUUUAUUUUGUUCAUGUGCAAAUAAGUGGCAAAAGGACUAAUAAGACUUUGAGGGAAUUUCAAUGGGCUAGUUUUCUAUUUCUUUUGAUGGUUCAAUGAACUUUAUACUCUAAGCAAAACAGGAGUUCAAGCUGCUCGCAAUAAUUAGGCUUUUAGGUAAGUAUUGACUAAUGCACAUUGCCUGGUAAAAAUAGCAUCCAAAAAAAGCAGAAAUAGAAGCAUGAAAGUGAAGUGGGGCAGUGUAGGUUUUUUCCAGGGUCUUCCUUUUGAUGUUUUGUGAAACUCACAAUAGCUUUAUAUGCUAGAUAGAACCUUUGAUUUUCAAAUUACUUUUUAAAUUGUUUUUUUUAUAAAAAAAAAUAUUUUUUAUUUUUUCAAAACUCGAAAUCAAACAUGCUCAUAUCCUACCGAAUUCCAUGUGCUCUCUUUACGUAACCAUUUUACAUUGCAAACAAUUGGGUUCUUCACUGGGAUUCCUUUGCACAUCCAUCACCUUUCCUCCUUGGUAUUCCACCUUGAACACUGUUUUCUUAUGACUAAAACAACCUUGAAUGUGAUUGUUAUUACAGUUGAAGGCCAAGAAUGAAACACAAGACAAGAGCACAAGGGAUGAGAGGGCAAGCAAAAUGUUCGAAAGGGAUUGCCAACUAAUGGGUCUAACAUGGCUACUUGCAAGAAACAAAACUCAGUACAUCCCCACAGUUUCUGCUGUUUUAAGAGCCAUAAUGUAUAGCACACACCCACCAGUCCAUGAAUCCAAGUGUAGCCCUGAUCAAGAAAACAUGCCAUUGGCUGUUGAUUCGCUACAGUUCGGGAAGGCCCAGUCAUCAUCUUCUUCAAGACUAACAUCAUCGUCAUCAUUAUGGUCUGGUCUUCGUUUCCAUGUUUUGCCCCUCAUGAUUUUAGUUUCUUUGUUUGGAUAAUGGCUGGUUGGAUGCUAGUGUACCUUUUGCCUUGCCCCUGUAAUUUUUUUCAUGGUACAUUUUGUUUUAGGGCGAUCACGUGAAGCUAGUAGUCAAACUAGGAGGCCAACUAGGGUUUAUUUAUUUUUGUCUUAUUUUUUAUCUUAUUUCACUCUGUAAAUUUCAGCUCUUGCCCGAGGAGGAAACUAUUCAGAGAUUGCUGUCACUUUGGUAGAAAAACAAUAUAAGAAAAAUUAGAUAUGGUUGGUGGAAGUAAAUCCAUAGCAAGUUAAAAGAUAGACAAACGGAUUGGAUUCCAAAAAUUUAAUCUUGUUUAGCACAAGACAAAAGGUAUAUCUAGGGGCUAUUAACAAGAAAAAUGAAAUAUUCAAGUUUGAUUAAUUAAAUCCUAAUCAAACGAAUCGGCUUCGAUGACAGCAAUUAACAACAAUGUGAUCGAGGAACCAGUUCCCUAGAACUGAGUAUGUUGGUCGUAUAUUAAUGUCAAUAACAAGCAAGAGUAGGAGAUUGUUUUGAAUAGAAAGUUUGAUAACUUUAUGUUUUUUUGAUGGAUUCGAGACAUGGAUUCACAUGUUUUAGUGUGGUUGAGUGCCUGUCCUUUUGUGCUAGUCUUUCUAUCAAUGGAAGGUGCUUUCAUAGUAUCAACAAUAUUUUUUUUAGCCUGGGAUUUUGUGAGUAUUGCAUGAAGAGAAAAUUGUUGGGAAUUUGUUGGCAGAAAGGAAAAGGAGAAGUUGAAAAUUGGACAAUCUUUUCUCACUUGUUUGAUGGGAGAGCUUGAGCUCUUUCUAUUUGUUGGGUCACCAUUGCUAAAAGCUUCAAACUCAACCCAAGGAUUAAGCUGCCACAGAUGCUUAGUGGAUUACUAAUAUUUGAUUUUUCCAUUACAUCAUGAAUCUCCUUCACAUAAAUUCGUAGUCUUUUCCUCCUAAUUAUAGACAAUAAGCGACAAUUAACCCCGGCAAAAAUACAAGCUAGAGGAAACAAUACAAGCCAAUUUCUCAAUGCAUUUUGCUCUGGUCCCUGUGAAUGAACAAAAUGAGAUUUAUUUAAAUAAAUUUUUAGAGGGAUACUAAAAUUUUCAAUGUUAUUAAACCUGACCUGAACUAAGGAGUUAACUUAAUAAUGAUUUAGACAAAACCUUCAAAGUUUCAUGUCAAACCAUGUGGGAGUUGAUAAAGUCAAACUCAAUCAACCCUACUAAUUAAUCACUGUUCUAAUCAACCUUGUUAAAAUUCAUUUAAUAUUCGGUUUGAAUUUUUUAUCAAAACAAUAUCUUUCCAAAUUUUUUUUUAAUAUUUUUAAAAUAACUUUGUUUUAGAUUAAUUCUCCUAACCUAUAAUUUUUGUCCAAUUUUAGCCUUGUAAAUGUCAUGGCCCGUAUAACUCUGGAAAUUAUUGUAAAGAAACUGAUAGUUCAAUCAUGAAGUGAACAAACCUUGUAACCUUUUGGUGCAGGACACAAAUACUGAGAUAACCAUUGGUUAACUCAGGAAAGAUGCUAUCAUUAUCAUCCAGCCCUGUCUCCAUACCUGGCUGUGAAAUAGAAUGCCGGGACGAAUAAGAAGCUAGAGAGAAUGAAAACGGUAAAGAAGCAAAAAUAUCCGCCUUCAUUAGCCAAAAUGGAACAUUGAAAACCGCAGCAUAUGGAAAUAUUGCAGCGCUAACUGUACACAUACUGAUCUGGAUAAAUUCAGGUUCCAUGAAGGAGAGGUCACCGGUCAUUCCACCCUGCACAUCAGCGUCUGCAACUCCAAAUGCACCAGUAAUAGCACAAAUACCGAUGAAAGUUCCAAGGCCUCUGAUGUAGCUAAAUCCAACUCUGGCAGCAGCAGCAACAAAAAAAAGGACCAAAAACAAUUAUUUGUGGACAUAGAAUUGAAGAAAUAUGUCAAUGAGUUGCAAGGGAAAUUCAACACCAGAAGACUCACAAGUCACAACUAAAAGUUAAAGAGUGCUAAUGAAGAAAAGGAUAUAUCAAAACACGUUCCGCAUUCGAGUUUUGAUCUUUGAUUCAAUGUGUGCAAGUACUGCAGGAGUUCCCCGUGCAAAUGACUAAUAUACAAGAGUAAGGACCCUUGUGGUGUGGUAUCGCUGCGUAAGGAAACAAAAAUACUGUCAAGUAGCAGCAGCAGUGGCAGCAGCAACUAGAAGAUGGAUAGAGUAAUUAAGAUUCUCGUAGAUUUGUAGGGGGAAAAAUUACAUCCAUGGAGUAAUUGCAGAUUAUUGAGCACAACCUAGGUUCAUAGAUCAGAUUUUUCCUUAUUAAUGGAGAAAUGACGUGCAUUUUGCGUGCCUUCCAUCAACUCUUUAAUUUACAAAUAUAUUAAAAUAAUAUUGUUUUGCAAAAAUCUCUUUGAUUAUUUUUAAAAAUAUUUUUUAAUUUACAAAUAUAUUAAAAUAAUAUUGUUUUGCAAAAAUCUCUUCCAAAGCUUCCUAUUUAACUCAAUCAAAGGAUAGAAAUUACAAACCUCUAGCUUCGCUGUAACUACACUGUCAUCAAAGUUGCAUUUCGUUAAAAUCCUAAGACAAAAGGAUAUAUACAUAAAGAACAAAAACAUGUUUAGUUACAUAGAUGGAAAAUGAGACAUAAAAGUAAAAGCAUGUCCUCUCUGUUAAAACCGUCAUUGUCUCUUUUAUUUCAAGACAGUAACUAAACGAUAUCCAAGUGCUGUAACAUUUGCUUUCAAGUAGCUCCUGCAAGUAUAUACAGCUGCAACUGAUGCAGAUUGAAUUUUAUCCAUCAUUAUCAAGUAUAUGACCCUUAUCAUUAAAACAAAAGCAAGAAACCACCAAAUAGGUCAAUUUCCAUUGUCGGAGUGUAAAGAUCCUCAUAGAAUAGCUAAAGUCAAAUACCACAUCAAUUAUAAUGAUGAUCACAAUAAAACUCCGACAAGAUAUCUGAAUUGAAUCUUCAAAUUUAUUAUACAAACAAAAUUGGAGGUUUAUCAUCCAAGGGAAUCCAAAUCCUAGAGGGAGUCACGAGAAAGAAGUUUCUUAUGAACACGCCAAUCCGGAUAUGAAUAACCUUCUCAAUAUAUGACAGAGUGGGACUCGGUCUCAAUGUGUGAAAAUUCUCGUGGAAACCUGACUAUUGAGACCAAAAGAUUGUAUACAAAUUGGAGCAAUCAAACACUCUCUACCUUCUUAUGAAUAUAUUAUACAGCAAAACAAGCGACUUCGUACAAACUUCAAUCAUCAUUUAUCUCUACUUGCAAGAAAAGGCAAACAGAAGCUUCCAAGAGCAGGAAUAAUAGCAGGAAAUAUUGUUCAAAAGAAGCAUCAAUCCUCAUCCUUUUGAGGGACACAGAGAAUUAAAAAAAGAACAAAAUAAAAGACUAAUUUGUAUUUGAUUAGCACUGAUCAUCAGCUAGUUUCCGGGGCAUAAAUGUUAUAAGAGAAACAAUCGAUUCUUCUAUUUGUCUAGGAGAACUGUACAAAAGAGAGUUGGAACUGUAAUAAAGAUUGGUUCAGUACAUCCACCAAAUUCAAACGGAUGACUAACAUUACACUUUGCAAUCUCGUCAUAAAUCACCAUGCCGUAAAUCUGAAACUGGCUUAGUAUAAAAAGACACUCCCUACUUCAACAUCUAAGUUCCAUGUUCACCAUCCCUUGCCUAUAAGCCACAACCAGUCAAGAGUAACCCCAGCAAAGAUUCCACCAAGAAGAAACAAUACAAGCAGAUUUCCCAACGCAUUUUGCUCCGGUCCCUAAGAAUGAAAAAAUGAUAUUUAUUUUAGUAAUUUUAUUCAGCACUACACAAAAUCAUUACAGGAAACAGAUGCUCAUGAGAAUCAUGUUGCGAACAAACCUUGUAACCUUUCGGUGCAGAAGUAAGGACACACACAGUGAGGUAACCAUUAGUCAACCCCAAGAAAGAUGUUAGCAUUAUCAUCCAGCCCUGGUCUCCAUACUUCGCAGUGAAAUAGAAAGCCGGGACGAGCAAGAAGCGAGAGAGAAUGGCUAUCAUUAGACUUUUCCGGGACUCCAACUUCAAGAAUUUCAGGAGUGGAAUAUAUCUCCCAAUUAAAUCACACACAUUAUACAUUGCUAUCAAUACAAGCGCAUACCUGACAUAGCACAAGAUUCAGAGAUUCUGAACAUAUAGAACACACUCAUUUGGAAGAAUGUUUGCUAUUGAAAUUACCUCCAAGAUACCAAAUUAAACUGAGACUUACCAUCCGCCCAAACUGUGUGUUCCAGUGUCUUCAGAUAAGAAUCCAGGGAAAAUAGACAGUGUCAGGACAUAUAUCAGAAACAUAUCAAUUGCAUAAUCAAUAUUCUGCAAUAGCAACUCCUUGUUGCUCAGCCGCUCCAGUUGUUUUGGAUCUUCUUGGGCCUGUUAUAAUUACAAGGUCUUCAGGAUAAAGGAAAUACCAUAAACAUAUUGUUUCAUAUAUACACCAAGGGAAGGAGGUAUACUUCCGGUUUGAGCAAUGUUUGGAUGCCACCAGCAGCAAGAUCAGCUGAAACAGUUUUUGAUCCUUCUGAGGCUGCCUUGGAGCGGUAGUGCUUCACUAUGUCCAGUUUGGGGAAAAUGUAAGCAUAGAGAAGAACACAGAGAAGCUCAAAAAAGGUACAGAUGGCAAAAAAUAGAACUGCAAUAAAUAGUGGAAAACUGUUAGCCAUAGAAACGGAAUCGGCAGAAAUUGAAGAGUAUAAUAUUUCUUAAAAUCACGAUUUGUCAAGAAUUAUUUUCCGUAAGUAUACAUAUAUGGCAGUACAAUAGUUACUUGCUAGCACUAUUUAAGAAAGUUCAAGAGAAUGAAUUUGUGUUCAACCCCAACCAAUAAUUUACAAAGGGCAUAGAUAAUAUACUAUUCAUGUCAUCGAAUCAAAUUCUAAAAGCUGCUGCUCCAUCUACUAAGCAAGAGAAUUAAUGUCAUUGUCUCUCCAUGUAUAUAUGGUAACAUGCCCCUGAAUUCCAAAAGAACUGAAAAUGGAAAUUUGAGUGAAAUGAGAUGAAACUAUAUAGUCAUAAAUCACCCAGAUUGUAUCAGUGAGCAUGCUUAAACAUUUCCAUGGUAACUUGGAUCAGCCAGCAGUGACUUGAAAUGAAUUGGAGAACUCUCAAAUACAACACAAGUACGAAACUCAAUUGAGAUAGAAACUUAAGCGCGAGAGAGGAGCAUAUACUUUUUUAGCCCACAUGAAGGACAGACAUAUCAAACAAAAGACAGAGCAUUAAUACUGGUUUUUGGGGGUACAACUAUUGAAAUGUCAUUAGAAAACAGUUUUCCAAGAAAAAAAUGCAGUUUCAUUUUUCAUUACUACUUUUUGAAAUGAAAAUUACAUGAAGCAAAAUCAAAAGGGGAUUGAACAUACUGGCUCCCUUGCGAAAACCAUCCUGAGAAUUGUCAAAUGCUGCUUUUGUAAUUAGCCUCAAUGCAGAGGUUAGAGCCCCGGAUGCUGCUAAACCAGCAAGGAAAGACUGCAAAAAUUUAAACAAGAAAAAAGAUUAACUCAAUCAAAUCAGAAUCAAACAUUUGUGGAACCAUCGAUGCCCAUGAAACAUUUCACAAGGCUGACAGUACAAACUGACCUGAAUAAAUUCAGGCUGCAUGAAAGACAGGUCGCCAACCAUCCCACCCUGCACAUGCGCAUCUGCGACUCCAAAAGCACCACUAAUUGCACAAACUCCAAUGAAAGUUCCAAUACCUCCUUUUCCCGAUGUAGCUAAAUCCAACUAUGGCAGCAAAACAAAGAAAAAAAGGAUUGAAACAUAGUUUACGUGCAUAUAAUUAAUGAAGUAGACAAUGAGAUAUGUGGAAAUCUAAAGAUGAAAGAAUACUCACUACUAAAACCAAAAGAGUGCUGAGGAAGAAAAGAGCAUAUCCAAAUAAGUUCCUCAAUCUGGUAUUGAUCUUCGCCUCAUUGUAUGUCAGCACUGCAAUUGUACCAAGGGCAAAGGGUUGAUAUACAAGAGUAAGGACCCUUGACGGGUGGUAGUGCUGCAUAACGAAACAAAAACUACUGUCAAAUCAACCAUCUACACAAUCCAAUAUGCAGCCAUUAUAAGAUGCCCACAGCAUUUAAUAUGCCAUUAAACUUUAAAGGAAAGAAAACUUUAAGCGUGAAGAGUUGGGAAAUAAAAACGAGUUGGCAGAGCAGUGCACACUUUCAAAUAAUACAUCGACUUUCAGUUCAAAUAAAUGCUGAAUAAAUCAACAAAUAAUGAAGAAGGUAUAGAUGCUUGUACCAGACAUCCAUAAUUUCUUAAACCAUGCAUCUAAAAUUGGCAUUGCAUUGUGAAAAGGACCUUUCUCAUUACUUAUCAUUAUUAGAGCCCAAUCAGCACCAUUCCGAAAACAGGAGAAUAGUUCACAAGAACUAUAUAUGUUCUCUGCAGUGGAAAAUAAAUUCUGAAGAACACUGCAGGCAAUCACCAUUCACAUAAAAACUUCACAAGUUUCAGUAGCUUCAUCAGCGAAAAAGUCGAAUUCAUGGUCAUAUAUAGGAAUCAGUGUGGGUUUUAUAUAUACAUGUGUGUGUGUGUGUGGUGACAAAACUCUGUUUAAGGCAGCUCUAUAUUUGUUCUAACAAACAUCCAACAGAUUAUUUAGGCACCAAUAGUUCGUCAUCUCCAGUUUUUUAAGAGCUGGCUUGUCAAACAUCCAAAUUAAAGCAUCAACAAAACAGCGAUAUGGAAAGAUCCAAAACAAGCUGAAACCAACAAAAAAUCGCAGCAAAUAGAGAAGGGAAAUACCGGGAAAAUGUAAACAUAAUAAUCUUCAAUUGUGAGCAUACUAUUCCAUGAAAAGAGGCAACCAAUUCCAAGCAGCCAACAUACUAUCAUAGCAGCAUACUUUCCCUGCAUUGAAGGCGCAAGCAUAUCAGAAAUUCCUUCAAGAAAAUAGACUUUACCUUGUUGCCAAGUUUCCUACUUCAAUCAAGCAAAGGAUUGAAAUAACAAACCUUAAGCUUAGCAGGAGCUUCACUGCCAUCAAGUGCUGCCAUAGUUGAUUGCUUUCAAAUAUCUCCUGCAAAUAUACACUACAACUUAGCACUACAAGAGAUUGAACAACAAGGUAUAUGCUAAAUCUGUGAAAGUCAGAAACCUUGCCUAAAUAAACCAGAUGGAAAUCAAACAUCAUCAAGAAGUUCUAAAAAUAAAUUUGAAAACCAAUUGGGGAUCACAUAAUAUUUCCAUGACCAUGACCCCUAUACUUUCUUCCUCUCUCAUCUUUAAAAAUAUGCUAUCUCCCUAAUAAAGUAAACAAAAAGAAAGCAACACACAGGUCCUUUCAAUUAUUGGAGUGUGAAAAGCCCAUUUAAUAACCUUAGUCAAAUAUACCUUCAAUUCUUAUCAUCAUCACAACAAGAAUUGGAAAAAGAUAUCUGAACUGUUCGGUCAAGAAUUUAUUAUACAAAAAACUGAAGCUACCAAAUUCCAUCUACCAUCAUAUCAAUAAAUCACACAACAAAAAGAAAACAAAACCUUCUAAGAUCCAGUAUUUCUUGAAGAAAAUAAUCAAGCAUCAAUUCCCUUCCUCUCAAUAUACAUUCAUAAUAGACAUACGUACAUACAUAUAUAUAUGUAUGCAUGAAAAAUUAGACUUACCCUUUUAAAAGGGAGCACGUAUCACAUGAGAAGCUUUAACUUUUAAUAGAAUUUGGAAUCUGUUGUUUAGUAUAAAAAGAAGAGAAUAUAUAAGAAACGUUUUCAAAGAGGGCUUUGAAGAUUGAAGAUUCCGAUGUUAGAUAGAAGAUCUUUUAAACCCCAAAAGCCUGACCAAACUGGCAGUUCUCUUAUGUUAAAAAUAACGAAAAAAGACAGGUAAGAUUACUUAUCCACUCACUGACUCACAAGUCUACGUUCUCCUUUUCUCUUUUUUUUUUUCUCUGUUUUGCUUUUGACUUGUGCGGCAGCAACUUCAUCUGUUUUUAUACAUGUGUGUUCUAACUUUUUUGGCGGCAUGGAUUGAGACUUGGACUCAGAACAAGUAUAAUAAUCAGCUGAGUAACAUGAUCAAGGUCAAGGCCGGUUUUGUAAAAACGAACAAAAAAUUAUAUUAUGCCCAUUUUUUUUACGACUCAUUUUUUUAAUGACCAUUCUCCUUAGGUUGUGUUAGUAUUUCAAAAGAUAAGUGAUAGGUAAAAAAAAAUACAAAAAUAUAUUUAUUUGUGGAGAUGAAAAUAUAGAUAUAAAAUAAAUUUAUUUUUGAAAUAAUUAUAAAGUAAAUUUUUGUAUUUUUAAAAUAAAAAGAGCAUGAGAUAUGUCUCUUUUAUUUUAAUUACUUUAUUUUUUAUUUAUUUUGAGAUAGUAAUUAAACACUAUCAAAAUAACUAUGAAUAAAUUUAGAUGUACAAUGUGUCUUUAAUUUUUUUCCCCCCUAAACAUUGAGUUUUAUUUAUGUCGAGAUAGGAACUAUAUUUAUAUGCAUCGCUUAUAGAAUCUAAUCACGGUUUAGAAUCGGUAUUAUUUUGCUGUUUCCCUAUCAAUCUCUCAAUUAAGUCUGUCGAAAAAUUAUUUUAAAAACAAAAGAAAUUGUUUUGGAAAGGCAAUAUAAGACCAAUAUUUCUUCCCUUUUUUUUUCCUUCCAAAAGCAUUGUAGAAUGCCUCAAGAUUAUGUCAUAGAGUAGCAAGUCUGAAGUGGGUUUUUUCGAGUGCUUUUUUUAAGCUUUUUCCAGGUUGAGGGUAUUGAGCUACUUGGUCAUAGAACAAAAAAUCAAUUUGGUCGGUGGAUUGGAUCCAUUAUAUAUAUAAUAGUCUAUGCAUGUAAUUUUAAUGUUUAUUUGUUUGAGUUGGAUCCAUUAUUUAAUAGUCUAUGCAUAAGGUAGCUGUUUUCUAGGAGCUUUCAUGGGAAUAAGGCUAUUCUUAAGGAUGAUAAUUAAUACCGUCUGAAUCGAAAGAAAAAUCCUUGUGGAUCACGCAAGUGAAAUUUUAAAAUUAGGAAGCCUUGUCCUUGUAUUGACAUGAUGAUUAAAAAAUAUAUUUAUAUAUCCUUGUUUUGAUUUCAUGAUCAAAAAAAUAUUUUAUUUAUUUAUUAGAUUUAAAUUUAAGGAUUAUAGUAUCUAAAAAGGAUUAUUAAUUUUUUUAAAUAUACCAUAUCAAUAUAGAAUCAUUACCAGCGUGGAUAUGACUUGGAGUGCUACAUAGAAAAGAAGAGAAAGUCUAUGUGUUCACAUUUUAGGAGCAGGUGGCGUUGCCGUCAAGGAACCAAAUACUUCAUUUUCUUGAGUGUCAAGAUUUUGCACGUCAAAUUAACCAGCAAAAGCAAAACUAUUAAUGUGAUUUGAUGUAUGAAGAAUAUUAUUAUUUUUUAUUAAAAAAAUAUAGAUUAUAUUUCGAUAUUUUAUUUAAUAAUUUAAAUUUUUAAAUUAAAAUUAUUUUUUAAUAUGAUAUUAAAAUUUUAUUAAUUAAAAGGUCAUGAAUUCUAAUUUUACAGUCUCAAUAUAUUUAAUAAAAUUAAACAAAAAACACACUACCAGAUUUAACAGUUUUGCUGAUAGAAAUUUAUGUGGGUGUUUAUACCAACAUUUUGUCUGUGAUUAUUUUACCGAUGAAAUCACGGACGGAAAAUGUUUGUAAAAAAAAACUCUUUGGUAAUUUCAGGUAUGUCGGUAAGUCUGUCAUUAAUAAAUUUACCAAUGUUUUUACAAACGGAUCAUGCAUGCCAAAAAGCAAUUACCCGCUUCAAUCCGUCAGUAAUUCCCUUGAUGAGUUGCAGUGACAUUUGCAUUAAUUCUUUUUCAACUCUCUAAAACAUACCGAUGAAAUUAUUUCGUUGGUCAUUUAACAAUUGCAGGGAUGUUUUCUGUAAUUUUUUUUUUCAACUCUCUUGAAUAUACCAACAGAAUUAUUCCGUCGGUGAUUUAACAAUUGCAGAGGUGUUCGUCGUAAUUCCUUUUUAACUCUGUGGAAUAUACCGACAGAAUUAUUUCAUCGGUAACCCCGGUAGUAAUUAUUUAAAAAUAUUUUUUUAAAAAAUAUUAAACAUAAAUAGAAAAUAAUUAAAAAAAUAAAUUUAUAUAAAAUUCAAAUAUUUAAAAAUUAAUUAUCUUAAUAUAAAAACCAAAUAUUUAUUACAAAUUUUCUUGUAGUAAUAGUGGUACAUCUGUAUAAGUUUCAAGCCCAAAAAACUUUUAUUUAACAGAUUAUAUUGAAGACCAAUAUAAAUUAUAUUUUUGAGUCUCAUCUAAUAACUAUAUUUUUUUAAUUGAGAUGAUUAUUUGACAUUAUAGUAUCAUUAAGAGUUUAAUUAUGAUUUAUAUUUUUUUUUAUUUAUACUCUCUUAUGUUUAAUUAUAAAGCAUCUUCAAAUUAGCUUGUUACGACAUAACAAGACUAAUGUUUUUGUUAGUGAAGUCGUAAGCAGGUCAUUUAUUUCUUAUGAUCCCACGUAAGACUCCAGCAUUGAGUGAUAUAUAAGAGAUAAGUUUACUAACCACUGAAGUUAAGCCUCUAAAGACACGUGCAAUUAUAUUAAAAUCAGGAGAUAGUUGAACUUUACUUUUAAAAGCAUUUUUCUUUUACCCGCUAUUAAUUAUACGUUCGGUUAGUGUUCCAGUACAUAUAACAAAAAAAAAAAAAAAGCACAAAUAUAUUAAGUUAAAAAGAUAAAAAUAUAAAUAAAUCAAAUCGGUAUAUCAAUAUCGAUUUGAUCUGAGAUCUCUUAUUAAAUUGGAAUAAGUUCGGCCGCAGAUCACGAAAUCUUGGUGAUCUUCUCUAUCUAAUGAAUAAUGAAUGGAGAGCCUGCUUUGAAAUCGUCCGCCCUGGAACCACCCCUGAGUCUAUGUCUUCAACAGGAAUUACACAAGGGUAGACUGACACAAUAGAAACCUCUAGAAAAUACCCGCCUGUAACCCAACAAAUAAAGUACAGUACAUAGUUCGUUUUAGGAAUUGGCGACUUACCCAUUCAGUGACUUUGACACUUGAUGUUAUGUUCCCAAAAUAAAAUGGAUACUAUCGGGUCGAGUGAAUUCAAUAAUAGACGUCUAUUGGCAUUCCAGCUUUCAUUCUCUUUUUUCUUUCAGAGCCUAUCCAAAAGAGAAUCUAAUACUUCUUGGUCGUGAAUAUCUGAAUCAAUUUUAAAAUUAAUUACUUUUAGGAAGAUAAAAAAAGUGUUUUUUUUAUUUCAACUAUCUUCGUUUUUUUUUCCUUCUUGGAUUUAAAGAACUUUCAUUUGCAUUUUCAGUAGAAAAUGUAAGGUGAACACUUUUGGUUUUCACAUGUGAAAAUUUUAAUUCAUUCAUCCAAAAGGAGAAAGAAAAAAAGGAUUUUAUCACAAGUGGGAUAAGUUUUCCGGCCUGCAAACUCAUUAAGAAGUGUGAACACCGUUAUUGGAUAAUCCGGGAGUCAAGCUGACAUUUCUUAAGGUUGACUAUUUUUCGUCGGAUUUGGGCCAAUAAAAAAAAAUCUAAUUCAUUUUCUCUUUGUCUUUCAAUCGUUAUUUUAAAUAUGAUACAAAAUAUUACAAAAAUAGCUUAAUAUUAUUAUUUUGUUUCUGGUUGAGCAAAAAUAUCUUUUUUUUAAUCAGUAUGGGUGUUUAAGCUAAUUUGUAUAUAUUUUGAUUAAAUUUAUAGACUCUAAAAUUAAUAACCAUAUAAACCUUCCAUGAUUUUAAGAUUUAUAAAACUCAAACUGAUAAUCUUUAAAAAAAUAAAUUUAAAAUCUAAUUAAUUAAACUAUCCCUUAAAAAAAUUAAAAUUAUCCUUAAUUUACAUGCAAGAGGAAAUCUCUUGUUAAAACUUGAAGAAUACAAAAAAAAAAUAUAUAUAUAUUAGCUCAUUCUUAAGUAAGGAUGACAUGCGAUGGCAUGAGUACAAGUUUCUUUUUCAUAUUCACAAAUAUUGGGCAAUAGUGGAUCCCUUCAAUACACCACAAUGGUAAAAAUUAAAGAUUAGCUUCUAGGUGGUGGUUCAGUGGUAAUAUAUAUAUAUAUAUAUAUUAGCUCAUUCUUAAGUAAGGAUGACAUGCGAUGGCAUGAGUACAAGUUUCUUUUUCAUAUUCACAAAUAUUGGGCAAUAGUGGAUCCCUUCAAUACACCACAAUGGUAAAGAUUAAAGAUUAGGUUUGGCUUCAUUUAGCGUCAUAGCGGUAUGUGUUUUGCCCAACUAUAUAUUAUAAAGUAUUUAGUUAAUUAAUAUAUGUUAAUUUUAGGAGUCUUACUAAGAAUUUUUUCUUGAAAUCUUGGUGGAAAAAAAAAGCUAUGAUUUAUUGGUUUUUUAAAACCUUCUUUUUCAAAUAUCAAUAACAAGUUAUUAUAAUAUUAAAUAUACAUUCAAAACCGGUUUAAGAUGAAUGAAAAUUUCGAGCAUAACUAUAAAUGACAUUUCAAGACCGGUUUAAAAAAUAUUAAUUUUUUUUAUGUAUGUAUAACAAGUGGAGCCUGAACAAUUUUCAUUUCAUAUUUAGAACUUUUUAUUAAAUGAAUAUAAUUUUUAUUCAUAAAUUAUAAUUAAUAAAUAUAUUUUACUUAUUCUUCAAAAAAAAUUGUUAAGUAGAGGUAUUGGACUCUUCUUCAAGUAGCAUUUAACUUAAACAGGCUUUCCACACACUCGUUACUAUUUGAGAAUGGGUCAGGUUACUCUAUUCUUUGAUCAACUUCCAAGUCAAUUUAGCCCCUAGAUCUUGAAGAACUAGAUGAGAAAUAUUUGAUAAAUCUCUAAGAGUAGCAGAGCACGAUGCAGAAUUUGGAUACAUCCUGUGCCCUCACGUACUAUGUGCCAAACAGAACCUUAUGCAAUCCCAUCAACAAAUAGGAGGUUCCCCCUUUCUUUAUUAUAGUAUUGGGCCCUAAUUAAUAAAAAUAUUUAAUAACAGGAUAGCAUGGAUUUCUUAAUAGUGAGUCAGUAUUUAGUAAUCGAAUUACGUUAGAAAAUGAGCUCAGUUGAAGCCUGGAACAGAAAAUUUGAUUGGUCUGAAUAAAGACAUUAUGCUAAUCUCUUUAAACUAAUCUAGAAAUUACCUAGGGGGCUUAAUCCGAAUAAUAUCACCUACCGCUGAAAAACAAAGGUUGGGAUUAUUAUUCUUGGCCUAAUUAUUUUUAAUAUAUUACUCUUUUAAUAGUUAUAAUUUUCUAGGUUUUGAGAAAUUUUGAACAAUUCAACACAAAAUAUAGUUCUACCUGAAAUUUUAUCAUAUCUUUUUAAAGUUCUAAUUAUAUUAGGAGCAUGUAGUUUGCUAGAUUUUUUAGACCCAAAUCGAGCCCCGAAAGAUACUGUAUUAGAAUUUUCUUUACUUUCUUGUUAUUUUUCCUAUUUAGAUAGAACUUUCAAUUCAAUUAAAAUUCUACUGUUUAGGAUGUUUUUCUUGUAUUUUAACAUCCUUUUAGGCUAUUUUUUCAAAGAGAAUUUAUGAAAUAAAUCUUUUAGAAUAUAUUAGAGUAAUUUUCUUUAUAAUGAAGGGUUAUAACCUUAAGUUUGAGAACCCAAGUAUUUAGAAGCAGAAGAUUUUGUUUUAAUUUUUUUUAUUUAGAUUUAGAUUUUAUUUUGAAGAACUCUGUCAACCCUAUACGCUGUGUCAAAUAACCCCUUUCUCAUAGACAGUCAUUAGAAGAAGAGAGCUCGGGUCGCUCAACAUAUCAUUUGUUCAACCACCAUGGCUCAUUCUUCAUGAGUCACAUCCUGUUUUUUUUUUUAUUAUUAAUUUUGAUAAGGGAUUUGUUUUGAGAUAUUGCAGAAUGGCAUGAGAGAGGUGGUAAAUGUAUCGUGCAACUGAUGAGAACCAAGCUUUCAAAGUUACAGUAGAAGUUCUAAACAAGAGCUAACAGGAUUAGAAUUCCUGACUUAAGAAUGUUAUUGCGGGAUAGAUUUGAUCUCCUAGAUUUGAAAAUAGUCAGGAUACUAUUGAUCAUUUGGCAUGUAUGGCAGCUACAAAUAACAUGUAUGGUUGCCAUUGCUCUAUUGGCUACGGACAUAUAUGAUAAUGCAAUAGAAUUUAGGUAUAAAGAAUAUAUUGUCAAGCAUCACAAGAUUAGCCAUGCUUAAAUCAUAUGGUUAUCCUUACAUCUUAUGAGCUCCAAUUCACAUUGCAUGCCUCUAUGACAAAGGAUGUUUUGGCAUUGUUGCAAAACAAACCGAUUCGCGUCUUGAAUAUAUGAAACAUUUGAUGAUUGAUUGAACAAGAGGCUUAAGACCACCAUGGAGCAUCUCCGGUUCUGAAAUCUGUUUCAACCCAUGGAACAAAGACCACCUUGCCGUCGUCUACGUCGCAGUGAGCCAGUGCCAAUGACUGCACAGAGAAGUGAUAUUGAAGGCGGUUAUUGCCAGGGUGAACUCAAAAAUCGUUAUAGCAAGCAAACUGUUGCUGGUUGUUGAUUUUAAUUAAGUGCUGUUGUUCUUUUAUCAUCUAAAAUAGAGUAAUCCACCAAUAAAUAAAAGGGAAAUUGUGUUUGACUUACCAGAGGAGCAGGUCCUCGGACAACUCUUCCUUGGUCAUUGUACUGUGAUCCAUGGCAGGGGCAGAUGAACUUCUUCUCAGCUUGAUUCCAGGGCACGACACACCCAAGGUGUGUGCAGACUGCAUUAAUUCCAUAAGUUGCAAGAACUCUAUCUUUCUCCACAACAAGGUAGGUUGGAUCUCCCUGAAAUCCAUAAAAAACAAUCCAAAUGAUUUUCACUUUUCAGUAUUACAAAUUAUUUCAGAGUAUCCGAAGUUGAUAGAAAUCAAUGUUUGAGCGCCGCAUGAUUGUGUUUUUGCAAGUAACAUCAGUUUUGUUAAAAUAGAUCCUCAAAAAACAUUUGAAGAUAUGUUAUUGAAAAUCCUGAAUAUGAAACAACACUAAUUUUCUCAUCAUUUUAGACAAUCUCCACAGAUUCUUUUCACAAGGAACAAAAAUUGAUUUAGUUUGCAACAUUUUAUAAGUCUGCUUACAACGAUACUACCCCGUGUAGAAGUGUGACAGCAAUUUCACAAAUAUCUCACUGGCUCAAGUGCAAACAUAUAACGAGCUCUGUUUUACGCUAGAGCAAGACAGCAUCACAGCAAUGAUUGGAUCCAUGCCAACAUCUCUUACAAUGCAUGACCAACUUCUAAUAAGAACUUGAAAGAAAAUUAGAACCAAAGGUGUAAUAUUUUCUGACAAGUCAAUAAACAGAAAAUAUGAUUAUCUUGCAUCAAAACAGCGAUAAAUGUACUCCUUCUAAUGACCAAUCAGUGUACAACGAAUUUAUACAAUAAGAAAGGGAAAUGCAAUGAAAAACAUGUGCUUUAAGAAAGGAAAGGAAAGCUGCCAGUACCUUCAAUCCUUGAGAAAGGGUUCGGUCACCAGGGCCAUGAGUGUUAAGCCAUUGCUCUGCAACGAUAUCAUUUCCAAGGGCAUCCUUGGCAACGGUACCACCACCACCUCCUCCGAGCCUGAUAAAUUUUUCCAAUUACAGCAAGGAAAAGGAACAACGAAAUGCAGGCAUGUUAUGGUUGCUAAUGGCCAGAAAUUUAAUCCCUAAACAAAUAAACUAUAGCAAUUGUAUAUAUGAGGCAAUUUAGAACUUAGCAAGCAAGGUUAAUCUCAAAGAAAUAAUUUAUAAACUUAAACACAGCAUCGGAAUUUUUGUAUUCUUUACUUCUCAAGUUGAUUUUAGCUAUGACAUAUCAUUAGUGGAAUUUUAGAAAGAAUGCCCUUUAGAGAAUCAAAAUUUCCAUUGAACAACCUAUUAACUAAGCAAGGGGAAAUUAACAAAAAUAAAUCUAAAAUAAAGGAAAAAACCAAACUAAAUUUGAAGAAGAAGAAGAAGAUUUCUUACCCAGUAGGGACAAAGAAAUAGGUGUAAGGAACCAACAUGCCAGCAGUGGGGAGUGAAAGAGCACCCAAAAGAAGCAGAUUCAUAAGCUCCCUCUUACCCAUGUCAGGCACUCUAUCAUCAGCAGGAACACUUGUAGCCUGGCAUGAAAUUCUCAUUCCUCUCUCCUUUAACACCAUAUUUGUCCUUGUUGGUUUCACAAACACCGCAUGUGUAGGAGAGAACAUGCCACUCUUGCUAGAGCAUAGCUAAUACACAAAACAAAAAAAACACAUAAUUCAAUCCAAAACAUCAAAGAGAAAGAAAUUAAGUUCAAGAAUAAUCAAUGUUUGAUGGGAUUUUUUCUUUUCUUUACCUGUGAGGGAGUGGCAGGGGAGAGCGUAGAGGAAGCCAUGGAUUGAUGAUUCUUGGACAGGAAACUGAGUAUACUUUGAUGGUAUUAUGAAUGGUAUGGUAAUGCGAGGGAACUGUUAAAACUAUAACGACCACAACUGUUCUAGAUAAGGCACAUUAGCUACUUUGGUGCCACACGACCACAUGUUUAGAGAUUUCGCUUCUCUUUCUGACACAAGUUGCUGGCUUCCCCAAAUUUGGGCUUUCUUCUAAGAGCUUAUGUUCUUAGGCUAAUUCGUGGCCCAAAGGGCCUUAGAAAGUGCUUUAGAGUUCUGUCUAAUGCAGGGGGGAAUUACCCUCCUCUACUAAUUGAAAAACUUGAAAAACUUGGGAAACUUGACCCUCUCUACUUUUCAACUCAUCCCCUUUUCUUUCUUUUUUUCAAUUCCCCUUUUUUUUAAUUCCAUCCUUUUUUUCUUGAUUUCAUCUUCAUAAUUUUUUUUAAUAAUCAUUCGAUUUGUCUUUAAAACAACCAAGUUGAUUGGAUUAUGUUCAAAUAAUUUUUACAUAAUUUAAUUUUAAAUUUGAGCUAGGCAAAGAGAUAGAUCAAGAGAUUUUUUCUGUCAAUUUCAUUCUCAUAUUGUUUUUACCAGUUGACCGAGUUGCAUUUAGAUUAACCAAGUCAGUUGGGUCAUGACGGAGAAACUCUCACACGAUAUAAUUUUAAAUUUAGGCUAGGUAAGAAGUUGGGUAGAUAAUAUUUUUUAUGUCAUUAGACCGGAAGCAUCCUAUCUAAAAAAAACCUUGAAACUCAAUCCUCAAUCAAUCAAAUAUUGAAGGAUGAAAUUGAAAAAAAAAAUCAAUUAGGCAAAAGGAUUCAAAAUAAAAAAUAGCAUUUAAAAGAAUAAGGAUCAAAAUUGAAAUAUAAGAUAAAUUUUAUGUUUAAUUAAAGGGUGAAAAUGAAAAGAAAAAUCAAUUUAAUAAAAUGAUCCAAAAAAAAUCUAAAACAAUCAACAAAGAUUGAAAAUCAAAAUUGAAAUAAAAAAUAAAAAAUAAAAUUGAUUAAAGAGUGUGAUUGAAAAGAAAAACCAAUUCAAUAAAAGGAACAAAAAUAAUAAUCAAAAGAAUGAAAACCAAAUUGGAAAAACUAACAUAUCCCAAAUUGGAAUUGAAUGAAGAAAUUAAAAAUAAAUCAAAAUUUUAUAAAAAAAUCAAGAAUAUAAAUUAAAAAUUAAAAGAAUAAGAAUCUAAAUAGCAAUAUCUAUAAAUCAGAGAACAACUAUGAAAUCUUGCAUGGAUAACACGAAUUUUAAAAAGAUAAAAGAAAAAGAAAAGGGAAAGAAAAGAAAGUGUUGUCGACAAUAAAUUAAGCCAUCAAUAAUCACAUGCGUCGCUCUAAAAUAAAAAGGACACUAUAGUGCUUCUAACUACACAACAAAAGAAAGAUUUUGAUCAUAGAAAGUCUUUGAAAGUGCUGCAUGACGAGCACGGACACCUCUCACACGAACGCACAUGCAAGUGCUAACCAAUGCAUGCUCAGGAGGAGACUUACUAGAGUUUAUAUAUUUACUGCCAUUGACACUUCCAUGAAUGCUUGCUCCACAACCGAUUUUUGAUUUGAGGCCAAUACAUACAUGUAGUAUAAGCUUUAAUUAACUGGGUUGCUUACCUCACGUAUAGCAACCACAUUAUUCCUGUUAGAGGAAAUUAUAACCCAAUCCCUGUAUUUCAAAGAAAUAAAUAAUUUACUCCCUCUGGUUUAUCAAAUCCUACAUUUAAUACGCGCAAUUUUAUCCAUUUAGAGCUUAAAGUUUAGAAUCUUGAUUUAGAGUCUCCGUUGAUUUGCAGCUAGUUCAUUGCUGGGUUGUCACCAAUUUCCUGUAAUCUUCAACUUUUUUUUGUUGCUGACUUGACGGUCAAAGAUGAUCUAACGAUUAAUUAAUUAUUUUUGAAAUUAGAGGUAUUAAGUUAUUUAGUAUUUAAAAAUAUUUCGGGGACUGAAAUUAUAUUUUGUAUACUCUUUCUAGUUGGUAUAUACGAGAAUUGGGAGAACAAACAGAAGCCAUGAGAUGGCAACCCAAGCCGAGAGCCUCAAAUCCAACCCAUACCAUACCAUAGCUAAGACCAAACCACCCUGAGCCUCCGGGAUGAAUAACCCCAAAGUCAAAUUAGGCAUGGCUUGUUUAUUUGUAUUUUUUGAAAGUGUUUUUUAAAAAUUUAAAUUUUUUUAUUUUAAAUUAAUAUAUUUUGAUAUUUUUUGAUUAUUUUGAUGCGCUAAUAUUUAAAAAAUAAUUUUUUAAAAAUAAAAAAUAUAUUAUUUUGAUAUAUUUUCGAGUAAAAAAUACUUUAAAAUACAAUUAUAACACACUCUCAAGCACGCUAGGAAAUAAUGUUGACUACUUGACAUUUUUUUUUUCCUCCCAUUUUUUUAUGCCACCUUGAUUAUAACCUACAGGCUGCAAUCAUUGACCUUCAAAAUACAACCAUCAAUUAUGGACAAUUAUUUUCGAAAUUAUUAUAUAUUGUAUCCAUAAUUUUUUUCCCCAAGGGUAUUGCAAUGGAAACUAAAUUUCUUCGACUGAAUUUGUACGUAGUGGUAAGCAAAGAAACUAAAUUCUCGUAGAUGAAGUGAAGAAUUUGAGCUGAAAUUAAUUUCUUCGACUUGAACACUAAAAACAUUCCUUCAAUUUCUCCAUGUCAAUUAGAGCCUUGUGGGAGCUAUUUGAUUGGACAUAGCAACUUAAGAAUACAAAUUGUUGUGUACAAAUAUAAAUCUAAGAAAUUAAUAGGUCAAGGAUGACAUUAUUUAUUUCAAAGCUUGCUGUUUAAUUAGUUGAAUUCCAAUUUUAAUGAAACUAAAACUUUUGGUAUCAUAAAAUUCCAUCCCAACCUAAUUUAUCAAUUAAUGUUUAUUAGUUUUUGUGUUUGUUUCUUGAACUUAUGUAAUAAGGUAGCUUUUGACAUGGCUUGGGAUUCUGGACUUCUCUAUACAUGUCUGGACUCAAAACUUGUGUCCUUUUUAUGUAAAAAUCUUUAAACAGUACGGCCCCCAAAGCCCUCUGCUGGACGGGCUUGAAAUUCAGAAAGAGUCGCAACAUACCAUGAAUAUAUGAGCCCGUCAUUUGAUUUUAGUCUAAUGUGUAAUUUUUUUGUUUUAUUAUAAUGGUAAUUUGGGUUAGUUUUAUACGUUGAAGUUAAAUAUUUCUCAAUUAGAUUUUAAGCAGAAUCUCUAUACAUUAAAUUGAUAUAAUUUAGUAUGGAAUCCUUAAUGUUUGAACUUUGAAUAAUAAUAAAUUGAAAUUAAACAUGGCUGGACCAGCUAUUUUGGGCAUUUAGCAUAGAAAACUAUUUUUUUUUGUGAAAUAAUAUAACUGUAAAAUAUAUUAUUAAAAUAGCAUAGUUUGAGUUUGUUACAGUUUUGAAAGGUGAUAUUUAAUUGAUAUUAUAUUUCUCAAACGCGACUUCUUUAUAUGUUUUUUUAACUGUGAGAUUAAUUAAAUAUCGUAUUUAAAAACUGUGAUUUUUUGAUAUAUCAUGUUUUGAAAUCAUGAUAGCCAACAAAAUAACUAAAAGUUCUAAUAGCCAAAUCUCAUUUCAUCCUACAUCCUACAUAUUGAAGGGUUCUUAUAAAAUUUAUGGUGAAUUAUUUCACAUCGUAUGAAUUUAGAUUAAAUUGCAUAACAACUCCAAUUCCAACUAGGGUGGGGUUAUGUGCUUGUGUUUUGUGAUACUGGGAAGAAUAUAAAUUUUAUGACAUGUCACGAUUCAGAAUUAUAAUAUGUAAAGUUAUUAUUAUUCUAAAGUGCAAUAUGAAAAUUGUUACGCUAGAUAAAAGCAAGCAAUGUUUAUUAAAUAUCGCAAUCCUAAAUCGCAACAAUUUUAAAUUGUGUUAUUUCUACAAAAGUUUUUUAAACUGUAUUGGUUUAAAUUUUUCUCACUGUACUAAUUUUUUUAUUAUAAAAAAGUCUUUAUGAUUUUAUUAUUUAUUAGUAGAAAGAAUAUGAUUGAAUUUUUUUGCAACCAUCUUAACUCAUCAACACAGGACUAGUGUGGAGUUUUGCCCAUCCAUAACAAAGCCUUGUUCAGCACUUGUUAGUUGACUUGGCUCUCUACUCUACACUUUUUAAAUGAAAAUGCAAUGAUUGUGCUUAUCUGCAUGGGGGCAUGGCGUGGAACACGCACUCAUCAAGCAAUUGCAUGUGUGUCCUUCACUCUCUCCCUCGAAAAACCUCUCUAUCUCUCUCUCACACCUCGCCCUGCCUCUCAAGUUGUAAUACUAUAACAAUGUUUGUGUGCAUAUUCAACAUAUAUCAACAAUUUGAUAUGUAAAGAGAGUGAAGAAAAAGCAAAAACGUGUGGGAGCUAAUGAGUCUAUGUUUUGAGUUUCUCAGACUUUCUCUUGCAUCAAUACAGAGAAAAAACAAGAAAGAACCCAUUGUUUUCGUCAAAGAAGAAGAAUCCCAACAAGUAAAAGUAAAGAAAAAGGAAAAGGAAAAAGAUGGUGUAAAUAAAUAAACAAAUGGAAAGGAGAGGUGUACGAGAUAGAGCAACCUUGAAGCACCCAGAAAAAAUAAUAAUGGAACGUUCUUCAAAGACAUUUCGAAAGUUAUGAAACGCUCAAAGCUAUUUGUCUUCUUCUGAUAUCACGAGCCUUUUGUCUCCAGCUUCGGUCUAAUACCUACAUAAUUAAUUAAUUAAUUAAUCAACAUAAGUUUUUUUUCCAGCAGAAAGUCAUGCACACUUAAUUAGAGAAUAUAAUUAAUUAAUUUAUUCCAUGCGAAAUGAGAUUGAUACAUUUUGAAGAUGCAUGGUAUCCUAAGUAGAAUCCAAUUGGGCAAUUAAUUAAUAGCCAGAUUUCAAAAUAUGAAUCGAUUAAUUUUCAUGUACAUAGAUUAAUUAAUCUCUUGAACAUAAAAUCCUUAAUCCACUAAUUCUAUGACUAUUUAUUACCAAACUACAUCGUUAUCAUUAUUUUUAUGUAGUAUGAGUUAAUUAAAAUUAUUAAAAAACAAAAUAAAUCUUAUCAAACAAUAUUUUAAGUUUUUAUAUUGAAAUGUUUUUUUUUAUAAAUAUUGGGAUUCACUAUAUACCAAGUAAUAAAUAAAUAAAAAAUUCUAAAUUUCCCUUGUUCCUUAAUUUGAUCUUCUGAGACAUCCUUCAUGUGUGACUAGAGUGAGAGGUUUGCGAGCAGUAGAUGACAACGAUGUUGAAACCAUAUAUAAAAGCUUUGUAAUUAGAAGAGGAGCAUUUUUGGAGAAAGAUGACUGAGUCUUUGGGAAAGUGAAUCUCCAUUUUCGAUUGUCAGCAGGUCGUGAAAACACAUGUAUGCUUGAGAUCAUCAUAUUUUGGGCAGUGCUUUGCAAAGUUAUAGGUAGAGUUAUUGAAUUCGAUUAAUUAAAGUCAAACAUUAUAUGUUUUGUACUUGUAGCACGUUUAAAAUAUUGUAUGUGUACUUCAUUUAGCUAGCAUAUUAUAUUUUGCAUCAAACCAUAUAAUUAAUUCGCAUGUAUAUAAUUUAUUUUCUUUCCAAACUUUGAAUUUCAUAAUUUACAGAAAUAUUUUAAAUAAUAAGCUAAACCCAUAUAAAUAAUAAAACUUAAAUGAAAUAAAAAUAUCUCAAAUCUAAUUAGAUUACAAAAAUAAUCUUAACCCAUUACAAUAAUUGAAUUAUAAAUUAUGCCCUCUCAAAUUAGUAGCAUACUUGUAUGGAGAGACAACGUGUCCCCCAAGAAAAAAAAAAACUUAUUGUUUAUAAGUUGGCUGGCAGUAAGUGAUUUAAUUUCGUAAAAAUCGUACGGACGACAGCAAUUAGUGAAUAGAAAUAAUAAAUUCCUUGGAAAUAAUGUUGGGGAAAGUAAUUAUACAGUAGACAAUAGUUGUCCCACUACAUUGAAUUAUGGCCGAACCAAUUUAAGUUUCCCAAGGAAUAUGAAAAUCUUCCCAUUGAUGAUUAGAUUGAUAUCCAAUUAUUGUGUCCUAAAAGUUAAUUAUCAGCGGAAAGUAUACAGGGCCUAGCUUUCAUAUUUAAUUAACGAAAACUUCAGAAUUUUCCACAGCUAGACUCCCUUGAUCACCACUCAAGACUACCUUGAAGCCACAGUCUUUAUAAUCAUCAAAUCCAUCAGAAAUUUUCUGGGAAUGAUCAUGACCAUCAUCAUAACUAUGAUCAUCCAGCAAUGUCAUGUCACCAUGUUCUUUCUUUCUUUCCCUUUCUUCUUUUAAAGAACGGUCAUUUCUACAUAGCUGUCUCGAUUGCAAAGAAGACAAAGGAACUAGCUCCAAGUGGGUUUCAUGGACUCAAUGGAUUGGUGAAUAAUUUCGAGAGCAGGUGAAUUUGAGAAUGGAUGGUCAGAUGGGGCCUAACACUAUCGACCACACAUGAUUGCCUGCUUUUCUGAUGAGACUUUUGUAGCUUGUGUUCCCAUCAAACUUAGACUGGUGUGAAAUAGUGUUUGAAAAGAGGACCAUGGGACAAAACAAAGAUAAAUUGGAGCACUUUGAUUCAGAAAGUUCAAAGCGAUCAUUUGUUUCUUUUGUCUAAUUGUCUUGAUCCUAACAAAAGUAUUUCUCUUGCUCACUAUUAUACAACCAACACCACACAAUUAGGAUAGUAGUUAGAACUUUGGUUAAAUUUAUGAAUUAAGCGUUUGUUUUUGGAUUGGGUUAUAUUAGCAUUCUUUAAAUUAAACCUUUUAAAAGAUACGAAGAUACUCGGAUAAGAACUAAAAACAAAAUACUCAUAAAAAAAUAAACAAAUAAAUAUAAAUUAACCCCAGUCUAAAAAGUGAGGAGAACAAAAAUCUUGGUUAAUUAUUUUUAUGCGAAGAAACUUUGUUUUUUUUCUUUUUCAAUAUAAAAUUAAAAAAAUGUAAUCAUAUGUUGAGAAGAAAGAUGAAUUGUAUUCAUAAAAAAAAAAUACAUCAAUACAUAACUAUUUUUCAAAAAAAAAAUCAAAACCAUAAUUUAUAAUAGUUAUUUUAAUAUUCGUGAUAAUUUAAUAUUAAAAUAUUAAUUUUAUUUUUUAGACCAAAAAUUAUCAUGAAACGUUAUGUCAUUUCCUAAAAAAGGGAGAAAGUCUUUAUGUUAGAUUUAAAAUGAAAAUUAAAUUAAUGACAAAAGAAUGAAGGUGUGAAAAAUUAUUUUAAUCUAUUACACCGAGUGUUUGUAUCAUGAAAAACAAAAGGUCAAAGACAACACAAAAUAAAAUAUAAUAUUCAAUGUAAUUACACUUACUCCCUUGCCAUAAUGGACCGGCAAUUUAAGCAGCUUCAUUAAAUAACACAUCUUCAAAUGAUUAAAAUAUUUUAGCUGUUACUUUUUUUUGUCCUAUUGAUAGCCUCUUCUACUUAAAAAAAUGAGAAGACAUUAAUUCAUUCAAUGCAGUUUAAUCUGUUUUUAAAAUUAUUUUUCACUUAAAAAAACAUUAAAUUAAUUUUUUUGAUAUUUUUAAUGUACUAAUAUAAAAAAAUAUUAUUUUAAUUUAUUUUUAAUUAAAAAAUACUUUUACAAAUACAUAUGAUAGCACAUCACCAAACACAUAUUUAGGCCAAGAAAACAAUCUGUCAAACUGCCACUGCCAAAUAUCUCGAGGCCCUUUAAAUUCCUUAGUACAUAUAUAAGAUUAAAUUGGUUAAAAUUUAUUUUUAAUAUUAAAAUAAUUCAAAAAUACAUACAAAAUAAAAUAAUUUGAAGUUAAAAAUAUAAUUUUUUUCAAAAGUACAAUCCAACUAUAAUUCAAAACAUUCCAUGGUGUAUUUUUCAAAACAAUCCAACUAUAAAUCAAUUUAAUAUUUUUUAAGAUAAAAAUACUUUUGGAAAGCACUGAAAAAGAAGCAAAGCUCUCCCGAACAUAAAAAAAAAAGCUAUGAUAUUUGUUUAUUUUCUCAAAAACAAAUAAAUUUUAUUCCCCAUCCUUGCUUUUUGUUACCUCAAAAGUAGAAAUGGUCGUCUGGGCAGACUGUAUUGUUUGAGCUGGAUGCGUUCAUCACAGGCUUGGAAUUAACCCAGCAAGAGUGGGAAACUCCUUUUUGCAUGUGAAGGUGAAGCACCUUUCAACACAGUUAAUUCUUAAAAUGAAAGAAAGCGAGGAGUAAUGAAGCAAGGCUGUUCAAGAAAUUUCCAACCCUAACCCUAUCAUCUAAGUAUGUGUUUUACAUCAUGAUAAUUUUUGUGAUUAUAAUUUAAAAAUAUUAUAAAUGAUAUAUUUUUUUUAAUAAAGGUUUCAAGAGAGACUUUUAUUAAAAAGAAAUACCACACUUUAUAGUUUUUUUUUCAAUGAAAACUAUGCAAAACUAUAAUAUGUAUUGAUUAACUAAAUAUUUUUAAAAUCAUGAUCAUAGCAAAAUGUAGUUUUUAACUAUACUACCAAACAGACUUUAAAUACAAUAUCAAUGGAAAAUAAAACAUCAAACAUUGAAUCUUCCACCUAAACACCACGAAUCAUACUUGAAAUCUGAAUUUAAUCUCAGAACACUAAUAUUAAAAUAAAGACUAGACUUAUGAACCAUGCUAUGGCACGGGCCUAUUAAUUUUUUUUAACGUACAACAUUGAUGUUUAGGCAAUGGUAUUAUUUAUAAAGAAGCAAGAAAAACUUGAUGCUUGAGUUAUUAAGUUGAUUAGAUCCAAUAAAAUUGAGUGAUAUAAUAGUUUGAUUUAAACCAUAGGCAACAAUAACAGAUAAAUUGUACAAAAAAUAUUUGGUAACAAUUAACUAAAACAAAUAAGUCGCUAAUAUCAUAUUCAAAAGAAAAAGAAAAAAAAAUUCACUGGAGACUCACCUUAUUCCACUAUGGACAAUGCCCACUACCAGAAGACCUUGCCGAGACGGUCCAAACCCUAUUGCUAAAGAGUGCAUAACACAUUAAAAGAAGUCGCAUGGGUUGCUAGAGCAAUGCCACGAAAAAAACAAAAAAUGAAGUGCUCAUUCGUCUAUAUUCAACCAAUCAAUUCUAUUUAACUCAAUUAUAAAUUUUAUCUAUAAAAAUAAACUUAAUAAAUAAAAAACAAUAAAUAAAAAGGCAUGAGAGAACCCAAUCAAAUAAAAAAACAAAGGAUAAAAUAAAAGGUACAUAAAGUUGGAAAAAAUGGAGCCCAAUCUCCAAUUUAAUAAAUAUCAAAGGAUAAAACUGAAAAAUCAUUAGCUUUAAAAAAUAUAAAAUAAAAUAGAUAAAUCCCGAACGAAUCCCCUAAAACUAAGUUAAUUUUCAAAACUUGCAACCUGUGAAAUCCUAGACAUGAGCUAAACCAGGAAACUAAAAUCCAAAUAAAUUAAAAGUUGAAGGAUGAAAUCGAGUAAAAAAAACCAAUUUAAAGAAUUUUGCAAAAAAAAAAAAAACAAUCAAAAGAAUGAGGAUAAAAUCUAAUAGAAAAAAUAACAAUGGAGGGUGAAAUUAGAAAAAAAAAAUUAUCUCAGAUUUUAUAAAUAGAAAUUAAAAGAAUAAUGAUCAAAUUUGAUAAAGCAAAAACUUGAAUGAGAAUGAAAUUGAAUUUCAUAAAUUAUUUAAAAUAAAGCAAAUAAUAACCAAAAAAACAUGAAAUGGAUAAAAAAGAAAGAGAAGUUUGCAGGAAUUGCAAGGCAAACACAAAAAUUGAAGAAGAGAGGAAAAAAAAUGAAUGGUGUCCGUGACAAACUAGCGAACUUCUACAUGCAUACAUAUUUUUUUUAUGAAGAACACACCGAGAUGUAUAAAAAGCAACCCCAGGACAACAAUUUUGAUCUCCUGAACCAGCAACACGUGUCAACAUAUUUUUUUAUUUAUUAAAAUACUUAAAUGACAUAAACACCCUUUAAUCUACGAGUUAAAUUAUUUGAUAUUAAGAACGCCAAGAUCUUUUUACUGUGCAACAAAAAUUAAAAUUACAGAAAAGCCCCCCUGUCAGAUAGUUUUUUUUUUCAAGUGUAAAAAGCUUAUUUUACUGUGUAUUUUUUCUAUGAAAAUACAAAAGAAACUCUAGUAGAAGUUAAAAAAUUAUUUAUUUUAAAGAUAGGGAUAUAAUUUUAUUGUACAGUUAAAAUGUAAAAUUUUCAUUUUAUCCCAAUCAAUUUUUGAAUACAGAGAUUAUUUUACCCUUAAAUAUUUAGCUAAGAUUUUUUUUCUUUGAAGGUCAAAGAAAAUGCUAUUCCUGUUCACAUUGAAGUGUGGUAGGUGAAAAGUGUUUUAUUUUCUUUUAUUAUAAUGUUACAUAAUAUGAGAAAAAUGUUAAUUUAGUUGGAUCACAAGUGCCCUAUUUCAAAUUAGUGAUUUGUUUUCUCUCAUAAAAACUAAUGGAUUCUAACAAUGUUGCAAAAAUCUCAUUGACUCACAAGAGCACCAAGUCAAAACAGUUAAAAAAUAGAUAAACCAGUUGCCUGUCUUCUUUCUUUACAUUUCCAACCAAUCCUUUUUCUGACAUACCUUCUUCCUCACAGAAGGUCCUGACCCCAUCUUUUAUCACCACUUCACCAAAAAUUUUCCUUCUCAAUGAAGAGAGAGAGCAUUGUAGUUCUGGUAUUAAUAGCCAUCUUUGUUGAGAAAUAAAGGCUCACCUCUCUUUUUCUCACUGUAUCUCUGGUUAACUUCUCUCCAAGUAAUGUAUUCUACAUCUUCCUUGCUCUAUCUGUCUUUAAAGCUGAACUGAGAGCUGCAAACUGAGCAAUCAAUGGAUUUUAAUCUUGAAAACCCAUUAACAAAUUCUCAUGAGCUUCACUUUGACACAACCCCUUCUCUCUUCCUCAUUGAAUCUGACCACAUGCCUUCAAAGAACUACUUAAAGACCCUCAAAGAGAUAGACUUUGAUGUCUCUUUUAGAAGAGAAGCCAUCUCUUCUGUCUUAAGGGUAAGUGGAAAAAAAUGUAAAACAUAAUAGUCUGCUUUGCAUCAAGUAUUUAUGCAUACAUUUCUUGAUCAGUUCUAACAUAUUAUUUCUUGUGAUCUUUUCAGGUUUCUUGCAACUUCGAUCCGUCCUUGUCCUAUCUUGCUGUUAAUUACCUCGAUAGGUUCUUAUCGAGCCAAGGAAUUCCUGUAAAGAAUCAAAAUCCUGUUUUAUUUAUACACAAAAAAAAUAUAUUUUCAUGGGUUGUGUUUGUCUAUUUAUAUUUUGCUUGAGAUCCAACUGAAUUUGUUAUUAACGUUUAAUCAUCACAGCAACCAAAGCCAUGGGUCUUUAAGCUUCUCGCAGUUGCUUGUGUCUCUCUAGCAGCCAAAAUGAAGGAAGCAGAAUUCUAUGUCACUGAUAUUCAGGUAAAUAUUCAUCCAAUACAAUGUCUAUAUCAUAGACCCACUUGUGAAAGAUCAAUAAUUUUCUUCAUCUUGACUGUCAAACAAAAAAAAAAACCAUCUUGAUUAUGAAAAAAGAAAUAUUUUUUUCAUCUGUGUAGGGUGAUGGUGGUUUUGUAUUUGACCCUCAAACAAUACAAAAGAUGGAGGUGCUUAUACUUGGGGCUUUAAAUUGGAGGAUGAGAUCAAUCACGCCAUUCUCCUUCAUUUCUUUCUUCAUUUCUUUGUUCAAACCUAAAGAUCCACCAUUGAGGCAGGCUCUUAAAGCUAGAGCUUGUGAAAUCAUCUUCAAAGCUCAAAAUGGUAUGUAUAUUUAUACAAAAAUCAUAUCCAGGCAAAUGGAAAAUGGCUAAAAUUGGAGCUAUAUUUUUUGUUUUUUGCCCCUUUUCAUUGGAUUUUCAUGACUGAGUGCUGAUUUAUCUUGUCUGCAGAUAUCAAUCUUUUGGAGUUCAGGCCAUCAUUAACUGCUGCUUCAGCACUUCUCUAUGCUUGUCAUGAACUUUUUCCUAUGCAGUUUUUAUGCUUUAGAAAAGCCAUAUCCAUCUGCUCAUAUGUAAAUAAGGUAAUUUUUAAUUGAAUUCUGAUUUUUAACCUUUUAUUUUUUAUCAAAUUAAUUGCACACUUUAAACAUAAAAAGGGAAAAGAAUUGUUGCCUCGAGAUAGUGCAAAUUAAUGGGUGAGUGUGAGAUUUAAAAAUUGAAAUCUCACAUAAUUUUUUAAAAUUGAAAAAUCUAAAAAGCUCUAUUUUUUAAAAUGCUAUCUUCAUAAUUUUAAUUUAGAGUGCACAAUAAUGUUGUAAUGGCAUGGUAAUUAAACUUUCCAACUGUAAGAAAAAGGGCUUUGGUUGAUCUCCCUCUUUGUAUUUUAAACCUUUCUAAAACAAAAAGAUGUAUUUAAUUAGGUCUUUAUUUCAUCUCUUUAACCAAAUGCUUUUAUAUAUAUAUAUAUAUAUAUAUAUUGUGUAUCUUUCGAUUCAAUUAUAAAAUACUAACUAAACACAACUAAUACAUUACCCUUACACAAUGAUGUUACAGGAAAACUUGUUGCAAUGCUAUAAUGCAAUGCAAGAAACAGCAAUGGAUGGUUACAAGUCACAAUUUGACAUGGUGUCAAGUUCUGAUACGCCAGUCAACGUGCUUGACCGGCACUUUUCAAGCUCAGAAAGUGAAAACACCAAUGGGACUGUUGUGAUGAUAUCUAGCAAUGGCAGCAACAAAACCUGGCCAGAGAAAGGCAUCAAGAGAAGAAAGAUCAGUGCUCUCUGUAAUAAUCAAACGGUUCAGCUUUCAGCUUUCUCAGAUGCAACAACUAUGCUGAUGUGAGGAUCGAGUUUUUUUUUUGGUGAAAUAGUUAUCACUGGUUCAUUUGAGUGUGACUCUAGCUGCUACAAAUAACAAGGAUGAAAAUGAAAGAAAAGACAUUGAGAAGAAAAAGGGGAUUAUUAGAGAGUUUGCUGGAGGGAGGUUGAUGUAUUGAAGAAAUUUCAAUCCUAUCGUGCAUGCCGCAUGAACUCACUCAAUGCAACCUAUUAUCUUUAACUAGUUAUAAAAUUAAAAGGGGAAUUUUGAUUUAUUACUGCCAAAAAGGACAGAACUUCACUUUGAAUUGCUGGGAUGGAUUUCUGUGGUUCUUUUUGGUUUUAUGUGGGUUAUGUCCUCGUGCCUGGCUGAGUCACUGGAUCAUAGUACUAACAAUAAUGGGGCUGCUGGGGAAUACAGCACAAAUGUUAUUUUAUAAAAAAUAUUUUUAUAUAUAUUUUGGAUAAUUUUAAUGUAAUAAUAUUAAAAAUAACAUAAAAAAAAUGAAGAAUAUAGACUUGAACUAAUUUAGUAAUUUUUCAUAUGAGGAUGGUUUUUUAUUUUUAUUAUUCUAUACAUAAGCAGAUGUCAAAAUAAUGGAUUAAAAAUCACCUAAAUUUAGUAUCAGUAAAAGUGUUUUAAAAUAAAGAGUUUGGCAUGCCUUCUUUUAUUUUAUUUUAGGGUUAGCUGAAGGCUUCUGAGGGAGCACUUUAUCCAUGUCUCAGGGAUUUGCUGUGGAUAUGUUGGGCUCAAACAGUAAACAAAUUGCACAGCCACAAAAAGGCUCGUCAUGCUUUGCUUCUAUAUAUUAUCAAAAGUUUUUGGGGUUUGGAGACCAUACAUGGAAAUGAGACAAAAAAUUUUUUUUAAAAAAUAAAGUUUAUGAUUCUUUAUCAUGGGACAAAUCCAUGGUCCCCUACAAAUUGAGAUUUCCCUAUCAAAGAUUAUUUGGAUCCAUCGCUGAGAUCUCUGUUCUUUGAGGUAGCAGAUGAUAGGGAUUGUACACAAGAGAGCAUUAAGAUUUAGUGCAUGCGCGUGUUUCAGUGUUCGAGAUUGUAAUAAAAAUUAUUAUUUUUUUAAAUGUUUUUAAAUAAAAAAUACUUUUAAAAUUAGGUAACCAUGAGCUAACAAAGAAAGGGUUAUGAAAUUGAAAAAACAAAAUUGAUGCAAUGGGUGGAAAAAGGGUAUAAAUUCUUUCAAUUUUCUCUAUACUUUCUUUUGGAAAUAUGUAACAAAACAUUAUCUCUUAGUUUUGUCUCUAAUUAAAAAACUUUGUCAGAUUGGUAUCAUGCAAUGCAAAAACACCUUCGACAGGAAAUCCUGUUUGACAUAAAAGCAAGAAAGUGGGUAGCUGGGAAGGACACUGUAGUGAUGAUCAAUGUGUCUCUGCUUUGAUCCAUGGCAUCAACUGAGGAUGGUCAAUGCCUCUCUUUUUAACUAACCAGAUCAACAUCUAGCUAUAAUUGAGACACAACAAUAAUUCAUUUUACUUUUUCUGUAAUUGUAUACUAGUAGGACAGGAAGUAGAUGAACGUACGAAAUUUAUGCAACUUUUCUUUCUCAUAAUUUGCCAAUCAAUUACAUGUUCAUCUUAUUGUAUUAAUUAAAAUGUAAGCGUAUUUUCAAGAAUAAAAGUUUGAUUCUUAAAAAUUAAAAUUAAUUUUCAAUAUAAUAAAAGAAUAUGUUAAUAUUAUGGAUACUUUAACCAAGAACAAAUAAAUUAUAUUUUUAUAAAUACAUCAUGUAAAUAAGAAUUAAUUAUAUAAAAUAUGAAAGGAAAAAAAUAAAGAUAAAUUACAAUAAUCUCUUUGAAAUAUAAUCAAAUUAAAAAAUAACUACUAAUUAAAAAAUGUGUCUUAAGAAAUUUUAAAAAAUAAAAAUAAAAGAGAGGGUGAUAUUUAAAAUUAUCAUUAUAAACAAUGUUUCCACCCCUUCUUUUUUUAAUUGUAUUGUUAUGCUUCUUCAUUAGCAUAUAGAAAUGUCCAAGUAAUGGAUUAAAUUAGUCUUUCAUCUUUAACGUGAUAAUCAGAUUAAUUUAAUUAUAAUCGUAAUGAAAUCAUAAUGGAUAUGAAGUUUGAUUCUCUCUUCCUCCUAACAUUUUUUAUGUUUAUUGAAAUAAAAUUAGAUUUAAAAAUUAGGGUAUUGCACAUUUACAUCUAGUGAUAUGAUGGCAAAUUUAUCAAAUUUUUUAUUUACAUAAUCAGGUAUGAAUUGAAGCUCCGUCGAGAAAGAGGAUACCGUCCCUCGUUCCAUACCCAACCCAAUAGGGAUUUUUCUUUUGCUCUACCUCCAUCUCCAUCGAGAAACUGCUUGGAAACAGGGAAGGACAGUUUGUCUAAAUAUUUUGUCUAAAUACAAUUUUAGGCCAGCAUGCUUCAUACAGGGAAGGACAGUUUUUCGUUUUUUUGACACCACUUCGCAUGCGAAAACAAAACUAGCUAGGUUAAAAGCUUGGCUAGAAACAAAUGUAAACUCGCUUAGUGGGGCCAAUAACUUACACCAAUCUCCCUUCCCAAUCCUCAUAGCCAACAAAAGCUUGCAUGAAAUAAAUAAAAAGCUAGAAGAAGAAAUGGCAGAGAAAGGUAUGGACUUCAGAGAGUGAGGAAGUCCCUUUGAUUUCAUUUGUCAUUCUCCUGCGCUGGCUGGACUCUGCUGCGUGCUAGUAAUUAGUAAUGCAAUUAAAGUUAGUGGAUACCCUACUCAAAGUCACAUGGAACCCGAGAAAGAGAUAAAAGUUGAUAAAGUUCUUACUCUCCUUUGUAAAUCCACCACUAUAUGUGCCAUAAUAACAAAGAACAAACGUUGCUUACAGGCUUGAGUAUUACUUGGAUAAUUUACUUUGGAAGAUAUCAAGGGAAUCUUUCUCUACGAUUGUUCGAUCUAAACCAUUGGUAUCCAUAGCGAGCUUGUAAAUCCCUCUUAUUAUGGUUUCCAUUAACGUUUUUUAUAUGAAAGCGGCCGGGAUGCAUUUGACGUCCUUGGCAAUCCUUUUACAUCAGUAUCGAACUGACAACAGGCGUUGCAUAUUAUAGAAGAAGCUUCCACCAGCCCGCCCUGGUUCGCGGGGUUGGGUGGAUGGAUUAAAUCAGAUGAAUCAAAACGAUAUCGUUAGGAUUUAAUGACAUUAUUUUAGAUUAAAAUGUGACAACGUUUAAUAUAAAACCUGAUCUAAAUUAAGUAUCAGAUCAAUAGAUUGAUCUAUAAAAACGGUACCAUGUUUAACAUGGUUUGAUAAUGGCAUUCUAUGCUUAUAUUAACCCAAACAAAACAUGUCAUACUUACACACGGGGCUUGUAGCUCAGUGGCCUUGGCAGGCUUUGCCCUGCCUGAGUGCCCUGGUUCGAGCUCUGCUGUGUACCCAGCACUUGAGGGUCUAGUUGCUGUGGUCCAUCGUGGACUUGUUCCGCCCCCCCUCCCGGGUUCGACCCUCUAUGUGCACGCCUGUCACCCCCACGGUGCCUUACCUGCUCCUGGGCUUGCAGGAUGUCCAGUGGGCCGUGGGGAAUAGUCGUGGUGCGCGUAAGCUGGCCCGGACACCCCACGUGAAUCAAAAAAAAAAAAAAACAUGUCAUACUUUUUAAUUAAUCAAGGCACACAGCCUUGUUUAUUCUAUGGUUUUGCUCUCUACAUUUGUCAACUUGUCGGAUUCCUUCAUACAUAAAAAACUACAAUCCAUAUUUUUGGUUUAAGGAAAAUUCUGUUAGCCAGUUUAGGCUAAAUAAUUUUAAGCAUGACAAUCUCAGUGGAAAUAACAGAGAUUUUUGUUUUGUGGAAGUCCAAGAUUGGGUAUUUUAUUUUCUUGGUUCUGAACAUUAAAAUUCUUUUGUCACUAAUCCAGAUAAAUCACGGGCCUUAUGGUCUUGAAGCCAUGGCCUGUCUUUGAUGUUGACACUUGUUUUUGGUCCUGACAGAUAACACUUUAUCCCAGGCCUGGUUUUAUCUAGCCAUUUUAAAACUUCAGCUGCUUAGACAAUUCCUCCAUGUUGGACCUGUUUUAAAGGUCCAAUCAAGCCUAUAGCAAGUCACUUAGCCCCGUUUGAGCAAGCCAUUCAUAUUUCUUCGAGUUCCAAAAUGUUCAUUAAUUACCCUAAAAAAUAAUAAUAAAAUGUUCAUUUUGAAUAAGUACAGUGUUGUUGGAAAACACACACACACUUCCUCCAUAUUGGACCUGCUUCAAAGGUCCAAUAAAGCCUAUAGCAAAUCUAUUUCCACUUAGCCCUGUUUGAGGAAGCCAUUCAUAUUUCAUGAAGUUCCAAAAUGUUCAUUAAUUACCCAAAAAAAAAAAUUGUUCAUUUUGAAUAAUUACAGUGUUGUUGGAAAACAAGCGCGCGUAUGUGUAUGUGUGUGUGUGUGUAUAUAUAUAUAUAUUAUGAAAAAGGAUUUUCAUAGAAACAAGGAUUUAUUUCCUUUUGAUUGAAAAAAUAUGUUUUUUUUUUUUUAAAUAUUAAUUCCAAAAUAAGCAUACGAUAUAAGUUUGAGUGAGUAUUAUAUAAACAAUUCUCAACACAUCUUAUAAUCGUGUAAAUACUUUUUGAUUGAAUGGUUUUUUCCCAUAAAAAGACAUCAAUCACACAAGAUAUUCUAGAUAUACGGAUGGUAAGCGCAUAUUUAUGUUAAGGGCCUAGAAAAUUAAAUGCUUGAGUGAAAUUGAAUCUCGUUUCACACUAAAAAUAAAUGAUUUGACUGAAAAAGCAAAGCAAAUAAUUGUCAAAAUCAAUUUGAACGGAGGAAGAAAAAAAGCUGACAUCAAAUCUUGUCCGAUUCAAGACUCGUGAUUCUUGGCGAAUUGGGUUUACUUCACUGUAUGUGUCCUCUCUGCAUGCAUGUAACACGACUACCAAGCCAGCACCCACAGCCAUAAAAGGUGUAUUGUUUGAUAAAAAGAAGGAAAAAUAGAAGUAGUUUUUUCCAUCCACUAAAAAUGCUUGAUAUCUUAGUCAAAAGAUCAAAAAAAGAAAAUCCUUAAAGUCAUAAAAUUUGUGACUAGCAUGCCAUGAUGUCUUACAAAGAUACAUUUUUUUAAGGUAUAAAAUUGUUUAAUGUAAAUCUCAAAAGAUUGAUUCAAAUAACAAUAAUGUUUUAGGUUUUAUCUUAACAAAUUCAGUUGAUAUAUCAAGGAAGGAGCUCGAAAAUGAGAUUAAAAGGGUCAAAUUAGAAAAAUUAUCAUGGGAGAGCUGGAAUUUCAUCAGGGAAGCUAGAAAAAAAGUUUUUCUUGCAUUGGAUAUAUCAAUAUUUGAUUAAUUUUAUUUGUAAAUAUAGAUGCAGCAAGGUUUUUUAAUUAUAUAAACAUGCAUAAAAGUCCUAAUAGUUUAUAUACAUCCAGUAUAUUUAUUUAUACACCAAUUUUUCUAGCAUUAAAUAUAUAAAGUCUAUCCGAAUUGGAUGUCUAUACAAAAAUUAAUAAGCUUUGAUCGAAUUGCAUUUCGCGCGGGGGUGUGUGUGUGUGUGUGUGUGGAUCUUCUUUUCCCAAAAAAUAACGUGACAUCCAUGUUUUGCAAGUCAAUUAUGCACAACUAUUGAGGGACACAUGAUCCUCAGAUUCUGAGGCUCAAAAUGCUGGGAAUUAAAGAUCUCCAAGGCCCACACUUGAAUUUUCUUGAACUGUUUUCACUUUGAUGGUAGCCUCUGAACAGCCGAAGAUGCAUAGCAUUUUCUUGAGGACAUAUUUAUUCAAGGCAAGUUCCUCUAACCUUCAGGUCUUGGUAAUAGUCUAUGAAGUCAAUUUCUCUGUUCAAAUGCAACACUUUCACAUGCCCACUAUGACUUCGAGUGUGUAUUUUAAUAGGAUCAGAGGGCCCAGGAGAAGCUACGACGAAAAAGUCUUGAAGGAUAGAACAAUUAAUAUACGUUUUCCAUGUAUAUUUGAACAAGGAAACUUCCUCUGAAGAAAGUGUGAACUCACGCCGGGUGAAGCACUUGGGGAACACAUGCAUUUCGAAGUAAAUGCAUUAUUCUUAUAAACUUAAUUGCAUCCUCCCAUUUCUUGUCUGGUUAAAUAUUCAUGGACGUUUGUUAGUGUAUUGGCUUAUAUUAUAUAUACUAGAUUCUUGACUUGUGAUGCAUAGUAGGUUUGAUAAUUAUUUUCUAACCUUUAAAAAAAUUAUAAAGACCUUGAGAAUUAAAAAAAUUCUAUACAUAUUGAACAAAAUAUUUUUUAAAUAUUAAAAAGGUAACAUAUUAGAUGACAUAAUUUUUUUUAAAAAAUUAAAAUAACAAUAUAUUGACUCAAUUUAGAUUAGCUAUAGUUAACCUGUGAUCUAGGACAUGAAACCAUAAUAAUCUUAUAGAACUCAAAUCAAAACAAAAUAGAGAGUUUAAUUUUAACUGCACCAAACUAGAGGGAAUUAUACUAGACAUGCCACUCAGAGAUGUAGGCCCAGCAUGAUGAUUCAGAAAAACUUAAGAAAAGCUGCUUUUGACGACCAUAAGCCACCACACACGCCACUUGAACAUGGCGAAGAGAUUUAUAUUGCAUACGCUAACCACUUUUUUUUUCUUUAUUAUUAUUUUAUAUUUAUUGUCAAAUUAUCUCUUUGACCACAUAAUUAUCACAAAAAAAAAGUUGAAAGUAUGAAUAAACCUCUAAAGGCAAGUUAAAUAAAUUUUGAUUUCCAAGGCAACACAAUCAUUUAACAAUAAUAUGAAAAUAAAAUUUUCAAAAAAAUUCUAAAUCCAAGACAAAAAGGGUAAUUAAGGAAUUAUAUUGUGUAAAAAUAUAUAAAAAACCUAAGUUAUUCCCAAUCAAUUUUAUAAUGAUCAAUAAACCAUGUAAAAAAAACCAUAUUAUCUCUAAUAAACAAUUACAUUUUUUAAAAAGAAAAAACAGUAAUUUUAAUUAUCCAAUCCACCAUGAUUAAAUGAAAUUAUAACUUAGUCGCUUAUAUUUCAAAUACCUAUAAAAUAGUCUCUGAACCCUUAAUAACUACUAUCUAAUUUAAACGUCUUAGUUUUUUUUUUUCUUUUUUUUUUAAUUAAGUCUCCAUGCAUCACGUUGUUUUUCCUCUAAAAAAUUAAAAUCAUUGGAGGGUAUAUUUCAAAUUAAAGGAAAUGAUGAAUAAAAGUCAACGGACUAUAGUACAAAAUACCUAUUAUGAUAAUUCCUUAUAAAAAUACCUAUUAUUGGAGGGUAUAUUUCAAAUUAAAGGAUUAUAGAUGCCAAAGGAAUAUGAUUGAGGCAGUCUUUCUUUAUGCUGCUGGAGUAUGUUUUUGAAAUUUUUUUGAAAAUAAUUCUUUAUAUUAUUUUUGGAUUGUUGAUAUAAAAAAUAAAAAAUAAAAAAUAAAAAAUGAUAUUUUUAUGUAUUAAAAAAAACGUUUUUAAAAACAAUCUUUAUUAUAAUUUUAAAUAGAAAUAAAUAAAAAACGCCAAAAGAUGCGAAAUGAUUAAUUGGAAUGGGAACAAUAGUGGGGACAAGCUUGUUGGAUGAUAUUAUUUAAAUUUGAGGACAGUUGAGUUUGUUGAGAUAUCAACCUACAAAUUGCCACUUUCUUCGAAGCUCAGCUGUGGUAAUUAAACAUUUCUUUACUUAUGCAAUUAUCAAAAUCGUCGUGGGAAUUUUUUCUCUCCCAAUGAACCUAUACAUGCACUAAUUCCUUCUCGAAGGAUUUGAGGCUUGAGCCUCUUUCCGGAAUAAUAAUAAUAAUAAUAAUAAAAAAAAACAUAAUAUUUCUUCUGCCCUAUAUUGCCUCCUAAUUCAAUAUUUUAUUUUUUAAAAAAAUGAGGUUUUAAAAUUGAGAUGAAAUUAAACUCUUUUUUUCUGUCAGCAUACGCUUUUAAGAUAAUAAAAUUAUAUUUGAAUAUAAGUUAAUUCCUUAAAUUAUAUACAUGUUUUUCAGGUACAGAUUAAAUGACUGGUUUUAAUAGAUUAGCCUAAAAUCCUUGUGAUCAUAAUGAUAAAUUAAAAGAUUAACGCAUAUUUAAAAAUAAAAUUAACUUCACAAAGAAUAUAAAAAAUAAAUUAGAGAAAUAUCUCAUUCGGAUUUAUCGACAAAAUACAAUCGGAAUGUGUAGUAAUUCACACCAUAUGAAAAUCCAUGCUAGUGGAUUUCCUGCAUUUGGCCAAAUCAACAGGCAUAUGCCCUUGCAUGUUUCAGCCAUCACAACUUUGACUUUGAUUUUACCUCCUCAACUUGAACCCCGUUUCAUGCAUUCUUCGAACAUAGACGAUUUUCUUGUAAAUCAUUCGUUUACAAUGUUUAAAUCAUGUUGCUAAUUGAUUUGUCGAGUGGAAUAUAUAUAAUAACUCAUGAAAUCAUAUUUUAAGGCUCUCAUUGCUUGGAUAUUUAGGGCUCAUUUAGUUGAUAAUUACACCGAAAUUGUUAAUGCAUGUGUUGUCAUUUGUCAGUGGAUUAAUUUGCCACAAUUAAGCUUAAUUAGUCAAUAUUCCUUCUGGGAUAUUUAUGGACAAAAUGAUCAAAAUUAAGUAGAAAAAAAUGAUCAAAAUUACAAAACAAAAUAUAAUUUAUUACACUAAAAUUUAAUCAGAAAAUUCUAUACACCCAGUUUUAUAUUGGUGUCUGCUUGUUGUAGUCAUUCAAAGUUUGAAAGACCUUCAAAUUAGAUUUAAAUUAUACUAUUCGAGUUAAUUUUAUUAUUUUUUCUGUUUUUUUUUUAAUUUUUUAGGAUUCUUAUUGCCUUUUUAUUUAUUUUUAUAUUUCAUAGUUUAUUUAGAUUUAUUUUUGAAUUUAUUUUAAAAAUUAUAAAUAUCUUCUUUCCAUAGAAUUCUAUGUUUUUAUAGUGACUGUUUUUCUUGUUUUAUCUUCAGAAUUAACCUAUGACCUAUCUAGAUCUUAUCUAAUUCUACACUUCAAAAGGUGUCAGAGGGUCGAGUUUCUCGUAAGAAAUUCAAAUUGCAAAAUCGUUUUAGAAUUCGCUAUUUCUUUUAUUAGUUUAGACAUUUUAAGUUUAAUGCACUUUGAUUUUUCCUAAGUCAUUCAGAGAAAGUUUGUAGACAUUAAUAUUAUUGUUUUUAUUUUAGAUUAAGUUUUCAGUGAUCAUUCUCUAAUGCAGUAUCAGAGCUGUUAUUCUUGUUUGCAUUCUUAUGAAAAAAGGCUUGGCUAAGUUCUUGUUUGCAUGCAUGAUCAUAUAUGGAAAUGAACAUAUCUGAUUUUUAGUUUGAGAAAAACAAGCAUUUUACUCCAUAACUUCUCUAUAUUAGCAGAUCCCAUUUACAUAUAUAUAUAUAUUUAUAUAUAGAAAUUCAAUUCUACUACCAUAUGAUUAGUGUUCUACCACAAAUCUGAUCAUGGAAAAAAGCACCAUUUUUAUUUAAUAACUAUCUUGCAGUUCCUGCAUCAUUUGCUGGAUCCAAUUCAUACUAUCAUCGUCAUAGUUGAAUGGAUAGGAUGGCAUGUAUACUUCUUCUGUGAAUAACAAUGAAUGAUAACCAUCUUGGCUGUCAUUGUUGUCGGCUAUAAAUGGCUGGUUCCAGAAACCUGAAUCUUGAAAUAUUUCCAUUGGAGAGAAACUAUCUGCAGCACCAUUCAUGCCUGACACAUAAUCAUUAUUCAUGGAGGAUAACUCACUGCAGGAUAUUUCUUGAGGUGAAGGAAUGUUCUCUACAAUUUUCGGGUGACGAUCAGGUUCUGAUGGAGUAUUGACAGAAACACUUUCAGUUUCGGACUUUUCUGCUUGACUAUCUUCAGACUCUGAAGUUUCACUUGACUGCUCUUUAUUCACCAACUCAGAAGAAACUGAUUGGCUUUGCUUCACUCUCUUGCUCAAGUUGGUGUGCCAAUGAUUUUUAAUCUCAUUGUCUGUUCUUCCAGGUAAUUUCCCAGCAAUGAUAGACCAUCUGUAGAAGACAAAAUCACACUUAGUCAAUCAUUUCCAUCAUAUAGCUAUGCUUUCGAUUUUCCAGUCAAAAGAAAAAAUAUAUACUUAAUUUCUUCACAUGUAUGUGAAAGAAGUGUCAUGUUGUGAAGAAAAUUUCGAUGAAGUUGCAUUCAUUUUGAAAGUAAUGGCAGCUUACUUAUUUCCAAGUUCUUCAUGCAUUUGAAUGAUCAAAUUAUCCUCUUCAUCAGAGAAAUUGCCACGCUUCACGUCCGGCCGGAGAUAGUUCAUCCAUCUUAAUCUGCAACUCUUGCCACACCUUGAUAAACCUGUAAAAGAUGACUAAAUUAAAUUCUAAAGGAAAAAACAGAAAAUUGCACCAUAUUUUGUUUCUUUUUUCAGAAAAUUUUAUGGGAACAUUGACAGGAAGCAACAAAACUCAUAAAAUUAAGGUAAUAUAUUUUCAUCAUCUCUGGAAAUGGGAUUAGAACAUGCUAAUGCUUAUGAUGAUAAAUUGAGAAAACAUGAAUUUAUGGGUGAAAUUCCUUUUUGAAACCCAUUUUAUUUGAAGCAUCAAAGAUCUAGAAAGAAAAUGGUAUCUUACUUACCAGCAAACCUGGGAAGUUGUCGCCAAUUCCAGUGGCCAUAUUUCUGAACAUAAACUCUCAACUUAUCAUCUUCUUCUUUACUCCAUGCACCUUUCCUGAGUCCAUUUUUAUCAACCAAGGUUGCUUUGACCAUCUUUCUAUUGAGAAGAGGAUCUAGCCUUUCUAGUUUCUAUAAUCCCUAUAUUAAGGUAGGAGGGCAAAGUGUUACGAGUUAAGGAUCAAUAUACCUUCACAUCUAUAUAUAUACAUAGAUCACUUCCUUUAACAAUAGGAAGUGAAUUGUCCUCAACCAUGUAAAGUGGAUGAAUGACAAUAGAUCUAAAGGGAAUUGAGGGCCCAUUAGAAAUUGUUAUGGUGGUAUUCUCUUUCGAAGAUUGAAUAAUGCCAUGACUAGAGUGAACACGGAGGCUUCCAAAAGGUGUUUUCUUUUGGUCAAAGUCACAUAGACCAUAUAAUAUUCAGUAUUGCUUUGUUCAGGUCCAGUCAACUGAAAAAAACAGAAAAGAAAGAAGACUAUGUACAGUUCAGUCAAAUGCUCGUGUAAAAACUUCUAUGCAACUAUAUUGCACUAUUGUCUUAAUGGAAAUAGAUCAGAAACUCCAUUUCUGUGAUAUGAAAACUCCCUGUGAAUAUUUAAUUUAGUGUAUGUGCAUGGUUUUUGUUUUCUCAACUUGGAGAGUGGGUAUAGUAGGGCAGCCCCUUCUUAUUCAAACAACUCAUCAAUCUUCUCCACAACUUCGAUGAAAUUUAAGCUCAGAAUCCAUUCUGAUGAGAUGUCAACUUCCUUCGAUAGAACAUUAGCCAUCUUUAUUUUUAAUUUCAUUUUCAUUUUUCUUUUUCAAUUAAAAAUAGGCAAUUGCUAUUCCUUUUCUGAAAAAAAGAAAAAAGAAAUUCUACUAAAAAUUAAGAAAACAUAUCAAGAUUAUAACUAUGUUUUUAUUUUAAAGAAAAAAUGAAUAUGAAUGAUAAUCUAAUUAUAUAAUAUUUAGUUUUAUUUUAUUUAAAUCAAAACGUAUCAUCCAAAGGUAGAUGACAAUAACCAAAUAUGAAUCUGCAAAAGAAGAAUAUUGCAAACAAAAUUUCAAUCCAAAAUAAUAAUAUCAUGACAAAUGUUUUUUGGACAAAUUUGAAAAACAAUAUAAAAAUAAUAUGAAAACAUACAAAAUUCUCCAAUCUCAAUAUAAAUUUAAAAACUAUAGGAUGAGAUAAUACAUUUGAAUUUAUUAUUUUUUAUCUGGUCCAAAGCAAUACAACAUUACUAUGUUUAUAAGAGCAUAUGUCUUUUUGCGUUUUAAAAGUGUUUGUAAAUUUUUUUUUUUUUUUGCGUUUUAAAAGCGUUUAUAAGAGCAUAUGAAAAUACUCUAUCUUGAUAAAUCCAUCAAUAACCUUAAAAAUCCAAAAAAUCAUCCCAAAACCUGAAAGUCAAAAAAAAAAUAUUUCCAAUCUUAUAUUUGUUUAGACACUUUAAGGUAAAAAAAUAAAAAUAAAAAACACAAGUUGUACUCCCUUUCAUCAAAUAUAUAUAUUGCUUGAUUAAAACUGUUCAUGGGCUGGGCUAACUUCAAACAUGCUCUUUUCUGCAAGACUCGGCUAGCAUGACUAUUUGUGCUACUUUCAAGGUCUGAUUCAGCUCUGGAUUCAUUUUGGGCUUUUUGAUGCCAAGUUUUGGGUUGAUCUAAGAAAAAAAAAACUAUAUAUAAAAAAUAAUUUGCGAUCCAUUUAUUUUAUCCAAAACUCAAAGAUAUAUUUCCCUUCAUUUUCAAAGUUAUUUCUCUUUCGCACCAAAACUAAAUAAUCUACAUAUAAUUAAAUAUCAACAAAAGAGUUAACUCAGCACACAAAGACUUCUACUAAUAUUCCUGCCAGAGAUAAAGUUAGGCUAACCCUUCUUGUUCUGCUGUGUGCAUUCAUAUUUGGAAGAAAAAAAAUGGCAGAUGACUUUCUGCAAAUAAAUUUCUACUUUUCAUGGUAUUCUUCCACAAUCAGAUUUUGAUGCCAACUGUAGAUUGGAAUAAAUAGGAAUAAAUUGCAAGACAAGGAUAGAAAUUAGUACUGAUAAACAAGUAUAAAAAAAUUUGUUCCAAGAGACAUAAUCAAGAUUGGAAAAGGAAAGGAUAUUGUACAUGAUUUUUCUUGAAUCAAUUAACUAUCUACACCCAAAAUAUUAAAAGAAUUUUUUCCUCGAAUCAUUUUUCUUGAAUUUGAGUUUAAGAUGAUAAUUACAUUUGUCUGUUGGCAGCUAAUACAAUCAUCACAAUUCACUGAACAAAAAAAUAAAUAAAGAAAACAAGUGCAAUAUUUGACAACAUAUGUAUACAGACAUGUGGCCAGGACUAAUUGUUCCCUGGCAGUUCUUGCAUCAUUUCAUAAUAGAAAUCUAUGCCAUCAUCAUAGUAUGAAACAAAGGGCUCCUCUUGAUAAAAAGAUAGCCCUGGAAAAUUAUCUUGGUCGUAGGCACUAUCUGCUACAAAUGGCUCAGUCCAAAAAUUUCCAAUGGACUCGUCAAAUGUUGGCACUGAAGAGAGAACAUCUUCUGCAAUAUUAUUCCUGUUUGUGCCAGCUGAUACAGGAAGUUUUGGAGCAAAAUCAGUGCUCAAGUUGGAGAGCUCACUGCAAGAUGUUUCUGGGGAUAAUGGAGUGCUCUCUAAAAUUGGGUUAGAGGGAGUGUAGGAAACUACAGUUUUAGCUUCCAUUUCUUUAUUCAUCUGGCUGCCUUCACUUUCAGAAGUAAAACCACUAGAUUUCUCUUUCAACACCAAUGUGUUUUGUUUUUCCACCGUUCGCUUCUUCAGAUGGGCGUGCCAGUAGUUUUUCACUUCAUUAUCUGUUCUUCCUGGUAAUUUUGCAGCAAUUAUGGACCAUCUGCAAGCAGUACAAUUUGUAAGCCUUACUUUCAUGAACUUAUAUUUUCCAGCACAGAAAAAAUAUUCAAGCAAACAAUAUUAAUUAUCCAUUAAUUUGGUCAAUACAAAUACAUGGGAAGAUCUUUUUUUUUAUGUGGAGACUUUUGUAUUGGAAGAAAUGUAUAAAAAGUAGAUCAAAGAAAUAAGUUUUUUAUACUUAUUUCCAUGUUUUUCAUGUAAUUUGAGGAUUAAAUCUUCUUCUUCUUUGGUGUAGUUGCCAUGUUUUACAUCCGGGCGGAGAUAAUUCAUCCAUCUUAGUCUGCAACUCUUGCCACACCUUGAUAAUCCUGUAAAUCAAGCACAGACUCAAAUUAAUUAAAACCCAAUUUAAAUUUCACCAAGAAUAUUAUCGCAGAGGCAUAAUUUAUUUUGACACAGAAUAAACGAGUUAAAUAUUUCAAACAACAAAAUGUUCCUCUAGCUACCUGCAAACUUGGGGAUUUCACGCCAGUUCCAAAGGCCAUAUUUCUCAAUAUGUUCUCUUAACUUAUCAUCUUCUUCUUCACUCCAUGCACCUUUCUUUACUCCAUUUUUGUCAAAGUAAGGAGCUCUCACCAUGUCUAAAACUAUGCAAGUCUUCCUGCCUUAUUUGUCUUUUAAGUCAACCAAUUAAUAUUUUCUUAGCUCAAUUAAAUACCUCCACACAUUAGCUCAUAUAUGCACCUACUCAUGUGUGAAUCCAAAACGUGAUUAAUGUAGGGAUAGCUACUGUCAAGAUAGGUCUCUCACGUUUUUUUAAUGUAGAGGGCCCGACAGGGGGCAAAGUAAAAGGCUAGCCCUAAAAUGAACAAUGAGCCUUUCUUAAAGUGUCACAUGUAUCUCACCAUUUUCCCGCUUUCCUUCUUCAUUACUAAAUUUAAUAUAUCAUGUAGUUAUUUGAUUGAUUAUAUGUAAUAUUAAUUAUAUUUAUGUAAAUAAGUCUUUAUUAUUAAUAAAAGUAUAAUUUAUUUUUAAUAUUUAUAUAAUAUUUAUAUAAUAUUAGAUUAAUGAAUAUAGAAUAAAGAUAAAGUUUAUGAGUCAAAAAUAUUUUGCAAAGUAAAUUAUAAAGUUGUUAUAAUUAUGAGAUUUCUAUUGCAUUAAAGCAUUGUUUUUAAAAUAUUUAUGUGGUCGAUGCUCUCUUAAUUACUGAAUAUUCAUUAUAGUCGUAAAAACUGAUAUAUAUUAUGUUAUUUCCUUUGUGAAAGGAAACAUUUGUUCUCAUAAUUAGUUGAGAUAUAAGAGAUACCUAAAACUAAUAUGUACGUGCUUGUCAUAAGAUAUGUACACUGAACUAAAAGGCAUGAGAAUUCCAUAUGAAGAGAUUACUUAUGUCUAUGGAAAGGCUCACGUGACAGUUGUGUAAGUAAUCUUUAUACUUGAGAUCACUAAGUCAUCUUAUAUAUAGAAUGUUAUGCUUUGAUCUUAUUGCAUGCUAUCUUAAUUAAGGUAAUGAAAUGACAGACGUUGGGUACAACAUGAAUCAUAUGAAAGUACUUGAGUGAUCUAGAGAUGAUUCAUCACCCUAGAUGAAUUAAGAAAAAUAUUUCAUCUAUUUUCAAAUAGUAUUGAUUGAAAAAUCAUUGGUAAGAUGGAAUGAGAUUUAAAAAGAGUUUUAAAUUUUAUUCAAAUGAUCAAUUACUAUCAUGUAAAGAACAAAUAUGAUUUAACAUGACAGACAUACUUUAUACUUUAAUGUUAAAUCAGAGCAUUAUUGAUGAAAUGAUAUUAAUUAAACUUGAAAACCAGUCACUGAAAGGUUAGUCAAACCACUAAUAACUUUUUUAAUAUUUGGGGGAUCAUGAAACGGUGCUAGACAAUGCAUAUAAUCUUCAAAUAUAAAUUAAUUAAUUAUUUAAUUGAUAAUAAAUUAAAUUAUUUAAUUAGAAUUAGAAUUUAUAUUUGGGCCAAUAUAUUUGGAACCUAAUGGGUCAUACACAUUAAGAACCAUUAAUCAAAAAUUAAAUUGGGAUGAUUUAAUUAAGAAUGACUUAAUUAAAAUAUAUUUUAGAAAUUAAGGACUAGAAUAUAAUUAAUACAAGGAUUAUAUUUCUAGACUUAGAAAAAUCAAGUAAAGACUUGAUUGAGUUAGUUUUUAAAAUUAUCCUGAAUUAAUAAAUAGAUAUUAUUCAAGGGGCAAAUUGAUAUUUUGCCGAUUUAUAGAGUUUUUCAGAUUUUUCUAUAAAUAGUAAGUUAUGCCUCUUAUUUUUUAAUUGUUAUCUCUUAGAUAUAAAAACUAUAAAAACACAUAAUUAGAGCUAGCUCUCUAGGCAUAAAAAUCUCUUUCUUUUAAAUAUAGAUUUAGGAGAUUUCUCACAGGUGGUUCGUGUGGAUUACUGUUAGAGACCAGACAAUUGGACGUCUUAUGGUUUGCGACAACCCAGCCUUUAAAAAAUAUUCAAAGCUGAAAAAGAUCAAAUCUUCAUGUAUUUAAUAUUUAAAUAACUCUAAAUCUGUUUAACGGAUCAUAGGGACUCCUUAAUAAUUUUAUUUUAUAAUUUUCAUUACAUAUAUAUGAUAUUCAAGAAGGAAAAAUUCAACGAAGCAUCUUGUUUCUUUCCAGAUUGCUAGACAUAUAAACAAAACAAGGUUAAACUAUAUCUCAUCACAAGUGAUAAAUAACAAAUCGUAUAUCUCAUAAAUAUUAAUGAUAGUUAAAGAACGAAAAUAUAUAGUCAUGACUAGACUUGUUUGUACAUAUAGCGAAAAUAGCAUAUAUGAUCAUCCACACUUGAAAAAGAGGUAAAAUGCAUUCUCCUGUAUAGAGUUAAGGUUUUCACUAAAUGAUAAAAGCUAUUAUGUAUAUUUGGAUAUUUGGUUCAAAUUCUAAAUAUGAGUAAGGAAAGAAAAGGUUGUUGGAAACUAAUUAAACACACAAAACAUUUAAACCUCUCUUAUUUCAUUCAUUAAUAUUUAAUAUUCUUAAAAUUAUAAAUAUAUAAUUUUAUAUUUAUAGAAAUAAUAUAAACUCAAACUAUCAUCAUUCUUCAAAAUACUAAUUCCAUAAAAAAUUUAAUUAAUGAAUUAAAUAAAUAUUUUAUAUAUUUUUUUCUAUCUCAGAAAAGCUAGUAAAAAAUAAAUAAUUUGUUAAUAUACUAAUUACAACAUAAAUGAUUUAUCUCAUUCACGAUAAAUAACCCCAAAAUAUUAUUAUGUUAGGUCAAAACUAACUUAAAUUUUGCUUUAAUAAUUCAUUCUCCCUCAUUUAUUUAGUGUUCUCAAUAUAAUUCAAGAAUAUAUAUAUAUAUAUAUAUAUAUAUAUAUAUAUAUAUAUAUAUAUAUUUCAUAAACAUAUAUUACUACACCUAUAUUCGAUUUUCUUCUAUAUUAAUUAUACAUCAAAUCACCAUGAAAUUGACAAAUUCUGAAAAUCAUGGUUCGUCAGCCACCUGGUCGAAACAGGCCACAAGUGAUCGGCAUCACAAUCAAUAGGUAGAGAUGCAUGGAAUUAAUAAAUAUUAUACAUAUGUGGUCCAAUUCUAAGAAAAAUGUAGCAAUUUCAUUGAAUUUAAAAUCAAAGGAUUCUUAUCUUCUUUUUCUAAUUUUCUAAUUCAAUAUUUAAUUUAAUAGAAACUUCAUAAUUUAUUUUAUAAGUGGUUAACUUGGUUUUAUAAUUCGUAUCUGAGUUUGACUGAUUUACUUAAUUUUUUUGUUUUUUUUAAUUGAUAUUUUUUUAUCUCAAUUUCAUCAUUUAAUAUUGAGUUGAUUAAGAAUUAGACUUCAUGAUUUAUUUUUAUUUGCUUUCUAUGAAGUUAUCUCAGUUUCAUAACUUAAGUUGCGAGUUUGGCUAGUUAAUCUAGUUAACUUAAGUUUUUUUUUUGUCUUUUUUUUAAUCAGUAUUUUUUUUAUAUUUUAUCCUUCAAUAUUGAGUUGAUUAUGAAUUAACCUUCAUGAUUUAAUUUGGUUUGCUUUCUAUGAGGUUAUCAUGUAUAGACUUAGGUCGUUUUAUUAUAAAUUGUUUUUAGAUUGAUUUUUUUUCUUAUUUUCAACCAUUAACAAUGAGUUUAUUAAAAAUUGAACUUCAUAAUUUAUUUUGAACUGUUUUUUAUGGGGUUAUUAUAGUCUCACGACUUUGGUUGCGGCUUUGGCAAAUUAAUUUAGGAUGACUGAAGUCAUUUUUUUUUGUUUAUUUUCUAUAAGGUUAUUCCAAUUUCAUAACCCAGAUCACGGGUUUGGUAGGUUAACUCAUGCCAAUUUAUUUGUUAUUUUUUAAUUAUUUUUUUAAAUCACAUUUUUCAAUAUUGGAUUGAUUGUUAAUUGACCCUUGUAAUUUGUUUUAAUUUGCUUUAUAUGAGUUUAUCAUAAUCUCAUGAUUCAGGUUGUGAAUUUGAUAGGUUAAUCUAAGUUGGUCCGGAUCGAUCUAAUAUGUUAUCGCUUCAAUAUUAAUUUUUUGAAAUAAAUGUUGUCUUAAAUGUUUAUGGAUCAAACUAUGUUUUUAGUAGUUUUCUAAGUUGUUUUGGAUCCAUUAAGUAUCAAGUCACAUCGGGUCAACCUCCACAUGAUUUAAAAAUCUUUUUACUAGAAAAAUAUUAGCAAUACCUAAAAUUGUUUUUAAAUAUUAAAAUAAAUAAUAUGACUUGUGAUGUAGAACGAGUCAACCAUAAAAUCAGGCUAAAAGUCUUGCUUUCUCAUUUUAUUGGUUCAUUUUUAUGUUUACUUUUAGUUGAUUUUUUGUGUUUAAUGUUCAUAUAAUUCACAUGUUAAAGUUUAAUAGUAGUUUGAAAUUUGUAUUUAAUGUUCAUAUUAUACAUACGUGGCCUCAUUGCUUUGAGCUUGUUUUCCAGUGCUUAAUUACUACAUUUAAAAAGAUAAGAAAAACAAAUCGAAUUUUUACAUUUGCCUUUUGCCUUAGAUGCUAGAUGUUACCAAUAAAGCAAUCUAAAUAUUCAUAAUAUGUAGUAUUAUUUUUUAUUUCAUUAUUCUAGUACUUGGAAAUUUUUGGAGGGGAGGGGGAAAUAUCCUAAUGCAUCUUUAAAACUUUGAAUUUAUUGAUUUAUCUGUUUAGCUAAAAUUUAAUGAAUUUAAUUUCAACUAUAUUGAUAACAAUCUUAUUUAUAAUAUAAAUGAUAUUCAAAUGUAGAUAAAUUUACUUCAUUAAUUUGUUUGUUUUUUCCAAUCAUGUUUUUUUUUUCUUAUCUCAUUUGUAAUGCAAUAAUUUUUUUUUUUUUAUAAACAAUCAUUUAACUUUUUAGGAGUGAUCUUCUAAAUAACUACAUAAAUUCUUGGUGUCCAUAAGGAGAAAUAAGAAGCUCUUGUCCGCUCAAUUGUGAAAUAGUUAAAAAGGAAAAUUUUGUUUUAUUUAGCUUUAAACAUUACGAGGAGUAGAGAACUUAAGUAAGUGUUUUUUUUAGCUAAUGGGAUGUGUUCUUGCUUAAUUAUUAUAGUCCAAGCCAGUGACUCGGCUGGGCACUGUUGCGAGCAUGCGUGAAUUUUUCACGCAUGCUUGCAACAGUAACAAGGUAAUUAUAUUACCUUUGCACAGUAAUAAGUGAAAUGAAUUUGCAAAGUGGGGAAGAGGAAGAACUUACCUGGUGCAGCGAGGCGUAGCUGAAGACGAUGGCGCACUGUGCUGGACGACGACACUGCCUCCUCUUGCUUCUGUUUCUUUUCUUUUGCUUUCUUUAUUUCCCAGUUCUUCCCACGUUUGUUUUUGUUCGUUCCUCUGUUUCCUUCCUCCUUUUGUUUUUCGUUCUUGCUCUCUUCCCCUGUGUUAUUCGUUCUUCACCCGGUCCUCCCCCUGUUUUCUGCUUCCUGCAGUGUUUGUUCUUCUCGUCCUCCUCCAGUUCCCCUCUCCCUUUUUCUGUGGCCUUCUCUGGCUUCUAUAAAGCCGGAGAAUGGCCUUUCUUCACGUGUUCGUGCCUCACGAUCGUGAGGCACGAACGCCUCUGUUUCUUUGAGAAGAAACAGGGGCAGAAAAUUUGCUCUCCUCUGUCUUGUUCGGUCUCUCUCUUUCUCUGUAUGUCCUGGGUUGUUUUUUUUUUUUCGUCUCCCCUCGGUUCUCCUUUUUCUCUCCUUCUCCCUCGCGAGGUUGCCUUUGCCCAGCUUUUAUAAGGUCAGAGACAGCCCCGGUGGUGGUAACGGCCGGCCUCCUAAAUGCUCUGUAACCGACGCCUUCAAUGAAGAAACGUACGCGUUGGCUGCCAACGGAUGAAACGGAGGAAGAAGACAGUGAACAGUCGUCCAAGAAACGGCUCCGUUUUCCAUUCAACCGCUAAUUUCAAUUUGGUCCUUUACGUUUUGACAGUUUUGUAAUUAAGCCCCUAGUUAAAUUGUAAUUGGACCCCUGCAUUUCGGCGCAUUUUACACGCUAGUCCUUUAACUUUAAUCUGCUGCAAUUUGAACCCCAAUUAAACCCCAAACUUUGAUAUUUCUUCAAUUAAGUCCUUGAUUCCAUUAAUUAAAUUAAUUUCAAGUUUAAUUAAGUCCCAAACUUAUCAAUUCUUCAAUUAAGCUCUUGAUUUAGUUACUAAAACUGAUCCAAAGUUUAAUUAAAUCCGAAAACUUUCAAUCAUGUUGUUUUUAACCUAAAUUUUAAUUCAUUUUUUAUUUUUAUCAUUUCACUCAAUUCUUUUAACAAAAUAGAAGAAGUUAAAAAUUAGAUUAUGACAGCAGUAAAAAUUCUCACCAACCCUGUUGUGGGUCACGUCUCCUACUAGAUCUACCAGUUGCCCAAUAUCCCUCGUCCCCACGAUGCAUAUCCAAGGGGUCGUUACCAACAGUCCUUCAAUGGGAGGACUAUUAGUCCCUGUUUUUUCUCAAACACGAACAAGUAUGCCUCAUCGAACUGAGGUUAUUCUCUAGCUUUAUAAAAACCAGAGAAAGGUUACAUACCGGGGACAAAAAAGGGCUGGGAAUCAUAAAAGAUUGGUAACCAUUAUAGAUGAAGAUUGGAGAUGAGAUUCUCUCUUAUAAAGGGCCACCUUUAGACAUGGUAAAAAGGGGAAUUCACGGUCAAGAACAUCAAAAUCCAGUUCAACAUGACAACAUGGAGAAAUAAUUCUUCAUCAAGUGUAAAUUUCUGUAGUAAAACCAUUUUUGGAGGAAUUAGGGUUCAUAGCACAUGAAGACUGGGACAUGACAUUACAAAGUCCAGUUCAUUUCUCCAUUGUCAAGUCCAGUCGUCUUCUCCGGUUUCCAUUAGGUGUGUGCAUCCCCUUUUUUAGACAUUAUCACAAUAUCCUUUCAAGGCAAAAGAAAAUAAGAAGCUUGGUUUGAGGUAUACUGGGUCAAAUGUGGGCUUGGGUAUUACUGGGUUUUGAUUUCAGCCUUCUUCGAAAUGGUAAGGCCUGGGCUGCGAUUUUUGGGUCAUGGGCUGUUCUCAUAGUCGUGGGCUAUAGGCUAGUGUUUUUGGAGCCUUCAUGUAUAACGGGCUGGCUUAAGUUUCCUUUGAUAAAUGUGGACACGUUUGAGCUAUUGGUUUGGAUUAUUUGGGCUAGUUUGUGUUGGCCUAUAUUUAUGGGUCUGAUGGGUUGGGUUAAGUAUACACAUGUUCAUAUAUAUAUAUAUAUAUAUAUAUAUAUAAUAACAUAAAAUUUAAGUAUUUUACGUAACAUAAAAUUUAAGUAUUUUACGUUAUUAUAAUAACAUAAAAUUUACGUGAAUAAGUAUUUUGUGUGCAUCACGGACAAAUCUUUCCAAAAAAAAGCAUUGUUUUUUAUUUUCCAUCAUUGUAAUUUUUUUUAAUGCAUUCGUUUAUAAAAAAAAAAUAAGAAACAAAAAGAAAAAAAAAUAUUUUUAUAUUUCAACGUUCGAUAAAAAUACUUAUCUUACAUAAAAAUUUAAAAAUAAUAAACACAGUUUUUAUUUUACAUUGCAAUCUAAAUAAAAUAUUGUAUUAUUUCCUUUUUUUUAAUAAAAAUAAUUUUUUUGCUUAAAUAUUUAAAUUUAAUAAGUUUAUUACAUGUAUUAAAACUUGACCCAAAUAAAUUCAUCCAUUAGGUCUACAUACAAAAAAAAAAUUAAAAAAAAUAAAUAAACAUGAUACAAAAUUCUCAAUUUACAAGAUUCCAAGACCCAAUUUUGUUACUCUUAGUGUGUCCCAUGCCCAUUUUGUAUCAUCCACAUGGGGCAAUGCCUAUUUUCUUAGCAACUUCGACCUUUAUCCCUUUUAAGAGGGUAAUGUCUUUCUUUGACUAGUCUUUGUUUUUUAUUUUUAUGAAACCGACGUUAUUUUUUAAAAAAGUAAUUAAGAAUGAAUUGAGGCUAUGCUGAAAAUAAUUAUGAUAAUUAACAACAAUUAAAAGAAAUAUUUAAGAGAAAACAUAUGAUAAAUAUAACCUUUAAUAAAAAAAAAUACUUUAAGGGUAAUGUUGCUCUUUCUUUAAGUAUAACCAAUUUCUUACCUGAAUCUUUGAAACCAAUAUAUAUUUUAAGAUUUCUAGUUUUAUUUUUAAUUACUAGGUGACGAAUUCAGUUAUCCUCAAUUUAUAUUUUGUAUAUUUUGCCCCCUUGUCGCAAUGUCUACCAUGGUGCGACAUAUUUAAUAUGAAAAUAAUAAUAAAAAUAAUAAAUUGUUCAUAAAUAUUCAAUUCAAAUAGUUUUUUAUUCUUAAUUUUAAAUAUAUUUUGAAUAUAAUGUUUUUAUAUUUAUGAUUUUUCUUAACUUUCAACCACAUAUAAAAUAUAAAUAUAUUAUUUUGAUAUAGAAACAAUUGUUGUAGUUUAAAACCUUAAACAAGAGAUAAGUUAAUAAAAAAAUUAUCUAUUGUAGAAGAUUGUAUUUUUAUAUUUAAUAACAAUGUAAAAUAAUUUUCUAAAAUCAAGAUAAAUUUUUAUGUUUAUGAAAACUUUGCUUCCUUGUAACGAAGUGCGAAUAUAUUUUUUUUCCAAUUCAAUUUAGUUCAGAUCGAAUUCUAAUUCUAGCAUGUUGAUUAUAAAAUGAUCCAUAUCAUCAAAGUGGAUUGAUACGAGGUUGUAUUCAUUAGUUAAUCGAUUGAAAUGAGUAGUUGGAUUUGAUUUUAGUAACAUUGGAAGAGGGAAAUUAAAAACUAAAAAAGGAAUUCUCCUUAAGGUUAUUUCUUUGCAAAAAUAAAUGUAUGAAAAUUAUGUAAAUUUUAUUAAAUAUUGAUAUAAGACAUAUAAAUAAUAAUGUACAUAUUGGACUGCCUUCCGUUGUGUGUUUCUUUCCUUAAGAACAAAAUUUGUAAAUCAAAUUCACUGGUUUUGCCACCUCCUGUUCAUGUUUAGGUAGCCAUUGCAUGAAAAUGUGAGAAGCUGUUUCUCCUUCACUGUUAUAUCUCUCGAUGUAAAUAACACAAACACAAGCAGCAAGGUAUUUAUAUAUGUCCUUAAUUUUCCAAGAUGUUUCCAUCUAUUUUUUCUCUUAUGAAUUUUCCUAUCUUUCCUUUUGAUUUGAAUUUUUGAAGAAAAUUCGAGUUUGUAUAUUGUUUUUUAAUUUAUUUAUUUCCUUUUUUCUUCGAUUCCAUAACAAAAAUGUAAGUAUCAAUAGAAAAUGACCAGAAUUUAGUAUUUUAUUCAAUAGAUUCUGCGUAUAAAAUCUAAAAAUUUCAAGUCCCUCCUAAUUAAUUUGAAGAUCCUAAUUCUCUCUCGCUUUACGGUCCACUUUUUUUUAGUGAUGGCCGGUGGUAAUAUCACCUCUCACUUCUUCUUUUUCUUCUUGUACCUUUCUUUGUUGAAUAAUCCAAGUGAUAACCUCAAAAGAUUAUAAGGUGGUUAAUGAGAUAUCUUCGGGUUUUUUUCCUUUUACUUUGUAUGUUCAGAUUUUAAAACUAAUAUCAAGAGGAAUUUAUUGAAAUUUCUUUGAAUUCAUCGCACAUACACGCACGCGCACAAGCGAGGUUGCAUCAUUAAAAUCACUUAAAAAAGAAAUUUAAUCUUGAUUAAUGUGUAAAUUGGCUUAUGGAUAUCCCUGACCAUUAAAACAAAAUAAAUUCAAGUUCUAAAUUUUAUAAUACUAGAUGUUAUGAUCUUUGUGUUUCUUACAGCUUAUUGGCUUUUUGUACUGUUUUUUUUUGGGGGUUAUCUAUUUGUUUGAUGCUCCACUAUGGGUUUCAUAUGAUGAGCUCAGUUCGAAAUUUUUUUAAAGGUUCUGGAUGGACUGAAACCAAGAUAUGUAUUGGUUGUAAGAGGAAGAAUUUUCAAAACAGUAGAGCCAUCGUUGGUCUUUGAGAAUACAUCAACCAACGGCACCAUUUCCCUUAAUUAUAACUUUUGUAAAUCGUGAUAAUUUAUGAUUUUCUGGGUUGUGGUAGGUUUCUUUAAGUUCUUACAGAUGAAAUUUUCUUCUAUAUACUUUUGGAUGUCAAUUCAGUAGUUUGUAAGUCCUCUCAACAACUAUUUAUAUUGACUUGAAUAUUUGUAGUGGAAGCUUCAGUGGAAACAUUUAUCUUCAUAAAAAAGAAAAGCCUCUCAUUUUCAGCUAAAAAAAGAUGAUCAUGGCCAUCAUUUUGGUAGAAAGAAAUAAAUAACAAUGACAAAUUGACAUCCACCUUUUCUAUAAACGAAAAGCUCCAUGAUUUUUUAACAGCACAACAGUAACUAUGGUGUCGCCAUCCCCUCCACAAAAUCCCAACCCCAUAAUCAGCUGUUCAAACCGGAAAGCCCCAUUGCUGGUAACACAUUUGCUGUCGGGAAUACUAAGAAUGAAAUCACUUUUCAAGCCCAAUGACUUGCGGUUGGGUAUCCGUAAUCCUCACAGAUCAUCAAAAUCAUUUUACACCACCAGAAAGUCAAAACAAGAGAUAAGCCGGAAGGUACACGUCAAGUAGAGGAAUGGGCAAUGGGCAAUGGGCAAAUUAAUGAUUUUCCUUAUCGUGAUGAGAGUGAGACAAUAAACAUCGCCAUACAGUGCCUCCACAUGCAUGAAUAUCAGUUGCCACUCAAAAAUGCUAAUAGCAAGUUCCCGAAAAGAAAAAUAAAAAAACAUUGAAGGAUAUUGUGAAAUAAUUAUCAUCUCAUGAGUUUCAAGAAUAUAAUUUUAUUACACUUACUAACAAUAUACAAUAGAGGAUAACACAACAUUUUUACAGCAUAUGACCCAAUGAGAACAAUAAUGUGAGCUUCCCCCCUUUCCAUGCAUGCCUUUAGUAUGUGACGUCCAAGGAUACAAAACCAUCUCACGAGCUCGAAUCGAGGAAAAUCUUCGUUAGAAGUACCAUAUUGAUCAUAGAUAAUAACAAGAAUUGCACAAUUUUUAGCUGGUUUCAGUAUAAGUUAUAAUCCUCCGUAUUGAUGAAAGCAAAAGGGCUUGAAAUCUCGCCAUCAAAAAUUGGUGAAUCCGGGUUCACCAAGGGUGCCAAGAAAUCAUUAGGCAUGAAAUAAUCAUCGGACAAGAAAGGUUCUGUCCAGAAAUUCCCACUAGGGAUCUCAUAUGCCUCCAGGAAAGACAAAUCAUCGUCAGAAACGAGGUCCAUGUUUGUUGCCGCUAUGUUAUCUGUGGUUGAAAAAUCACCAGAUGAUGCCUGGGGAGACAAUGCACUUGAGGAGCUUUCAAUUAUUUGAGCACUAUUCGCAGGAAUUUGUUUAUUGACUUCUGUCUCUCCUGUGUCUUUCUCCUGGCCCUUGUCAUCAUCUGAGCACGAUCGUGUUGCUUCCACUGAUUUUUCGCUCAAUCGUUUCUUCAGAUUUGUGUGCCAAUGGUUCUUUAUCUCAUUGUCAGUUCUUCCAGGUAACUGGGCAGCGAUAGCAGACCACCUACAUGUGAACCAACAUCAUAAUGUAAUGUAAUUCAUGUAAUUCCAUGGGAUGUAAGAACGACAUAUAAUCGUUUUAAUAACUAAAUUAAACAUAUUUUUCACUCUAUUAUUAUAUUAUAAUUAAAUCUAAAUAUUAUUUAAGAAAGUAAUCCAUUCUUAAUCUUUUAUAUUACGUCGUGUUCUUGUAUAUAUGUUUGUGCAUCAAUAUAAAUUAAAUAUUUUUAAUUUUGAACCAGAAAAAAUAUGAUGAUAGCUUUGAAAAAUGCGGUGUAAUUGUUAAUGUAACAAAAGAAAAAUAGAUUAUAAUCUCUUAUGAAUCCAAGGAUGAUAAUGAUGACAAAAUAAGCACAUGCUUUCACUUAGGGAAGCACUAAAAAUAACGUAAUUAUCAUGUAAAACUCAUAUAUAUGAACUUUCAUAUCAUACAUUUAAUUAAGAAAAUCCUGAAAGGAAUGAUAUAAUUAAUGUGAUGCAUCAUCUUCUAUUUUUCUUGUCUAUUUGUUUUAAUCUUUAUUUGGUCAAAAUCAAUGAAUUAGUACCUGUUCCCCAGUGUUUCAUGCAAGCUGAUGAUGAUUUCCUCUUCUUCUUUAGUGUAAUUCCCUCUCUUGAUAUUUGGCCUCAAAUAAUUCAGCCAUCUCAAUCUGCAACUUUUGCCACACCUUUGUAGACCUGAAAUGAAAGCAAAUGUGAUCAAUGGAUUAGUUGUCAAGCCAAGUCGAAUGCGUCUACGAAAAAUAUCCUGGCUCUAGCUAGACUUUGCUCCAAAUAAUAAUGAACUGCUCCACAAUAUUUGAAAAAAUUCAAAGAAAAAUGGAGCACAAAUUGAAUUGCAUAUAGAUCCUGAAUUUCAGGUGACAAAUAGAUUAAUCAGAUUAAACUUUUUUAUAAAGGGUUUUUCUUUUUCUCUAUCGUUUUUUUUACAGUUUUUGAGCUCUCAUUCUUAUCAAGUAAGUCCUCAAUGAAUCAGAAAAUGUUGAACAAUUUGAGUUUAAUUGAUUGACAUAAUGGGAACAAAGCAAAAGGAAAAAAAAACAAGAAGAAGAAGAAGAAGAAGACAUUUCCACUAUAUGAUGAUUAAUUCAUUCACAUACCUGCAUACUUGGGAAGUUGUCUCCAAUUCCAAGAGCCAUAUCUAGUAACAUAAGCCAUUAGCUUCAUAUCUUCUUCUGGUGUCCAAGCACCCUUCUUUAGUUCAGUUUUAUCACAGCAAGGAGUUCUCGCCAUUCUCACACUCUCACUCCCCUUCCCUGACUCUCUUCCUCAGUUACCAUCACUUGUGCUGCCAGCUACUUAUACCACACACCCCAAGUUUAGAAAAACAAACGUGCUUCACAUCGAUUUAAUGCUUCCACACUUUCUGCUAACGUUUUUUUUUCCAUUAAUAAUACACAUAUAAUUAUAACAAAAGCUAAAUUGGUGGGGGAAAUCACUGUAACUUUUAUUAUAAGACACUUUGAAUUGUUAUAGUAUUUUUCCAUAUGGUUUUUUUCUUUUUGUUUUUUUGUUAUGAUUUUUUUCAAAAUUAUUUUUAUCAAUUAUAUUUUUUAAUAUUGAGCUAGUUAAAAAUUUAGCUUUAUAUUUUUUUUCUUUAUAUUUUGUCUUUCUAUGAGCUAUGCGUGGUUUGCGGGUUUAUCGAAAUAACUCAGGUUGACUCACUUUAUGGAUUUGGUGGGUUUUUUUUAAUUGAACUUGAUUGUUUUAUAGUUUAUUUUUUUUCUCAUGUUGUUGAAAAAAAAAUUUUAGAAAGAAACCAUGUUAUUAAAUUUUAUGAAGUAACAAAAAUUAAAAGAUGUGAGGGAAAUCAAUGUUCAUCCAGUACCCAUUGCAUUGUGGAUUACAAUAGUAAUCCACAAUGUUUUGCUUUCUUUUUUCUUUUUCUUCUUUUUUAAUUUUUUUUAUGAUUUUUUUCAAAUUUAUUUUUGUUGAUUUUAUCUUUUAAAAUUGAGAUUGUUAAUAAUUUAGCUUCGUAAUUUGCUUCUUUUUAUUUUUUAUUUAUAUGAGAUUAACGUGGUUUAUAAGUUUGCCAAAGUAACCUAGGUUGCCCCGAUUUACGAGUUUAGUGCGUUGUCUUUUAUAUUUUUUUAAUUGAACUCAACUUUUUUUAUAGUCUAUUUCUUUAUCAUAUAGUUAGAAAAAAAAUAGUUUUAGAAAAAAAUCAUGUUAUUAAACUUUAUAAAGUAACAAAAAUUAAAGGGUGUGAGGAAAUCAUUGUUCACCCAUACACAUUGCACUGUGAAUGACAAUAAUAACUCACAAUGUUUUGCUUUAUUUCUUUUUUCUUUAUGUUUUUUUAAUUUUUAUCAUAAUUUUUUUUCAAAUUUGUUUUUAUCGAUUUCAUUUUUUAAUAUUAAGGUGGUUAAGAAUUUGAAUUCAUAAUUUGUUUCUUUUUAUUUUACUUUUUUAUAAGGUUAGCAUGGUUUGCGGGUUUGUCAGACUAACCCGAAUUGCCUUGGUUUAUGAGUUUGAUAGAGUGUCUUUUUUUUAAUUGAACUUGAUUUUUUUCAUUUUUUUUCAUAUAGUUACAAAAAUAGUUUCAAAAAAAAUUUAUGUUAUUAAACUUUAUAAAGUCCAUAGACCUAUUCACAAGUUUGAUCGGUUGACUUGGUUCAUGGGUCAGACAAGUUUAACUUUUUUAAAUUCAUCCUUAGAUACCUAGUUAAUUAGGAAUUCAGUUUUAUAAUUGAUUUCAUUUUGCUUUUUAUGAGGUUACCAUAAUCUAAAAAAACAUCUCAGUAUUAGAUUAGUGUUUGAUUUCGCAAUCAUUUAUUUUUGUUAUCAUGCAGUUAAAUGAAAAAUAGAUUAAAAAAAACAAAUUAUAAUCUCAGUGAAGUCUAUAACCUAGUUCAUAGGUUUAGUGUACCAACCUGGCUUACCUGAUUCAUAGGUUUAACAAGUUUACCUACCGAUAUGAUAUUAUUUUUUUUAUCUUUUAAUUGUUUUUAAUUUAUUUAUUUUUUAUUUCAUCAUUUAAUAUUAGAUUGGUUGAGAAAUGAACUGCAUUAUUGAUUUUUUUUUUACUUUUUAGGGAUAAUUGUCUCAAAUAAGUGUCUAUUUUUAGAUUGAUGUUUAAUUUUGUAAGCAUAUGUUUUUAUCAUAUAAUUAAAUAAAAAAUAUAAAAAAUUAUUAAAUCCAAUAGAGUCCAUGACCCGGGUCGCGGCCCGGGGGUGAGGCGAGGUUGAUCUAAUCUGUUAUCAUCUCAAUAUUUUUUUAAAAAAAUAUCAUCUUGAAGUUUUUUUAAAAGUUAAAUCAUGUUUUAAUUGAUCAUUAAGAUUGCAUUUGAACCUAUGAAAUUGAUUGAUUUAAAUUGAGUUAGCUCUCAUAUAGUUUAAUUAAAAAUUUGAGUUAGACAAAGAGUUGAGUCAGAAGAUUUUAAAAUUAACCCACUUGGUUAGAUUUAAUAAUACUAUUAAAAAAAAUUCAUACUCUUAAUAUUUUUUUUAUAUUUAAAACAAAUAUACUGGUAUAUUUUAUUUCGUGGAGGGUCACACAAGAAGAUUCACUAAUCAACUUCUUUUAUUUUCAUACUCUUAAGAUAGCCUUUCUUGAAAUAUUUAGAGUUUUAGAAAUAAAACAAUUUACUUUUAAUGCAGUGCCACGUGAUGCACCCUGACAUAGAUCUUGAUCUAUGGAGAUUGAAAAAAAAUAAAACAAAAUGUAGGGGUGGAGGUUUAUAUAUAAUUGGCUGAAAUUUUAUAAUAUGCUUUUUCUUUGACUGAUUUUGUUAAUCCAGGGUCAACGUGUGUGAUUAUAAUCAAGUUAAAUCUUGAUUGGUGGACGCCGCUGGCCACAUCAAAUUUUUUUUUUUACUGAAAAACAAAAUUCAAGAAAUGAUUAUGUUUUUAAAAAAGGAGAGAUAAUCAAAUUAAAUCUUAAUUAAUUUGAUAAUAUAAUAAAAAAUAAGGUAGCAAUCAAAAAAAUAUUUUUUAAAUAUUGUUCUGGGAAAGCUGUGAAAAAGAAAAUGAAAAAAAAAAUAUUAACCCUUAUUAACUUUCUAAGCUCAUGACUUAAGUCAUCAGAUUGAAAGCAUCAUGUAUGAAAAAAUCGUUAAGCUCAAUCCCUAAAAAAUAAAGCGUUAAAAGAUUAAAUUGAAAAACAAUUAGACAAAAAAAUAAAAAAUAACAAUUAGGUUUGUUACUAUCUAAUUUUUUACCUAUAUUUUUGAUAAAUUUUUAGAAAAAAAAACCAAAAGUUUUAUGAUUAAAUGAAUACGAAUUCAAACCCUAUCAUUUUUAUUCUAACUAAUUAAAUUAAUAAGAUUAAACAUAAAGAUAAUAGUAAAUUUGUGUAAGUUUCAAAUUCAAAGAAUUUUUAUUUGCAAAAAUACAUUAAAAGAUAAAUAUAAAAUUAUUCUUGGAACCUCACUUAACCAUUUAAAUUUUUAUAUUCAGUUUUUAGGUUUAACAGUGCAUUGCUUAGAAAGUGUAUAUAUCUUAAAUUUAGAAUAUAACAUAUAUCUUUUUUUCUAUGAUAAGAAUAUAAUACGUAUCUAUUAAUAAUGAUUAUUAUAUUAAAAAAAUGAUUGAGGUUGUGAUUGGUUCCUUAGCUUAAAAAAUUAAAAUCAUGAGAGGAUGAAUUCUGAAGAAGAAAUGCAAUGCCUUAUCUAUUAACAUAAUAUAUCUUCCUUUUAAAUAAAUGCUUUUUGAACUUGGAUUUUAUAACUUCAUCAUUAUUUUAUAUUUAAUUUUUAAUAUAUUUAGAAAAAAAAUAAAAUUCAAAUUCAUAAUUAUUUAUUCAUGGUAUAAAUAUUAUCUUUGCAGGCCUAAGUUGUUCCAUAAAGAAAAAAAAAAUCAAAAUCAAAAUCAAAGGAAUAUUAGGUCGUCUUUUGCUCAAAGAUUAUGAAAAUCCAAGAUCUCAUGUUUGUGAUUCAAGAGGAAGCACGAAUCACAAAUUAGGGAUCAGACACGUGAAGUGGUAUUUAAAAAAAAUACCAUUUGCAUCUUUCACAGUUAAAGAAACGACGAGGAACCAUCCACGAGCUAGUAAAGGAUCAUCGUUGUGUCUUUCAAGUUGCAAAUUUCUUUGUGUAGCCGUGAAGUUAAUCAUUAGUUUCUGGCUAAUCUACUCCUCAAUCCUGCAUAGCGUUUUGCAUUGCAUUUGAAAAGUAGUUUUAAAAAAUUUUGAAUUUUUUUUUAAAUUAAUAUGUUCUUGAUGUUUUCAAAUCAUUUUGAUGUGUUAAUUUCAAAAAUAAUUUUUAAAAAAUAAAAAAAUUAUUGAUAUACUUUUCUGAAUAAAAAACACUUUGAAAAACAAUCAUAACCACACUCCCAAACACCAAAGACUCUAAUAUAUUUCUCAUUUUACAAUCUAUCAUACUCUAUAAAUCAGACUAAAAAACUUACACAAAACGUAGCACUAUCUUCUUAUGUCUCUGUGUGUGUGUGUGUAUAUAAGUAAAAAUAAAUAAAUGCAAGAUAUAAAAUAAAUUUAUUUUUAAAAUAAUUUUAAAGUAAAUUUGUGUUUUUUAAAAAUAAAAAAAGACAGGAAAGAUAUCAUUUAUAGGAACCAUAAACUAGAUGCUAAUCCAAGCGCUGUGUCUAUAUAUAUAUAUAUAUGAAUGAGUUUGGUGAACUUUCAAAUCUAUUAUUGCCGAUAAAUUUAGAGAUAUUAUCUCUUUGAUAGAAUCAAAUAUAUUUUUCCUCUAAUAAAAUCAAAAAUAUUUUUUAUUUGAUAAAGUAAAGACCUUUAAGUCAUCUUAUCGAUAGAAAGGUAAGAAAAAUGAGCUAUAAAGACCCAUUAAAUUCUCACAAAAAAAAGUUCUCAAUCUCCAUUCUAACUUGCAUAUUUGUUUUUAAAAUCUCUCUAAAAUAAUAUUAUCUUUUCUCUAAAAAAAUAUUUACUUCAGCAUCAGAAAGUCUCUAAAUGCAUCAAAAAAAACUUUUUACAGAUAUCAGACAAUAACCACUAUUUACUUUGGCUAAGAAAAAUAAAUUAUAUUAAAUUAUUAGAACUAAAAAAAUAAAUAAAUUAUCUAAAAUAUUAAUCUUGAUUCCAAGCUUUUGAUAUCUUAUAGCCAAAUAUGAAAAACUCUUGUUUGAAAGUCCGUUAGAAAGGGCCAAAGACUGAAAGGCGACUCCACUAUUGCAACUGAAAUUCUAACACAACAUACGUCCACACGUUUUUCCCUUCACUUUUAUUUUUCCUCGCCCAUUUUCUUGAAUUGGUAGAAACACAUCAACUGAUUGAUUUUGUUUUCUUCUGAAAAGAGAGAGGCUUACUUGUAAGUCAAAAAGCUCUGUCGACCGUCGUUGCUACAGUGAAUUCUGACAUAUUGUUGCCUUCUUGGUUUUUUCCUUUUCGUUUUUUUCUGAACAGUACGGAUUUCGAUUAAUUUUUUUAAAUUAAUUUUUUUAAUUGUAUUGUUGGGUUAAUGUUACAAAUAAUUUUUUAAAAUAUUAUUUUAACUGAAAAGAAUUUUCAAAAGAUAAUAUACUUCAUUAACAAACACACAACGAAGAUUUUAUUGAAAGAAGGAAAAAAUCACAAGGAAAAUUAACAGCACAGUCUCUCAAGAUCAAUAUAGAAACUAGCAAAAAUCUUAAUGUUUAUUAAUUUAAUAUCAUUUUUCUUCUUGGAAGUGGGUAAUUAAUUACUGAUCAAUAUAUUGCUGUCCCUUCACAACAAAAAUUACAACAACCAAUAGAGAAGAAUCAAUCCAGGAGCUUCAAGUCCAUUCGUGGGAUCAAAACAAGAAAACGGUGAGCUGGUCGAACCACUACCACGAAUACCUAGCUUGAUAUAUAUAUAUAAAUUCAUUUCAAAACUAUUUUGAGAAUAAAUUUAUUUUAUAUAUUGUAGUUUCUGUAUUUGUUUGCUUUAAUCUUAGCUGUGCUGGCUAAAAUCUAAUGAACUUGCAAUUUUUAAUGUAAUCUAACAACUUUUAGAAAAUUGAAACAAUAGAGAAAUAUUGCCAAGAGGAUCAAAUUGCCCUGCAUCUUUCGUUGUUUAUUGGAGCCAGUUGUUAGAGUGUUUGCAGCAUUGGCCCAUGCACGGUCGGAACCCUUCGUUAUUAGACAAGAGCACAUGACUUCGUUAAGUAACGAGAUUCUCUGGCUGCUUUGUGGCCAUGAACUUGUAUUCAUGCACCAAGUUGAUCUACCUCUAAAGAUCUAACUCUUUUAGUGUUGACAAAACAUCUAAAAAUCACUCUAAUAACAUUUUUAAACUAAUUCUUAAUCUCUAAAAGUGUAAAAAAUUGAUCUAAAAUUUAAAAUCAACCCGAAAACUAAUUUCUUCCCGACCUCAGAUAUGGUUUUUCUAGACACUUUCAAUGUAAAAAAAAAAAACACUUAAGUCAAACUUCCCUCAUUAUAUAAAAUUAUUUAGAACAAAUAUUUAACAUUUUGGUGGCCGGAAUCGAAGAAAUGACAUUUAUCUCUCUAGGCUGGAUCGAUCUCGAUCUCUCUCUCUCUUCACUGGACUAAAAGAUAAUGAAAAUAAAAUUUAGUACCGAAAUCCAAUUGUUAAAAAUGCAAAGGACUGGUUACUUUAUAGCAAAAAAAUAUAUAUAUAUAUAUGAAACAAAAAUAUACUUUACAAAUAAAUUUGAACACACCACCCAUAUCACUCUUAAUUUGCACUUUAGUUUCCUGACAUUCAAUUCAAUCCUCAACCACAAAAAAAUAUUCAAUUAGGCUAUAAUUUGGGCUCAAUUGCGCCGUAACAAAGGAAUCAAAUUAAAAUUUUUCAAAAAUCUUACCAUUACAAAUUACAGUGAAAUCUGAGAGAAGAAACAGUAAAAAUAUAUACAGUAAAAUAGGCACACGUUUUAUAUUAUAGGUAAUACAUGAUGCAUUCUUUUUGGUCCAAAUUAAAUUGGAUUAUUAUAGUUAUGUCCCUUUCAACCUUUUUAAUAUAUGGUUUUUUUGGGGUAGCCCUAUGCCUGCUAGGCCUGUAACAGGGUUGCCUGCUAGGCCUAUAACAGGGGACCAUAAAUAUAUUUUUUAUUUCGAUGGAAGGACCUUAUUUAAUAGUAUCUUCAUGUUCGUUACACUUUCAAAUUAUUCAACACUUGAAUUAUUUUGUCUGUUUUAUUUAGCAUGCAAGGCUUCCACAUGAAUUGGUCUGUAUCUGCAGUUUUUAAACUCAAAAUUUAGAACAUUUGUUACCCUCUAAUCAAUUGUCACCCUAUUUAUUAUUUGUGCAAGUGGUCAAAUUUGGCCAGCAUUGGUCUCUAUGUACGUAGAUUUUAUAUUUAUUUAAGUAGACUUAGAUUUAGUUGCACGAGACGUAGUUUUCGAUGAAAUUUUUUAAAAGCAGAUAUAGCUGUUAAGUAUAUGGCUUAUCACCAAAAGAAAGAAAUAACUCUUCAUUAUUUGUUUUUUUUUUAAAAAAAAAUCAAUAAUCCAACCAUCUAUUUUGUUUGGUAUUGUGGUAGCUUUUGUGGUUAUGGUUUGAAAAAAAUUAUUUUAUGAAAAGUACUUUUAAUUGAGGUUGGUUUCAUAUUUAUAUAUAUUUGGUUAAAAGUGUGAUUGAAAUUAAUGUUGAAUAAAAAAUAGUUUAAUGUGUUUGGUUAAACAUGCUUUUUAAAUUGAAGUUAUAAAACAACUAAUAUAUAUAUAUAUAUAUAUAUAUAUAUAUAUAUAUAUAUAUAUAUAUAUAUAUAUUGAUUGUUUUUAAUUUAAAUAUUGUAAAUUUAAUUACCACUAUUACAUCAUUAAAUAAAUAAUAUUUUAUAUCAAAUAUUUUUUAUUGUUCCAUUAACUUAUCUACAAUUUCAUCACGUAUGAACAAUGAACAAUGAACAAUGAUAACACAGUUCACGUGAACAGUGCCACGUGAAUUAAUUCACUGGCACUGUUCCCUUCAAGAAGUGAACAAUACAAUGAAUUAAUUCACGGCAGGAAAGGAGAAGCAAAUUAAUAUUGCUUUCUGCUAACCAUCGUUUGAAACGUGAAAAAUAGUAGGUCCCAUAUACAGUAAAUAAUGUUUUGGAUUUUACCAAACAUGUUGCUCUUGUGUUUUGCUUCAAACACAAACACAACCUCGUAAACAAACAUAGUCUCUUUUUUUUUAUUUAAUACUUUUUAUCUCUCAAUUAAAAAAAAAUACAAUUUCAUCAUUUGUUAUUGAUAAUCUAUUUUUUUUACUCAACUCAAACCUAAAAAAAUGCAAUUUCAUCAUUUAUUGUUAAUGAUCUACCUUUAUUAUCUUGGCCUCACGUGCCUAUCAUGAAUUUUUACUUUUAAAAAAUAUGUUGUUUCAUACAAAACAAUAUCAUGCGUUUUAUUGUCGUAUAAUUAAAUAAAAAAAUCUUUGUGAUAAAAAAUUUAUUGGGUCUAAUGACGUGCAUGACUUGUAUCACGAGUUUAUUCGGUUGACUCAAGUUCACUAUUUUUUUUAAUCAAAUAUUGUUCUUUAUCGAUUUUUUCCUUUAACAUUGAGUCAAUUUCUUUCUUACCCAAUAAAAUGAGAUCUCAUUAGGCAUAAAUAUGGUCCAUGCCCACAAUUUCAAUUUCAAGAGCAUAAACCUAGGUAUAGAUAACCUAUAAAAUAAACAAGCCCAAAGAAAAUUUAAGAUUCUAAAUAAAAAAUCAUCAAUCACUUUACCUUUUUAACAUUGUCCACUCAUAACCAAUUCAAAAAAAUUAGAAUAAAUUAAAGUUUAAAUUGACUUAAAAAAUAUUUUUCUUGCAAUUAAACCCUUAUUAAAUUCAAGUAAACCUUAAAAAUUAUAAUUGAGUUCUUAAGCAUCCAAUAUUGAAUUUUCCUUACCAAUAAAGCCUUCAUUAGUAAAAAAUAUGUUGUCAAAGUUUGUCAAUUUUGUGUAUUUUGAUCUUUCUCAAUCAGUAUUUGGUAACUUUUUGGUCGUUCUUCAUGUUUUUCCCACUGAUGUAUAUAUUUAUUUUUUAAUUUUCCAACAUUUUCUCUUUUAUUUGUAUUUUGUAUUUUUUGUAUAUAUAUAUAUAUAUAUGGGGUCUCAAAAUGGGUAAAAACAUCAAUUAUUUAAAAAGCACGAGCCUUGAAGUUCAAGGAUUUACAAGGCCUAAAUAACCUAUAAAAUAAACGAGCCCAGAGAAAAUUUAAGAUCCUAAGCUCGAAGAAUCAUCUGUUACUUUACCUUUUAAACAUUACCUACUCAUAACUAAUUAAAAAAAAAAUGAAAUAAAUUAAAGUCUAAAUUAACUUUAAAAAUCAAUUUUUUUUAUAAUUAAUUUCUUAAUAAAUUCAAUUAAAUCUUAAAAAUUUUCUAAUUGAGUUCUUAAACAUCCAAUUUUGAAUUUUCCUCUUUAAAUUAAAUUUUCCUUAUUAACAUAGACUUUAUUAGUCAAUAAUAUGUUGUCAAAGUUUUUCGAUAUUGUUUAUUUUGAUCUUUCUCAAUUAAUUUUUAGCAACUUUAUGUUUGUUCUUCGUGUUCUUCUCACUUAUGUAUAUUUUUUAAAAAAAAUUCUAACCUUUUCUCUUCUCUUUUUUGUAAUUUUUUAUAUAUGUAUAUGGGGUACCAAAAUAGGUAACGACACCCACUAUUUCAAGAGCACAAGCCCAGAGAAAAUUUAUAAGGCCUAAAUAACCUACAAAAUAAACCAGCCUAGAGAAAAUUUAAUAUCCUAAGCUCGAAGAAUCAUCAGUCACUUUACCUUUUUAACAUUGUUUACUCAUAACCAAUUCAAAAGGAAAUGGAAGAAAUUAAAGUUUAAAUUAAAUUUAAAAAUCAAUUUUUCUUGCAAUUAAGCCAUUAAUAAAUUCAAUUAAACCUUAAAAAAAUCUAAUUAAGUCCUUAAACAUCCAAUUUUAAUUUUGUUUCUCUUGAAAUUGAAUUUUCCUUGCCAACAAAAUCUUUAUUAGUUUUAAAUAUGCUGUCAAAGUAUUCAAUCUUAUGUAUUUUAAUCUUUCUCAAUCAAUAUUUGAAAACUUUAUGGUCGUUAUUCAUGUUUUUCUCCCUAAUAUAUAUUUUAUUUUUAUUUUUCCAACUUUUUGUUUUUUUUAUAUAUUUUAUAUUUUUUUUGUAUAUUUAUGUAGAGUCUCAAAAUAGGUAAUAACACCCACAAUUUCAAGAGCACAAGCCUUGAAGUUCACGGAUUUAUAAAUCCUAGAUAACCUCCAAAAUAAACCAGCACAGGAAAAAUUUAAGAUCCUUAGCUGGAAGAAUCAUCAAUCACUUUACCUUUUUAACACUGUCCACUCAUAACCAUCAAUGGAUUUCUUACAGGUUUUUGUGGCCCCUGGGAAGCUCUUGGCCUAAGUUUAAGAAAGUUAAAAUCUUUGAACAUAAAGAAUACCUGUGAAACUCAUAGUAGGAAUGUCUAUUGCUUAGAAUGUCUAUUAAUUUUUUUUAAAAUGAUAUUAAAAAUAUAUUCUUUGUAUUGACAUGAUGCAUGCUAAUUAAUAAAAAAAUAAAAAAAUUAGAAGGUCCGCCACUGUUCAUGUAAACAGUGAACCUUCUACCAUUGUUUUUCAAUUAUAUCAUUUUAUAGUCUAAUUAUAUAAAAUUAAGAUUUAAAUUAAAAUCAAAGAAAAUACAUGUCUCCCCCCAAACUCAUGAAAAUUCUUAUUUUAAUUUAAAAUUUUAUUUUAUUUAUUUUUCAGUUCCUGAGUCGGAGAAAGAAGAGAGAAAGUUGCUAGAAAACAUAUAUAUGCAUGCAAUUUUUUUUAUUAAACUUGUUAUAAAGUUCAAAUAUAUAUAUAUAUAUACAAAUUAUUAUUUUUUUGUAUUUCUUGUUUUUGUUAUAAAAAAAUUGCUAAAAACAUUAAUGCUAAAACAAGCAUAAAGUUUUGGAUUUUUUGUAUUAUAAAUUUUUGGAUUUUUUUUUUAAUUUUCAUGAAAAGCCAAACAAAGUUUACACACACACACACACACAAUGUCCAAAUAUGGCACAAUGAAUUUUUUUUAAGUACUUUGCCCAUGCAAAACUUUAAAAAAUAAGAUAAAAUGGACAAGAUAAAAUCCUAAAGAUGAUAAAAGCCAUGAACCGAGAGCAAGGAGGGUUUUUGGGACCCUAAAUAAGCACAGGUAAGACAAAAACUUCUCAAUGAAGUUGCCCAUUUUCUAGGGUUAUCAAACACGAUCAUGCAAUAUAUGACAAGAGGAUAUGAGAUUGCAAUGUAAAGGAAGGCCAUACCACAAGCACUUUUCAUCUUUUGCACGUGAUUCAAGUGAAAAAAAUUAAGUCCAAACAUACAUAUGUUGCCAUGUAAAGCAAAGGCUAGCUAUAUCCUGACCAAGGGAAAAGGACACCUUCAUUGUUUUCUUUACGUGUAGGGUAUGCAUGAACUAAUGCAAAAAUCCAAUGGGUAUUUCUUUGUUCUCAGCAUAGACCAAGGGCGAAGGACACCUUCGUUUUUUGUUCUCAGCAUGGCAAGCAAUAAGUAUGUUAUGAAAGCUAUUCCAGAGGAAAGAGACCGAAACUAAACAAAGCUUAAUGAUGCAGAAGCAGCAAUAUUAUGUUUAUAUCUUGGAACUAAGAAUUCUUAUCAUUUAAUUAAUUAGCAACACCGGAAAAAAAAAAAGAUCCGUGCAAAGAGAUAAAAGUAACAAGGUAAUGUGCAAACUUUCUUUUUCUCUCUCGCUGUCUAACGUUCAAACCCUUUCAUUUCUUUCUUUUUUUGAAAAAAAAAAAAAACUACAACCAUCACACGAUUAUGGACCCCCGCAAAGUCUGUGUUAGUGAUCUUAUGGAUGGAGAUAAAUACAGCUAAAGUUUGUUCUGCUUUUGAUGGAAAGAAAACACCAAUAGUCCUGUCAUUGUUGGACUGUUGAGGAUGAGUUUUUUUUCACAUUCGAUGCAUGAUAGUCGUGGAGGUAAAGAAAACUAAACCAACUAGUGAGAUUUGGAAUAGACAAUUUGAUCUAUAAUUUGGAUCAGAUUUGGUGCAAUUUGGUGGAAAGACUGUGUUAAACCAAAGUCAUUUUGGUGGCUUCUCGGGCGACUUUCUCUGGUUCAAAAGAAAAAAGAAAAUAAACAAUGAUCGAACGACAUGUCGUUCGUAUUAAUGGUUCAAUGUCAGUUUUCAAUUUACUCUCUGAACUUCUAAAACCUUUCAAUUAAACCCAUAAUUAUCCUUUUUUAUAAUCUUUUUAAUUUUACCCUUAGAUUUUACAAUUGGACUCUUGGAUUAACAAAUGAUAUGAUGCAUAUUAAUUAACAAAAUAAGAAUACACGCAUUUAGAAUAUUAAUUAUUACAAUUAUUUUUUUCAAAUAUUUUUUAUUGCCAAUAUGCUUUUCAGACCAAACAAUCAAAUAUUGAUUAAUAUAUAAUCGAUGAAUAAUAUAGUACUAAAUGAACCGCACCAUAACAUUAUUAUAAAAUCAAGGUAAUUUAAACCAAACCAACUACCUUAUUCAGAUUUAUUUAAUAUAUCAAUAAAUCGUAAAAAAAAAGAGAAGUUUUUUGUUAUCCUAAGUGACUGAAAUUUCUUGAUUCCAAAGAACUGGAUUCAUGAAAAAGUUUCUAUUUCGCGCUAAUUUGCAAGGAAAAAAGCGAGUACAAAAAGCUCUCAUAUGUAGCUAAAAUAGUUACAUAUAUGUUUAAGUUAAAAUAGUUAUAUUUAAGUUUGGAAAGGCAUGGAUCUCUCAUAUGUAGCUAGCUUUAUGGCAGGCCUGAAGCUGCCGGGCCUCAGUACAAAAAGCUCUCCACUAUCUAACUCAGCAACGCACGCUCCACGCUGGGAUUGGCACGUGGGAUGGGCACACAAGAUGAGACUGACCAUGAUUGUGGGUACCGACCGACUCUUGGGUUAUGACAAAUGAUAUUAAAAAUAUACACUUUGUGCACUUGAGGGUCUAGCUGCUGUGGUCAACCGUGUGACUUGUUCCGCCCCCGUCCCGGGUUCGACCCUCUAUGUGCACGCCUGUCACCCCCGCGGUGCCUUACUUGCUCCUGGGCUUGCAGGAUGUCCAGUGGGCCGUGGGGAAUAGUCGUGGUGCGCGUAAGCUGGCCCGGACACCCCACGUAAAUAAAUUUAAAAAAAAAAAUAUACACUUUGUAAUCCUGAGAGAUGUAACUUAACUGGACAAGCUCUAGAUUUGCUUUCUAGAGAUCACCAGUUCGAGUCCCACAAACUCAGGGUCAAAUUAUAAUUUUUGAGAGUUGAUUUGGUCAAAUCAGGGACUUAAUUGAGUAAAUAUUGAAGUUUGAUGGCCAAUUAGAGACUUAAUUGAAGAAAUCCGAAACCAACGACCAAACUAGAAAAGGCACAUAAAUAGAGGGGCUGUAAUUGACGGAAUCAGGGGCCAAAUUAAAGAAAUUAGAAGUUUAUUGAUCAAUUGAGGGUCAAAUUGCAUAAAUCAGAGACCAAUGACUAAAGUGAAAAAGGCGGCCAACUUCAGGGGCGACAUUUGAAUUUGGAAGGUAUACAAUUGAAUUGAUUUUUAAAUCAAAAUUGCAAUUUAGGACUUGAUUGAACAAAUUACAAAUUGAAUACUGAUUUGGACUUUGACACGAUUUUGCCGCCAUUUUCUUUUAAAUGAAACGACGCUAUUUCAUCCACUGUUUAUUAAAAAAAAAACCCGAAAUGGUGCUGUUUUGAACGGCACUGUGGGUCUUCUUCUUCCCCUGGACGCGCGAGGCAGGGGAAGAAGAAGCAGCAGCCUUCCCCUCUCCCUCUCUCUCCUAAAACUCAAAAAGACGCCGACCCGAAGCCCUCACUUGCCUAAGCUCUGACCCGUGGCCUACCACGAUGUGGAAAAAACAGAGGGGACGUGCCCCUCUGGCAGUUUUUGGGGCGGUUGCACAGUGGUCGUCUUUGCCUCUCUCUCCCCUAUUUUUCCUAUAAAUAUAGGGAAGAUAGUAGAAAAAAAAAGAGAGGAAGGAGCAGAACAGAAGAGGGAAGGAGCUGAAGACUGAAAGAAAAAAGAACAGAAAAACAGAGGAAGAAAAGAAAAAAAAAUACAGAGAAGCAGAGGAAAAAAGAAGAAGGAUCGCCGCCUGGAGCCACCGCCAUUUCGCCACUAGCAUCACCGCCAACGACAGCAGCCACCACAGGUUAGCUUCCCCCUCCUCUUCCACCUCCUUAUUCUUCUUCUACGUCUUCUUCUCCACUGUUCACGUUGUAUGUGAACAGUGGAGAGGCCCACUAUUUAAUGGGCCGGGUUCGGCCCAAUUCAAAAAAAAUUUCAAAAAAAUUCUUUUAAAAAAAAAUUGUUAUAUUUCUGUGUAUUUUUCGAUUAAAUUUUGCUUAAUAUUGGUUGGUAUUUUUAUACCGUAAAAAUAUCAAUUCGAUAUUAAAAUACCCGGUUUUUGUCAAAACAUUGAAAAAUUAAAAAAAAUUGUUUUUACGCAUAUGGACAAAUCUCUCAAAGCUAAAACAAAAACCAUAUUGUAUUUUCAUACAACAAAGAAAACUUCAAAAAUGUUUUAGCAUGCAUGUCGGCUUUAAUAACCAGUUUAUUAAAGUCACGAGAACUUGGUCAAUAUUUCAAAAAUUUCAAAAAAAAAAAAUAUUUUUUGUUUUGCUUUAGUAUUAGGGAUUACGAAUUUAUACGUAAAACGUAUUCCCGAUAUUAAAAAGGUAUUUCUUUUGACGACAUAGAACAAUUAGAUUUUUAUCCGGUAAGAUAAGGAUCUCCUUACCGAGAAUGACUUUUCUUAAACCGUAGACAGACCGGCAAUUAGAAACCGCAACAAGACCUUAUAUUUUAUCAGACAACAAAACAAUGCAGCUUACCUUAGGUAUGACAUAUUUGGGGUGCUAAUACCUUCUAUUUACGCAACCAGUCUCCGUACCCAAUGUUUGAGAUCGGUUAGGGUUCCUAGUGACCAGAAUACUAGGUGGCGACUCUCAUUCAAAUUUUCCACUGAUAAAAGACAAGAAUUUCUUGUCUCUCCAUAUUUGUCAGAUAGACAUACAUUAAACCCUGAGGGAGGACGAUCGUCGCGGCGCCGCACACGUGCGACAUUAAUGAUUUUAUUUAUCUAAUUGUUUUUAGGAUUUUAAGAAUUUUCCACUCUUAUAUAUAAAUUUUUAACUCCACUAUGUUAGCCACUAUUAUAAACUUGUUAGCCACUAUUAUAAACUUGAUCUGACCUGACAAAUUAACCUAAGAUCUGGUCAACCCGAAACCUAGACUGGUUUAGGUUAAAGAAAAAAUAGAGGAAAAAACUGACACAACCUAGCAGGUUGAUUUAGAACUUAGACUGAUUUGAGUUGAAGAAAGAAUGCGGGGAAGAAAUUGACCCGUUCAAAAACCAAGGUUGUUCACGGCCUAUUCAAUCUAGGUAAAACCUAGUUAAAAUCCAUGUAUUUUUUUGAAAAAUAAAAAUUUAAUCAAAAUAAUAUCAUCUUGAUUUAUUUAUUUUUUAAAAAUUAUUUAACUCCAAUUCACACCUCCCGACUUGAUCUAAAUCUUAUCUAGAAUCACCUCUGGAUCGGUUGUGCGAGCCCAUCUUUCUUUACAACAUGAGUUAUUGUUUAAUCUCCAAUUCCAAUCCAGAAAUUAGUAAACAAGACUCACGAGAUUGAAUAUAAUGGCACAAGACCUAGAAAUUAGUAAACAAACCCAUGAAAACAAAAAACAAAAAACAAAAAGAAACUAAAAAGCCAGACCGUAGUCCAAAUUUAAAGGACGGCUACGUUAAAACCUCCAAGCUCCCAUUCACCAACCUAGCCAUUAAACCAUCUUUCCCUUCCAAAAAUACAAAAAAUAAAAGAGAGUGAAGGUAUUUAAAAAUGUAAUAAGAGUUAGAGUUUAAAACUAAUUUUUAUUUAAAAAUAUAUUAAAAUAAUAUAUAUUUUUUAUUUUUUAAAAAUUAUUUUUAAUAUCAACACAUUAAAACAAUUUAAAAACAUAAAAAAAAUUAAUUUUAAAAAUAAAAUUAACUUUUUAAAAUAAUUUCAACUAUAUUUCCAAACAUUACCUCAAAACCUCUUCUCUAUCCCUGCAGGGCAGCCCUACACUGCCCAUCGUGACAACCUUUUCUAACUCUAAACGCACACCCUCAUUAAUUUGAUCACUUUUCGUCAAGAGAGAGAAGAAAUCACCCGCAUGUAUAAAUAUCCAUUAAAGUUCCCUCAUAUAUAUAUAUAUAUAUAUAUAUAUAUAUAUAUAUAUAAGUCAUCGUAACCUUGACUCCAACUCCACUUCGAAUUAAUUUUCUUAUAUAUAUCUUGUUUCAAGUAAAUUAUGUGCAUGCAUUUAUUAGAAAUUGUAUUUAAUCCUAUUAAAAGUUGUGUUUAAUUCUAAUCCUAUUAUAUAAUGAUUUUAGAAUUUAACUCUUGAAAUUAGUAUUAUUUAUCUUAAUAUAUGAUGAAAAGCAUGUGUUAUUAAAACAAUUCGAGAAAAAAAUAAUUAAAUCUUGAAUGGUAUAUAAACUAAUUUAAGUAUAAAAAAAUUAAAAAUUAUGUUUUCCAUGAACUUUCUAAAUUAAAACGAUGACUAAUUAAUAACAUGAAGAGCACAUACAAUUAGCAACUGAGUGAUCCUAAUUACCUAUUAUCUAAGUAUUGCUAAAUAUACCCCAUCCUUGCCGACCUUCUGCUUCCAAAUAAGAACCUCACAGACAAAACAAAGCACAAGCUAUCGUCUGAUUCAUUUCUUUUUUCCCUCGUUCAAACCCAAAACUAUGAAGAACAGCAAUCUUUAAACCACUUACUAGCUGUUAUAGUUAUUAUCGACAACCUUUCUCUAUGCCCAUCAAGUCUUUGUGUUACAAACAACAAUACUCAUGAAGAACGUUUCAAGAAACAAGUUGUUGCUAUGUUUUAAGCCAGUGGUUAAUGUGGAUCAGCUACUGCUCGAUCACUCCAAAGUUGGUGUUGUUGAUCACUCAAAUAUCCAGGCUUUGAAGCUUCUUGGAAGGAGAAAGAAAGAGGAUAUGAAGCGAUUGGUGUCCAAUUCUUCUUUUCUUUCGGAUGAUAAGAGGAGGUGUUCAGCAAUAAUUUCUUCUUCGAAAAAUUCAUUGAUUCUUCAUCCUCCAAAGAAGAACUUCUCCCGUGUCAUCAAGGCCGUUUUCUUCGAAACCAUAUUGGUUAGUUCAAUAUCAAAUUUCUUACUUCAUCUAUUUCUUUCCAGGCUUAAAUUUUUAGUACAAUAAUUAAUGAUUGUUCAAAAUUUCUAUAUUUUGAUAGCUUUUCAAGGUGAUUUCUUCCUAUGAUCAUGUUUUCUUCUUCUUUUUUUCUUCGUUUUCAGUACUCCUUCAAGCUUAAAUUUUCAGAAGAAUUGAUUGUCUCCAAAAUUAUAUUUUUAGUUCAUCAAAUUCUUUAUUUCAGGUUUUUUUUUUAUUUGUUUGUUUGUUUUAAUGAUGAUCAUAUGUUCUUUCAUUGUUUGUCAGUCCAAGAGAGUUCGUGAUCGUAAAGGGAGUCAAUGUCAAGACCACUCAAAUGGAUCAAAGCAUAUCUCUUCUUCUUCACCAAUGAAUAGCAAAAGAACUUUGGAUGAUACAAGUGAUCAUCAUGACAAUACUGACCAUCAAGUUAGCGAAGCAAAUUUGGUAAAAUCUUGUUCAAGUUCACUAUCAGAAACAAGAAAAAUGUCCAAGAUAAAAAAGAACUCAACAAACCCAAAUCAAGAACUUGAAUUCAAGGCAAGAAACAUGGACAAGUCAGACAUAUAUUUACUCCUCAUGAGUUUUACAGUGACAAUUUUGUGGGGUAAGCUAUGUGCAAUAUUUUGCAACUUAAUUUGGUUAUAUUUUUUGCCUCGAAGACGGCAUAAUACUAGCCGGCCUGAAAAUGUUAGAACAAGCUUGUGGCUGCCAGAGAAAAAAGAGAGUAAAGAUCAGUACUACUACAAGAAGAAGGUCAUAAUGGCAGGGCUGCUUGAAAGGAAGCAUCAGAGGGUUAAUGACAUUAAAUUUUUGACGUGAAAACUCUAUUUUUCGUGUUCGAUGCAAUCUCUUCAUCUCUGGUUUUGUGAAAAAUUAAAGUUUUGGCAGGGUUCAGGAGACAGAUCACACACUAGUUUCUUGUGUUGAUUGCCUCUUUGCAUCUUUGGGGACUAUGGCAGAAUCUGAGUACAUAACAUUCUCAUUUACUUUUUGCUUCUUUUCGAACUUUAUUUUCAUUUUUUUAAUAUUUUGGAAAAUUGUAAUCUAUUAACGAGGGGAAAGAAUAUAAAGAAAUUGGAUUGAUAUAUCAUGGAAUGUAUGGGAUCAUGGUUUGUUGGAUGCUUUAAACUAACUUAACUGGCAAAAAAAUUUCUUUAUUUAAACUGAUUUAUAUGUUACUUGGAAUUUUUUAAUGUAGUAUUAAUGACGCAUUUUUAAUAUUAAUUUUAUUUAUUUAAAGAAAUAAAUUCCCCUAGAUAUUGCUACAACUUAAACUCAUGAAGUCAAAUAAAUUAGUAUAUCUUUUUUAACCACCAGGUCUAUUUUGAGGAUUAAUCGGUAAAGAUUGAAGGAUGAAAUUCAAUUUUUUUUUUUAUAGUUUAACGUGGGUGUCCGGGCCAGCUUGCGCGCACCUCGACUAAUCCCACGGGCUCUGAAGUUAACGACCAUGUAAGCCUUCAGUGGCCAUCAUAUGAGCAACUUCAGGGCUCGAACCUGAGACCACAGAGGGAGCAAACCUCUUGAUCCCAAGCUCUUACCACUAGGCCACCACCUAGAUGAAAUUCAAUUUUAUUUCAUGGGCUUGAAGCUAAGCCAAAACUUGAGAUAAAAUUAUUAAUCUUAUAGUUUUGGUAAUUUUGAUAAUUUGAUAUAUUUUUUCUUGGCAAAAUGACUAAAAAUUUAUGUUUGAUAUUUGCAAAAAAUCCUGUUUUUUUAUUCAUUUAUUUAGAAAAGAGGACUCAAGAAAAAAAAAGGUCAAUCCAUCAAUAUAAUUUUAUUUUAGAUUUGUUUUGAAUUGAAGAUGGAUGAAGAAUUUUGCUAUCUCUAUAAUGCUCUUUAAAAGUUUUUUAAUCUUCUUUAUUUAUACUUGAAAUCUAUAAAUAAUGAAAUUCACUUGAAUCAAAUAUAAAUGUCUCAUAAGAGUUUUUCAAUAAUAUUUUAAAGACAGGUUGAAGAAUACACAUCUAAAUUUUGUAAAUAAAUUAAGUUAUCAUAAAUCAAAUUCAAGGAUAGAAUCAAAUGAUUGUUUUAUUUUUAUUAUAAGAGUAUUUUAAAUAGAUAUUAUAUCAUAUUAUAUAUUUUAAUAAAAUGAAAUAUUUAUCCAUGUGUAUUUAGGUAUUCAAAUUUAUGUCCACAAUUAUAAUUAUUAAAAUAUGAAAAUAUAUAUAUAAAAAUGAACUUGAAAUAUAAAAAAUAUUAAUUUUAUAAAUUAGUCGUUAUUGAUAUGUUAUUUACAAUAUAAUGAUCAAUAACAAUCGUCGCUAUUAUAUAAUAACAUUAUAGUUAUUAUUGAUGUGAUUCAUCAGCAAUGAUGCUGUAAGGCCAAAUAACGUUAAUGGGGAUACCCGAAUCCGUUAAAUAAUAAUCAUUAUGUAUACAAUAACCGCAAUAAUUAUUUAUAAGCAUGCUCCGUUAAAUAAUAUUAAUUUUAGGAAAAUUAAUGCCAAUUUUUUUUUUUAUAUUGUUGGUAAUUAGAUUAAGAUUGAUUAAAGAAUAAACCUAGUUCAAAUAUUUAGAAGAGCAUUAAAAAAAAUAACUGUUUUCUCAAUUUAUAUAUAUACAAGUACAUAACUCAUAUGAAAAUGUAAGUUUUUAUUAUUAAAAAAAAUAUAAUUAUCUUUUUUUUUCAUUUUAAAUUUUGUAUAUUAACUUAACUAGAUUUACAAACAAAUUUAUAUUAUAUAUAUUGGUGAUUUGAGAAUUUACUUUUUUUUUAUAUCUAGAUUAGUUAUUUCAGUAUAUAGAGGUGAUGGGCCUUUAGUCUAAACUUGUUAACUAGUUGAACGUUUAGUCCCAGUUGCCCAUUCGAGUAGAAUUUCUUGACAUAUAUUACCAUAAAUAUAGUUUUUAAACGCAGCUCGGACAAGUUCCAGAUUAUAAAUUGAGUUAGUUAUUUAAAUAAACUUGGGUCAAUUCUAUUAUUUUUUUAUAAAAAAUUGACAUAUUUUUUUUUUAAAAAAAGAUAAUUAAUAAGAUUUGAUCAAAUUUUAAUUAAGUUUUUCCGAGCUCAUCAAGUCAUAUAUUAACUUUAGCACAAAAAGAUCACAAAAAGAUAAAAAUCCCUUUUUAAAAUACGAGGAUAAAUAAUGGCUAGCAUACAACAAAUGGAAACAAGAUCUGAAAGCAAAGCAGAGGAAUCAAUCAAUGCAAAAUAAACUUUAGCACGAGUAAUUAUCAAAUUUUAAAGGGAAAAGAUUUUAAAGCAAAAAACUCUUUUAAAAAGUAAUUUAUGCUACAAUAUCAAAUACAUAUUAUUCUUUGGAGUGUUUGUUUUUGUGGUUCAACUUACUUUUUUUAAAGUACUUUUUUAUCUAAAAAAAUCAAAUUGAUAUUUUUUAAGUGUUUUUCAAUAAUUUUAAUGUGCUAAUAUUAAAAAUAAAAAAUCUAAAAAAAUUUAUUUUUAAUGCAUUUUUAAUUAAAAAAAACUUUUAAAAAAUAUUAUCCAUUGUAUUAUCAAACACACACUUAAUGGUGGUAAUCCUAAUUUUUUCUAGUUUAGCUUGCUAUAAGUGCUAUAAACAGAAAUGGACACCCUAUGCUCAACCACAAAACUAAGGAAAUUUUUUAGUUUUUACCAUCAAGAAAAAUUAAAUCAAUAUGCUUGAAAAAUGUCAUUAGAUCACAUAGUCGCGUACAUACCAUGCAAUUUUUUUCCCUCAUAAUCUACCAUAUUUUCGCUUUUACUUCUUUUUGUGUUUUUAACUUAAAGAAAAAGAGAACGAAUUAUGAGCCUAUACGAAAUAUUCUUAUUAAUUUUGAUGAAACUGAAUGUGAUUUGUUAUUUUAUAUUAAUGUUCGUGCUCUCUUCAAAAUGGAUUUGUGAAAUAAUUAAUAAUAUUUACUCCAAAAAUAAUAUAAAUUUCUUGAGAUGUAUAAACCCUAGGCUGUGUAUAAAUAUGUGUGUGUUCUAAGAUAUUUUAAAAUUGAACUCUCUUACAUUAAAGAAAUUAAUAAAUAAAAAGAAAAAAAAAAUACUCCCUUUUAUAUAUGUAGACCACACCACGACGAUCUUCUCGUGAAUGAAAAUCACCAAAAUAAUAUACUAGCAAUGUGUGAAAUGCCCAACACCCUAAAAUGGAUGUCUGCCAUCAAGGAAUUAAGCAAGUUGAUUUAAUAACUAAGUGAAGGGAACCUCGUUAAUUAGUCAUUAAUUGAUUGAUAAUUACAUAUAGGGAGUAUGUGUGUGUCUAUAUAUAUAUAUAUAUAUAUAUAUAUAUAUAUAUAUAUAUAUAUAUAUAUAUAUAUAUAUAUAUAUAUUUGCAUUUUCUUUCAAUGUGUUCCCAAUGAUAAAAAUAAGUAUGAAUUUUUUUAGUUUAGAUGAAGAAUUUUUUAUAUAUAAUUUAUAAGGUAGUAUUUAGUUAUUAUUUUAUUACAUAAGAUACGAAGAUAUAUAAUUGAGAUAGAAAAAAUAUAUAUAUUUUCAUGUACUUCCUGUUUUGAAAUAAAAAAAAAUUAUUUAAGAAAUGAAUUUAUUUUUGUAUCUAUUUUUUAUUUUAAAAAGAUAAAAUUCACUUUAAAAAAAAUUAGAAAGAGAAAAUUAUCCUAUAAAAAGCUCUUCAUAUCUUUUUUAAAAAAUAAGGACCGAAUAAAAUAUUCUAUCAAUAUGAGUUAAGAGCAAAGUUGAUAGAAAUUGGUCGUUUCUUGAGGUUCUUCUUCUUCAAAAAAGAAAAGUUGAUUAAAGCUAAAAGCCAUGAUUCUCAAAUAAAAUCAAGUUGUAGCUAUGGUACCUAAAGCAAGGCCAUUUUACCAAAUUUAUUGUUCUUUAUAAUAGUUAAUGACUAUAAAUAUUCCUAAACAAAACAAGAAAAAAUAAUUAAUUAAUUAGUUUAUUAAGUCCAAAAUCAAUAUGUUAAUUUAGAAGUAUGAACUUUUCUACUUAAGAGUAUUGUUAUUAAAACUCAUAAUAAGUAAAACUCAAGAUAAUAGGGACUAAAUAUACAGUCAAACCCCUUUUGAAAAUAACUCCCCUGGAUAACAGACCGCGCGCUUCUUAACUGCUUAUCUCCCUCUCUCUCAGGUGCCUUUGCGUUUCUUCGUCCAGCUAAAGCUAUCUCUGGUUUCUUGAACUGAUAACUUCGAUGUGAAUGAUAUCAAAUUUGAUUUUUCUAUCAUCAUUAGUGUUACCAUCCUUAACUUUAUCUUUCUUUUGUUAUUUUCAUUAGUUUCUUCAAGGUUAAUCCUACUGUUUCUUGAACUUAAUUUUGAAUGCAAUCAAGAACUGAAACAAUUUCACUGUUUCACUGUUUCUUUACCAUUCUUGUUUGAUUUAAUAAAAUGCGUUUGGUUUAAUCUCUUAGUUAACAUGUUCUAGUUGCUAUUUUUUGUGUUAAUGUGUAGAUAAUUAUGUAUGCUUUCACAUUGUAUAUGGAUUUGCUAAGUUACUUUUCAUUUUACGUGAUUUUUUGCUUUAUGGAUUCUUGAAAAAUCCCUCAUUGGGGGUAGUGAAAUUCAUUGUUAACUUCAUGUUAGACCUGAAAUCUUUUCUUUUGAUUCUCUAUUUUUUUUUUCCCUUCCUGUUGACAAGUUUACAGUUGCUUUAUAGUCUAUCUUUGAUUUCAUGUUGUAUUGUGGCCGAUUCUUCUAACGAUGGAAUUGGUUCUUCAUUGCGCAUUGAAAUUCUUUGUUUUGUAGAAAAAUCUUGUAAAGAUGACACCUCCAAGAGCAUUGAUUCAACAAAGUGUGGAGCAUGCUAAAACGAAGAACAAGAAGGAGAGGAGGGAUAGGACUGUGCCGACCAAGAGGGAGAUAGAUAGUCUAGAAUCAAAUGCUGCUCGAAAACUGCAACUAGAAUAUCAGAGUACAUUGGGCGAUCCAAUAGCAGAGUUUGAAAGACUCCUUCAUUCUGCUGCUCCAUUUAUCACUUCCUCUUGUACAAAUAAAAAUCAGCAGUUAGAUAGUUCUCUUCAUCAGGCUCAGUUACCAAGAAUAUCACUUCAGGAUGUUUGGAAGUGGUAUGAGACACCUGGGAGUUAUGGGUUAGAAGUCAAGGCAGGAGAUUCUCCAAAUAUUAAUGGUUUUCUUGCUGAAUCGACACCAUUCUGUGCAUAUUUUGUUCCUUACCUGUCAGCUGUUCAAUUUUUUGUUUACCCACAUCUCUCAGAUGUUUGUGGGAAGGAUAAAGUGGACACCAAUCCUGAACUCGUAUUUGAAUUCUUUGAAUCUGAGCUUCCACACGAUCGAAAGCCUCUUCAUUUAAAGUUAGUCUUCUUCUUACUAUUUUCAAUCUUGCCUGUGUUAUUACUGUUUUCUUCUGGGAGUAUGAGCUCUUUACCUGUGCUAUUGAGAUUCAGGCAACAGCAUGCCUAACUAGAAUAUCCUCUGAUAUGUAAUCUCAUGUGUGCAUGAAGGAUGGACAUUUUAUAAUGAUGCCAAGUAGCUGAGCCUUGAGGCUUUUUUUACUCAGGAAAUGUUCCUUUAAUUUGCCAGGAAAUGUUCCUUUAAUUUGCCUCACUUUUGGUUGCUUUCCACUUCUUGAACAAACAUUCUGGUUCCGCCCUUCACCGCACCCUCUGAAACCUUGUGGUAGGAUGCAACUGAUUUUGUGUUAAUCCCUUGCUAAUUGCAGAAUCAGGGACCUCAUCAGUAUCAACACUUCUAACCUUCAAGUGUUCGGUGAUCCAUCAAAGCUAGAAUCUAUGAACCUGCAUGAUCUACACCCUUCAUCUUGGUGAGAAACAACAAGAUCUUGUAGUUCUUGUUAUCCGUAGUGCUUAUGUGACAUGUAAAAUUUAUCAUGCUCAUGAACUCUGGAUAAAUGGUUUCAGGUUUUCAGUUGCAUGGUACCCUAUAUAUCGAAUUCCAGAGGGCGAGUUUCACGCAGCAUUCCUGACAUACCAUUCAUUUAAUCAAUUAAUUGUACGUAGCAUUCCAAUUGAUUCGCUCAGUAAGACGUUUCAGAUGAUUGUCUUCCCAGUUAUGGGAUUGCAAAGCUACAGGAUAAAGGUAACUUCUAUAUAACACUGACUCAAACAUUCCGAUGAUUUUAGGUCCGGAUUGUGCUUCUACAUGUCGAAAUGGUGUCCGCAAGAGAAGGAAACUGCAAUCAGAGAUUCAUGUCAUCACUACAUCUGAUUUUCCAUGUUCUUCAUUUCUGAACAAUGACAUGUUCAUUUUAAGUAGUUGAUGAGAAUUUGGUCGAAUUGCUUGUAUCAAAAGACAUGAUUGAUUGACAUACCGCACGAUAAAAUCCUUCUGCGUAUACGAUGAUUAGUUCUUUUCUGUUGUGUUGUUUCGGUUUAUGAUACUUUUCGUCUGUGGUCAGUACAUAAUAGAUGAUAAUGCUCUAAGAAUGGUGUAUUUGGUGGGAGCCUGCAUUCCCAAUUUGCUAAGACUUUUACAAGGAACAGGCUGAUUAAUACCUGACAAUCUUGUAAUUGUAGGGUGAACGCUGGUUUGAUCUCAGAACUCAUGUUGAGUCUUCUUCAGAAGAAAGUACUUCUAAAACUUCUGAAAUUCUCAUAGAAAGAAGCAGAGCACUGGAGGAAAGAUGCAGAACACUGGAGAAAAAUGCCUUGCUUCUCUCUACAAGAAGUGUUACAGCAGAUCAAGUCAAAAGAUUUAAUUACCAUCGAGAUUAUCAGUUCUUCAUUAGUAGGAAACGCUAGGUUGAUCUUUCCUGCAUCACAUCUUACACUGUGCUGAUUUCUGUAAACAAAAAACGUGAGGUCUAAAAUGCUAGUACGGUAUCAAUUUUGCUGGUUUUUGUAGGUAUUAAGAAACAGAAAGUAUACAACAACCCCACGGCAGAAGAGUUAAUUUCAGUUUGUACAAUCACUGUAGUUGAUGUCCCUACAACAUGCAGUUCUGGAGGUUUUCCACUGUAAAACUUGAAAUUCCUCUCCUAUCUCUCUAUUGCUAUUUCCCUCUGUUUCUUUUCAUUGAAAUGUUGAAUAGAUAAUACAAUUAGGUGAUCAAAUUGUUAAGUUUCUCCAAAUUAAAUUGCAAUUUCAUUUGUAUCCAUGCAUUCUGGGUCAAUGCCAGUCAAUUGAGGACAGCUUUCUUUCAGUUGUUGACUGUUUUUGUUCACCCUGCAUUGUGCUUAAAAUGAGUGGAAUCAGCAUGCUUUGUAUACAUAUUCGCAAGGUGAGAGUCAGAUGCAUGGCCUGGAAUAUCAAAGCUAUUUUGUCUUCUGUUUAGCAGUCUGUGGUUAUCAGAAGCAAAUCCAAAUUCACUGCUGAUGAUUCGUCUUUAAUCAUAAGGUCUUCUGCUUCGCACACAAUUAACAGAUUCUUGGUCCCAAGUCAAGGCUCUCCCUCCAACUCAGGUAACCAAUUUGUAACUCUUUUAAGUUCUAAGAAAGAAACAAAGAAAAGGAUAUCAUUUUUACAUGCAUGUGGGUGGGUUGGACUUUUGAAGCUAGAUUCUUCAUUGGUGUGCUGGACCAUCCAAGUCUUGCUCAUUAGUGAUCAAAUUUUAGAUUGUAUGGUUUCAGGGCAAGAUCCCAGGUUCCAUCUCGCUGAUGUUAUUGUAGUAAUGAAUGAAAAAGUAGUUUGUGGACAAGUAAUGCUUAAGAUAUUAAAAUCUCUUUCUUUGAAAGACAAUUUACUGGAUAGCACCACCUUGUUCUUGGAGGAAUUGCAAUUCUGAAAUGGAUUGAGGAUGAAAAGGUCUGAGUAGACUUGAAAAUAGCUGCUGCUUGCCUUAGUCAUAGAUUAUAUAUACAUUUAGCUGUGUCUAGAUAUCUCAUAAACCAAUUAUAGGCUGAAGUUGAUGUCAUGAAGCAUGAAACAUGCCAUAGCUUUGGAGAUUAUAUAAGAAGAAAGGCUUUUACAACAGUACUAGGAUUUUGCCACUCUCAGAAAACUUUGAAACUAGCCUUCAAAUAAGGUACAAACCAUGUACAGAGAAGAAAAAAAACUAACUAUUACAAUUAACUAAGACUCUUGCAUUCUCAAAUAUAAUAGCAGUAUUACAGUUACUUGAACCAGAUUUCUCAGCGUCCUUCUUUGGUUCUCUUUUUAAGACUUGGGACUUUUGUUUGAUGUGGUGUUCUUAGUCUGAGUAGAAGCAGUUGAGGUGUGGCUCUGUGCCUGUGAACUUUGGCUAGAAGAUGAUUCUGUGAAGAAAAUUAUGCUCUCCUGGCUGUCAAACACUUGGAGACAUCUUGGAGUUGGAGGUGGAUUCACGCUCACAACCCCUUCGAGGAUCUGAACUACGUGGCCCAUUGAUGGCCUUUGGGUUUCUUCAUCUUGGAUGCACCAGCAAGCAACUUUACAGACUCUUGUUAGCUCUUCAAGAUCAGCAUCCCCCUCCAACCUGUGGUCCAACAAGCUAAGGAUGUCACCGUACUCUUGAUUGAUUUGGCUUGCAGCAUAACUUGGGAAGAACUUCACUUUCCCAUCUUCAGAUUGCUCAGAGUUUCUCCUUCCUGAUACAACUUCAAAAAUCAUCAUUCCAUAACUGUAAACGUCUGCUUUGGCUGUUAUAGCCACUCCUGAAAUCCACUCUGGAGCUAGAUAGCCUCUUGUACCUCUCAUGGUUGUCAGCACCCUGCUAAAAUCCCGGCCGACGAGCUUUGCCAGGCCAAAAUCAGCCACUUUUGGGCAAAACUGAGCAUCUAAAAGGAUGUUCUCAGGCUUUAUAUCGCAGUGUAUGAUACAGUCCCUGCAUUUCUCAUGGAGAUAGUUCAAUCCUCUAGCUGUCCCCAAAGCAAUACUGUACCUAGUUUUCCAGUCUAAGACCUUUGUGUUUUUCUCACUGAAAAGAAGGGAAUCAAGAGAACCAUUCGGCAUGUAGUCAUAGACCAACAGCUUCUUAUUUCCCUCUGAGCAGAACCCACGAAGGCGAACCAGAUUGACGUGCUGGAUUGUCCCGAUAGUGCUGACUUCUGAGCGGAAUUGCUUCUCUCCUUGGCUGAUGCUAUCAAGCUUCUUCACAGCUAUGACACUAGUAUCAGGCAACAACCCUUUGAAAACAGAACCAAAACCUCCUCCCCCCAGUUUCUCAGAGAAAUUCUUCGUCGCACUUUGUAAAUCUCUGUAUCCAAAAGCCAUCAGUGAACCCUCUACUGCUUUGCCCAUUUUGACUGUUUUUCUCCUUCUCAAGAAUAUGAACAGAACAAGGGCAAGGAUAGACACUAUCGCCACUGAGCCCACAACACCGCCAAUAGCUAUUCCUUUAUUAUUCUUAGAACUUGAAAACUCAGAAGCUGCAAGCCUGAUAUAGAUAGAUUUUCCAUCUGUGCCAUCUGCAAGUUGCUGCAUGUUCAAUAGAUCGCCGGACCAAGCUGAGCACUGACCACCAUCAAAAGCAUAGGCAGUACAAGAACAAUUCUUCAAGCAAGUUGAUUCACAUUCCUGUGCACUCCCAGCUGCCACUAUCUGUGGAUUUGCAGGCAACUUCAUAUUGUAACUUGGGAAAAAUCUGUCACUCUUCCCAUUAACAACACUAGAAUUCCCACACUGCAGAUUUGUUGCCCUCUCACAUCCCCCAGAAAAAACCUCCGAAUACCAGUCCCCCGUCGAAUUCGGGUUGAAACCUCUCGGGCAGUCGCAGAAAGGCUGUGAUUUCGCAUUACAGCUUCCAAAAGCCCCACAGUAAGCAUACACCUCACAUUGCGUCUUUGGUUGAGACCAGAACAAAAACCAUGCGUUGGUACUCGCCGACCAUGUUUGCUGUUGAAUCUGCCCGCCAUCAUCCAUCACAAACCGAGAUAUGACUGUACUGUUGUACAUUGAAUAGGUGAAAUAGCUCUCAUUAUCAUUGCUAACAUAACUAAAGUUGUAGAUAUAAUUCAAUCUCAUUUCAGGAACUAAGCUGAAAAUCUGUCCAUUCCAUUCUCCACUAGUCCAAUACUGUAUAGACCUCUUCCAGAAGAUCAAAUAUUGACUCUGAUUUGGGUCUAGCUCAAGAGAGAAAAGACCCGGUGCAGGAUUAUCUUUGCUUUUCCAUGAAAUGAGACGUGUGUUCCUAUUGUUGAUUUUGCUCAAUCCAACCUUAGCACCAGGCAGCCAUGUAUCAGCUGGAAAAUCAAAAGACUGCCAUAGUGGUGACAAUGAUGGAUUAGACCUAUCUCUCAAAACUAGAUUUCCAUCAUUACCAAGUACUGCUUCCACAGAUCUAGAGCUACUAGAGCUCAAAUUUGUGGACCAAAUUAGGAUCUUGGACUCAUUAAAGAGAGCUAAAUUCCCAUCAGAUAUUCUUAACUCCGAAGAAAAUCUAUCAGAAACAGGUGUCUCUCUGUUUGCCACCCAAACUAUGGUCUGUGCAGACACCUUAUCUCUAUAAUACCACAUGCCUAUGUAGUAGUUUGAGGAGUUACCUGGCUUGAAGAAACCAAGUUCGAAGACUUUUCCUGCUGAGACAACAGUUUGGUCUCCAGAAAGAGAGCUGUUUGCAGAGAUUGUAUCAGCUCCAAGGGAGACAUGGGGCUUGAGAGAAAAGCAUAAGAAAAUAACAAAAGGCAUGAUCCAUGGAUUGUUUCUGACAUCCAUGGCUGCUGCUAAGGUAUUUUGCAGGUAAGUUUGAGAUUUUCAAGGUGUAAGAAUGUACAGCUGGUUUUAUGGAGUCUGAGAGAGAGAAAACAAGACUUGGUCUCAGUAUACGCCGUAAUCAUUUGCCAAUGAAACUUACGAGAUUGUUGUUUUGAACAUGAAGUCACCGAGCUUUCUUGAGGGUAAAAAUCUAUAAUAUUUUUAAUUCUCGUUACUUAUGUAUCUAAAAAAAAUAUUUUUAAAAAAAAUAUUUUAAAUUAAUUUGUUUAAAUGUUUUUUAAUUAUUUUAAAUCAUAGAAAAACCACUUAAAAAAUAUUUUGUUUUAUUAUUGGGGCAAAAGAGAGGAAAUAAUGGGAAUAGUAUAUUUUCUAUUUUAAAAGUACAAAAAUUAAUAAAAAAAUCAAUUUACUUUAUUUUUCUCAACCUUCUCAUUAUCUUCAUCUUUUAUCAUCUCAAAAUAAUAACAGAAAAGGUUAUUUAUUUUAAUCAAAUCCACUCUUCAUCCAUUGUAGCCAUCAUAAAUGAAUUGAUAAUGAUUGAAUUGGAUAAAAAAACAAAUUAUAAAAUGAAAAUCAUGAUCACAGCAAACCAUUUCAAUCUCAAGAGCUAAAACUAAUGUCUUGUUUUCGAUCAGUAAACCACAAAGUCAUUCUCGUGCCCAGAAAAGAAAAUUCAAAGUUUCCAGAUUUUGCAACCUGAGACCUUCUAGAGAUCAAGAUUGAAUUCUGUGAAAGACAAAUGGUUUGUCAUCAGCAGAGGACCGAGGAUUCAAGCCUGGUCAGCAUGAAACAAGAACAAAUUUAUAGCCAGACAUCAGGUUGAAUGUUGAAUAUAUCUCUUAAAUGUAAUCUGAAUUAUUAUAUAAAUAGCACUAUCUGAUUAGGAGAAAAACACAUCUCAACCAUCAAUCCAACCUCUUAUUAGUAAAAGGGUGUCAGGAAGUCAACACUAUUCAAAUAAUUAAGCAACCAAAGAUAUUUCUUUUAUUUUCCCCAUAAUCUAAUAAUUUUUUUUUAAAGAAAAGGACAGACAGAGCCAUUGCCGUGUUGAAAACUCUCCUCGAUCACUUUCAUGAAAAUAAAACGCCUUUAUGGCUGGGUGGCACAAUUGCUUUCACAUGGCAAUUGAAACUUGCCCAUCAAUUUUCAACCUGCCUCGCUACUUCAUUAAAAUUUGCAAUAAGAAAGGGUUGCCCUUUGCCAUAAUAUCAUUCAUGAUUUUCCCUGCUGCAAAAGCAUGCUUUAAGGUUCUAGAUUCGAGCUUCGUUCUUAAUUUCUUUUAAGAAGUGGGAUCUCUGCAGUAUCAAUAAAUAUGCUUUAAGGUUGUUGAUUCGAGCUUCGUUCUUAAUUUCUUUUGAGAAGUGGGAUCUCUGCAGUAUCAUUAAAUAAUUAUGAUUAUUAGGUGUAUAUAUAUAAAUAUCUUAAAAUUUAAAUUUAAUAUAAGGAAAUUAGAGUUUUCUAUGUAUGUGCGUGAAAAAAACUUUUUUAUUAACUUAGAUGUUCGGGUUAGCUUGAUCGCAGCUCGACUAAUCUCACGGGUCCUGAAGUUAACAACCAUGUAAGUCUCCAGUGGCCCUGAGAAGACUCGAACUUGUGACCAUUAGGAAACAAAUUCAAGACCUGAUCAAUUAAGCUACUCCUCGGGGUUUUGAAUUUUAAUAUUCUAUAUUAGGUAUAUGGUCAAUCUCCAUGUGUGUCUGAACGAAUUUAUAAUGGUUAACUGGUCUAAAUAUUCAUGUAAACUUGAAUGACUAUCCUAAUUGAGGGAAGAAGAUUUGAUGGGUUGGCUUAGCAACAGCCACAGGUAAUUGUUUAUUUCUUUCAAGUCAAAAGUUAUAAUUGGAUCCUAAAAAUCAAAACAAUACAUAAACAUUUUCUGUUUCAAUAUUAAAGUUAUAAUUGGUCAUCGGAUUGAUUCUCACUUCCUCUUCCUCGAAGAAGAUUUGCCCUCUCCAAAGAAAAAACAAAAUAUUCCUUUUUCUUUCUUUCUAAUAAAUAUAGAGAGUAUUUUACAAUGUGGUUUGGUUGCUUUUCAAAUAACUCUUCGUAUCGAAAUACAUGCCAAUAAUUUUUUUUAUUUUUUAAAAAUUAUUUUUGACAUCAGAACAUCAAAACGAUCUAAAACAUACAAAACAUAUUAAAUUUUAACAGAAAAAAAUAUUUUGAAUUUUUUAGAAACGAGGUUUCCACCGCGUUCCCAAACAUGUUAAUAAUUAGGUGAUCAUAGUAUUUCAAAAGAUUUAAGAUAUGUCUUUUAAGAUUAUUUAAAAAGGUAAUUUAACUUCAAUUUACAUACAAAUUAAUUUAAAAAUAUUCUUAUUAUAAUCACUAAAAUAACCAUGAAGCUCUAUUAUUAAAUUUGGUUGUGUUCAUUUACGUUAUGACCUUCAAGUUUUAAAAAAAUUAUUUAGAGUGUAUCAUGUGAUUCGAUAAAAUUUUUUAAGUUGGCUUAUGAUUCUAUCAAAACUUGUUGAUUUAAAAAAAAAUUAAUUAAUCUAAAUCUAUCUAAAUUAACCCAUCUAUUUUAUGACUUGAGUUUGUGCUAGAUUAUUAUUGGGGGUAUUUAUGAAAAUAGUUAGGUUAGGUAUGAAUCUAUAAUUAUAUCUACUCUAAUUUAUAAUAUUUUAUAAAUUACAAACUCAACUCAUUCAAUUUUUUUUCCUAAGAGGACCUGUCAGUGAUAUAAUGGAGGAAGAUGGGGAUGAUGUCAAGUCUGCGUAGCCGGCUGGGCCACACACGUGUUACUAUGACAAUUACAAUGGGAAGCAACUUUUCAAGUUGAUUGAGGUGUGAAACCAGUGAGCACAUGUACUGACCUCGACACAACCACUCACCGUUAAUGAUAAAUUAGAAAUCACUCAAUCAAUUGUUUAAGCAUAUAAAUCAUAACACUCUUUCGAGUUCUUCAAACUCAUCAGGCAAAAACUCUUUUUAAAAAAUAAAAUAAAAAUAAAAGUCAAAAUAGAUGGCCCCAAAGAAUUUCUUUUAUUUUUAAUUUAAUGAGGUUUGCAACUAGCAAGACCACAAUCAUGAAUAUUUGGUCAUUUGUGCAGAGCUAACCACCCACAUGACCUCCCGUAUAGAUUCUCAUACAAAACAAAUAUGUUUCUUCCAGAAAGAUUAGUUUUAUGAUUAGAAAAUGAAAAAGAAGUUCUUUUACUCUCCUCAAAAGACUCUCCUUAAAUUAUUUAAAUAUUAAUCUUUAUUUUCCUAAUCCUAAAAAAAUAACAAAAUAACCGGCAGAAUGACGCAUGUUACAAAUUCUAAAAAGUCAUCGGAAUGACGCCACAAACCAUCCAUUGGUGGCUCUGCGGUGCUCACAUAAUUUUCUAUUAUAAGGUUCGAUCUUCUCUAUUUACACACGAACAAUUAUCUUUUUUAUAUAUAUAUAUAACCCAGGGUGUUUAGAUCAGCUUACGCGUACCACAACUAAUCCCCGGGUCCACUGAACAUCCUGCAAACCCAAUGGGUAUGUAAGGCACUGUGGGGGUGACAGACAUGCACAGAGAAGAUCGAACCCAGGUGCAGAGAAAGAAAACAAGUCUCUUUCCCCGCUAGGCCACGACCUUUAGUGCGCACGAACAAUUAUCUUGAUGUCUAUCUUUCCGGCUAGUGGCUCUUUUUUUAAAAAACUUGUUUCUUUAGUGAUCACCUAUCUUUUUUAUUAAUAGUUAUUUUCCAUUAAUUUAUAUUAUCAGUAGGUAUCAAUUUUUCUCGCUAAUCACUAACAAGUGUCAACCUUUCAACUAAUAGUAUCACAACAAGGUACCACAAUGAGAAAAAAUAAUUCAUCAUUACUUUACUAUUUAUAAGAUAAGCUUGUAUAACCAAUAUGUAUAAAUAAUUCAUUGCACAGGUAAACAGAGAGUUCCAUUCGCAAGUUCAUUCACUUAUAACUACAAGUUCAUACAAUUUCAAACACUCCCUAUUUUUAGUAAAAGCAUGGAAUACCCAAGUAUAGGCCCAUCAUUCAGUGGCUAAAUCCAAUCUCAUAUCAGCCCAUCAAGUAAUCGUGAAAAGACCUUAGAUUUAAUUUGAAAUUUUCACACAACUUCAUGAGAAAGAUAACACUAAUAAUAAUACAAAUAAACUACACGCAUGAAAACAAUAUAUAAUCUAUCAGCAUCCAAAAAAUGGCGAAGUCUAAGGAGGAGGAGCAUCCCAUUAAACUAGAGAACGAGUUUGUGAGGAACCAAAACUAGCCAAGAAGUCAGCACACUAAUUACCCUCGUGAAGGGCAUGAAUGAGCCUAUUAGGGCCGAAGGAUGAGAGAUGAUACUGAAUUCUUGAAGUGAGGAUGAAAUUUGUCGGGAGAAGAUAACAAACAACAAAUUGCUUCUAAGGAAUCGCACUCAACUUCAAGAGGAGAAAGUUUUUGUCUCUAUAGAAACAUUAAUACCAUGCCAAAUAGCCCAUAGUUCCGCCGCCAUGUUAGUGGCAGAGCAAAUAAAAGAAGAGAAACCAAGAUGCCAGUUACCUAGAAAAUAUCGAAAAAUGUCACCAGAACGUCCGCAACCAGCCUUUCCCCUGAGCUCCCUAGUGAGCUACCAUCCACAAUAUUAACCUUCCGCCAAUCAUACGAGGGAGGGUGCCACUGAAUAAAGCGAAUGGUAGGAGCAGAGUUGGGUUUUAAAAGACGAGAGAACGCAAUCUUCAAUCAUCAAUCUAGCUCUUGAAGCAAACCCCAACUCAGCUUACCCUCCCCCAUGGAUGCGAGGCAUCACGUAGAGGAUAUCACUGUUAAAAAAUUAUUUUAAUAUAAUAAUUUAAAUUUAAUAAAUAAUGUUCAUGAUAUAAUUUAUAUUAUUCACUAAUAUAUAUUUUUAAAUGAAAACUCUUUAGAUUUAAAACUUACAUAGACUCACACUAUCUUGUGUUUAAUUUUUAUUAAAUAAAUAGAGAUAAUAAGAUUCGAACUCGUGACCGCUUAAUUAUUAAGAUUUUAAUACUAUAUUAAAGAAUCAUCUCAACCUAAUAAUUUAAACUUAUUAGUUGAGGUCUCAAAAUAUAGUUUUUAUUACUUUUACAAGCAAAAUCGCAAUAUAAUGUUAGUAACUUAGGUUACAACUAUUUUUUUUUCCUUUUUUUUUCAGAAAUUAGGAUUAAAAGCUCAAGAAACUAAAGAUUACAACCAACAAAUAUGGAAAAGAGCUACCCCAUUAACACCCUAUAAAAGAAAAUUGGCAAUUUCCUAACGUUGGGAAAUUUAAAAAACAAUAAUCUAAAAUAAGAUAUAAAUACACUUAGUUUAUAUUUAGUUAGUGUCUUAAUAAAAAAAAACAGAUAUAUAAGAGAUAAAAAUGUAUUUUGUUAAAAAGAUAAAGAUAAAAUGCUUUUUUUUUUCAUUUAAAACAAGAAGUAUAAAUAAAUAUAUUUAUUAAUUAAUUUUUUUAGUCAAGUAAACUUGGAGUCACAUAUGUCACAAUAUCUGUUAAUAUAUUGUUAGAUUUUUUUUUUCUAAAAAGAAAAAAAUUGUUAAUCACAGGAAGACAUUCCCUCUUAAGAAAGCAGCUGACUAGGACGCAUCCCUUGCGGUUCGCAAACGACAAGAUCCACUUUCUCCUCUCAUCCUCCUUUUUUGACCAAAUCUGUGGAUGCAGAAUAAACUCUCUUUUUUUUCUUUUUUCUAUUUAUUUAUGACUUCAAAUGGUCAAAAUCAAAAUUUAUAUUCACCAAUGUAUGGUUUGAUUACAAUUUAUUUGAUAUAUUUAUUUAUUGGGUUUGAUAAUAUGAUGCAAGAAAAGCAAUUAGAACUAUAGGACAUGAAUGCCCUAUAUUUAAUUGGGCAAAAAAUAACAAGAAAGUAUUUUUUAUUUAUAAGAUUAGAUAAAUUUAGUUUAUGAAUGUCCAAAUUGCUCCCAUAAUACCUUCCAAUCAUAGCAUAAAAAUCAGGUAAAACCAAAUAAAACCAAUUAUUGGGUUGAUUCAAGAAUAUAGAACUAAAAAUCUAAUCAUAUAAUAAUUUCUCAAUUACACGAAAUAAAUUGUUAAAAAAUCUAAAAAGUUGGUUCGGUGAUUAAGAGAAAAGUUGUAUUUUUCAACCUUUUGAAUUAAGAUUUUAAAACCAAUAUCUUGAAAAUUUUAUUAAAUUACUUUAAUUGAUUCGAUAAUACUAUUAAUAAAAAAAUAAAUUAUUAGAAAAGGUAAAAUAAAGGAAAUAGCUCGUGAGUAUAUUGAAAAAAUCAAGUGAGACAGAAUCCAAUCAAAUCUUUUUCUUUGUCCUAUCCAUAUAUAUAUUUUUGAUAAUAUAAAAAUCAAAAUUGCAAUAAAAAAAAAAAGAAAAGAAAAGACAACUUUAGGGUUAGCCUCAGAAAGUUGGAUGCUUUACCACAGCCGCUGCUCUAGAACAAAUUUCUCUCUCCCUCUCUCUAAAAUAUAAAUCAAAAUAAAUAUUUCUUACAUUUUUUAUUGACCAUAAAAAUAAGGCCUUCCGUUUCUUCCCAAUACAACAGUGUCUUUACCACAACCUGGCUAGAGAAAGGUACGGUCUUUCUCCUUCUUUUUUUAUUUUUCUUGUGCCAAUUGCUUUGAUUUUUGUUUUCUCAAAAUGGGUUCCUUUUGAUUUUUUGUGUUUAUUGGUUUUGAUUCAUGAAGUUUGCAGGUUUGUGGAGAUGGGGUUGUUUUUUUAUUUGAGAGAAUGAAUUAUGUUUGCCUGUUUUUGAGCUAAGAGUUGUUAAUUUUCCUUUAUAGGUUGAUAUUGGUAUGUUAUUAUGGAUUAAUGUUUUUGUAUUGCUAUAUGUGUUGGAAAAGAUUUCAUUUUUCUUUUCUUUUUAUGUUUAUGCAUAGAUUGAUUUAUUGUUUCUUUGAAUAUCAGAAAUGUGUUUCUGCUUCAUUGUGUUUUUUUAUUAUGGUUUGUUGCUGAGGGGAAAAAGAAAAAAAAUUGAAAUCUAAUUGAGCUAGAAGAAAUCUUUUAUAUGGGCUCAAGGUAAUUGGCUGCUGCAUUUGUUAUAUCAUAUUAAUGAUUGUUAUUUUCUGGUCAUUUUUUAAUGGAUGAUUAUAUAUCAUUUGUAUCUUGAUGAAGAAGUCUCUUCCGUUUUCUUAUUGCAGCAAGUGUUAGUUGUUUUUUCCCCUUUGUUUGCUUGUCUUGAUUGUAACAAUCCAAUGUGGAACUUGAGAUGUUAUUGAUUAUCAUGGAUAUUGAUUGUAUCACCGUUCUGAACUGUGUUUUCCUUCAGCUUUCUUGUUUAAUCAUGAAAGCCAUUUAUUUUAAGUUUUUUUCCUUAUUUUCAGGCCAGCAUCUCUUAUGUAUAUUAGGAAUUGGGUUUUCCUAGUUGGCAAAGAUUUUGAUUCACUCUGGCCGCUUCAACAAAUUUGAAGUGUUCUCGCACCUCCAGGAGGGUGUGGGGUGAUAGCGAGGGUGUGAUAUUGCUGUGUGUUUUAAGGCGAUCAAGAUCAUCUCAUGUUUGGAGACUGUGCCGUGUUAUGGAGGGCUUGUCUCUUGAUUAUGGCUAAGGUUUGCUAGGUUUCUGGAAGCUUGAUGGUAGUUGGAGAAUUUAAGUUAGUAGAGUCAGGUCAUUGUUUUAGGUUCGUAAGUGUGGAAGCUAGAAGCAGCACAGUAUAGUUGUUUACCCAUUACGUUCUUUAUGUAAUUCAAUAAUAAGGUUAUUUGUGGAUGUAGCUUGUGUUAGUGUGGCUACAAUGGUUAGGUUCUCAUGUUUCAAUGCUCACAUCCCUUCUCACAAACCAAAGGUAAGUUGAGCAAUCACUGAUUUGGACGUAGUAUCUUUGUUCUUACCUUCCAUGGCUUUUCUGAUUAGAGUUUUCCUUUUUCCUUCAGAAAACUGCCGAACUUUCUGUUAAAGCAAUGCAUAAGAGUUUAGAAGAUUUUUCUCAAAUUCAAUCUCCUAAGACACUGACCAAAGCUACAAGCUUGAUACUUCUGAAGGCACAAACAGAUACUGGAACUAUUAAUAGUGUCAGGGAUGCUACAAGCUCUGUAUCUGCUGAACAAAGCUGGGAAUUCGACAAAAUUGAGGACAAAAUGGAUUUCAAGAAUGACAUAGGAGUUCAUCAGACAAGGCUUAUUAAGAAAAGUCAGUCUCUUGGAAGUGGAUUAUGCCAUGAGGGAAUGGUUCAUCGUGACAAUGAUACUGAGGAGGAGAUAGAUCAAGGAUUCUCUGGUGAUUCCAUUGAUCAAAAUGGGUUACCUAGACCAGAUGGCAGCAAGGAUACAGGAAGGAGCCCAACUAGCGUGCAUGAGAAAGAUUUGCAACUAGAGUCUGUUCAGAUGAGUUUUGAUUUUGACAAGGAAUGCAUUUUCUCAAUUGGCAAUCCUCAGCAUUCUGGAAAGGAAGAGCCGGAAAUUUCUGAUUAUCUGUUAUCUGGUGAAGGUGGUGAUGCAUCAGGUAACCAGUCGCCUGGUAGCCCUCCCGUGAUUGAAAAAUCAUGCUCAUUUCCUGACAUGGGCACUUUUUCACCCACAUCCCAUGGACAUUUAGCAUCUCACUCAAGAUCUUUGGAGGACCUGCAUUCUCUAAGUAUGAGGUGGAAAACAAUUUCAAUUAAUGGGGAUGAAACUCACAAAAUGAGAAAACAAGAAAGGGAUGAUUGCAUUCCUAAAACUGAGGAAAACAAUAUUGAAAGUUGUCUUGAUGAAGGUUUUGAUUCGUAUAAUUACUCAGCUAUGGCAAAGGAUUGGAUAAUGCCAGUUGUGAAUGAAGCAAACCUUCCAAAUAAAUUCCAAGGAGAAUCCUCCACUCAUCAGUGGGAAGAAUUACCAAGUAAGGAUUUUAAAAUGAAGCGUAUUGCGGACUGGGUAAACAAUCUUCAACACUGUAGUUCAUUCGAAGAACCAAAUGAAUUGCCUGAUACUGAUGACACGGUCCAUGGAGAUUCAGAUGAUUUUGCCACUGCAAAGGUUGAUAGUAAGGUCACUCCUGUCACGGAAGCUGCUAAAAGAUAUAUCUCUUCGUUGACUGUCUCUGCUACCACAGCUCAUCUGUCAAACCUUGGGCUGGCAGAGAUCCCUUUUCUUAGUGCGUUUGGCAGCAUGAGGAUGCUUAAUCUAUCAGGGAACUCUAUAGGUUCACAUCUCGAACUUUUUCCUGUUUUUAUUCUUGCCUUCGUUUUUUAUCUGCCUUGGUGAAAAGUAGUCAUGAACUCGAGAGAUUGUUUAUUUCUCUUACAUGCUUUUCAGUGAGAAUAACUGCUGGUGCCCUCCCUAGAGGACUCCAUGUGUUGAAUUUGUCAAAGAACAGCAUUUCCUCCAUUGAGGGUUUACGCGAGCUUACUCGACUUCGUGUAUUGGACUUGAGUUACAAUAGAAUAUUCAGGAUUGGACACGGUAUGUCGAAUGCGUUGUGUUUGAUGGUUGUAGCUUUCCCAUUUUCUCCUGUUUUCGCUUUCAAGUGUCCAAUUUGUAGAUAUUUGAUUACUUCGAACAUUGUAAUGAUUCACUUUCUGCUGUUAAAGGUUUGGCAUCUUGUUCCUCCCUGAAAGAGCUAUACUUGGCGGGAAAUAAAAUAAGUGAGGUAGAGGGUCUCCACCGCUUGUUGAAACUAACGGUUCUGGAUCUGCGCUUCAACAAAAUCUCUACCACCAAAUGUCUUGGCCAACUUGCAGCUAACUACAAUUCGUUGCAAGCCAUCAGCUUGGAAGGAAAUCCAGCACAGAAAAAUGUCGGAGAUGAACAACUCAAGAAAUAUCUGCAAGGUCUUCUCCCUCAUCUGGUUUACUUCAACCGGCAGCCAACGAAAGCCAGCACAUUGAAAGAUGCAGCGGACCGAUCAGUUAGGCUAGGCAUCAGCUCCCAUCAAUUUGAUCGUGGCCUCAGGUCAGAGAACAAAGCUGCAAGAAAGGCUAGCCAUAGCCUAGCUGGUGCUAGGCCAUCAUCCUCAUCAACUCAUGCUCGUAAAAGUCAUGCUGUAACCUCACCUAAACGGUCCAGGGGCAGGCAUCUCCGUUUGCCACCGAAUGGAGCCAAAACAACAUCUAGUCAUCGCUAUCAUCAUAAUCAUGCUGAUCUUGACAAAUUCAAUUAUGGAUUGGAGUUCUCAUUUCACAGGAGUCGAAGUGAGGGAACUCUGGGAGCGUGCUGAGGUUUUCUAUUAUGCUUUCAACAGCAUGGUUGGUACUUGGAACAUUACUAAGUUUGGUUGUGUGGUUUUCUAUCUUGGUAUUAUUUCUCACAAAUAGGCAGUUGCCAUGUUUGUGCACCAGAAUUAUCCUAUCUUGUUUUAAGUUUGAUGUUGCAAAUUAUCUGUUAAACAAUGUUUAAUGUGGUUUCCCCCUCAAAUGAAUUUCUUUUCUUUAUGAGUGGUUUUUUUGUUCUUAAUACUCUUCGAUCAAUAUUGUAGUAAUAGUUGUUUUUUUAUUUUUAUUUUAAAAAAUAUCAAAAUAGUAUAUAUAUAUUUUUUAUUUUUUAUGUUUAAGAAAAACAAUUUUAAUUAAUGUUUAAAAAAUAAUAAUUUUUAAAAAAUAUGUAUUUAUUCAAAACGGAUAAAUUUUUACAUGUAAAAUUAAAAUAAAAUGCAAGUUUAUACGAAUGAAAAACAUAAUACUUUAAUUUUUAUAAAACUAAAAUUUAAAAUACAAUUACAUAUAAAAUUUAAUAUAAAAACAAAAUAAUUUUUUUUUAUGAUCAUAUAAAAAAUAAAAACUACAACGAUAUCGUAAUUUAUCCCGAUAGAAGUAAAACUGUCUAUGAUCUGUUGAAAAGAGGUAGAAGCAUGCAUCAACAACUCUAAUGAUUCGAUACUUUUUGACAGCGCAGCCUCUACUGUGCCCCAAUCAUCGCUCAUGUCUCAAUCUUCAAACAGGACUCACAUGCCAAGAGACCUAAACUUUGUGGAGUUAAUGUCCAGCCUUUUGCUCUCUCACUUUUCUUGUAUGGUUUCAAUUCAAAGCCGGCAAAUCCCAAUCGUUUCCAAUCACAAAAGAUCAAGAAGAGCACUAUUUUUUUUUUUAUUAAUAUGAUUGUUGGUUUCAGUUUAUACAUAUUUUAAUUAAUCUCAUAAAUUCUAAAAUUAACAAUUAUAUAAAUUUUUAAUACCUAUCAUAUUAGUAAUCACAUGACUUAAAUUUAAAAUCACAGAAAAACAAACACAUUGAUUUUAAGUUUUUAUCACUAAACAUAUAUAUAUAUAUAUAUAUAUAUAUAUAUAUAAAAAAAACACUAUUUAUCUUUGGGUUGUUGGCAGGCAGGCAAAUCAAAUUUGAUAUUUUGACUUCAUUUUAACAUUUUGUUUUUAUAGUUUUUUAAAUUAGUAAAGUUCUGUUGUUAUGAAAUAUAAAAGAUAAAAAUAAUAUAUUUUUAUAUACUUUAUAUUUUGAAAAUAUAAAAAUGAAUAGAUUUAUUUUAUAUUUUUUAUUUAUUCAAUUAAAUAUUUUUUUGUCUCUUAUGUUCUAAAACUCCAACUUAACGCAAUCCAAGAAAACUUUUCUCUUUUCUUUCUUUGACAAUGAGAUUUAGCUACUAAAUUUAACACAAUUUAAAUUUAACUGUUCUAAUUUAUUGAAAUUUAUCCAACUUGUACAUGAUUAAAACUAAUUUCUUUUUUAUUAAUAAUCUUAUAAACAUUGUUGCCAAAUAUUAUUAAAUUAACCACAAUAAUAGUUUCUUUGUGUUUGAUAUUAUGAUGUAACCUGUUUUUUAAUACAUGUUUUAAAUUAUUUUUUGUUUAAAAAAUAUUAAAAUGAUUUUUUUUAAAGUAUUAUUCAAUGAUUUUUAUAUAAUGGUAUCAAAAAUUAAAAAAAAAUUAUUUUAAUAUAUUUUUAAUUAAAAAAUAACAUUAACACAAGAAUUACUCAAACACCAUUCACUUAAAAUUAGUACAACUGUACAAGUACUUCUUGAAAGAAGACAACAUGGUAGUACAAGAAGUGAAGUGGGGAAUUCAUAUAUGUCUGCCAAAUGGACACACAAUAUCUGAUUAGGUGUGGGCUACCCCAUAAUAAUGGAGAAGAGAAGCCAACUCUUUCCAAGCCAUGAGUGGGUCCAGAAGCAUAGAUGAUAAAGCUAAAAUGAUCACGCAACUGCUUACCUUUCAAGCAUAAAAUUUUAAGGGGAAAUAACUUGUUUUUUUAAAAAAAAAAAAAUUAAAAAUUCUUCUGCCUUUUUACUCUAUCUGUUUUUUUUUUCGUUCUUGUAACGCUUACAAUUAAUUCUACAUUUGAUUUUGUUUGUGGAUUUUAGAUUACAAAUUAACAUUUUAAUUUAAAAAUACAUCAAAAUAAUAUAUUUUUUAUUUAUUAACAAUUUUUCCUAAAAAAAAAUUAAGAAAAAAAAAAUAACUUAUUUUUUUUAUUUUAAAAAAAUCUUCUGCCUUUUCUCUAUCUCUAUUUUGUUUUACAAGUUUUUUUUCUUUCUUGUAACUCUCACAAUUAAUUCUACAUUUGAUUUUGUUUGUGGAUUUUAGAUUAUAAGUUGACAUUUUAAAAUAAAAAAAGAUUCUUUAUAAAAUUUAAGUGUAAGUAAAAGUUUGAAUAGCGUUUUUUCAAAAAACAUUUAAAUAAAAUAAUUUUGUGUUGAUUUUUUUUAAAAUAAAAUAAUAGUGUUGAUUUUUUUUAAAUCAAACAGGGUUUUAAUAAAAUUGUUAAUUGAUCCAUCAAAUCAAGUAAAUUUAAUUAUGUUAACUCCUAUUUAAAACCAUAACUAGGUUUGGGUUGGAGAAAUUAUUUAAUUAAAUUGGGGCAAAGUCAGACUCAUCCUAAUCCAAAGUAUUACUAUAAUCAAUUGAACAACCGUCACAGAAUAAAAAUAUUAGAAACAAUGGUAAGCUUGAUAUUAAAAAAAAGAAAUUAUCUUGAUUGGCUUAUAGAAAAUUCUUAUAUGAGGAUGUGACCUUAAACACUUACUCUAAAAUAAAAUAAAAUAAAAUAAAAUAAAUAAUUCUUAUAUGAGACCCACAUUUAACAUUUUCUUAAGAAAAUCUAUGCAGGAUCAAUUUAGUUAUUAAAAAAGAGGAAUAUUGUAUAUAUUACUAACUAAAUUACAAAUGAGUUUGUGGGUGCUAACUAAUUUAAUUAAAUAAUAUAAAUCACAACCAAAAAUCAAAGGGAAACUUCAUCCCCAAUGUAAGAAGUAUAAGGAACAUCCUCUGACUUUUUUUUUUUUUUUUUUUGACCCUUGAGUUAGAUAGGAGUCUACUCUGCAACAAAUAAUCAAUUGUUAAAUAGAGUUAUGAUUAAUAAUUAAUGGGAUAGAUGAGUUAUAUUAUUAUAAUAUAGUCUAAAUUAGUUUAUUAAUUUUAAUUGGAGUCAGCAAAUCAUCAUAGUGACAUGUCAACUUGAUUUAAGUUAAAUUUUAUGUUAAAUUAGGUGCAACUCAAGCUAAUAUUUUUUUUUAUUUUAAAAAUAUAAAAAAUAAUUCUAAAAUUAUUUUAAAAAAUAUAUUUCUUCAAUAAAACAUGUUUUUAUCUCUUUUAAUUGUUUUAAAAAAUUUCAUCAAUAAAAUUAUUCAAAAAAUUCAUUAAUAAUAAGCAAAAGAAUUAUUAUUUCAAAAUCAAAUUUCAUCACAUAUUUAUUUUUAAGUAGGCUAAAUUAUAUUUCAUAAAAGUAUCUAAUUACUUUCGUGUUUGAUAUUAUUGUGGUAAAAUAUGUUUUUUAAAAAUAUUUUUAGAAUAUAUCAAAAUAUUUUUUUUAUAUUUAACAUUAACACAUUAAAAUUACUAAAAAAAUAUUAAAUUAAUAUUUUUUAAAAUAAAUAUACUUUUAAAAAAACAUAUAAAAAACAAAAAUUAUUGCAAUCCCUGCCAAAUUUAAAACUUUAGCUAUGAAGUAGAAAUUUCUGAAGUAAAUGUAAACCGCAGUACAUCGUAGCACAUCAAUAAAACGAGCCUUCGCAAUACUAAAACCUCAAGAAUUUCUAUAAAUACCACAAAAAUCAUGGCCAUGACUUCAUCCUUCUCUCCAAAGUCAACCAUAACCCAAAAUAGACGAGAGAAAAGUUUCCCGUUUCUUUGAUCAAAAUGAACUCAAAACAACCAUACCAGUCUGAACCGGACCUCCCAGUUCCACCACUCCCCACACUCCGCGUCCGCUCACCUUCUCUCUCCACCGCCCCCACAACCAACCGCCGUGUUGCCAUAGCCGUGGACCUUUCCGACGAGAGUGCAUAUGCAGUCAAAUGGGCGGUCCAGAACUACCUCCGUCCAGGUGAUGCCGUGAUCCUCCUCCACGUCCGGCCUACCUCCGCCCUCUACGGCGCUGAUUGGGGGUCCAUUCAACACCAAAUCAAUAACAACAACACCCCUUUUGAUCAAAAUAACCCAGACAGUUCUGACAAUCAAGAAAGGCAGAAACUUGAGGAUGAUUUUGAUAGUUUUACAAAUAACAAAGCCAAUUUGCUGGCUAAACCAUUGUUGGAGGCUGAUGUUCCUUUCAAGAUUCAUAUAGUGAAGGAUCAUGACAUGAAGGAGAGGCUUUGUUUGGAAGUUGAGAGGUUGGGGUUAAGUGCUGUGAUAAUGGGAAGUAGAGGUUUUGGUGCUACAAGAAAGAUGGGGGGUGGUAAAGGAGGGAUUGUUGGUGGUGGGAGAUUAGGGAGUGUUAGUGAUUAUUGUGUGCAGCAUUGUGUUUGUCCUGUUGUUGUUGUUAGGUGUAAUGAUGAUGGUAAAGAGGGAGAGAGUGUGAAAAUAGGAGGUCUUGGUGAGGAGAUUGAGGAGGGUCUUCAUCCUGUGCCUGAGGAGGACCAAGAGGAGUGUGUUGAUGAUGAGCUGAAAGGUUUGUAUUUUGGAACUUUUUGCGUCAUUUUUAGGUAUGAAAUGAUGAGUUUUUUAUUUUGUGAUGUGGGUUUUGUGUUUGUGUGGGGAAAUUUUGGGUUAGGUGAUUGGUUUGGUUAGUGGUGCUGUUUGCUUUUCUUGUUAUGCUUUGGUUUGCUUGCUUGCUGUGGUUUGGAAAUUUUAGGGUAUUUGUGUUGAUGUUAGUGAUGCUACGUGGAGAAUUUCUUUUUUGAUGUUGCUUGUAAAUUUUAGUUUGGUUUGGGUGAUUGAUUAGAAAAUCUGUUGUCCAAAACUCUAUAGGGGAUGAAGUUUAAUUUUUUUUAAAAAAAAAACAGUAAUCUUAGCAUAGAUUUGUUGAAUUGAAUAUUCCGAGUUUCUAAACUCAUAGAUGCUGCUGUUCUAGUUUGUUUAUGGGGAAUUAGCUAUCGAAACUUGUUUGUUGUGUUGGAAAAUUGGUGGGCACCCUAGCAUAUCUAUUACGAGGAAUGAGCUGAGUAGUGAUAAAACUUUGGGCCCUUUGUGGUAGGAUGGGAUAUAGGAAAGGGAGAGUGAUAGCCUACUAUCCUCUGUUUGGUGCAGGAUGGCAUAGAGAUUUUAUUCUUGACUAGGGUAAAGUAGAUCUAUAUUCUAUUUUGUGUAGGAAAUUGCUAGAUGUCCUUCUUCUUUCUCUUCUUGGUGCUGCUUUUAAAAUUCAGCAUUGCUAACGUGAUAGCUUAGAACACGUGGGGAUUGCAUUGUUGCUUUAGUAAUUAGAGCUAGGUUUCCUGUCUUUUUGGAACUUAUACCAGCGAGACUUUGGACCUUUUGACUCUCUCUCAUGCUUUUGGUAAUAACAUUGAUGGAUUUAUUUGUUCUUAACUAUGUGGUUUCUUCGCUUGGUAGUGCCUCUGUUUCCUAGUGCCUGACUUACUACCAAGUUUAUGAAUUGUCAUGAUUGUAUAACACUUAACCUCUGUGUAACAGAUGCUUAAAAUGUGCUUGGUGCAAUUGCAAGCUCCCUCUGAAUUCAGGUGAUGCUUUAUUGUACUUCUUUUUCUUUGUAAACUUGAUGAGCCACCCCCACCCAAAUUGUGUACAGAAGGAGAAAAGGGUUUAAGAUGAGAAGUAUGAGUUGUGGGUUUUAUUUACUGCACGGGGCGAAAAAUUAUUGCAGUAACUGAAAUUUUUCUUUUUUUUGAAUAUAAGAUGUGCAGUGUUCAGAUUUUCUAAUCAUACCUUUUAUUCGAUUAACUCAUUAGUUAUUUUGUCCUCAACAAGAUGCCAAGUUUAUUGCAAUCUAUUGGCCAAAUCUGAUGUAUGUAUAUAUAUGUUUCUUGCAGCUAACAAUUUUAAGGCCCCAAAAUACGUGAAGGCUGUGGAUUGUCAUGAAGUUAUAGGGUUAUAAUUUAGACAUAAUUUUCUUUGUUGGACAAUGAACCAGGUUGCUUCUCUUGUACAUGGAUCACGAUGUCUGACAGAAUAAUUACUUUCUGGCUUAUUGGCUUCUUUAGAACUCAAUUCAACUGUUUUUUUCUUCUUUUUUUUUUAAUCAAGAGUGAUGUAUUGCUAGUUACAUAUCUAAAUGUUUACCCAUUAUCUCGGAGAAUGUGUGUUUUUAGCAUUUCAGUGUCUUAUCAGAACUGGUUUUUGGAGUUGUACAGAUUUUAAAAAGUUCCAUGGCUUUUAUUCUUGUUUUUGGACAUCUUUUGCCUCCCCGGUUUUCUCUUGGAUUUGUAAAAAAAUUGCAGCUUGCAUGAUGAUGUUUAAUUAUACUCUCCUUCCUUUUCUGGCCAACAUGUUAUUUCUACAUUAUGCUCCUGGCUACUUGGGCUUUUUGUCAAUAUGUCCACUUAGAGGAGAAAGUAUUGCUUGAGCCUCAACCCCCCGUUGCACAGGAAAAUUAGGCAGAUUGAAGAUUAGCAUGGCUAUGAAACUUGCAGAAACGCUUGGUUCUGCAUAUCGAGAGAACCUUCAAUAUCCGAACCAUACAGCCAAUGUUCAUAUUCCUCUCGGGUUCUUGUGUGACUUUAUGGUAACAAAUUCAUUAAAUAACACCUCAGAAUGCCCACAGUGCAAGAAAAUAAACACCACUCACGAUCAGGGUAAACCAAAACAUAGGAUAAUUCUAGUGCAUAACAAGCAACUGCCUUGAGUAACAAAUAAUUCUGAGAUAAGAAACCCCAUAUAACCAAAGUAAUGAUCCAGCCGGACUUUUGAAAGUAUAAUAGAAUCUCCUAGAAAGCUCCCAGUGUCCCCUCACUUCGACUCCUGUGAACAGAGGACGACUCUGAUCUAAAGUUCAGGAGUUUGCUACCAAGAUCAUGAUGACGAAGACUGGUUGUUGCUUGGGUUCCACUUGGUUGUGAACGGAGAUGCCUUCCACUUGACCGUUUAGUUGAGAUCACAGGUUGACUUUUACGAGCAUGAGUUGAUGAAGGUAAUGGCCUUGCACCACCUAGACCAUGGCUAGCCUUUCUCACAGCCUUGUUAUCUGACCUGAGGCCACGAUCAAAUUGAUGGCUACUGAUGCCUAGCCUAACUGAUCGAUCGGCAGUGUCUUUCAAAGUGCUGGCUUUAAUUGACUGCCGAUUGAAGUAAAUCAGAUGGGGAAGAAGGCCUUGCAGAUAUUUCUUGAGUUGUUCAUCUCCAACAUUUUUCUGGGCCGAAUUUCCUUCCAAGCUGAUGGCUUGCAAGGAACUGUAGUUGGCUGCAAGUUGGCCUAGACAUUUGGUUGUCGAGAUUUUGUUGAAACGCAGAUCCAGCACAGACAGUUUCAACAAACGGUGGAGACCCUCUACCUCGCUUAUUUUAUUUGCUGCCAAGUAUAACUCUUUCAAGGAGGAACAUGAUGCCAGACCUUUAACAAAAGAAAGUAGUGUUACAAGAAUCAACACAUAUAAUGAUAGAAGAUUUCAACACUAACACAGAAAAAGAGAACAAAUAGGAAAGCUACAAACAUCAAACGAAAAUCCAGCACAUAACAUACCGUGUCCAAUUCUGAAUAUACGAUUGUAGCUCAAAUCAAGUACACGAAGGCGGGUAAGCUCACGUAAACCCUCAAUGGUGGAAAUAUUGUUUCUUGACAAAUUCAACAUAUGAAGUCCUCGAGGGAGGGCACCAGCUGUUAUUCUCACUGCAAAGGGUAGAACAAACAAAUAAAAAUCAAACACAAAUUUAGUUCAAGGCUAUUCCACAAGGCACAUAAAAAAAUCAUGGAAGGAAUAAAAUGGGAUGAAGUUGAAAAAGCAAACCUAUAGAGUUCCCGGAUAGAUUAAGCAUCCUUAGGCUACCAAAUACACCAAGAAAUGGGAUCACUGCCAGCUCAUGGUUUGACAGAUGAGCCGUGGUAGCAGAGACACUCAAAGAAGAGAUGUAUCUUUUAGCAGCUUCUAUGCCAGCAGUGUCCUUAUUAUCAACCUUUGCAGAAGUCAAAUCAUUGGAAUCUCCCUUUACCGGGUCAUCAGUACCAGGCAAUCCAUUUGUUUCUUCCAAAGGGCCAAAGUGUUGAAGAUUGUUUACCCAAUCUUUGAUACGCUUCAUUUUAAAAUCCUUACUCGGCAAUUCUUCCCACUGCUGAGUGGAGGAUUCCCCUUGAAGAUCUUUUGCCAAGUUCACCUCAUCCAUAACCGGCAUUAUCCAGUUCUGUGCCAAAGCUGAGUAAUUAUAAGACUCAAAACCUUCAUCAAUACAACUUCCAAUAUUGUUUUCCUCAGUAUUAGGCAUGUUAUCAUCCCUUCCUUGCUCUUUCAUUUUCUGAGUUUCACCCCCCUGAAUUGAAAUCGUUGUCAACCUCAUGCCUAGAGCAUGUAGGUCCUCAGAAGAUCUUGAUUGUGGUGCUAAAUAUUCAUAAGAAUGUCUAUGGGAAGUCAGUGCAUAAGGGCCCAUGUCUGAAAAAGAGCAUGACUUUUCGAACAUAGGAGGGCUGUGAGGAGACUGGUUACCAGAUAAAUUGCCACCAUCACCAGAAAAUGGAGUAUCAGAAUUUUCAGGUCCUUCCUUUUCAGAAUAAUGACGAUUGUCAAUUGAGAAUAUGCAUUCCUUCUUAACAAAACCGUAACUCCCAUUAAAAGAUCCUAGUUGCAGAGCUUUCUCAUGCUCACUAGUUGUGCUUAUUCCUGAAUCCUUGCUUCCAUCUGGUCUGAGUAACCCAUUCUGAUCAAGGGAAUCACUAUAGACUCCUUGAUCUAUCUCCUCAGUAUCAUUGUCACAUAGAACCCUUCCUUCAUGGCAUAAUCCACUACCUAGAGACUGACUUUUCCUAAUAAGCCUUGUCUGAUGGGCUCCCAUGUCAUUCUUGUCACCCAUUUUGUUCUCAGUCUUGUCAGAAUUCCAGCUUUGUUCAACAGAUACAUCAGCUCUUGUAGCAUCCCUGACACCAUUACUAAUUUGAUUACCCGCUUGUGCCUUUGGAAGUAUUAAGCUUGAAGAUUUAGUCAAUGGCAGAGCUUGAAUUUGAGAUAGAUCUUCUAAACUCUUAUGCCUUGCUUCAUCAGAAGGUUGGGCUGUUUUCUGAAGGAGAAACAAAAACUCUGAUCAGAAAAAGCCAUGGUACAAUAACAUCAAAGAUGCUACCUCCAAGUCAGUGAUUCCUCCACAUACCUUUGAUUUGUGAGAAUGGAUGCGAGCACUGAAGCAUGAGAACCUAACCAUUGUAACAAUACUAACACAAGCUACACAUCCACAAUUGCCAAGACUUGAAUUACAUAAAGAAUGCUAUCAGCAAGCAACUAUGGUACUUCUUCCUCCUAACGUCCAGACUCCAGGAGCCCAGAACAGAGACCAGACCCGACUUUGCUAACUUGUUAUCUUCAAGACUUCAACUAUCAUCAAGCUUACAGCAACCUAGAAAAACUUAGCCAUAAUCAAGCGACAAGCCCUCUGAAACACGACACAGCCUCCAAACAUGAGAUGAUCUUGAUCGCCUUAAAGCACAAAGAAAUAUCACACCCUCAUUAUCACCCCACACCCUCCUAGAGGUGUGAGAAUGCUUUGAGUUUGUUGCAGCGGCCAGAGUGAACCAAAAUCUUCGCCAACUAGGAAAACCCAAUUCCUAACCUGCAUAAGAGAUGCUGGCCUGAAAAUAAGGAAAAAAAAGGUUGAGAUAAAUUUAACUGCAAUUUCACCCAAGAAACAUAAAGCAAGAAAACCAAAAGAAAAGGAAACAAUAUACAGCUUGUAGGGUUGCAACUGAUAACCAUGGUAUCAGUAACACAUGCAGAUCCGCAUUGGAUUGGUCCAAUAAAGAGAACUAAGCAUGAGACAAAAUAACUACUUGAUGCAAUUAGAAAACGAAAAAUAGCAUCUGAAGAACCUUUCUUUCUCGAGCAUGGAUCAUAAACAAGAACCAAAAGCAAUUAACCAUCAUUCAUGUACACUGUACAGCCAUCAUUCCUUAGAAAUUAUUAAGGAAAUAGCUACCACAUAUAGCCAAUGCAGCAGCAAAUAAACUAGAACCAACCAUAGCAAAUUCCAAUGUUAACCCAAGAUCAAAAGGCAGAACUUUAUGAAGGAGAGGCACAUUGCUGCUAUUCAAAGACACAAGAGACCAAUCUAUGCAAUAAACAAAGAAACAGGAAUACAAGGAUAUCAAUCACGAUGAGCUUUUAGCUCGAAAACAAGCGGAGAGAAUUCAUUCUCUCAAACAAAAAAAACAAACCCACUCCACAAACAAGUAAAUUACAUGAAUCAAAACCAAGAAAUAUACAAAAAAAAAAAAUCCAUUUUGAGAAAACAAAAAUAAAAGUAAUCAACACCCAAAAAACAAAGGGAGAAGGAGAAAGAUGUUACCUUUCUUUAGCCAGGUUUUGAUAAAGACAACGGCCUUUGUCAGAGAAAAAGGUUUUGUUUUUAUUUAGCUGUUUUGUGCUGUUCUUGAGCUAGAAAAAAAAAUCAUUAUUACAAUGGAAAAAAAAAACUGUAAAAUAUAUUUCUUUAUUUUGAGAGAGAUUUGAUCAAGGAAGAGGCAAAGGUUGGAACUUGGCUAACCCUAAGAUUUUGUGUAUUGAAAUUUGUGAUUGUGAUUUUUAUAGACCAAAAUAUCAAUGGCUGUGAUUAAAAAUAAAAUUCCAAUGGUUUCGUUUUAUACUCCAUUAAUGUGGAAAGAACAAAUGCAAAGAUUGAAUUGGAUUCUUUGUUAAUAAAACUGUGGUCUUGUUUUGAUGCUUUAAAUUCUAAAAGUGUACUCGUUGACAGAAUGCAUACUCUUUUGUAAAACAUUAAUAAUAUCUUUUAAAAUAUUUAAAAAAUAUAUUUUUAUUAUUUUUUCAUGUAUAUUUGAAAAGUAAAAUCUUCAUGUUUUUUUUUUUGUUAAGUAGAAACAUGCAAAAUGCUACAUUUUUCUUAACUUCAAACUCAAGAUAAUGCAUAGAGGCUCGUGAAUAUGUAAUGUGUGUAAUUUUUUUUAGAUUAAUUUGGGUGUCCGAGUUAGCUUGCAUGCAUCUCGAUUAAUUACACAAGCUCUAAAAUUAACGAUCAUAUAGGCUUUUAGUGGUCCUAAGAUUUAUGGGACUCGAACUGAUGAUUUUUGAGAAGCAAAUCCAGAGCAUAAUGAAUUAAGUAAGUCAUGCCAGGAUUUAAAUGCAUAAUUUCUUGUUUAAAAUACAAUUUGGGAAUAACUUAAAAAAGGAGUUUAUUUUGUGUUUGCAAGAAAAGAAGUAUUGCAAGGAGAAGGAGGAGGAGAGACUGUAUCUUGUCGUUUAAGAAUGGCAAGUGAUGCCAAGCCACCUAACUAGUAGUUUCCUAAGGAGGAGGGAAUGUCCUUCCUUGGAGGUACUGCAAAUUGACAUAAAGUGAUUUGCUUUUUCACGUGUAUCACUAUUUUUUUAAUUUAUUUUCAACCAUAUGAAAACAAUAUCAAUAUCAAUUAUUAAGCUUUGAUUUGGGUUUUUUUUUUUUUUUUUGUCAUUGAUUAUGGUGUAUCAUAGUUAAUGAUCUGGAAUUUAAAGACAAGGAAAAGCAAAUAACUAACGAAUCAGGUGUCGACACUAAUAUAGAGCUAAAAAUGGAGUGUUAAUUUCACUCCUUUAAUUGAGUAAUUACUGAAUUCAUCUUUGUAAUCGAGUAAAAUCUUAAAUAUUAUUGAUUAUACGAAUUUAACGUUCCAUUUUUAUUUUUAAAAUAUGAAUUGUAUGCACGGUGGGGAUUUGUGCAAUCACAUAAUCAUGAUUAUACUUAAAAAUAGUAUAAUAAUUUCAAAUUUUAAAGGGCUGGUUUGAUUAUUGCGAAAAUAGGUUUUUUUUUUUUUAAUUUUUUAUAUUCGAACCUCGAGUUUAACAUCCCAUGAAAUAUAUAAAAUUUAUGGGAAUGCGCGCACUGAGCCGAUGUUGGGGUGUGCCCUUAAAAGCGUCCAAGAAAAGAUUUAAUUUCGAUUAAUAUAUGUGAGCUGAUCAAUGUGAAAUGUGUGCUUUUAAAAUCUUCUAGCUAGGGGAUUUAAUCUCUAUUGAUAUGGAAGCUAGUCCAAAAAUAUUUUUUUAAUGUGAACAGAAAACGUUUUAGAGAACAUGCUGAUUAAUUUUGUUUAUAUUUUUUUAUAUAUUCGGAUAAAAUUUUAAAAUAUUAUUUGUUUAAUAUUAAUUAUUUUAUGGUUUUAGAUUCUUUUAAUGUGCUGAUAUAAAAAAUAAUUUUUAAAAAUAAAAAAAAUAUUUUAAUAUAUUUCUGAGCGAAAAGUACUUUAUAAAGCAAUCAAUACCACACUCACAAAUAUCCUAUUAAUAUUUCAACUUUAAGAGGUUAAAUCAUCUCUCCAUCUCCUUCCUAACACUUGGAAGAAAUUUAUUAAAUUCCUUGCCUAUACAAGAUUAUUAAAAAAUAUCUCUACCAUCGAAAAAACACUUUGAAAUUUUAUUUGCUUGAUUUAGGUCAUAAACAUGAAAUAUUAUUUCCUACUAUAACUUAAGUCUUAAGUUUGGUGUUUUAUUUGUACAAUAUGGAUGGAAUGAAAAUCCAUCACAAAUUGCAGAACAUCCUUGUAAAAAAAGAAAGAAACAAUUAUCAAAACACAGAAAUAUGAGUGAAAUGAAUUUCAAGUGGUGAGUAUACAUGAAAUGUUUCAUUUAAUUAGCUAGGGAAGGUUCUUGCUCCCUUCCUCACUUAUUAAAGAAUAUUUGAUGUAGUGGAUACAGAAGAAAAGGUAAAAAAGAGGCAGCAAAAUCAAAGAUCAUCAAUUAUUUCAUUCCUUUAUGAUCCAAUCAAAUCAUAGCUAGGGAAUGUAGGUUCCACCAUUAAUAAAUAUUCCAAGGAAGUGGCCUCCAAACAAUUCUUGCUUUGAGAGUAAUCAAACACAUUCAUACAAGCAUUGGUUUUAUCGGGGGAAAAAACAAACAUAAAGGCAUGGAAUUGAUGAGUGAUGGAAUGGGGUAAAUGCUCCCUAACCACAGCCAAAGGAAAGGGAUAAAGGAAUACGAAGAAGUCAAGAGAAGCACAAGAUGAUAAAGGAGGAGUGUGAGCCAUGAAUGUAGACAGAGUUUUACUCCCAUACAUAAUUAGAUAACCAUUGGUUUUGCCCUUCGUUGUGCGUUGUUGUUAUUAUUUCUUAAUCUCUCAGCUCAUAUCGCUUUUCUUUUUAAUUAUUUUAUGGUUGGUGGUGGAUUAAUUUUCUAGUUUAUUGUAUCUCAUUAGCUAAUUUUUGACUCAAUUAUUUUAUUAUAUAUAUAAAAAACUAAAUGGAAAUGAAAAGUCUUUGUAAACAUAGAUUUAGAUUACUGUUCACAUGACGUGAUGGUGUACUUACCAUUUAAUUUCCUCUUUCCAAAAAAAAAUCAAAUCCAUGGAGGAGAAUUAAAUCUUUUUACAUAGAUUUAAUAUUAUUUAAAUAAAAAAACCUAUUGGGGGGUGUGGGAGAAGCCCACGCAUUUCGAGCAGUGUAUCCUAAAAGCAAAAAUAUCAUUUUACGAUGUCAUUGAAAACACUCUUGCGUCUUCUUUAUAUUGGUGCAAAUCAUGUCAGUGGUUGUAGGGCAAUUUUUUGUCAAUGAAGUUUUUUAUUUUUUAUUUUCUCUCUUUCCUUUCUUAAAAAUUACAGCUUGGCCAUUUUUGUUAUUGAUAUUUUAACUUCAGUUUUUGUUCUUUUGAUUUAUAAUUUUUUUUCUUGAGUCUUUUGUAAAAGUUUUAUUUGUUUUUAACUUCAUCAUUCAAUCCUAAUUUAUCAUAUAUAUUUUUUUUUUCAAUUUAGUCCUUAUUCUUUUGAUUAAUAAUUUUUUUAUUAGCCCUUUUGUAAAGGUUUUAUUGGUUUUUAAUUUCAUCAUUCAAUCCAAAUUUAUGGCAUAUUAUUUUUUCCAAUUUAGUCCUUAUUCCUUUGAUUUUAUUGUACUUUAAUUAAAGUUAUUUUUCUUUUCAAUCUCACCCUCCAAUAAAAAAUUUGUAGUUGCCCUCUAAUUUAUUUUUUAUUUUCAUUUUUAUCCUCAGUCUUUUAAUUUUAAUUUUUUGUUUUUGGAUCCUUUUGUGUAAUUGAUUUUUUUUCUCGAUUUUAUCAUUCAGUAUUUGAUUUAUUAGGGAUUGGGCUUCACAGUUGUUCCAUGUAUGGUGCUUCCAGUCUAAUAACUUAGGUCACUUGAAAAGUUAACAGGGGUUGAUAUCUAUUUUUUUUGUUUAUUUUCUUUUUUGAUUUCAUUGUUCGACAUUAUUUUUUUUAAAAAAAUUAGCAUUGUGGUUUUCUUCAAUUUCUUUUCUAUAGGGCUAUCCCCAUAUCAUAAUCUAAGAUAUGAGUUUGAUGGGUUAACCCGGACUGACUCUACCUUUAUUGUCUAGGUUACAUGUCUAUCGUGUUACCUUGAGUCAGUUUCUUUGUUUUUUUUUUUUUUUAUCAAAUCUUGUCCUUCUAUAUAUAAUUAGUUAAAAAUUAAACUACAUCAUUUUUUCCGCUAUUAGAAAAAAUAUUUUUUAUUUUUUUGUCAAUUUACUAUUAUUGUUUUUUCCCCUCAAGUUAUUGUAAUAUUUGUUUUUUAAUUUUUGUCUUUUUACUAUCAUUAAUUUUUUUUUAUUAUCUAAUUAAAAAUAAAUCAGCUUAUUUAACCAAUCAAGACUAUAUAAACUGAGUUGUAGAGUUUUCUUUUGUUUUAAAACGCACUUCCAACAUUAAUUAAGUAAAUUUUUUUUUAUAAAAAACCCAUGGCGUUACUCGUGCCCAUAUCUAAGUAAUGAGCCCAUGUCUAGUAAUAUAAUAUACUUGGAUAAUAAUAAUAAUAAUAAUAAUAAUAAUAAUAAUAAUAAUAAUAAUAAUAAUAUGAAAACAUGAAAGUCAUAUGCCUGACCAUCUAUGAAUGACCUAAAUGACUCUAAAUUUGACGAUGGAGUUUAAAGGGUUUAAAAGAUGAAAUUUCAAAGAUUUUUUAGGCAAGAGAUAUUUAUGGAUCCCACCAAAUGUGUUGAAUUAAUGAUUAGAAAAAGUCAUGGGUAUUGGUUGUCUUCAUGAGACUUCACUGAACCUUUGUGAAUGCUCUCAAGGUCUCGUUCCAUUUGCACAAAAUGAUUGAUCAAGAGAGCUUCUGUUAGUUCCUUGCAGCGUGGGAACAAGGAAGGUGAUGCAAAGGAAGAUUGGUGGCAAAAAAUGUUAGAAGUCUCAUAUUCUCUGUGAAGACUGUGAUAUGAAGUUGUGAAAAACCCCGUAGGCUUUUCAUAAUCGUGCCUGUGACUGGUCCGUGAGUUUCUUCUAUCUCUAGCAUAGGGAUGUCUCUGAAAAACAAGUCCCUUGUGGAUAUAAGAAACGCUCUAAUGUUUAAUUAAGUUAACAAAUGUAUAAUAGAAAUGAGAGAAAAAUGUUCAGUUUUUUCCCCUUUACAUGAUGGCAUGAUUUUUAGGGGGUUUUAGAGAACUUAGGGUUUAAUUGAAAAACUCAAGUUCUGAUAAAAUUUAAAAAUUAAUAAAUAUUUAAUUAUCUAUAAGUAAAAAACCCCAAUUAAAAAACUACAAUUUCUAAUUUCAUUUUAUUACAACGUUUUCUUCUUCUUCUUCUUCUUCUUCUUCUUCUUCUUCUAGGAUUAGUCUUCUCUCUACUCCCUGUCAGCCUCUCUCUCUCUCUCUAUCUUCUUCCUCUUUUCUCUCACUGCCAACUUCUUCUCUCUAUCUUCCCUCUCAUUCACUUCCCCUCUUUCUCUCCAUCCUUAACGUUAGACACGAUCUUCUUCCUCUUUGCCUCCACGCCAAGUAAGUCUCUUUCUUUUCCUUUUUUUUUUUUUUGCCAUUGUUCUUUUAUGGAAAUCUUUCUUUUUUGGAUGUUAUGGAACUUAUGGUUUGUUAAGAAGAUUUAGUUUAGAUAACAUUAAUUAAGAGAGAAGAAAUAAAAGGGAAUAAUUGAAAUCCAAAAUAGGUGUAAAAAAAUCAUAUACUGUAUAAUAGAUUUUAUGUUGAAAUAUAUUCUAAAUUUUGUUUAUGUUGUGAAUUAUUGAUAAAGAUUGAAAAUCCCUAAUUUUAUGCAAGUUAGAUUUUAUGUUGAAAUAAAGCUGGAUGAGAGAAUCUUGUUUGAUUGAUUUACCUUGGUUUAUGUGUUGUAGUUAAUUAGUAUGUUAAUAAUAUUGUUUUAAUUAUGUUAGUGAGAAAGAUUUGUUUGAUUUAUGGUGUUGUGCAAAUUUUUAGAAUUGUUAAUGAGAAUUUACUGCAUUGACUUGAAUUGGUAUUAAGGUUUUGAUUGUUUUGGAAGAGAAAAUAAUGUGAAAAUCUUAGGUAGUUUCCCAUGCAAGAGAGAUAUUGUCGAUUUUUUUUAAAUAAGAUAUAAUAAAAAUGUUAUUUUUUUUAUGUUUAACUUGUUUAGAUGAUAAAGAUAAAGUCAUUAACGUGUAAUAUGGAUAAGAGCAUUGCUAGAUCUUCUCGCAACGCUUCUAAAGAUUAUGAGUCGCUAGGUGCCACCAUGACUAGGCACUUAAGGCAUAUACACCCUCUUUUGAUGCAAGCUUGUUGAGUGCAAUGCUGCCUCACAAAGGGGGUGUUUGAUCUGCGUGGAAUGUAUAUAUUGAGAAGUACAUUGCGUAAUAGAAGCCAGACCAAGGCAUGCAAGUUUGUUUUAUUUCUUUGCAUGAUUUAAAAAUAAACAAUGAUGAAUAAUUUUUGAAUGGUUAAUUUUAAUGAACGAAUAUAAUUUCAGGUUUACAAGUAUGGAGGUUGCUCGCACAAUAAUAUUGGUGAUGAAAUCAUUGAUAGAAGUGUCUUUGUUUCAAUGGAGUCAGGUUUCUAAAAAUUCUUAAUGGAAGCCUAAAAUUGAUGCAUGAUACAGAAAGUUCAAGGUUAAUAUAUAUAUACCAAUUUUUUAAUUAUUAUUUUAAUUCAAUUAUUUUUUUUUAAUUUUAAUGAACUAAUUAUUUUAUAAAAUUGACGUGAAUGAAAAGGUUAGUAUAUGCUUUAUUUUGGAGGCUACAACUCCGAUUAAACUUUUUGUUUAAACUCACAUACAAAAUGAGGAUUAUAGGAAAAAGGUGCAAUAACUUGUGAAUAACCGAGCUUAGAAGUUCAUAGUAAGUUGGAUCUUAACAAUUUUGUUCUUAAGUUAUUAUUUUUUUAAAAUCUGUUGAUUUUUUUUUCAAGAAACAUAUAACACCCGAUUGCAGGAUAGAUACACGGAUGAUCCUUCAUCCAAAACUCAAUCUGAAUUUGUGGUUAGAGGCUUGAUCAUUCAGUGAACCUGAUAAAAAUCGAGUUUAAAAUAUCUCAAACACUACAACUAAGAAUAUGCAAUAUUCUAGUUAUGAUUAAAAUCAUCCGAAAACAAAAAAAAACAAUAAUUUAAAGCCUUUUAAAGCCAAAUUAAAUACACUUUUAAAAUACAUUCAAAAUACAGUUCAACCGAAAAAAAACAGAUACUAAAUUUGAAAUGUAGACAUUUAAUUUAAUUUCAAUUACUAUGUAAACUGGUUAGAAGAUAAAUUUUUAUCAUCAACUUAAUAAAAAAAUACUAAGAAAACGUUAUAAUCCCUGUCUCAGAAUGAGUGUCCAUUGUAAUAUAAAAUUACAUUUGCUUCCUUAAUUAUCACACCCCCCAUGAGUCUCAAAAUGAUCUGUGUAAUGAUUCCCAAAUCCCAGUUCUUUCUCCGUUGCCAACCAAACAGCAGAAUAUUAGGUGCCUUCACCAUAUCAUCAAGAAAAUAUAUAAGGCAAAGGAUGAGAAGGAGAUGAGGUUGUAUGCUUUCAAUUAUGUAAAUUCAACAGAAAAUUAACCCAACAAUAAAAGAAAAAAAAAUAUUGAUGCUUUCACAAACAGAAGAUUGAAGAAUAUGCGGGGAUAAGAAACAGGAGGAUGUAAGCAACAAAUUGAUUCUGCAACACAAAAUAGGAAGGAAAAAUUGAAUAAAAUGUGACUACCAAGGAAGGAAUAAAAGCAGAUUGCUAGAAGAUGGUUCCGCGGUCUCAAAUGAUUAUCAACUUUGGACAACCACAAUCUGUAAAAGUAGCAAUUAUGUGUUAAAACAAGAGUUAAUUAAAAAGAAGGAAAUUUCUAGAUUAAAUCUUACCACUUGCAUUUCUCAACUCAUAUAUAAAUAUAUGAUCGUUGGAGAUCUCGAGUUAAUGAACUCUCUUCCAUGGUUUGGUUCUUGAGAGUGAAUCCACAAUAUCAAAAAAGAAGAAGAAGCAGCUUAUCUUCAAAGUUGAACUUUGGCAAUGAACAAAUUACUUGGUUUUAAAGUUUAAUGUUUUCGUGUGUUUGAAAAUGCUUUUAUUUCUGCUUUUAUGUAUUUUUUUAAAAGUAAUUUUAGUUUGAAAAAACAUUAAAUUAAUAUUUUUUUUCUAGUGUUUUAUAAUAAUUUUGAUGUAUUGAUAUAAAAAAUAAAAAAAUUUUAAAAAAAUUAUUUUAAUAUAUUUUCAAGUAAAACUAUUUUAAAAAACACUCUCCACUAUAUUCUUGAACACACACUACAAAAAAAAAUGUAUAAAUAAACAAUCAUAUAUAUAUAUAUAUAUAUAUAUAUAUAUAUCUCGAGAAAUGUUAAUCGUGUCUUUCAUGUCUAUAUAUAUCUGAAGAAAUCUCUAUCAUAUCAAUGUUGAGACUAAAAUUUAGGAUAGCUAUAUAAAUACGAUGAACUGAAUAUAAAAAUGUCAUCUGUUUUUACUAGAAUUUAAAACUUUAGCAACUGUUUGAGGUAUAUUAGAGUAGCAGAAGCAACAAAAGGAGGGAAAAUAAUAACACGACAUUUAUUUAUAGGCUAGAAAAGGAUCAUAUUGCCCCAAACAUAGUGAGACCAAUACUAAUAUCAAGGCAUGCACAUUUUUUUAGGGAAAUUUCUAACCUAGUUGAUUAAUAUUUUUUUUUUGUAGUUUUUUUAAUUAUUUUUUUUUAUUUUCUUUAAUAUUGGAUUAUUAAUUCGAUAAUUAAACUUUAUGAUUUUAUUCAGUUUUCUUCAACAUUAAGUAUUACAACUGGAUCAUAGAUUUUACAUCUUGACCUGAGUUGGCUCAUAUCAAUGUUUUUCGAUCUUUUCUUAAAUUAUAUUUUUUUCUUAAUUUUUUUCAUUCAACAUUUUAUUUGCUAGAAAUUGAGCUUUAACCUUUUUUCUUUUGAUGAAGCUAUCACGUUUUCAUUUGAUUUGUUAUGAAUUUCCCUUCAGACUUUUUUUUCUACUUUUUUUAUGAGAUUAUCUCAAUCUUAUAUCAAAUAUCGUAGAGUUUACGAGUUAACCCAUUUUAACCAUGGUUUUUUUUUUUUUUUUUUGACCUUUAGCUUUGGGUUGUUUAACAAUCUGGAUGAACCCAUAUCAAUUUCUUUUUAACUUUUAUUUCUUGUUAAUUUUUUUAUUAGUUUAUUUAUUGUCGUUGUAUUUUUUUCUUCAUAUGAUUUAAAUUACUAAUUAAACUAAUGACUUAGUCUUAGAAUUUUUUUCUUAAUAUUUUUUUAUGUUAAAAAACUCCGAAACGUGGACGGGUCAUAAAUCUAGUUUUAGUCUACAAUUACUAUUGAAUUCCAUGGAUAUUCGCUUCCUUAUCACUCCUCCAUUUGCUUACAACUAGUAAGCGAUAAUGUUGUUAAACUUGGCUCUGCGCAGGUCAGGUUUUAAAAAACAAUAUAGGAAUUAAUUAGAUUAAACCUAGGUGAUUAAGUUAAAACCCAAUUUAUUUAUUUUUUAAAAACAUUAAAACAACUUCCUACUGUAUCUCUAUCUGCAUGGACCAAUAAGAAAAGAUGGAAUCGACAUAUAUGUAUGGACGACCCUGACCUCAUAAUUUUCUAAAUUAAAGGACUGCAAUAAAUUCGUGUCCUGCAUGGGAAACAACGUUCAAUCUAAGUGCUAAAGCGGUUAUCAAUUAAGAAAAAAAAAAAAAAAACUCCCCUGCUAUCAAUUUGGUUAAUUGAGUAUCUAUAAUUUCAUUUCAAUCAAUUGAGUAUAAGUUGCUUAAAUUAAAAAGAAAAAUUUUGUUCAAUAGAAAAAAUAAAAUGAAUAUUGAUAUUAUUUUAAUAUAUUUUAAAUAAAAAAUAUUUUAAAACAUAACUACUACCGGCCCCAUAGUAUCAUAUUCUCAAUAUCAAAUUUUUGUCGAUGACAAGGAAAAUGUUGUCGUGUUCUAAUGAUUGACUUUUUAAGUUCAGUAAAGCAUCCUCUCCCUUCCUUAAUGGUCAGCGUCAACAAAGAACAAGUGCAGUGAAAAUUUGCUUUGCAGUUGACCUUAGUGAUACAUUCAUGGUUAUGGUUGAUGGUAAGAAGAGGUCUUAACCAGAGAGAUCUAUGUGCAAUGCAUAGCAUGCUAUCAACCGUUUGCUUUUCUUAUGCAUUCUUAUUAUGCUCCUCCCUAUUAUGUUGCUUUGCUAGAGAUACCAUCACAUAUGCUGGUAAUUUGAUUAGUCAUGAUGGUGGAGAAACUCUUGUUUCAGCAGGAAAAAGGUUUGAACUUGGGUUCUUUGCCCCCGAACAAAGUUCUGUUUACGGAAGCUAUGUAGGAAUUUGGUAUUACAGGUCGCAUCCACGAAUAGUUGUGUGGGUUGCCAAUCGAAACAGCCCACUUCUUGAUGGUGGAGCAGUUUUGGCUGUCACAGAUGAUGGAAACCUCAAGAUUUUGGAUAAAAAUGCAGAUCCUUUUUGGUCUACAGCGCUUCAAUCAACAUCAAAACCAGGGUAUCGGUUGGCUAAGCUCUUAGAUUCUGGGAACUUGGUUUUUGGUGAUAGUAAUACCCUUUCGACAACUAUUCUAUGGCAAAGCUUUGAACAUCCAACUGAUACAUUUCUUUCAGGUAUGAAGAUGAGUGGGAAUCUAAAAUUGACUUCAUGGAAAAGUCAAGUUGAUCCAAAAGAAGGUAACUUCACAUUUCAGCUAGAUGGAGAAAAGAACCAGUUUGUUAUCGUCAAUGACUAUGUAAAGCAUUGGACUAGUGGGGAGUCAAGUGAUUUCUUUAGCUCAGAAAGAAUGCCUGAUGGAAUAGUAUAUUUUCUAUCGAACUUCACCAGAUCUGUUCCAAAUUCAAAAGGCAGAAGAACAACUCGAUCACCCUCGGAUUAUAAUAAUACAAGGAUUAGGUUGGAUGUUAAAGGGGAGCUACAAUACUGGAACUUCGAUGUGUAUACAAAUUGGUCUUUGCAAUGGUUUGAGCCGAGAGACAAAUGCAAUGUGUUUAAUGCCUGUGGGAACUUUGGCAGCUGCAAUCUGUACAACAUGUUGGCUUGCAGGUGUUUGCCAGGAUUUGAGCCUAUAUCACAGGAAAAUUGGAGGAAUGGAGAUUUCUCUGGUGGUUGCAUCAGAAGCGCUGCCGGAUGUGGGAAGAAUGACACCUUCUUGAGCUUGAAGAUGAUGAGAGUUGGGCAACCAGACACUUCAUUUGUGGUUGAGGAUGAAAAGCAAUGCAGAGAGGAGUGUCUCAAUAAGUGCCAAUGCCGAGCUCAUUCCUUUGUGAAGGGGGAAGUCAAUAUGCGAAGGGACAGACCGCCUAGCGACAACAGUUGCUUGAUCUGGAUGGAUGAUCUUAAAGAUCUUCAGGAGGAAUAUUCUUAUGGUGGGCCCGAUCUCUUUGUUCGUGUCACCAUUGCUGACAUAGGUACUUCCUUCUUUCGACUUGUUCUUUCUCCUUUUAUUACUACAAGAUGCUGAAAUUACGUCAAGGAUAAUUUUCUCUGAUAGAAGAUUGCAAACAAGCAGUUGACUUAAUUCAUAACUGAACUAAAUAUCAGUACUGUUUCAUACCUUAAAAAAAGCUCCAUUUUUUUUGCAGAAUCAAAGGCUAAAAGUUGUGAGCCUUGUGGCAUAAAUGUGAUUCCUUAUCCUCUAAGUACUGGAUCAGAUUGUGGUGACCCCAUGUACUUCAGUUUCUACUGCGAUAAUUCCACAGGAAAACUCAGCUUUAAGACACACAACGGCACCUAUAAUGUCACUACCAUCAAUCAAGAUAGAAGAACAUUUGCUAUCCAAGAGAAAGAUGUAGCUGAUUGUAAUGCCAGUACAAGAGGUCAAAUUGGGAAGUUCAACACGUCAUCUCCAUUUAAGAUGAACGCCUCUAAACGCUGGUGUGACUCCAAUGUUUCAUCUCAAGGUCUGGUAGAAAUAGAUAUUGGUUGGGAGCCACCUCCAGAGCCAGUCUGCUCUUCAUCUUCGGACUGCGACGAUUGGCCAAAUUCAACUUGCAAUGUAACAGGAAAUCGUACAGCGAGAUGCCUCUGCAAUUCAAAUUUUUGGUGGGAUGGCAUGGCUCUAAAUUGCGUUCAAGGUGAGCACUCUAUAUCUUGCUUCAAACUGCAAAAGUAGUGAAAACCAUAAGUUUCAUCCUGUUUAAUUUAUUAUAAUGCGCAUACCCCCUUUUCUUUCUUGAAGUUGUCGAUGGACAAGCAGGAGGAUAUUCGAGAAAAAAGAAACCAUUGUCUUUGAUUGUAGGAGUUACAAUUGCUAGUGUCAUAGUUCUAUCAAGCAUCUUCCUUUACACCUGCAUUUUUAUGAGAAAGAAGGCCAAACGACGAGGUAACUAGACAAAUUUUCCACGUGUAGGUAUUGAAGUUUUUAAGGGAUUCCUCACGUAAUUAGCAGUUGUCUUGUUGAAAUUUCAGAAAGCCAGCAAAAUACUGAAAGAAAUGCAGCUCUUUUGUAUGGCACUGAGAAACGGGUCAAGAACUUGAUAGAUGCAGAAGAGUUCAACGAAGAAGAUAAGAAGGGCAUAGAUGUACCUUUAUUUGAUUUAGACAGCAUACUAGCGGCUACGGAUUAUUUUUCAGAAGCAAACAAGCUUGGAAGAGGGGGCUUCGGACCUGUUUACAAAGUAAUAUUUACGUUAAUCAUUGGAAUUUUUGUGGCGGACAAGUUUUCUGGCUGAAUUUUACCUGCAUGGCAACUUGGUUUCAGGGAAAAUUUCCAGGAGGUCAAGAAAUUGCAAUAAAACGACUCUCUAGUGUUUCAGGACAAGGCCUAGAGGAGUUUAAGAAUGAGGUGAUUUUGAUUGCUAGAUUGCAGCAUCGGAAUCUUGUCAGAUUAGUAGGUUACUGCAUAAAAGGAGAUGAAAAGAUUUUACUCUAUGAAUAUAUGCCCAACAAAAGCUUAGAUUCCUUCAUAUUUGGUUAGUCUCUAAACAGAUUCAUCAUUUUUGUUUUAUAAAUGUACGUUUGCAGCACUCAUGGUUGCUAAUUUUUGUUCUUAUGGAAAUGGAAAACCUCUGAAGAUCGAGAUCUCGGAAUGUUACUGGAUUGGGAGAUGCGCUUAGAUAUCAUUUUAGGAGUUGCUAGAGGUCUUCUUUAUCUCCACCAAGAUUCUAGACUCAGGAUUAUUCAUCGUGAUAUGAAAACGAGCAACAUUUUAUUAGAUGCGGAAAUGAAUCCAAAAAUUUCUGACUUUGGAUUGGCAAGGAUGUUCGAAGGCAAACAAACCGAAGGGAGCACCAACAGAGUUGCUGGAACUUAGUAAGUAUCAGAUCCUAUCAACAUUGAUAUUCAUCAGACAUACAUUCAUAUGCAAACACUCUCUUUUUGCAGCCUCCAAUCCUACAAUCAUGUCAUGGUUAAUUCUGAAUUAGGUGUCUGUCUCCAGCUGAGUUAAUGAUUCUUGUGAAAAUUGUUGUAAUGCAGUGGCUACAUGUCGCCGGAGUACGCAUUAGAUGGCUUAUUCUCUGUCAAAUCUGAUGUUUUUAGUUUCGGCGUGGUUGUGCUUGAGAUUCUUAGUGGGAAAAGGAACACAGGAUAUUUUAAUUCUGAUGAAGCCCAAAGCCUUCUAGCUUAUGUAAGUUCAACCGUGCUAAUCUAAUGUUUUAUCAUUUGAUAAGCUAUGCUGACUUAAACUUCAAAAUUCCAGGCUUGGAGAUUAUGGAGAGAAGACAAGUCAUUGGAUUUAAUGGACGAGACAUCACGUGAAAGUUGCAACACCAAUGAGUUUCUGAGGUGUGUAAAUGCUGCACUCUUGUGCGUACAAGAUGAUCCAUCCGACCGUCCGACCAUGUCAAAUGUUGUUGUGAUGCUUAGCAGUGAAACUGCAAACUUGCCGGUUCCUAAGAACCCGGCCUUUUUUAUACGAAGAGGCCUUUCUGGCACAGCUUUUGCUUCAAGCGAACAAGAGGGAGGCCUUUCUGGCACAGCUUCAUCUUCAAGUAAACAAGAAAGAAGCAUCGAUACAACGAUUGCUUCAGACGAAGUUAGAUAAUUUCCAGUCGAUUUGCAUAAAAUCUUGGAAAGUUUCUCAAUCUUCAAAUGGGAAGGGUGUUUUUUUUUUUUUUCCUGUGGUAAAUCUCAUGUUUUUCCUUGACAAAAUUCGUGUGUAAUUAGUCCUGUUCUGCAAUUGUAAUCAAAACCCAUUUCAGAACUUCAUUAUUGUAUCUGUGUAAUUCCCCGUAAACAAUUUUUCUUUCAAGUGUUCUACAUUGUUAUUAUCAAUUCGUUUAAAUUUAGAAUCCUAGCAAACUUUGAAUACUUUCAACGUUGUGUCAAGUUGCUUGAUCAGAUUCCACACACUAGUAUUUCUUCUUAGGCGACAUUAACCCUUUCUGAGCAUCAUAAUCCAUACAGGGUGCCAAUGGUUUUAACAGGUUAUCACCAGAUAAUCCUCAAUAUCUCUUUAAGGAGACAAAGCAUCAUAUAAUUUUCAACCACCCCUUAUAAUUCACCAACCAUUGCAGCUGCACAUUACUUAAAUCAUGGGAAAAACAAUCUCUUCUGACAAAUCAAGCCCACUGCACGAUCCUUCUUUCACCAUGCUUUUUUCUUCUCUUUGUCAUCUUCUUUAGACUCUGCAUUUUGAAAUUCCUACACUCAGUUUCAAGGGUUCCAUGGAGAAUCCAAAACCAUUUCAAAAAGGCACAGAUACUGGCCUUGCCUACAAUCCACUCUUCGGAAGGUCCAAGGAUAUCAGCCUAAUAUCAAUUUGUCCAAGCCAACGUCCAUCAAUGGUCAAGGAAGUGUGGGAAGACAUUUCUCCACCGGUUUGGAGUCAAGCCCAGGUUGUUGGCCAUGUCUGAUCCAGACAUGAUUAAGGAGAUGCUCUGUAGUUUUUUGGACAGGGGCUUGGUGGGCUUACCGGCAAAAGUCAUGUUGACCUCUAGAGAAAACACUACGAAUUGUAAUAGAGUUUUUUUUCUUAUUCCUUCAGUUUUUUUUUUGGUUCUUUAUUUUUUUUUUUUUGGGAUUAAACUUUAUGGUAUACUUUGUCUGUCUUGGCUAGGGGAUCUCACGGUAUCAAUAAAGAAAAUCAUUGCUCAGUUCACGCUUGGUUUACAUAAAUUAUGUAAUAAAGAAAAUUUCUCAACCCAUAUAUAAGUAUAUAAUCGCUGGAGAUCUCGAGUUAAUGAACUCUCUCCCGUGAUUUGGUUAUUGAGAGUGAGUCCACAAUAUCAAAAAAGAAACAAAAAAAAAAAAAGUUCUUCUUCAAAGUUGAACUUUGGCAAUGAACAAAUUAUUUGGUUCUAAAGUUUAAUAUUUUUGUAUUUGGUGAAAAGUUUAAUAUUUUUGUAUUUGGUGAUGCUUUUAUUUUUGUUUUUAUGUAUUUUUUAAAAGUAUUUUUAAUUUUGAAGAGCAUCAAAUUAAUUUUUUUCUAAUGUUUUAUGAUAAUUUUGAUAUAAAAAAUAAAUGAACCUGACAAAAAUAAAUAUAUAAAUAAACAAUCAUAUAUCUAUCUAGAAAUGAUAAUUGUGUCUUUAGUGUGUGUGUGUGUGUAGCAUAUCAAUAUUGAGACUAAAAUUUUGAAUAGCUAUAUAAAUACGAAGAACUGAAUAUAAAAAUAUCAUUUUUUUAAUAGAAUUUAAAUCUUUAGCAACUCUUUGGAGGUAUAAAAAUAUCACUGUGACAACCAGCCAAUCAAUUGCGAUAAUUAACCACGGUUCUAGGAUCUGUUUUUUAUUUAUUUUAAUAGUUUUUUUAAAAUGAUAUUUUUUAAAAAUUUUAUAUUUUGUUAGUAUUUUUAAAUCAUUUUAAUAUACUAAUGUUAAAAAUAAUUUUUAAAAAAUAAAAAAAAUAUCAUUUAAAUACAUAUAUGAAGAAAUCUCUAUUAUAUCAAUGUUGAGACUAAAAUUUAGGAUAGCUAUAUAAAUACGAUGAAUAUAAAAAUAUCUUCUUCUUCUUUUACUAGAAUUUAAAUCUUUAGCAACUCUUUGGAGGUAUAUUAGAGUAGCUAGAAACAAUAAUGGGAGGGAAAAUAAUAACACGACAUUUAUUUAUAGGCUAGAAAAGGAGCAUAUUGCCCCAAACAUAGUCACACCAAUAUUAAUAUCUAGGCAUGCACAUUUAUUUUUAUGUCAAAAAAAUAGUUGCAUAUUUAAAUUAGAUUAUUUAAAUUCAUCGCCCUUAAAUUUUUUUAUCUUUUAAAUUUAAUAUUCAUUCUUUUGAUUGUUAUUUAUUUUAUUUGAGAUCAUUCUUUAAAUUGAUUUUGUUUUACGAUUUCACCCUCCUUUGGGUUUUUUCCUAUCAAAUUUGAUCCUCAUUUUUUUUUGCUUUAGAAAGUUUUUAAAAUUGAUAUGUUAAACUAAUUGGGAAUUAUGCUUAUUGAUUCAAUGCAAGUCUAGAAUUUCACAAGGUGCAAGUUUUAGAGAUUAAAUCAAGUUCAAGAAAUAUGCCCUAGUUUGCUUUCUUUUUUUUUCUUUCUUUUUUUUCCCUUUUUUUAAGCUAAUGUUUUUUUUAAAAAAAACUUUUUUUUAGAGUUUUGCUUUGUGAUAUUUUACGGUUUGUUUAUAUGGCGUUAAUCUCGAGUUCAUGACCUGAUUCACUGAUUUUAAAGGUUAACGUGUGUUGACUUCUUUUUUAGAGUUUUGCUUUGUGAUAUUUUACAGUUUGUUUUCUAUGACGUUAAUCUCGAGUUCAUGACCUGAUUAAUUGAUUUUAAAGGUUAACGUGUGUUGAUUUUUUUUGUCUUUUUUUAAAAUUGAUUUAUUUUAAUUUCAUCAUUCAACAUUAGAUAUAUAGGGAAUCGGUCUUCGUGCUUUUGUUUCCUUUCCUUUCUAUUGGGUUGACCUGAUCCAAUGCCCAUGAUUGUCUGGUUAGCGGGUUAAACCAAGUUGAUUCAUAUUUUUUUCAUAGCUUUUUUUAAUUAAAUUUAUUUUUUUUAUUUUUUUCCUUCAACAUUGGGUUGCCCGAUGAUUGAACUUUAUGGUUUUAUUCAUUUUUCUUUCAAACGCGGUUACCCUAGUAUUCCAACUAGAUCAGAGAUUUUGCAUUUUGACUCGGGUUGAUUCAAAUCAAAUUUUUUUGAUUUUUUUUUAAAUUAUAUUUUUUUCUUAUUUUUUUGUCUUUCAACAUUUCAUUUUGCUAGAAAUCGAGUUUCAGCUUUUUUUCUUUUGAUUUUGUUUUCUAUAAAGUUAUCACGUUCUUAUUUGAUUUGUUAGGAAUUUCCUUUCAAACUUUUUUUUCUACUUUCUUUUCCAUGAUAUUAUCAUAAUCUUAUAUCAAAGAUCGCAUAGUUUGCGAGUCAAUCCAUUUUAACUAUUGUUUUUUUUUAAAAUAAUAUUUUUUCAGUUUCGCCCUUUUAACUUUGAGAUGUUUAAUAAUCUAGAUGGACUUGUAUCGAUUUCUAUUUAGCUUUUAUUUGUUGUUAGUUUUCUUAUUAGUUUAUUUAUUAUCGUUGUAUUUUUUUUAUUCAUAAUAUUUAAGUUACCAAUUGAAGUAAUAACUUGAGUUUUAAUUCUUUUUAUCUUAGCAUUUUUUUACAUAAAAAGUAAUAAUUCCAGAUCGUGGCAGAACGCAGGUAGCAAAUCUAGUUUCUGUCUAUAAGUAUUGAAUUCCAUGGAUAUUCGCUUCCUUAUCACUCCUCCAUUUGCUUACAACCAGUUAGUGAUAAUGUUGUUAAACUCUACUCAACCCAGGCUGUGAAGAAGAAUUCUCAAUUGAUCAAGAUAAAUCUUCAAUUUCAGAAAAUUUUACUCAAUUGACUGAAAUUGAAAAAACAUGUGCUCAAUUGACAAAAUUAAUAAUGGAGGGGCUCUUUUGACAAGUUGGUGAAAAUAUAGGAUGCAAAUAGUGGGUUUUGUCAAAAUGAAGGAUACACUUACAGAACGAGUGGACAUGAAAGCAUGAAUGCAUAAAGUUGAAAAAUGCCUUGACGGGCCCUUGUUGCCACAGAAAAUUGCGUAGGAAAGGAGAGCCAGGACUUGUAAAAGAAAAGAACACGUACGCAGUUACGCAAUCAUUAGAUGAUGAUAUAAUAAUAAGAGUUUGGAAUUAAAUUUUUUUUUUUUUAUGAUUUUAUGUUCGAGUUCUUUAGUUGUUCAUAUGAUGGUCACUGAAAACUUACAUGAUCGUUAACUUCAGGGCUCGUGAAAUUAGUCGAGGUGGGCGCAAGCUGACCCGAACACCCACAUUAAACCGAAAAAAAAAAAAGAACACAUAUGCCUGUCGCCAGCACAAUUUAAUUAUUUAUGGAUAGUUUAAGAAGGAAUUUGUUUUGAAUAAAAUAUUUUACAAGAUAAAAUAUUUUUUAUAUUUUUUUAAAUAAUAAUUUAUACACAAAAUCAUUCAACAAUCUUAACCAUCAAAAUCUUAUCAUCAUCACUGCAUGCAAAAUCAUUAUUGUUGUUGCCAUCAUUAUUUUUCACUUUACAAUUACUAUCUUCGUUACCACCCCCGCCACUAUAACUCUAUCACCAUCAGUCAUGGUUAUUAGAAUCGAUCCAAAAAUUGACUUGUCAGUUCUAAAUUAGAUUUAGAUUAAUUUGAAUUAAUUUAUAAAUUUUUUAAAAAAAAAUAUUUAAAAUUUUAAUAUUUCAUAUGAAAAAAUUAAAAAAUAAUUUAUAUAAAUAUAAUCUAUACAUGUUAUAAAUAAUAAAAUUUAAAAGAUUAUUUCAAAAGAUUUUUUAUCUCACAUAAAAAGAUAUUAUGUUAGUAUAUUAUCUUUUUAAGUUGAAAUAUUUAAAUUAAUUUUUUUUAUCAUACAUUAAAAAAAUACAAUUUUUUUCUUGUGAAUAUAAAGUAUAUAUACUAAAAGUACAUUAAAAAAAUAAAAUAUUUUUCUAAUAUUUAUAUAAUGAACUUUUAUUAUCAAAUAAAAAUUAUAAAAAAGAUGAGUUUCUGAUUGAAAAAAAAAAUAGAACUCAAUCAGAGAUUUUAUUUCUUAUUCCGAUCUUUUAUCUUACUCGUGGGAAUCAAGUGAUCGAUGCAGUGUAUUUGAUGCUUGUGGGACUUUUGGUAGCUGCAAUAGUCUAAAUAGGAUUCCUUGCAAGUGUUUGCCUGGAUUUCAGCCCAAGUCUCCCGAUAAUUGGAAAUUAGGAAACUUUUCAGAGGGGUGUGAAAGAUUGUCACCUUUGUGCAGCAAUGAUGUGGUUCAGAACUUCCUGCAGUUAAAUGGUUAUUACUUAUUUUUAAAGUGUAAUAUAUACUAGAAAAAUAUUUUAUUUUUUUAAUGUGAGAUUUGAAACCCUUUAAUAUAUAUAUUCUAUAUUUCUAAAGAAAAAAUUAUUUUUUCAAUAUGGAAUUUGAAGCCUUUUAGUAUAUAUAUUCGGACACAACAGAAAGGGAUCUAUGUUUGGACCCAGCGUGCAGGUCAGCAGACCCGCUAGCCUGGGUGGACAGUUAAGCUCGCAGGUCUGACCUCAACACUAGGACAUGAUAGCUCAUGUGCUAGGUGUUCACAGCCUGGGGCGUAACCUCCCCCUACAGCCUUGGAACUCUAUGUGGUUGAGUAUGAUUGCUCUUGAGCCAAGUGUUUGUGCUAUUUUUUUUUAUUUUAUUUUCUAUAAAGUUAUCAUGUUCUUAUUUGAUUUGUUAGGAAUUUUCUUUCAAACUUUUUUUCUUAUUUUUAUUUCCAUGAUAUUAUCCUAAUCUUAUAUCAAAGGUCAUAGUUUAAGUUAACCCAUUUUAAUCAUUGUUUUUUAUUUUUUAAAAUAAUAUUAAGUUUCGCCCUUUUAACUUUGGGAUAUUUAAUAAUCUAGAUGGACUUGGGUCCAUUUCUGUUUAGCUUUUAUUUGUUGUUAAUUUUCUUAUUAGUUUAUUUAUUAUUGUUAUAUUUUUUUUAAUCAUAUUAUUUAAGUUACCAAUUGAACUAAUAACUUGAGUUUUAAUUAUUUUUUUCUUAGCAUUUUUUUACAUAAAAAGUAAUAAUUCCAGAUCGUGGCAGAACGCAGGUAGCAAAUCUAGUUUCUGUCUAUAAGUAUUGAAUUCCAUGGAUAUUUGAUUCCUUAUCACUCUUCUCCAUUUGCUUACAACCAGUUAGUGAUAAUGUUGUUAAACUCUACUCAACCCAGGCUGUGAAGAAGAAUUCUCAAUUGAUCAAGAUAAAUCUUCAAUUUCAGAAAAUUUUACUCAAUUGAUUGAAAUUGAAAAAACAUGUGCUCAAUUGACAAAAUUAAUAAUGGAGGGGCUCUUUUGACAAGUUGGUGAAAAUAUAGGAUGGAAAUAGUGGGUUUUGUCAAAAUGAAGGAUAUACUUACAGAACGAGUGGGACAUGAAAGCAUGAAUGCAUAAAGUUGAAAAAUGCCUUGACGGGCCCUUGUUGCCACAGAAAAAAUUACGUGGGAAAGCAGGGCCGUACGCCUGUCGCCGGCACAAUUUAAUUAUUUAUGGGUAGUUUAAGAAGGAAUUUGUUUUGAAUAAAAUAUUUUACAAGAUAAAAUAUUUUAAAUAUUUUUUAAAUAGUAAUUUAUGCACAAAACCAUCAAAAUCUUAACCAUCAAAAUCUUAUCUUCAUCACUACAUGCAAAAUCAUUAUCACUGUUGCCAUCAUUAUUUUCACUUUACAAUUACUAUCUUCGUUACCACCCCCACCACUAUAACUCUAUCACCAUCAGUCAUAGUUAUUGGAAUCGAUCCGGAAAUUGACCUGUGGGGUUCUAAAUUAUAUGGAUUAAUUUAAAUUAAUUCAAAUUAAUUUAGAAAAAUUUUAAAAAAUAUAUUUAAAGUUUUAAUAUUUUAUAUAAAAAAUUAAAAAACAAUUCAUAUAAAUAUAGGCUAUGCAUGUUAUAAAUAAUAAAAUUUAAAAGAUUAUUUUAAAAGAUUUUUUAUUCAACAUUAAAAAAAUAUUAUAUUAGUAUAUUUUCUUUUAAAAUCGAAGUAUUUAAACUGAAUUUUUUUUAUCACACAUUGAAAAAACACAAUUUUUUUCUUGUGAACAUAAAGUAUAUGUACUAAAACACUUCAAAUUAUAUAUUGAAAAAAUAAAAUAUUCUUCUAAUAUUUAUAUAAUAAAGUUAAAAAAAAAAUUAAUUAUCAAAUAAAAAUAUAAAAAAGUGGGUCUCUGAUUAGAAAAAAAGCAUUGAAAAAAAAAACAGGAAUGAAUGAGAUUUUACCAGUUUUUUUUUCAUCUCGAUCUUUUAUCUUACUGGUGGGAAUCAAGCGAUCGAUGCAGUGUAUUUGAUGCUUGUGUGGGCCUUUUGGUAGCUGCAAUAGUCUAAAUAGGAUUCCUUGCAAGUGUUUGCCUGGAUUUCAGCCCAAGUCUCCCGAUAAUUGGAAAUUAGGAAACUUUUCAGAGGGGUGUGAAAGAUUGUCACCUUUGUGCAGCAAUGAUGUGGUUCAGAACUUCCUGCAGUUAAAUGGUUAUUACUCAAGUGUAUUAUAUGAAUAUUAAAAAAAUAUUUUAUUUUUUUAAUGUAAAAUUUGAAAUUCUUUAAUAUAUAUAUAUUUUAUGUUUCUAAUAAAAAAAUUAUUUUUUCAAUAUGGGAUUUGAAACCCUUUAAUAUAUAUAUUCGAACCCAACAGAAAAGGGUCCAUGUUCGGACCCAGCAUGCAGGUCAGCAGACCCGCUGGCCUGGGUGGGCAGUUAAGCUCGCGGGUCCGGCCUCAACGCCAGGGCAUUAUAGCCCAAGUGCCAGGUGUUCAUAGCCUGGGACGUAACCUCCCCCUUGCAGCCUUUGAACUUUAUGUGGUUGAGCAUGAUUGCCCUCGCACCAAGUGUUUGUGCCUGAGGCUGCAGCACACCAUGCCCCACUCCUAAAUGUGCAAUUCACAGUGCAAUAAGUCUUGAUUAAGAUGACUUUUUCCAUAUGAUUUAGUUUUAUAUAUAAUAUAAUAAUAAUAAUAAUAACAACAACCACCAAAGAAAAACCAUAUAUUAAUAUUAAAAUAAUAAUAAUAAUAAUUAUUAUUAUUAUUUGUGCCAUAAAUAUUAUUAUUUUUAUUAUAAUUGAAGGUAUUAAUAUUAAAAAUACUAUUAUUUGUGUUAUAAAUAUUAAUAUUUCUAUUAUAGUUCAAAGUAUUAAUAUAAAAAAUAUUAUUAUUUGUGAUAUAAAGAUUAUUAUUUUUAUUAUCAUUAAAAGUAUUAAUAUUAAAAAUAGUAUUAUUUGUGGUAUAAAUAUUAUUAUUUUUGGUACAAAUAUUUUUAUUUUUAUUAUAAUUGAAAGUAUUAAUAUUUAUUUUUAUUGUAAUUGAAAGUAUUAAUAUCAAAAAAAUUAUUAUUUGUGGUACAAAGAUUAUUAUUUUUAUUAUCAUUGAAAGUAUUAAUACUAAAAAUAGUAUUAUUUAUGGUAUAAAAAUUAUUAUUUGCGGUAUAAUUAUUUUUUUAUUAUAAUUGAAAGUAUUAAUAUUAAAAUAAUAUUAUUUAUGUUCUGAAUAUUAUGAUUUUUAUUAUAAUUCAAAGUAUUAAUAUCAACUAUACUAUUAUUUGGGAUAUAAAUAUUAUUAUUUUUAUUAUAAUUGAACUAAUAAUAUUUAGAACACAAAUUAUAAUAUGUUUGAUAUUAAUAAUUUCAACUAUAAUAAAAAAAUCAUAAUAUUUAUGAGGGAAAUAAUUAUAUUUAGAAACCUAAGACCUAAUAGCCUUAGGUUUUGACAAAGGACCCAAGAAAAUUGGAUCCUAAUACAGGACCCAUUAGCCUUGGGCAUAGGGCAAACCAGCUCCAGCACCACGUGGGCGCACGGGUCUGACCUAGCACCAUUGUUUUAAAACCCGGACCGGCCCGACAAGCCAACCCGGGCAUGGGACCGGUCCGGGUCUUAGUAAAAACCCGCCGGGGAGUUGGCCCGGCGAAACCCGGUCGACCCGGCGGGUCUACCCGGAACCCGGGCGACCCGGGUAAACCCGGCUGAGACCCGACCUCUUUUUUUUUUAACGUAGACGUGAAACGAAGUCGUUUUAAACUUUCAUUUCCUAUUUCUACAUUUUCUCAGAAACCAAACAGAGGAUUUCAAAGUAAAUCAGUACUCGCACCAACAGAAAGAAAUUGAAGAAAACAAAAGGAAGAAAAAAUCAUAAUUUUAAACAGGAACCUUUCGAUGAUCUCAUGACAUAAACAAAAGAAUUGGCACUUGCAAAAAGAUAUUCCUUAAGUCCAGGCGCUUUUCCCAUCCACUCUCUACAGAAUAACCACCACCAAACAAAUCCCUAGUGAUCAAAGCUGUUGAUUUUGCCCCUCCAGGUUCACACACAACGGUUCAUAAUCGAAUUGAGAGAUUCUUUUUCUGCGUAAUCUGGAUGAGUGCGCGCCCUUUGUCUGCUGAAAGUCGGGUUGAUAUUGACGGCUGGAGAACUCUUCGUAUCGUACAGAGGUUCCCGAAGACCCCUCACUCAAUCGCCGGCUUGACCUUUCAUUAGGAUCGUGAGAGAGAGCAGGAAAGCAAGUAGUAGUCUAGGCUCACCUCAGCUGCCAUAUUCACAAUAAAAGAGCUCCUGCAGCUAGAGAGACAGAGAGAGGGAGUGGGUGAUCCUGUGACUCUAUGUUAAAUACAGAGUCACAUGUUUUUUUUUGGGUUGACACGGGUCAACCUAUCUAACCCGUGACCCGAUCAUUAGACCGGGUCGACCACCGGGUCGGGUUUCAAAACUAUGCCUAGCACACAGGCAAGGCAGCCCAAACGUCAAGUGUCCGCAUCCCAGGGCCUGUAGCCUCACCAAAACUUAAACUAACCAUUUUCUCCCUAACUAUUCUUUCAAUACCAAAUGCAUCACAGCAAAAAGACAAC